CCUUUGCGCAAAGAUGUCGUACUUUCCUCCAAUUGAUUUCAUUAUAAGGUUGAAGGAAGAGCUCUUCUCUCAGUUCUAGAACAAGAGGUGUGAUUGGGCCAACGAAUCGUUUACCAUAUAAGUAUGACAUGGGCAUGUAAACCAUCCGACAGUAGCACCACAUUUUUGCUGCAUUUAUGCACUUAAAUUAUAAGAGGCUAGACCAAAGAUAGGAAAAUGAAAGCUAGACCAAAGUAGACAUGGGAAUAUGCAUUUCUAAAGACCAAUAAGCCAACCCCAGGUUGAAUUUUUAAGUAUUCACGCGUAGCAUUGCAUAAGGCUUAAGUUACACAGCUUUUGGCUUAAGCAUUUUGAGUCAGUGUGACCAAUUCCAAGUUUUAUGCAAGAAGACCUUAGUAUGAAAAAUACAUUACGUGCAGAAGUAGAUCUGAAAUUCAAGCACUUGAGUAGAUGACUACAGCACAAACCUGGAUGCAUGGGAAGACGAGAAGGGAAGAGCCAAAACUCUGGGGGCAUUGGGUUGCUUCCUGACCAGUCAAACAAGCCAAAAAUCUACACGGAAGAAACAAUAUCAUAUAAGAUUCAGUCCAUGACACAAGAAUGCAUUGUAUAGGAUGAAUGUGAACUUUUGUUUCAAGUGGCCAUACUGAAAGCCAAGUCUUUCCCCAAGAGGGAAUGGAUGUCACUCCACCACGAUCGAGGAUCCAUUUACGCCCUCUUGCACAAGCAUUUUCUCUACCACCAUCGGGCCCUUCUCCAAGGAUACGCAUACAAAUGUAGCUGAGUGUUGUACAAAACAUGGUGCUGUGUCCCUCAAUAUGGAAUCCCCACCCACCAUCUUCAUUCUGCAAUGUACAUAAGCCAUUUUCAUACUUCGAAGCUCCAAACCCAUUUAUGAGGUUAGGAGGAUGACUAGGUUCAAAAUAUAUAUACCUGAUGACAGUAUAGGUAGCGAAGAAUUUCUUUACGAUAUUCUCCAGGGAAUACAGUGUCAAGAUGCCCUGUAAUGUAUAGACACAUGACCUACAUUUUCCAUGAAAUUAUGCCAUUGAGAAUGGCUGUUAAAAUGGUCUAUAUACAUGAUUUUAAGGAGGGUGAGAGGGUGUUGAGUAGACUCACCAGGGGAGGAAGGAAAUACAAUGGGCCAGCAUUUUCAGCAGGCCAAUGGCCAUCGCUAGCCUGCAAGGCUGAAAAGAAAUGCGCACCCCUUCUCACUGCUGCUGUGGCUGUCUCAUAUGUAAUUUCUUCACCAUCCCCAACCUUCACUUGUGGUAUUGUUUGUUUGAAAUUCUUCUCUCUCAAAAACUGCAGGUUUUUUUUAGCCAAAUGAAACGGGAGUUGGUAAAGAACAAGUUCAAAAGAAAAAGUAAAUUAACCUCAAUGGUAAACAUUCACUUUAUACUAUUGUUUCCAAGCUAAUAGGGUCUCUUAGAAUCAAGAUAGGUGUAACAAUGACCAAUUGACUUUUUAGGGGUGAAAACAUGGUAUGUACUGACUAGGGCCCAUAUUUUAGGUAGGUUUUCAUAAAGGCCGACAAUUACAAGAUUAUUGGUCUCUAGAUUAUCUAAUUGGGUUUUGCCUCCAUAUAGUUCAGGUCCCAAAUGUCCCUAAUUGGGUUUUAGUUAGGACAUGAGAUGCAUAAUAAUAGGAAAAUUUAGGGGUGACAAUUCAUGUUGGUGAGUAGUAUUGGUGUGGUGUUAAAACUCAAGUAUUUUACUAUAUAACUCAACCCAAAUCCGAAAAUAAUAAUAAUCUUGUCAAAAACAUAAACUCAAAUACUACCUAAUUACCAAAUAGGUCAUCUAACAUAUUUAACCCAUUAAAUAAUUAAGACCUUUUAUUUGAUAAUCAAGUUGAGUUAGGUCUUAUAUAUGUCUAUAUAUUAAUGUUAAUAAAUUUAAAAUUAGUUGAAUAAUUUAAAGAUAUAAUUAGAUUAAUAACUGGAUUAUUAAAUGAGUCAAUUCGAUUUAAAUUCAUAUUAUGUAGGUUGACCUAAAAAUGACUUAUUUAUUAAAUGGAUUCUACAUAUCAAUAUAAAUAUAACCUAAACUCAUUUAUACUUAAUCUAAACUCGUAAAAAAUGCAUUAGGAAUCAUAUCAAACUUUGCCACGCCUAAUAGAAAUGCCAAAUUCACUGAAAAAUGAGAGGAAGGAUCAUAAAUUGAGGUAGAUUAAAUAAACAUAAUUGCACUAGGAGACCUUUUUACAACCAUAUGAACUAUCACCUAAAAUACUAAGUUGUUAAGUAAUAAAACAACAAUGAACACGAAAUCUAUUGGAGCUACAACCCAAUGAAAAACUAAUACAAAAUUUAUGGUCAAUAAUCAAACAUGGAUUGAAAUAUCGGAUUUUACAGAUAUAUCGGUAUUUCGAUUCUACGGAUUUAUCAAAAAUAUCGGUGGAUAUUUUUUCACAAAUAUCAGUGGAUCGAAAAUUAUUUAAAAUUCAUAGAAAUGCUUAAAAAAAACUCCAAAAAAUGAUAAAAAUUAGUAACAAUACACAUUUUAAAGUUAUCUUGUAAGUGUAAUUGACAUACAUAUAAUCAAGAACAAAAACAUCGUAUAAACAGAGAUAUAUCAGUAGAUUCAAUAUUUGAAUUUUAAAAAUAAUAAAUAUGAAUUUUGCAAGUGUAUAAAAUUAGAAUUGAGUUAAGAAAUAUUUGAUUUUAUUGAAUAAAAAUAAUUUAUACAUAAAUAUAAUACAUAUGACAUUACAAUAGUCCUUAGUAUUAAAAAGAAGAUCGAUGUAGUUCCAUUGUAUUAUUUAGAUGAAGGGAGCUCAUCUUGUUGAAGACAAUAUUUAUUUUAAAAAUUUUAAAAUACUUUUAUAAAAACAUGUUUUAUUAUAUUUUAAAUGAAAAAUUAAAUUAAUUUAUAUAAAAUAUUUUAUUUGAGAUUUAAUUUUUAAAAUUUUAUUAAAAAUAAUAGUAACAACUUUUUCUAUUAACAUUAAUUUAUUUAAAUAAUAAAAAUUAUUAAUAAUUUAUCUUAUUAAAUUAAUUUUAAUUUAUAAAAUACCAUUAAUAAAAAUCGAAAUUUUGAUAGUGAUUUAAUUAAAAUAAAGGUUGAUAAUUAAUAAUUAUUUAUAUAGAGAUAGGAAAUUUUUUUUUUUUUUUUUUUAUCUAUGCUAAAUCUAAAAAUUAAAAGGGCCACCCGCUUCUCUCACUUGGGCAUCAAGAAGCCCUUUUCUUCUGAAGUUGCCCUCCAGACGAGAGAAUCCCUAAAAAGGCCCUAUUUUCCUCUGCCACUCGCAACCCCCGUUUGAUUACCAAGAAAAUCCAUCCCCCAUUCGAUUUCCGGGAAAAUUCAUUCUCGUUUGAUUUCCGAGAAAAUCCAUCCAAAACCCCCACGAAAAACCAAAAAAAUUGCUUUUCUUUUGCUCCCUUUUCUGGAUCUGUUUUGGGGGGUCGCUUUGCUGUUGUGCCAUUGGAUUUAAAUUUCACGAACCCUAAAUCCACAAUUUUUGAGCCAGGUUGAAAAACACAACCUUUGCCUGCAAAUCAUGAUCAGAUUACCAAAUAGCAUCUUAUUUAAAAAUAAAAAUAAAAAAUUGGACAGAUUUUGUAUCCUGUGCGUGGACUGGACUGGAAAUUUCCGAAAAAUCGGUAAAAAUACCGAAAUAUCGGCGAUAUUUUCGGUGAUUUUUCGAAAUCCUCCUCCGGCUGCUCCGCCGUCACCUCCACUUGCGAUACUUCGAUAUAUCGCCGAUUUUGCCGAUUUUCCUCUCGAGGGAUAAUCGAUGUUGAAUUUCGUUUCGAGGCCGCCGAGAUAUAUCGUCGAAAUAUAGCCGAUAAAAUCCAAUUUUUCAAGUCCAUGCACUCGGAACACAGCGUGAUUUUCAUUGUGUGUGGAUGGGUAGUGUUUUGUGUGAUGUCUUUUCUGAAAUUGGGACCGACGUUUGAAUUAUUUGCGUAAAGAGGCUGGUAGUGUGAGACACUUGCUCUAUGUGUGGCCCCAGAAAUCGACAGUCCAAUUUCAGAUUCAUGGGAUCUGACGGCCAUAAGCUAGAAAAAGGAAUAUUAUGCAUCACAUAAUAAAACUAUUUUUAAAAACGAUUAUCAAACAAGACGUUGGCUUCCAAUUAGAAAAUGACGGCUAUUGAUCUCAACGUGAAAAUCUCUCUCCCUCUCUCCCUCUCCCUCUCCCUCUCCCUCUCCCUCUCCCUCUCCCUCUCUCUCUCUCUCUCUCUCUCUCUCUCUCUUUAAAUGGUAUAAGUCGACAUAAAAAGAAAAAGGAAAAUAGAGGACAUGUCAUUGUAUUAUGUAGUUAUAAGAGCUAGGCAAGGGGAUAUGAAGCUUAAGAUGGCACACGCACCUCCCUUACAAAUGGAAAGAAAGCAAGAUUAAUGGAACUAUUGAUCCCAGACACUCCCCCAAUAACGGGCUAUGCUUUUUGAACGUGCUUUAGUCUAUCAGCCGAUGAAAAACCCGGCCCUGUGAAGAACUAUUGGUUUGACUCCACUAAGUCUUUUCGUGCUUCCUACUCACAACUUUUUGUUGGGUUCACCCCACUUGGCUAAUUUGAAUCUAAACCUUCUCUUUUUUUGGGUUCAUUUCUUCAUAGAAAUGAUCAUCAUCCACACUCAAACAAAACAAAACAAAACCAGAAAAUCCAUGGAGCUAGACUAUAUAUGUCAAACAAAACUUAGAGCUUGUUUGGCUAGGAAGUGCUUUUAAACUUUAUGAAGUUGGUUUCAAGUGCUAGAAAGAUGUUUCCUAGAAUAACUGCCAAACAAGCUAUUAGAGAUAUAUAGAUGGGAUCAAAUGAUCACCUGCAUUCGCCAUAGAAGGUCGCCGCUGGGCUUAACCUGAUACCGGUUCUUCCAGAAAUUUUCGCGAGCUGCUUCGACCUCAGCUCGCUCUUCUGGGGUUCCAUAAUCAGGAUCAAACUCCCAUAUCUGUCUUCCCACGAAGUUGUUGGUGCUGUAGAUGUAGGGAUCAUUGCCCCCAUCUGCAACCUUGAGCCUCCACAUUUUCCAACUCACCAAACGGACGAUAUAUAUCUCUAUAUCCAAGUGUAUAAAUGUUUGCACCUCUCUUCCGAAAACACCUGCUGAUCAUGCAAUCACUAUCCUUAUAUCAGAGGCCCCAUAAAUGCAAGAUAACCUGGUAUCUUUGCCACAAAAUAAAGGUAAAAUGAUUGGAAACAAGAGAAAGAAGUAGGCAGCAAGAAAGAGAUACAGACCUGGCCUUGUUUUCCAGAAGAUGGGAAUUCCCAGCAAGAAAUGAGAGAUGGGUAUUGAUUCAGGAAGUGGGAAUGGUGAGUUCCUUGUGGGAAAUCAAACAUUUAUAUAGAAGCAGAACACAAAGUCACCCACUCCAUCAUACUACUUUAUUUUUUUUUUAACUCAACUUUCAGAUUGUGGAAGUCAGUGUGGAGUAAAAACUAAAAACUGAAAACACGUUUUUGGACUUUUAACUGUUAAACAAACAAAUCGGUGGUCUUUCCAAUAAUCAAUCAAGAUUGUUUUUUCUUUUCUUUGUGGGGAAAGUGUGUGUUGUUUUCUCUAAUGGCUUCAUGUAAAUUCUACAUUUUGUUUUCAUCUCAACAUGGAGUCUAGUACAGGUAUCUAUGGAGUUACUCUCUCUCUCUCCCUCUCUUUUGUUUUUAUCUCAACAUGGACUCUCUCUCUCUCUCUCUCUCUCUCUCUCUCUCUCUCAUCCAUCACCAUAAUACCUAUAUUAAGAUAUUAAGAUACCAAUGAUACCUAUCACUAAGGAAAAUAUUAAGAUACUCAAAAUCUAAAUCCGAAAUAUUAAAUAUAUAUGAUGAAAUCUAAUUUAUUGAAUUAAAGUACAAAUAAACAAGAUUAAGAUAUAAGCAUAUAAACAAAUAAGAUAUUAUCAGAUUGAUGAUAACCCAAAUCCUAAUAAAAGUAAAUUAUAUUUUAUAUAUAUCUUAAAAGAAUGAUUUUUUUUUUUCUUCUAAACAUGGCCUUUGACAUUUUAAAAAGUAUAUAUAUGUCUUAAAGGACGAUCGAGGGCACAAGACAAUAGCAUAAAGGCAAAGGCUCUCUAUAAUACAAGUCCCAUGCGAGGAAAAGUUUACGUACGAAAAUUAUGCCCUACACAGGCUGAGUUUUAAAAAAAAUGAUAAUAAUGAGUAAAUCAACAUGGCAUGUUUAUUCUUCGCCAGAUGGCUUCAGUAUGAGCCAACCUGCACUCUCACUCUCAAGAAGGUAACGGUACUCCAACGCCAUUCAAAGUUCAAACCCAACAAAAUCAUGCAUAUAAAAAAACACAAAAAUAUUCUAUGAAGGUAGGUAAGAGCUAGGAUAGUUGAAAUUCAAGGGAUUAUCUUUCCUAAAAAUUAAUCCUUCACCUUUUUUCAACCUAAAAAAAUACUUAUUUUUGACAAAAAUAUCUUCAUCUUUUUUUUUAUAAAAAUAAUCAUUUUUUUUAAAUAUACAUAUAAAUAAUAAAAAUAUUGAAGGGUAUUUAUGUCAAAAAUAGGUUACUUCAAAAAACGGGAAGGUCUGUUUUACAAAUUUGGGAUGUUUUCAUCAUUUUUAAUUAAUUAAUCCUAUUAUUUUCCAAUCAUCUUAAUUUUGCCUUUUUUUUUUUUCUCCCUCACCCUCCUUAGUUAAAAUAUAUGUUUAGUUUUCAAAAAGUAUUAAGAAAAGAAAAAAAAAACAUUUAAAGAAAUAAUUAUUUUAUGUUUGAUUAGUUAGAAAUUUAUUUAUUUUUAAAUUAGUUAAUGUUUACAUUAAAGAGUUAAAUAAGUAGAAUGAAUUUUAAGUAUCUAAGUAUAUAAAAAUAAUUUAUCAAAAAUAAAUUCAUUUUUCCUUUUCUUUUGUUUUUUUUUUUGUUUUAUUUUUUUCCUAUCAUUUUCUCUCAAAUUUUGAGAGAAUCAAAUAUAGCCUAAGACUUGCUAAUGGCCGGAUUUUCUCACAUUUCACCCUAUGCAAUAUGGCCUAACCAUAAUUAAUAAAUAGGAAAACAAAAUGGAUCUAUAUUUUAUUUCAUUUUUUGAAAUAAUUGAUUAAAAUGGAUGAAAUUAACAAUCUCAUAUUUGUAAAUUUAAUAUCUCCUAUCUUUUUGUCUGAAAAAUUAAGCCAAUGUCUUUUCAAAUAUUAAUUAUUUAUGUGAAUUUUAAAAGAAAAUAUUAUUUUUAUACUAAAAAUAUGAGGACAUUUUUGUUUGAAACUGGUUAAAAAAGUCAAGAUUUAAAUUUACAAAAUGGGAACAUGUGGAAGAUAUGAAGAAGAUGAUAGCUCAGGAAACCUAUCUAUCUUGAUUCCUCAAAUUGUCCCUCCAUCAUCAAGUCUACGAAAAUAGGAUAAAAAAUUCAUCCACCAACGACCAAGAACAUGUGGUGGAUUCUCUCCCCACGUUCCUUGUUUUCACUUGUAGCCUUCUGUUCCGGAUAGGAAGAAUGUCACUUUAAUACGUCUCUCAGUCCUCUACUCACAACUUGACGAUGAACUAGUAAAUUUUCACUAGGAUUUCGUUUUCUUUCCUAGAGAAUUUGUAAUGUGUACAUUGAAAUGGAUGACUCUAUGUUGGUUUCUUAAAGAAAAUAAAAAAAUAAAAAUGGAAGAAAAAUAAAAAUAGAUUUAGAGUUAAUAAAUAGUUUUUAUAUGAUAUUUUAAAUUUAUUUUACUAACCUUAACUUUGUAUUAUAAAAAUCAAAUAAUUUAAAAAUAUAUAUUUUUAAUUAAUUUUAAUUAUAUAUAUAUAUAUAUAUAUAUAUAUAUAUAUAUAUAUAUAUAUAUAUAUUGCAUUUUCUAGUUAAUGUUAAAUAGCAACUUUUUGCAUACUAUGAAAAUAUAAUUAAGGGUAGGAAAAGUCCCACCACAUAAGAGUAGGACAUUUAUCAAACUUGUACAAUUAGAUUUGAAACUUCAAUAGAUUGGGACCGAUAUUUAAGAAUCCUCUUGAUUAUAAUUAAAUACAAAGACUUUACUAGAUUGUCACGUGGAUAUUUAAGAACCAUCUUAGAAAAGGGGUUUAGAUGUAAUUAGAUAUGACAACGACUUUAGUAGAUUAUCCCUUGAAUAUUUAAAAAUCCUCUCGAAAAAUAAGGUUUGAGGAUAAGUUUACUCAUUCAUUAAAUAAUAAUUAUAAUUUUCAACUUUGGGGUAUUGGAAUGGGAGUAUAAACGAUAGAUUUUAUAAUUGACUUAGAAAUAUUCAAAGUCCAACAUUUCAACAGUGAAGAAUUGAUUGCAUGUUGAUGGUAUCAAACUGACUAAUAUUUAUCAUAAGGGUUUUUUUUUUUUUUUUUUGUCUUUUUUUUUUCAAAGGGCCAAAAUAUCCAAACUGCCAAUUUGUGAAUGGUUUUUAAGAAUAAUUUUUUAUUCUCUAAAACAACAAAUAUAGAAAAGCAUGUUUUGAUAAUAAAAAAUUGUUUUCUAUUUUCUAAUUUUAAGAACAAAAAAUAGUAUAUUUUUAAAUAAUAUCUUUUAAUUAUUUUAUGUUGAUUCACUUAUUUUUAAAUGAUUGUUUUAAGAAAUAAUUAUAUAAAUAUAUAAAAUAAUUAAAAAUAAAAUAUUAGAUAUAAAAAUUAUUUUUAAGAUAAGUUUAAAAAUAUUAAAAAUAAUUUUAAAACAUUUUAUGUUUUAAAACAAAAUUUUGUAAUAUAAAAAUAAGAUAACAAUUUUCAAAAACUAUUUUUUUAAAUAGUCAAGCAAACGGAGCCCAUGUUUCACUUCCCUUGAUUGCUUAAAAGCCAAGGUGGACCCUUGAGAAAGUUGACUUUACAUAUAUUUCUAUGUUUAGGCAAUUAUGACAGUUUCAUGGUUUUUAUUUUGAAAACAUGUUGUCAAUAAUUGUAUGUUUCACAAUAAAUAUAAGUACUUAAUCUUCACCAACAUUUUCAAACUUUCAACAUCCCACUAUUCUUUCUCAUUCAAAGAAAGUAAAAAAUACGCGGUUUGGGGAUAUUUUCGAAAAUAGUUUUCAAAAUAUAAUUAAAUAUCUUUUGAAAAAAUAUCUUAUUUUCAAAACAAUUCUUAAAAACUUGUUUUUGAAAACAAUUGAUAACUUAUGUUUUCAUGCUUUUUAUUUAUUUAUUUAUUUAUUUUAUCUUAUAAACAUUAUGUAAAUGUCUAAUUAACUUUUUUUAAAUCAAUUCUCAAAAACCCAGUUUUGAUAACAAUUCUUAAAAUCGGUUUUCAAAUACUUUUUUCAACAAAAUUUAUUUGAAAAAUCAAAUAUUAAAAUUGGUUUUCUCAAUACUACAUACUUACUAAUGUAUUAUACAAAAAAAAUUAGAACAAAAAACACAGAAAACACGUUUGACAAGCAAAAACCAUUUUUUAUUUUCGGUAUUUAAGAAUAGAAAAUAUGAUAUUUUUAGAAAAUAUUUUUUAAUUGUUUUCUAUUUUCGCUUGUUUUCUAAAGGUUAUUUUAAGAAAUAAUUAUACAAUCAUAUAGAAUGAUUAAAAAUAAAAUACUAGAUAUAAAAAUCAGUUUUAAAAAUAUUAAAAACGGAUUAAAAACAUUUUAAAUUUUCAAACAAACUUUUGUUCUACAAAAAUUAAAAAAUAAAUUUCAAAAAUUAUUCUCAAAAAGUAUUUUUUUUAUAAUUGUUUUCAAAAAUAGUUACCAAAUAUACUUUAAAUGUUUUUUUAUUAUAUAUUUUAAUUAUUUUUCAUUUUUUUAAGAUAAUUUUUAAAGAAUAAUUAAAAAUAAAACAAUAUCAAUAAAAGUUAUUUUAAGAAAUAUUUGAACAUUUAUUUAAAAUGUUAUCAAACAAGUACCCUAAAAAUUGUUCUAAAGAGCAUCCUAUUGAGUUAUUGUUGACUAUUUUUUUUAUUUUUAAGAAAAAACUGUUUUCAAGAGCUGGUAAAUAACAUAAACUUAAAAUUUAUUUUCCAAAUUAUUUAAAAACUUUUCUUUUUUCUUUUUUUCUUUUUCUUUUCUUUUUUUUUUGGGGGGAUUCUUUUCUUUUUUUUUUUUUGGGGGGGCGGCCGCCGCCGCGGGGAGGGAGAAAUUAAUGAGUCACGUUCUUUUUAGGUGAAUCCAUGAAUCCUCCCAAUGAAUGGCCCCUUAAUUCGUUGAAUUUGUUGAAUUUGUUUCACAGUACAAUCCAAAUGCAUCCACUUUUCUACCAGAUCCAGCUGUCCCCAAGAAGACAUUCAAUAUUAAAUAUUAAAAAUUGACUACUUCUUUGUAAAGUAUUUCAAUUUGGCUAAUUGAAAUUUUAUUUAUUUUGGAUUUCAGCUUGAUGCAGUUCCCCUUUUUUGGUGAAAAAUUCUUAUUAAACACCAUCAAUGUGAAAGGGAAAGUGUGAGCCGUUUACUUAUUGUGGGGGAGCUUAAAAGUCUUUGUAGGAAAGGGAGAGAAGGAAAAUGGCCAAAGAAGUGGAAAAUGAGGAAAGUGAUUGAAAGGGAGGUGAUUGACAAGGUUGGUAGGGCUCAUAGUUUAAUAGAGGCAUAAGAAAAAUAUAAUAAUUUUUUAUGAAUAAAUCUUAAUUAAUAGAUUUUAAAUUUAUUUUAUUAAAUAAUUAAGAAUAUUAUAAAAUGAAUAUAUAUAUAUAUAUAUAUAUAUAUAUAUAUAUAUAUAAUGAGGAGGAAGGAAUUAGAGAAGAGAAUUGAUGAAGAAUUUCGUUAUGAGAAAUCUUUUAUAAGUUUUACCAAAUGAUCUUCCAUUACUCAUAUUUAAGAUGAGUAAAUGGAAGUUCAUAAAUGAAUUUCAAUGUGGUCAUUCUCCACUCAUUUACAAUAAAGAAGGUACUAUUAUUUAGGUUUAAGUUCAUUUAUCUUACUUAAUGUUUUGGUUAAAUACAUUUGACUUUCAUUAAUUUGAAAUUUCAAUCUAUACUUUCUUUAUUUCAAGCAAGAGAUGGUAAAUAAAAAUAACAAAUAAAAAGAAUAAAAAAUGUAUUUGAUAAAAUUUCAAUCCAAUAAAGGAUAACUUUUAUCAUUUAUUAUAUACUAUGACACAUUCUUAUAAGACAUGAGUCUUAGGUGGUGUUUGUUUUUUUAGCUUUUUGCUGAAAACAAUUUGUUUUAAGAAUUUAGGUUGUUUGUUUUUCUAUUUUUUCAUGACUUAUUAUAAACUUUUUACUAAAUAGAAAAAACCAAAAUAUGUAACUUUUUUUAAAUAGAAAAAAUAACAUAUCAGUUUUUCUUUACUUUUUAAUACUUAAUAGAAAUAAAAUACUACAAAAACAAACAACCUAAUAUUUAACAUUAUUAAACAUCAAAGUUCUAUAUAAAAUUAAGUAAAAAAACAAACACCUGUAUGUAUGUAUGCAUGCAUGUAUUCCAAAAUCGCUAUUAUUUUUUUUUUUUGAAAACAAUUCUAAAAAAUAAAUUUCAAUUAUUUUUUAAAAUAAUAUUCUAUUUGAAAACUCAAAUACAGGAACCAUUUAUUCACUUCAUAUAAAAUGCUUUCAAAGUAUUUGUCAUAUUUGAAUUGUUACUCAAAACAUUUUAUAAAAAUUAAUUAAAAAGCACCUUAAUUUUAUUCCCAAAACAACCUAUUUUCCAAAAAAAAAUCUCAAAAGUUUAUAUUUUAUCUAAAAUUUGUCAAAUAUCUAUUCUAAAUAAUAUUUUUGACAUAAUUCAUAUGAUUUGAUGAAGUAUUUUAAUUGAAUUAUUUUCAUUUAAUUUAAUUGUGAUAAUAUUUUGGACUUACCUAUUUAAUUAUUUUGAAUUUUGUAUGAUUUUGGAGGCUCAUUGUAAGCAUUUCAUAAUUUUAUUUUGUUAUAUUGGGUUUGUGAUUAAUUAGGCUUCUUUUCAUAUGUUGGGUAGGGUUUAUUCUAACAAUUCAAAUGGAAAAUCAAUUAUUUUUCAUCUAAAAAAAGGUGACCACUUUUGAUAAUGACAAAAGAAACCAUUGUACCAUACAUCCUUCCUUAUCAUGCGUAUUCAGGACUUCAAGUCCUGAAUUUCCAGGCAUUUGGAUCCAAGUGAUGAUAAAGAAGUUGGCCACUUGUAUUGGAAAAUAGACUAUAAAAAUAAUAUUCAUAAAAAAUACAUAAAUUUAAUUUUGGAAAAAUUUUUAUAUCCAAUAUAUUUAAUUUGUUAGUAUCUUAAUACACAACUUAAACAAAAAAUUAAAUAAAAAAUUGAAUUCCUUAGAAUAUGAAAUUCACUCAAAUAUUAAAAAAAAGUUGCAUAAUUUUUAUUUAUUUAUUUAAAAUUACAAAAUAGCAUAUAAGAAUAUUUAGAAGUUUACAUUACAAAUCAUUUUAAAAAUAUAAGGUAAAUAGAUACUUUAUAUAUAGAAUGUUCUAGUUUUAUACAAUAUAUAUAUAUAUAUAUUUUAAACAUGAAAAAUAUCCAAACAAACACUCAAUUUAUUUAUUUAUUAUUUUUUAUAUUUAUUUGCCAAUUCAAAAUAGAGUGCAAAACAUGUCAAUACCAAAUAACUCCUUUAAUUCUUUACCAUAAUUUAACAACUAUUUUAUAGGCUCCAACAAGGAAAAUUUUCUUGAAUUUUUAAUAAUGCAUAAAGUAAUAAUCCACCUUUAAAUAAUAUAUUGAUUUGGUUUGAUUAAUUUGAUUAUAAUAAGAUAGUUUGACUUUGAUAUUGUAUUUAAUAAUUUUGUUUUUGGCAUUUCCCCUCUUGUACCUUCAAGGUACAAGUCCAACAAACCAAAAUGGUUAUGAAUCUUAUGAUACAAAUAACCGAUUAUUAUAUAAGAAUUAGAUUAUGUUUGGUGGCAAUUUUAUGAAGUAUUUUUUUUUUUUUUAACUCUUUUAACACUUAAAAUAUAAUUUUUUUAAAUAUUAAAAAGAUUAAAAAUAUUUUUUAAAAUCACUAUCAAACAAACUUUUAAUCUACCUUGGUUCAAUCAAUAAAGAAUUGACUAGUUGUAUUGAUAAAGAGUAUUGAAGUUGAAGGAAACCUUUCACCACUCACAAAUUAAAUGAUUAAUUUUUGGAAUAAUAAUCACCCUAAAAUAAUCACCCUAACUUUCUUUUGAUAUCAAAGUUUAGAAAUAUUUCAAAGCAAUAUUGGAAAGUGGAGACACCAAUUUGAAAAAGAUUUCACAUUACUUUUUCCUCCUUUUUGAUUUUCUCAUGCCCAACACAAUACUCUCCACAAUAAAUAAAAUAAUAUUCAUAUUCACAAUAAAGAAGUUGGCCACUUGUAUUAGAAAAUGGACUAUAAAAAUAAUAUUCAUAAAAAAUACAUAAAUUUAAUUUUGGAAAAUUUUUUAUAUCCAAUAUAUUUAAUUUGUUAGAAUCUUAAUACACAACUUAAACAAAUUUUUUUUAUAAAAAAAAUUGAAUUCCUUAGAAUAUGAAAUUCACUCAAAUAUUAAAAAAAAGUUGCAUAAUUUUUAUUUAUUUAUUUAAAAUUACAAAAUAGCAUAUAAGAAUAUUUAGAAGUUUACAUUACAAAUCAUUUUAAAAAUAUAAGGUAAAUAGAUACUUUAUAUAUAGAAUGUUCUAGUUUUAUACAAUAUAUAUAUAUAUAUAUUUUAAACAUGAAAAAUAUCCAAACAAACACUCAAUUUAUUUAUUUAUUUUUAUUUUUGAUAUUUAUUUACCAAUUCAAAAUAGAGUGCAAAACAUGUCAAUACCAAAUAACUCCUUUAAUUCUUUACCAUAAUUUAACAACUAUUUUAUAGGCUCCAACAAGGAAAAUUUUCUUGAAUUUUUAAUAAUGCAUAAAGUAAUAAUCCACUUUUAAAUAAUAUAUUGAUUUGAUUUGAUUAUAAUAAGGUAGUUUGGCUUUCAUAUUAUAUUUAAUAAUUUUGUUUUUGGCAUGGCCCCUCUUGUACCUUCAAGGUACAAGUCCAACAAACCUAUGAUCCAACAAAUCAAAGCAUGUUAUGAUACAAAUAACCAAUUAUUAUAUAAGUAUUGGAGUAUGUUUAGUAGUGAUUUUAUGAAGUAUUUUUAAUUUUUUUAAUAUUUAAAAUAUAAAAAAAUUAAAAAAUUAGAAAAAUUAAAAACACGUUCUAAAUUUAUUACCAAAUAAACUCUUAAUCUAUCUUGAUUCAACCAUCAAAGAUUUUAAAUUUAAUUCCACCAUAGAUUGGUUAGUUGUGUUGAUAAAGACUCUUGAAGUUGAAGGAAACCUACCACCACUCACAUCUUAUAUGAUUAUUUUUUUAGAAUAAAAGGUGUACAAUCACCCUAACUUUCUUUUGAUAUCAAAGUUUACAAGUAUUUCAAAGCAAUGGUGGAAAGUGGAGGCACCAAUUUUAAAAAGACUUCACAUCCUUUUCCUCCUUUUUUAUUUUCUCAUGCCCAACACAAUAUUCUCCACAAUAAAUAAAAUAAUGUUCAUAUUCAAAUUCAUAAUAAUAAUUUCUUUUUUCAUCCUUUUCCCAUGGUGGAGGAAAAAUUGAGCUUCCCAAUAUUUUCCUAGAAAGCACCAAGAAAUUAAUUGAAUCUCUGUGUAUAUUUGUAUCAUUAAUUCUAUUUUAAUUAAUAAUAAUUGUGUUCCACUUUGUGUUAAUUUAAUAUGACCUCUCCUUAAUUUCUUACCAUGGAAAAACAAUUGCCCCCACCAACCAAUCAAAUUGAAAAUUUCUUAGUGAUGUCAUCAAAGAUGGUCACAAAGAAUACUGAUCUUCCAUUCCAAUUAAUGUAAUCAAAAUUGAAAAAUUCAUAUGAUGAUAAUCUCUUAAUUCAUUUUAUUAAUCUUUUUUUCUUUUUUUUUCUUUUUUCUUUUUUAACAAAAAAAAAAAAAAAAAAACCCAACAAGUUAUAAAAUUACUCAUAAAUUGAUUAGUUUAUUUCAUCAAGUAGACAAAACCCAUAUAGUGGGGCUUCUCUAUUUUGACUGUGGAAGUCAAAAUCCAGGACACAAUUAAGAUGACAAUCUAGAAAGUUGAGGCUGGAGUGAAGCUUCAUCUUGGAAUUUUUUUAAUGGAUAAGGAGCCAUGUUUUCUACAGGGCCUGCCAUAGAAAAUUCCAUUGCACAAAAAGUUGACUAACUCUUAAUCUUUUGUUUUUUGGCCUUCUUUUCCAAUCUUCACCUCAUUCUUUCCCAUUAGGUUUGUAAGCCCUAUUUGGCCUUUUGUCCCAAAUGUUAAUGUAUUUUGAAUGUUUUAUUGCUAUUAGUUUUGUAAAUUAAGCCUUAUCAUUUUUAAAUAAUUGGUUUAAAAGGAUAAAAUUAUCCUCAUAUUUAUGAAUUUAUCCCCUCUUAAAUCCAUUUUGACAUAAAUAUCCUUGAUUAUUUUAUGUAUUUAUAGUAUAUUUUAAAAGAAAAAAAAUUAAUUUUAUAAAAAGAAAUAAUGACAUUUUUGUCAAAAUAAGACAAAAAAAAAAUGAAAAGUUUGAUUUUUAAUUAAUUUUAAUAAUCCUUUUAAUUAAAUAAUUUUAUUAUAUUAAAGUCUAAAUAAAGAAAAUAAAGGCGUCUUGUCGCUAUCUUCUCUGUCCGUCUCUCUCUUAACCUUUAAGCAAAGAAUAGAUCACACUUUGAGUCUAUCCAAUUGAGCAAACUCUUAGGAUCAUAUCAUCAACAUUGUCAAAAUAAUAAUAAUUCCCCAUACCCAUUGAUUAAAUUUAAUAAUUCAUAUUACUAUGUCAUUAAAAUUGUCACAAUAUAAUAACACUCAUAGUCUAUCAUUCUUUAUUUGACUAGAAAUAAGGGUGUGAUCAUUUCAUCUCGAAACCAUUUAGUACUUAAAUAAGAAUAUAUUAAUUUUUUUAAUAAUCUUUGUCAUCAAUAUCAUUUAAAUAAUCCAAUUUUUAUUAUAGGUCAAGUUAAAUAUCAUAAAAAAACUUUUAUUUACCUUCCUUAAACAUCAAUUGAUAUUAUUAAUAUGAAACUAUAAAAACAUUAUUUCAGAAUAUUACAUAUUCACAAUUUAUAGAAGUAUAGUGGGGAGAGCCGGUCAAACAAAUAUUCCCUGUUUAUAAUGUUUCUUCUCUAUAUUUAAUGGCACAAGAAGUUGAGUAGCUCUUAUUUGUAAUUUGUCGUUUUCCUUCCUAAAAAAUUUCCUUUUACACUCUUUAUCUCAUUCUUUCCCAAUAGGUUGAGUCUAAAUAUCUUGUUUGAUCUUUUGUCCAAACAAUUGAAAGUUCAAAACCCAUGAAUUAGGGUUUAGAUAAAAAAAAAUUAAAUAAACAAAUGAAGGUAACCUAAAUUCAACACCUAUCAUAUUCAUCUAGUAGUUCUUGGAUCAAAUUCAACUCAAGUGUGGAUGGAAUAAUGCAGUCAACUUUGAAUCAUGCAAUCACCUUAACAAUCCUGCCCAUCAAAUCUGUUGAAAUUAGUUGCCACGUGCAUGCUUAUGAUGUAUGCAAUUCUAUAUAUGUUCCCAUAAUGUCUGGUCAUCAACUUAAUUACAAUAUAACCCACCAAGACAUUUGAGGCCUCAUAAUUAGGAUUAGCUACUCAUAAAACAUAAAAUAUUGGGUGAUUAAUUAGUCGGUUUUCGUCACCUUCCAAACUUUACCCUAAGCUGCUCAUUAAACUAGUCCCCUGUCUUCCCAAGUUUAAUUUACACAAUCUUUUACUUAGGUUAAUAAUCUUAGUAGCUUUUAUUUCAAAGAAAAGUUGGUCUUCUUUGGCUCUCUAAAUUCUUUGCUUCGUGCCUUUUUAACCAGUCUCAAAGUUACAUACAAUCUUAUCAUUAGAUGCCUUGUUUUAUUUAUUUUGAUGGAGGAGUCUCUACUUCUUUGACUCUUCUUUUUGACUAAGACCCCAGACAGCCAUGUUGGAGGUGGAAUAUGGAUUGGAAAAUGUCCACAUACCUAGAGUCCUAUAAUAUAAUGUAUACUAAUGAGCGUGAUCAUGAUCAUGGACCCAAGAGAGAAUAUUCAACUCACGACGUUAUUCUUUUUCCAUUUUUAAUAGCUGAUCUUUGUUGAACUUGGUCUUUGUACUGUUCAGGGAUUUUCCUUUUUCCGCUCUUUCACACACAUGGAGCCACAUUCAGGUAUUGUUUGGGGAAAAGACAGAUCUAAUGGCAUAUUUUUUUUAGCAGUAUAUGAUACUAUAAACUAACUAGGGUAUGUGCCAUGUCUGGAAUUCCUCAAUAGAAUCAUAUUUGUUUAACUGAUUCGUACCUGCAUAACCUUCUUAGGGAAAAUAAAAUCGGCCAUGGAAAGCAUACAUACAUAUAUAACAAAAAAGAUUGUACGUGGAUCCAGCAGAUGUUGUUGGGUCUACUGCAUAUGUUGUUAAUGGAAGAAAGCAGUUGUUUUGGUCAACCAUGCCUGCUUUCACCAAUAUCAACUUACAAGAUCAUAAUGGGAACUCAGCUUUAUCUAUCGUUAUCUUCGAGUGACACCCUAUUGAAAUUGAGUGCAACUCGCUUGCUAGCAAUUGGUGUUUGUAGGCGCACUGGGCGGUGUUCACAUCGUGCCAAAACCUAGUCAACUCAAACCAUAUAUAAAUAAAAAUCGUGUUAAACAUGUAAAUCAAAAUACUAUUUAAUCAUUAAAUAAGUGACACGUAUCUUAUGCAUUUCAUUUAACCUAUUUAAUAAUCAAGUUGAAAUAGGUCUUAUAUAAUUUUAAUCAAACAUAUUUAUGACUCAAUUGAUUUAUUUAUUUAAAAAUAAAUUUAAAAUAAGUUAAAGAUGAGUUAAAUAAUUUAAAGUUAUCAUUAGUUAAUUAAUCGGAUUAUUAAAUGUGUCAAUUAAGUCAAAUUUAUGUCAUAUGGUUUGACCCAAAUUACCUAUUUAUUAAAUGACUUAUGCAGGUUAACAUGAAUUUAAUCAAAAUCUGAUUAUACUCAAUUUAAGCCUUAAAAAAUGUGUUGGGUUUAAGUCAUGUUAAUGGAUCCCAUCAAAGUUUGUCACCUUUAAUAAUAUAUAUGGAGGUGAGGAUUUACUUAAUAAAUUAUAUACAUUAAUAUUAGUAUAGUUAUGAUUAAGCCAUGUAUCAAAUUCUCAAAAGUUAGCUCAGUUUGAUCAUUAGCAUUAUUACUCAUUUUUUUAUUAGAUUAAAGUUUAUUUGACAGUGCUUUUAAAAAAUACCUUUAAUAUAAAAACGUUUUUGAAAAACAAAAAAUUAGAUGUUUUAUAAAAUUAAAAAAAAACAAUAUUAAACAAUUAAAAAAAUCACUCAUUAUGCUUCUUGAAGAAGCAUUUGAUUGGUAAUUCUCUCAUAACAUUUAUAAAAAAAAUACUUCCACUAAAAUCUCUUUUAAUACAAACACUAUAGAGGCAAUUUUCAUGAUAGAAAUAUAUUCAUUUGUGGCUUGUAGCAACCUUACCAUAACAUGGGGGUCAUUAAUUAAGAACUUUAUGAACCCAUUACGGAUCCGUCCCUAGUGUUGCUAGGAGGAAGACCUAGCCCCCACCACCAACUACCUCAAUUUAUGUAUAUAAAUUUUAAGACUUAAAUGAUUAUAUUAGUUUAUAUCUAAUUUUAAAAUUAGAAAAUUAAAAAAAAAUUAAUGCUGCGUUUGAAAGUAGUUUUUUACAAAGUGUUUUUAGUUGAAAUAUUUUCUUUAAAAGUGUUUUUAGGAGAAUUACUUAUGAAGCAUUUCUUAAAAAAACACUAUAAAUAAUUUUUUAAAACUAUAAAUGAUUUUUUAGAUUUUUGAAAAUAUUUAUUAAAUUUUGUUAAUUAUUAUUAUUAUUUUAAAAAAAAUACUUUGUAAGCUAAAAACACUUCUUAAAAUCACUAUCAAAGCAACUUUAAGAAGGGGCUAACAACUAGUGUACCUAAUAGGCAUCCCAACUUGCUUAGUUUAAGAUGGAGAAUGUAAUGAAAAUGAAAAAAAAAAAAAAAAAAAGGUUCCUUGUAUGAAAAAAUCAACAAAAUUAUGGUGGUGGUUACAAAGGCUUAGUAGUCUCCUUAACAAGUCCCCUCAAUUAAAAUCUCAGUAGUACUUCUCUUUUCACCAUUUUUUUUCCCUAACACAUCCUCCAACUGAAGUCUCAGCCCCCCUCAGACAAAAAAUGUUUAGUUGAGAUGCGAAAGGCUCAACUUUUGCAAACCUCGAAAAGAGAAGACAAAAGACUUGUUGUGUUGGCACCUAACUUUUGGGACUUCUUCUUUAAGCCUCAAUUGGACUUGGACUAGGAAUAUAAUUCUACAAGGAUGACUGGUGGGGUGUGUGUUACUGAAUUUUUUUUCUUUUUGGAUCGAGCUGUGUUGGUGGGCUUCUCCUUACACCACCCGGCCUGAAUGCUUUCAUGGACCUAUGUUGGUUAUCUUUUCUUUUUGGGUUUCUAUUGGAGCCCAAAUGACUUAAUUUCUGUUUUGGAAGAAUUUUGAAAAUCCGUUUUAAAAAACAACUAAAAACAAUUUAAAAUGUUCUUGGAAAACACUAUAUUUUUGUCUUCAAAAAUGGAAAAUUGUUUUCUAUUUUAUGUUUCUUCUUAUUUGAUAUAUUUAAUAAAAGAUGUUUGAAAACUAAUAAUUUGAAGAAAAAAAAUGAAGUUUUGACAUAUUUUCAAAUAUCUCAAAAUAUAAUAAGUUAUUUGUACUUAUUUUAUAUAAUUAAGAUAAAACAUUUAACAACUAUUAAAAUGCAAAGAAAAUAUUAAAAAAUUCAUCUAACUUAAAUUUUCUAAGAUGUGCUUUUUUUGUGGUGCAUCGUUAAAUUUACAAAAAGUUAUGACUUAAGAAUUAUGAUUAUGAUUGAAAUGUGUGUUUAAUUAUUCAAAGUUAUGACUUUCGAAUCAAUUAUGAUUGAAAUGUGUGUUCAAUUGUACAACGAAUUCCCAAUUUAGGGAAGAAUAUUAAAUUUUAAUUGAAAUUGUUAGAUUUAAUGGGUACUUAGAUGAGCCUGAUUUAUCUUUUAGAAUCAUAAUUAGAGAAAUUUCAUUAAAAUUAAUUAUAGUUAUUUAUUUUGAUUUUCUAUAAGGAGUUACAUUUUGAAAAAUUACACUAAAUUCAUUUUUAAUCCAAAUUUUACAAGUUUUACGUUCUUUUCAUUUUUGAAUGAAUCUACCAAAAUUCAUCUUAAUUUCAUUAAGAUUGGAUGAGUUAUAAGGAAAAAAAUAUAUUGAUAGCUUAUAUAUGGUUUGUGGAUGAAUUUCAACUAUAGAUUACACUUCGGGAGGAAUAGGAGUUUUUCAUCAAGUUGAAAAAGUCUUCUAAGAAAGAUUGUCCGUCCUCUAAAGCAUUUUUCACCAUUUACAAUUUUUUUUGUUUUGUUCUUUUUAGCAAAUAAGCCAAACCACAUGCAAGAAGGAAUGCAUCAACACUCUUUCAACAAGUAAAUCAACAUAACUUACAUAUAAAUAGCAAUACUCCUUGAUUAAGAAUUACAUUAACUUUCAACUACAUAAUUCACAAAAGUAAAUAUCCUUCACUGAAAAUUAUUUCAAACCAUUUCAAAGAUUAAUUAAGCAUAUUUCAACUCAAAUUCUCCUCUAAUAUACUAAUUAAAACAAUAUAAUUUUAUUAAUAUAAGAUAAAUAUAAGGAAAUUAACUAAAGAAGAGAUAAAAUACUUGGGGCCUACAAGUGAUUAAAAAAACAUCUACUAUGAAGAACAAAAUUUAAAUAUAAAGUUUUAUCUAGCUCAAGUCUAUUAAUCUUUCUUGAGCCACUUGACUAGUAUCUUUCCAUUUUAACUACUUGUCUUUUUCUUCCAAAGUAUACUUGGAUUCCAUACCAAAAUCGAUCUUGAUAUCUUCUUGAAUCCACAUAAGUUCUUUAAUUAUUCUAAUCUUAAUUUAUGUGGAUGAUGUUAUUAUAAUAGAUAGAAACCCUUGCUAUAAUCCAAUGGAUUAUUAUCACUCUUAGCUCCAAAUUUGCUCUAAAGGACCUUGGCUAGUUGAAAUAUUUCUCGGGAAUUGAAGUUAACAUCACACCUUGGUUGGUACUCUCCCAUAUUUGACAUUCACUAGACCAGAUAUCACUCACGCAAUUAACGAAGUGUGCCAAGGUCUCCAACAACCAAGGCAAAUUUCAAGGUUGUGAAAUGAAAUCUACAUUGUUGAUCAAUUGUUAACUAAGAAAUGAAUAAUAAUUUUUAGGAGAGAGGCACUAUCAAAAAAAAAAAAAAAAAAAACAAAAUCAAUGUCAAACUUAUUUGGGUUUAAAGAGGAUUUGGUUGAUUAUAAUUCAUGUGUAACUGCACUUCCUUUGUCACUACCACCAUGUGACUCCAUAUAGUGUUUGGGAGAGUUAGAUCUUGGAAUUGGGCGUUUGCAAAAAUAGCCCGAAGGUCAAAAGCAGUUCAGGGUUGUGAUCAUAGGGUAUGGGUUAGAGAAACAAGAUGAUUGCUUUUAAAGUUUAAACUGAAAAUGUAGCGAUUCCCGAAUUUAAUAAAAUGUAGAAGUGUAGAAAAAAGGAAAACGAAACCAUGGAUUCAUGCCUCUACAUGAACUAAGCUUAGACAUGUUGACUAAUCAAACUCUAAUAUUGAUUUUACACCUGAGGCGCAUAUUUAUAGACUUUGAAGGCUUUCAUAUUUAGUUUCAACAAGGUACUUUUUGAAGAUGCAUUAAACCGUUUCUUUAUCUAAUGCAUUACUUCACCCACACUGAGUCUGUUGGUAGCAGUAGUAUUUAGUUUUGUGGGGUAUUAUUUGAGAUCUACUUGAGCAUUGAAUAAAAUUAGACUAAAAUGUUGUCUUCCCUUCCAGGUAUACUGCAGAGAACUCUGUAAAAUUUGGAGCUCCUCGAGAUAUGGCUUUGUGAUCCAUAUCUCAUGAAGCACAAUAGGGCUCUUUUGUUACUAAGUAGUGAUUUUGGCACUACAGUGCUCUUCAAUUUCUCUCUUAAUUUUUCAAUUUACAUGAAUGUGGAAACUUUUACACAUCAAUCAUUUGCUACAAUAAUAAUCAUGUAAAUUUGGUAUACUUUUCCCAUUCUCUAUAAUUGAUUAGCUUAGGAGCUGUAUGGAGAGGAAAAUGACAUGGGUCGGUGUUUGACAAUAACAGGAAACCUCUGACUCUUGGCAUUAAAAUGAGCUAAAGAUGGGUUUGGAAACCACUUUCAAAUGAAAAUUGACAUGCAUAAUUUUUUGUGUGUUUGACACAAUAAAAAUUACUUAACCAGAAAUGAAAUAGCGAGACCAAAGGGAAAGGGCUUGAGCGUCCUUGAUUCAAAGUCUCUAUAUCCCAAAGGGGAAGCAACUGAGCUUGAUAGCUGCCAUCAAGACAGAAUGACUCUUUGCACGAUUCUAUUGAAGAAGCUGAUUUUCCUACACGUUCAGCAUCGGUUCAUUCCGUACUGCUCACUAUAAGUACCUUUUGCCCUUAUUGAGGAGAGGGAGGCUUGUGCCAACCACUGCCCUUAGUCUCCCUGCCUCUGACCUCACUAUAUCGAGGAGUGACUUUGUCACAUGGCUUCAGAUGGAAUUACAGCACAGUAUUGGAAUUAGUAUUCAAAUGGCUACCCUAUGGAGAGUUUUUUAGGCCUCAAUCUUAACAGUAUAGGUUGACCACUCGGAAACUGGGACCACAACCUAGCCUAGGCUUGAUCCAGGCACUGCUUAGAGACACAUUUCACUUAACUUCUUUGAUCUGUUACUUGUAUUUAUUGUGACACUUAGUUGCUUCUUGUUUAUCUGAUCCAGGAAGCUUGUUUUAUCAAAGAAUGAGACCUUUCGAUGUUUAUGGAUGAAUUCCUCUUGUCAGCAUUGGUUCUUUAAUAUUCACCAAAAAGUGAACAAGCUUGGAGCCUUAGGUAGAUAUUUUACAAAGCCUUCUGUACUGUUAUCUUAUGCUAAGUACUGAAUAUAAAUGUUGUUAAGGGUACCACCAGUGACAUGCAGAUGCAAUGUUGAUCAUGGAUCUGUAUAAUUGGUCCACUUUUCCCAUUCUCUAUAAUUGAUUGACUUAGGAGCUGUAUGGAGAGGAAAAUGACAUGCAUAAUUUUUAGUGGAUUCAUGCUUCAAUCUUAACAAUACAGGUUGACCACAACCUAGCCUAAGCUUGAUCCAGGCACUACUUAGAGACAAGUAUUUAUUGUGACACUCAGUUGCAUCUUGUUUAGCUGAUCCAGGAAGCUUGCUUUAUCAAAGAAGCAAGACCUUUCGAUGUUUAUGGAUGAAUUCCUCUUGGCAGCAUUGGUUCUUUAAUAUUCACCAAAAAGUGAACAGGCUUGGAGCCAUAGGUAGAUAUUUUAGAAAGCCUUCUGUACUGUUGUCUUAUGCUGAGUACCACCAGUGACAUGCAGAUGCAAUGUUGAUUAUGAGAACACCAAUGGCAUAGUACAUCAACGGAUAUUUGAGUUGGCUUAUAAAAUAGGAAAGAAUUUAUUCCUUCCAUUUGUAUCAGCACGACUCAAUUGAUUAGCUAAAACUUAAGCUAAAUUUGUUGACUUAUCUUCCAUUUUCUACCCAUCUUUCUAUAUAUAUUUUGCACAUCAACGUUAAUUUAAUAAGGUCCUGCUAUUGUUUUAUUCUCUUGUGUUGAAUUUUGACUUAGUAUUUGCUGGAAUUUGAAUUUUGAAUAUUGCAGCUGGAGUCUUGCACAAAAUCUGCAACAUCUAGAUAUUUUCUUAUUUUUAUUUGGUCAAGAUUUGGUUUCUAUUUUAUAGGAAGUAGUUGUUCAUCAUCUAUUAGCUUGAUUUUCUGCUAUUCUAAUGUCAUUUAAGUUACAAGUUCAUGUAUAAAUUCAGCAUUCUUCAUCAAUAAGAUCAGAGCUCCGGCAGCCCAAAAAUAUAUAUUCUGUAUAAGUAUUUAAUCUUAUACCAACAAAGUGGUAUCAGAGCCAUAGUUAUCUUGAGGGGCCAGUGAGGUGAGUGAACCCAAACACCUUCUAAAAUCAUUUAGCAAUGGAAGAGUCAAGUCUCACAGUUGCACCAUCAAUUCUUGAUGGAGACAAUUAUGAAACUUGGGCUGUUAGAAUGACAGUUCAUCUACAAGCACUUGAUGUUUGGGAAGCAGUGGAAGAAAAUUAUGAAGUUCCUCCCCUGGGAGCCAAUCCAACUGUGGCUCAAAUGAAGUUGCAUAAAGAAAGAAGGACAAGAAAGGCUAAAGCGAAAGCUUGCUUGUUUGCUGCAGUUUCACCAUCAAUUUUCAUCAAAAUCAUGAAAAUUGAUUCAGCUGCAGAAAUUUGGGAGUAUCUCAAGGAGGAAUACAAAGGAGAUGAAAGAAUCAAGAACAUGCAGGUGAUGAACUUGAUUCGAGAAUUUGAAAUGAAGAAAAUGAGGGAGUCUGAUGCUGUUAAAGACUAUGCUGCACAACUUCUUUCAAUAGCAGACAAAGUUAGGCUGCUUGGAAAAGAAUUUUCCAAUGAGAAGAUUGUUCAAAAGAUAUUGGUUACACUUCCUGAGAAAUAUGAAGCUACAAUUUCCUCUUUGGAGAAUUCAAAAGAUCUGUCAACUAUUAGCUUGACAGAAUUAUUACAUUCCUUGGAGGCUGUGGAACAAAGAAGACUCAUGAGACAAGGAGAUACUGCAGAAGGAGCAUUUCAAGCAAGAAUGCAGAAAAAUGCAGGCCAUAAAAAUGGAAAGGUGAACAACAACAAGUCGUGUGGCAACAACCAGAAAAAUGGAAUUUUUCCACCUUGUCCUCAUUGCAAGAAGACAAAUCAUUCUCCACAAAAAUGUUGGUGGAGACCAGAUGUGAAAUGCAACAAGUGUGGUAAACAAGGACAUGUGGAGAGGAUUUGCAAAAAUCAACAGCAGGAAGAAACUAAUGCAGUAGUUGACUAUUGUCAGGAGGAGCAAUUGUUUGCAGCAACGUGUUUUGCUAAUAAAAGCACCUCUAAAAGCUGGCUUGUGGAUAGUGGUUGUACAAACCACAUGACAAAUAAUCAAGAUCUCUUUAGAGAACUUGAUAGAACAACUAUUUCCAAAGUCAGAAUUGGAAAUGGUGAGUAUAUUCCAGUGAAGGGCAAAGGAACGGUUGCUAUCGAAAGCCAAACAGGUUUGAAACUCAUUUAUGAUGUUUUGUUUGUGCCUGACAUUGACCAAAACUUACUCAGUGUUGGACAGCUCAUUGAGAAAGAAUUUAAAGUUUAUUUUGAAGAUAGGAAUUGCAUUAUCAAGGAUGCUGAAGGCAAAGAGGUGUUCAACAUAAAAAUGAAGGGCAAGAGUUUUGCCUUGAAUUUACUGGAAGAUGAGCAUACUGCUAUUUUACAACAAGAUAGCACAACAAUGUUUUGGGACAGAAGGGUCGAGCACUUUCAUCAUGAUGAUGUGCUUUACAUGAAGAAAAAUCAAAUAGUUGAAGGACUUCCUGACUUAGAAAAAGAUCUUCCUAUAUGUGCUACUUGUCAAUAUGGGAAGCAAACUAAACUUCCCUUUCCAAAGAAAAUAUCCUGGAGAGCAACCCAAAAACUGCAACUGGUGCAUACUGAUGUUGGUGGAUCUCAAAAAAUGCCAUCCUUGAAAUGGAAUGCAAACAACGUUUGGUGGAUCUCAAAAAAUGCCAUCCUUGAAAUGGAAUGCAAACAAUUUUGGGCUAAAACUGCAAGAAGAGCAGUAUAUUUUCUGAACAUAUUGCCAACAAAAGUGUUAAAGAAGCAGACCCCUUUCGAAGUUUGGUUUGAGUGUCUAUGUGCAAGACUUGGAGUUUGCAUCUACGAAGUCAAGGAGGAGUGUUGAAUUUUGACUUAGUAUUUGCUGGAAUUUGAAUUUUGAAUAUUGCAGCUGGAGUCUUGCACAAAAUCUGCAACAUCUAGAUAUUUUCUUAUUUUUAUUUGGUCAAGAUUUGGUUUCUAUUUUAUAGGAAGUAGUUGUUCAUCAUCUAUUAGCUUGAUUUUCUGCUAUUCUAAUGUCAUUUAAGUUACAAGUUCAUGUAUAAAUUCAGCAUUCUUCAUCAAUAAGAUCAGAGCUCCGGCAGCCCAAAAAUAUAUAUUCUGUAUAAGUAUUUAAUCUUAUACCAACAUCUUGCACAAACUAUUCUUCAAAAUACUUUACAAUGGCAUAGAUAAACUUGUCAUUUGCUUAACAUUGUUCAAAGGGCUUGACAUUGCUCAACAUUAUUUGAGCUUUUCUCCUACAGAUGCUUCAAUGGCAUGGCAAUGCAACCAGCCUUCAGGCAAUGGCACCCACUUACAUACUCUGCAAGAGCCCACAAUGGAAAAAUAUUCCUAUAAUCUGCACAGUGUAACAUGCAGUUAUUCAUGAAGGCUCCAGUGAUUUCCUGCCAUAGAUAAUUGAUGAUCAAAUGGUUAGACUACCACCCAGUAUAUAUAGUCAGCUACGAAAGAACAUCAUUUUCCAUUUCCCAAAACCAUGUUAAAAUGUUAUUCCUUUUGUUUUUAAUUCAUGUUCAAGUGUGCUACCUGUUGGGGAAAAUCACCAUCUUCCAUUUGGGAAUUAAUCAACAACUUUGCAGCCCUGUGAAGAGGUGUUGGGUCUCUCUCAGCCUGUUAGAAAGGAAAGGUUAGACUCAGAUGUUUGGGGAGAAGCCAUAUUGUGAAAAUAAUGUAGAUGACCAAGUUAAGCUUAGUGAUGAUGAAACUGUAUAAAAUAACCUGCCCAGAAGAAAGCAGCCCCAUCAGAGCCCACCCAGUUUGUACCAGAUUUGACUUGUUUCCUUCAAGAGGUGUAUAUUUCUGUAUCACCAAGCACAAGGAUUACUUUUUUUUUGUCCAUGUUUCUAUCAGAAAACAGAGAGCAGUGGGUGGCAUGUAAAAAUUACCUUGUCCCGGCAAGAAAUAUAGCUCUCUCCCCAACCACCAUCAUCUCUUUGUGAUUUGAGUAGAAACUCAACAGCUCUACCAAUAGCAAGACAGUUGUGGUAAGUCUUGCCAGCAGCUGCUAGGCCUCCAAGUGCCCACCAUGAGCUAUAGAUGAAACAUACUCCCCACUUGCCAUACCUGGUGAAAUGCUUCUUUGUUUAAAUGGAUCUGCACUGCAUAUAUAAAAAAAUAAUUCCCCAGUGAAAUAGUAAUAGUGGAUUUGAGAAACAAACCAUGAGCCAUCAGGCAUUUGUUGGUCUUCAAUGUACUUGGUAGCAUUUGUGAUGAAAUUGUCUAUCUCCUCCGUCCUGUGUUCGGGGUAUAACUUCUUAAACAAAACUAGAGCCUGAAUUGCUGAUGCAGUGCACUCAACAUACCUGGAUCAUCGUUUUGUUAGUCUCCAAGGAAGUUAAAUCUAGUAGAGUUAGAAAAGAAGGUCUAUUAUCAAGAAUCUUACUCAUGCUCGAUGACAAGGUCUUCAAACAUUUCACUGGGGUUGAGCAGCUGAAAAGAGAAGGGAUUGGCAUUGAUUUAGAUUCAAAGGAUACAGAGAGAGAGAGAGAGAGAGAGAGAGAAAACGGAAACAUUGAAGUUAUUUAAACAUGUUGAAGUAAUUUACCUCCAACCAUUCUGAAGCUCCUGCAGGCUCCCAGCCUACUAUACCACCAUUUUCACUCUACAGUGGUUUCGAAAAGAGGGGUUAUUGCUACUAAGAAGUUAUGACUUGUUUUGUGAUGGGGGAAACCAUGCAAAUGGCCCAAGGAAGAUGGUUCUCACCUGUAGGGAAAGCAGGAUGUUGACAGAAUCAAAUAGCCGUCCAGGUUCGAUCUUCAUACCAACAAUUUCUGGUGCCAUCAUUGAAAAGAGGAGACAACACUGUAACAGAGAGGGGACUUUAGUGAGAAACCAAGUGACUUUAGUUAAUUUGCAAGCCCUGACUCAAUUGAAGUGUUUGAGCAGAAAGAGUUACCUUCAAACCUUCUGCAGUGCAAUCAGAAACUUGCCAACCAUGAUCCUUAUCUGAGAAUGUCCACGAUCCUUUGGAAAUGUGGCGGUACAUGCUUUUAAAGUCACCGGAAGGAUUGUCCUUGACCUUCAAGAUUUCAAGCAAUACGAAGUAAAUGGACCAUGAGAAACCAAAGUAGAUUCUGGUUAAAGUAAAGCCAUAAACAAUGGAAUUCAAGAUCAAACCUGAGAUUCCUUUAGGAAUUCAUGGCCUUUCUUUAGCGUAGGUCCAAUUUCAUUGGUCAUAUUGCAAGCUAGCAGUGCUUGAAGGGCAAGACUAGUGUCCCACUCUUGACUACCAAAGGUCUGCAACAAUCGACAAUUUCAAAACCAAUUAGGCAGGAAAGGGACAAAAGCAUAGCUUCAAACCAAUUGCGUACUUGAAAAAUUUUAAGAAAAAGAUGACUGGAUAUUAUCUAUUUUUUCUACAACUGUUUGGGAGAUUAGUGAUUGAACUUGUUUUCUGACCUGCAUCUUUAUUCCAUCUUCUCCAACCCAUAUAUAAUCUGGAAUCCUAGCAAGGUGCUUCUUGAAAUAAUCCCCGUUUGGAUCUUCAACCCAACAUGAAAGCAUACACAACACCUAUUCAAUUUAAGCCAUAUUAGCACCCCAAAGAAGAGAUAUACUGUCUGAAUAGACAUUAUCCAUUGCAGAAAAAUUACCUUCUCCACACAUCCAAUGGUAAUGUAUCGACUGUUUUCAUCUUCAUAAUGGAUGUGUUUCAUUGUUACUUCAAGAGCCUUCUUUCUCAACUUGUUGAAGGGCCAACGAGUAAGAAGAGGCUCGGUACAUAUGUACAAACUAUCCCACAUCAUAUCUUGUAUUAGGGGGUGGGGGUAGUAGAGAUCCUCCUGCAAUAAACAAUUUUGAAAGUGUGUUUCAUGCAUGCGUAGCAUAUUCAUCGGAAAAGGAAAAGUGUUCCAUACAAAAUCAAAACUUACUUUUGCACAAAGAUGCCGUACUUUCUUCCAGUUGAUUUCAUUAUAUGGUUGAAGGAAGAGCUCUUCUCUCAGUUCUAGAACAAGAGGCGUGAUUGGGCCAACGAAUCGUUUACCAUAUAGGUAUGACAUGGGCAUGAAAAUCAACCGACUGUAGCACCAAAUUUUUGCUGCAUUGAUCGUCUCAAAUUAUAAGAAGCUAGACCAAAGAUAGGAAAGUGUAAGCUAAACCAAAGUAGACAUGGGAAUGGCAUUUCUUAAGACUAAUAAACCAUCCCCAGGUUGAAUUUGUAAGUAUUCAUGCGUGAUUUUAUAUUUGUAUAAGGCUGAAGUUACACAACUUUGGGCUUAGCAUUUUGAGUCAGUGUGACCAAUUCCAAGUUUUAUGCAAGAUGGCCUUAGGAUGUAAAAUGCAUUAAGUGCAGAAGUAGAUGUUAAAUUCAAGCACUUGAGUAGAUUGCUACACCACAAACCUGGAUUCAUAGGAAGAUGAGAGGGGAAGAGUGAAAACUCUGGGGGCAUUGGGUUGCUUCCUGACCAGUCAAACAAGCCAAAAAUCUACACGGAAGAAACAAUAUCAUAUAAGAUUCAGUCCAUCACACAAGAAUGCAUUGUAUAGGAUGAAUGUGAACUUGUGUUUGAAAUGGCCAUACUGAAAGCCAAAUCUUUCCCCAAGUGGGAAUGGAUGUCACUCCACCACGAUUGAGGAUCCAUUUACGCCCUCUUGCACAAGCAUUGUCUCUACCACCAUCGCGCCCUUCUCCAAGGAUACGCAUACAAACGUAGCUGAGUGUUGUACAAAACAUGAUGCUGUGUUCCUCAAUAUGCAAUCCCCACCCACCAUCUUCAUUCUGCAAUGUACAUAAGCCAUUUUCAUACUUCAAAGCUCCAAGCUCAUUUAUGAUGUUAGGAUGAUGACUAGGUUCAAAAUAUAUAUACCUGAUGACAGUAUAGGUAGCGAAGAAUUUCUUUACGAUAUUCUCCAGGGAAUACAGUGUCAAGAUGCCCUGUAAUGUAUAGACACAUGACCUGCAUUUUCCAUGAAAUUAUUCCAUUGAGAAUGGCUAUUAAAAUGGUCUAUAUACAUGAUUUUAAGGAGGGUGAGAAGAUGUUAAGUAGACUCACCAGGGGAGGAAGGAAAAACAAGGGGCCGGAAUGUUCAGCAGGCCAAUGGCCAUCACUUGCCUGCAAGGCUGAAAAGAAAUGUGCACCCCUUCUCACUGCUGUUGUGGCUGUCUCUUCUGCAAUUUCUUCACCAUCCCCAACCUUCACUUGUGGUAUUGUUUGUUUGAAAUUUUUCUCUCUCAAAAACUGUAGUUUUUUUUUUGCCCAAAUGAAAUGCGAGUUAGUGAAGAACAAGUUUAAAAGAAAAGGUAAAUUAACCUCAAAAGUAAGCAUCUAUUUAUACAAUUGUUCCAAGCUAAGAGAACCAAGAUAGAGUUACAAUUGUUAAAACACAUAAUAUAUAUUUUGGGUCCAAAUACUACAAACUUAACCUUUUAGGAAAUUAGUUGUUCAACAUGGUAUCAAAACUCGAUUUUGGAAUGGGUCUUACCCUCUCCUUGUCCAACAAUCUGGUUGAUGGUGUCUCAACAAGCUCAAAAGAAAAGAAAAGAAAAGGCAAAUUAACCUCAAUAGUAAGCAUCUAUUUAUAUAAUUGUCCCAAGCUAAGAGAAUCAAGAUAGAGUUAACAAUUGUUAAAGCACAUAAUAUAUAUUUUGGGUUCAAAUCCUACAAACUCAACCUUUUAGGAAAUUAGUUGUUCAAUAUAGUAUCAAAACUCGGUUUUGGAAUUGGUCUCACUUCUCAUUAUCCGACAAUUUGGUCGAUGGUCUCUUAACCUAGGGCAUGGUGUAUGAGGGGAAUAUUGUUGGGUUUUCCAUAUCUUUUAUAGAAGGAAUUGGGUGACUCCUUAUCAGUACUGUGAGGGGAAAAUCUCACCCUUUAAGUUAAUUUUUGGGGUGGGAAGGCCCAAAAUCAUCCAAUGGUAGUAUCCCCAAUAUAUUUUUUCUUUUUUACUUCAUGAUAUCAUAAUUAACCUCAUUUAGUGGGAGGUGAACGUCAUAUGGUGGCCUGAAAAUACAUGUUUGAAGUCAAGUGGUUUCAAUACAUGUUUCUUUUCCCAAUACAUCAAGUUCGCAUGCAAGCCUGGAAAUAGAAGCUGCACAUGUAAGAGGGAGAGAGAGUGAGAGAUUAUGGUUGUUUGGUGGUGAAAACAUGAUUCUAAAGAGGGCCCCAUAUCUUGCGAUUUUUUGGGUUCCUUUUUUCAUAGAAAUCAUCACCCAUAAUCAAAUAAAUGGAAACAAAACAAGAAAAGCUAUGUAGCUAGACUACGUAAAACAACAAGUAUGUAUGCAUGGAAGACACGUAUAGUCAGUGAAAAACUGCAAUCUAGGACGCAGAUGACAGAUCAAUAUCUGUUGUGAUAUCAAGACUUGAGAUAGAUGGGAUCAAAUCACCUGCAUCCGCCAAAGGAGGUCGCUGCUGGGCUUAACCUGAAACCGGUUUUUCCAGAAAUUUUCACGAGCUGCUUCGACCUCAGCUCGCUCUUCUGGGGUUCCAUAAUCAGGAUCAAACUCCCAUAUCUGUCUUCCCACGAAGUUGUUGGUGCUGUAGAUGUAGGGAUCAUUGCCUCCAUCUGCAACCUUGAGCCUCCACAUUUUCAAACUCACCAAACUGACGAGAUAUAUCUCUAUAUAUAUCUAAGUUUACAAAUAUGUGUGUCUCCCUUCCGAAAACACCUGCUGAUCAUGCAAUCACCAGAAAGGUAAAACAAGCUUUUCUUUGCAGUAAAAUUAAGUUAAAAUGAUACAGACCAAGGACAGAAAGAUAGGUGCUGGGUGGGCAGAGAAGAGAGAAACUUCAGAAACUUGGAAUGGCGAGUUCCAGGAGGGAAUCGCUCAUUCAUAUAGAAGCACAGCAGCAAGUCAAUCACCAACCCCCAUGACUUGUAUUUAUGAAUGAGAAUACUAACAUUUAAUUUAUGCUUAUCUAUGUAUAUGCAUUGAUGUUACAUAAAUUUGUACAUUUUUAGAAAUUUAUUUUGGGAGUCCAGGGACAGUCCCUGAUAGAUAUCAGUCGUUCAAUCCUAAAAUUAAUAUACUUUAAGGUUAUGUUUGGUUCUCGGAAAAUACUAAGGAAAGAAAAAAAAUACAAAGAAAAAUGAUUUUUUCAUGUUUGGUUGUUCUAUAAAAAGUAUAAAAGAAAAUGAAAUAUAAUUAAAAUUAAUUAAAAACUUAUGUAUUUUUAAAUUAUUUAAUCUUUAUAUUGAUGAGUUAUAAUAAAUAAAAUGAGUUUGAAAUAACAAAAAAAAUAAUUUAUCAACUUUUAAUCCAUUGUUUAUUUUCCUUCACUUUUUCUUUCCUUUUAUUUUUCCUUUGUAUUUUCUUUCCCUUGCAUUUUCCCUCAAAUUUUCUGGAAACCAAACAUAGUCUAAAACAUACAUGAAGAAAUGACACAUCAAUUAGGUAUUGUAUCAACUAACAUUCAAAUGGAAAGUCUCAAUCAACUAACAUGUGAAAGAUUCCAUUUUUGCAAACCCCCAAAAAUGGAAAGGAAAUAAAUGACCUUCUGUGUUGUUGCCAUCAGUUAUAAUUAUGGUUCUUGUGGCUGUUCUUAGGAGAAAUGGCCACCAGUAUUUGAACAUAGAGUAGAUGUACUAUAACUUCAGAAACUUCAGAAUCUUGGAAUGGCGAGUUCCAGGAGGGAAUCGCUCAUUAAUAUAGAAGCACAACACCAAGUCAAUCACCAACCCCAUGACUUGUAUUAUUUUGGGACAGUCCCUGAUACAUCAAUUAGUCAUGUUUAAGUGACGUUUCACCAAUUUUUCCCCAACACGUCCAAUUAAAGUCGCAAUCAAAGCAAAAAAAUUUAAUUUAGAUGGUGGACAUGUGAAAAAUUCCAGUUUUGCAAAGGAAAAGGAAAUAAUUGACCUCUGUGUUGUUGCCACCUGUUAUGAUGGGUGUUCAUUUUUCUAUGGUUGUUGUUCUAAGGAGAUAUGGCUACCGACAUUUGAACAUGGAUUAGACGGCAAUGCUAGAUUUUUUUGGGGGGAGAAUUGUGCUUAAGGGAGUCCACUUGUUCAUAAUGGGUCAAUUAUCCUUCAAAAUCAUAUAAUUGACAAUUGAUAAGAAGGAUAUAAACUUUAGAGAGACCAACGUACCUUUCAAAGUUGUUAUGUCCCUUAACACCCAUACUUUCACCUAUCGUUGAAUUAGAAAAGUUAUCAAUUCAUAGUUUAUUCAUCAGACUGACAGUUAAACUAUAGUCGAAUUGAUGAUGUCAUAAUUAUAUAACUAAUAUAUUAUUAAAAUUAAAAAUAGUUACAAAAAUUAAAAUAAUAAUUUAUAUAUUAUUUUAAAAUCAAAAUUUUAUUUUAAAAUCAUAAAAUUAUUUAAAAAACAGAAAAUUAGUUUCAAAUCAUAAAUUUUAAUUAAAAUCAUAAUCUUAAUUUAAAAUUAGAAAUUUUAAAAUUUAUUUUUAAAUCAUAAACUUAUUUUAAAAUCGGAAAUUUAUUUAAAAUCUAAGGGACACAAAGUUUUUAGAUAUUUAUUUAAAAUCAUAAUGUUUUCAUUAAUUUAAAUUAAAAUCACAAAUUUUAAAAUAUGAAAAUGGGGAGAAGAGCUGCUAAAGAAAGGAGGAAGAGGGGGCAGCAGCAGGGGUUGGGAAGAGUAGUGGUGGUCGGAUCGGCUAGUCCGAUUGGGUUUUUAAAACACAACUUAACACAUAAAAUGGAGAAUGGUUCUAAGGAGAAUUUUAUGGUCCGGUGUACCAAAGUUAGAUUUUUGACUCUUGGAUUUAUAUAUUUAAUUGACUUUUGAUUUGCAGUGUACAAACGAAGAAGAAAAAAACUUGUUGUCAAUUUCUUGUUGGGGGCUUUUUUUUGCCAUCAGUUAUAAUUAUGGUUCUUGUGGUUGUUCUUAGGAUAAAUGGGCACCAGUAUUUGAACAUAGAGUAGAUGUGAAUCAUGUGAUAGCCUACUUACAUAACUCCACACCCAACCAAAUCAACAACUCACUAUUUAAGACAAAUAUAACAAUGUGUAUCUGAGUUUACAAAUAUGUGUGUCUCCCUUCCGAAAACACCUGCUGAUCAUGAAAUCACCAGGAAGGUAAGACAAGCUUUUCUUUGCAGUAAAAUUAAGUUAAAAUGAUACAGACCAAGGACAGAGAGAUAGGUGCUGGGUGGGCAGAGAGGAGAGAAACUUCAGAAACUUGGAAUGGCGAGUUCCAGGUGGGAAUCGCUCAUUAAUAUAGAAGCACAACAGCAAGUCAAUCACCAACCCCCAUGACUUGUAUUUAUGAAUGAGACUAUUAACACUUAAUUUAUGCUUAUCUGUAUAUAUGUAGUGAUGUCAGCCAUAGUAACUUGAUUUCUAAAUUCAUGAAUCUUGUAACAUAAAUUUAUAGAUUUUUAGAAAAUUAUUUUGGGAGUCCAGGGACAGUCCCUGAUAGGUAUCAGUCAUUCAAUCAUACAAUUAAUAUGGUUUAAGACAUACAGUCCCUGAUACAUCAAUUAGUUAUGUUUAAGUGACGUUUCACCAAUUUUCCCCCAACACGUCCAAUUAAAGUCGCAAUCGAAGCAAAAAAAAUUAAUUUAAUUUAAAUCAAAGCAAAAAACUGGACAUGUGAAAAAAUCCAGUUUUGCAAAGAAGAAAAAACAAAAAAAAAAAGAAGAAAAAAAGAAAAGGAAAUAAUUGAUGGGUGUUCAUUUUUCUAUGGUUGUUGUUCUAAGGAGAAUUGUGCUUAAGGGAGUCCACUUGUUCAUAAUGAGUUAUUGUGAAUUGACAAUUGAUAAGAAGGAUAUGAACUUGGGUUAUUUGAUUAAAAGGGUCUCUCAAAACCUAAUUUUUGAAAUUUAACCUCCCACCCUUUUUUGGUAUCAUUUGGACAAAAAUAUCCUUAUUAUUUUCUUGUAAAAAUAAUUAUUUCUUUAAAACCUACAUGUAAAUACUUGAAAUAGAAAAGGGCAUUUAUGUUAAAAAUGGAUUACUUUUUCAGAAAAAACAUGGGAAGGGUUUGAUUUUCAAUUUUGGGGAUUAUUUCAUCCCUUUUAACCAAAUAUUUCUAUAAACUUUAGAGAGACCAAUGUACCCUUCAAAGUUGUUAUGUCCCUUAACACCAAUACUUUCACCAAUAGUUGAAUUAAAAAAGUUAUCAAUUCAUAGUUUAUUCAUCAAAUUGACAAUCAAACUAUAGUGGAAUUGAUGAUGUCAUAAUUAUAUAACUAAUAUAUUAUUAAAAUUUAAAAUAGUUACAAAAAUUAAAAUAAUAAUUUAUAUAUUAUUUUAAAAUCAAAAUUUUAUUUUAAAAUCACAAAAUUAUUUACAAAACAAAAAAUUAGUUUCAAAUCAUAAAUUUUAAUUAAAAUCAUAAUCUUAAUUUAAAAUUAGAAAUUUUAAAUUUUAUUUUUAAAUCAUAAACUUAUUUUAAAAUCGGAAAUUUAUUUAAAAUCUAAGGGACACAAAGUUUUUAGAUAUUUAUUUAAAAUCAUAAUGUUUUCAUUAGUUUAAAUUAAAAUCACAAAUUUCAAAAUAUGAAAAUGGGGAGAAGAGCUGCUAAGGAAAGGGGGAAGAAGGGGUGGCGGCAGGAGUUGGGAAUAACAGUGGUGGUUGGAUCAGUGUGGACCCCGCAUUUUCGGCUCAAUGCGUUUUCCACUCGAAUGGCGAGCUCGAUUUUUAUUUGAAAAAUUGAUUUUUAUUGAUUAUUUGAAAAUGACUUGGAGUCGCCACUUAUUUUUGUUUUAUUUUUAAAGGGUAAACAAAAUAAGAAAGAAAAACCCUAAGUGUGACUCCUUAUUUUGGAAAAGGUGAUCUACGAAAACCGGAUCGGGUUCGGGGGUCAGGUUACUUAUCGAGAAGGUACGGUAAAGACCGUAGCACCCCUCUAAGUCCCUAAGUUGGGUCUCUACUAAUGAGAUGAAGCUGAUAUGACAAUCAAUGAGAAAAUCAAUAAAUACUUGAAUCAAUCAUGCACACAUGAGAGUCAGAAAAUGCAUAUAAACUAACCAGAGUGGGAAUGAGUGCAUACCUGUGCAGCGAGCCACUAUGCGCUAUCAAGAGAGAGGGUUAGUGCAAAAUAAAGAGCAUAAACAUAGCUCACAUGUCACUAAAUUGAGUACAAAAUCAUCAAAGGCACGCAUGACACUUCACUCAAAAUUCAUUUUUAUUUUAAAGAAAAUUUAUUUGAUGUUGGGCCCUCACCAAAGCCCAUUUAUUUUGCACGAAUCAAUUCCAUAAAUCCCAUCACCUGAGAAUUACAAAAUUUGAUUUUUGGCUUAUUUUAAAACAUUUUAAAAUCAGAGAAGUUAUGAAAGUUGCAUGCCGAAGAGAGAUGACAACAAAUUUUAUUAAAAAUAGAAUUUUGGAACCUAAAGAAAACCUAAGGAUGAAAGAUGGAAAAUAUUGAAAUUAUUUGAAAACCGAUGUUUAAAAAGUUAUUUGCAAGAAAGGAGUCAGAAAAUUAUUUUCUAAGCCAAAAGAUCGUUGGAAUGGGAGGUGACACGUGGCAUAGGGGUGACUAAGCAAGCCAUGCAGACUAGAAAUGCGAACUUGGGGCACCUUGAGCACUGACUGCAUAUUAUUCCAUCUCUGCAUUAAUGUUUCGGCCAUGUAGACUUGAACCCCAACACACUGAAUGCUCAAAACUGGUGCAAACUUUUGCUGUUUCCACUUUGCAGGCCCUUAGCUACAGGCUCAGAUCACUCGUGAACCAUUUAAUUCCAAUACCAUUGGGCCAGAUAAAUGGACAGGUGAAGAAAUAGCAGAAGCUCCCCAAGCAGAAAGCAUACUACCUACUUCUAAAUCCCGAUGUUCAAUUCCAACCUUGUAGUCUUCCAUGGAAAUUGCAAAACUCCGUAUCUCCGAGUGUUCGGUUGACAAGAAUAAUGACUGCAUGGCUCGUGAAAUCAUGCCAAUAGAGUGCCCAAGUUAUAUGUAAAUUGACAUUGAAAUCCCUAGACACAGAAACUGGGGAACGAUUCUCAUGUCAAGAGCAUGAAAAUCAUCAUGAUUGCAAACACCUGCUGCUUCUAGCAUUGCACGCCAAUGUCAGAGCAUAUGGCGAUCCCAUGGGUCUUGUAUUGACAAGAAGGCACUGAACAUUAUCCUUCCUCUAGUCCAAUUCGCUACUUCCAUCGGCAUGGCAUAAUGGGAUAAGCUAGGUCACAACGUUUCCCCACACUACGCUCCAAGAUGCAGCCAGUUUUCAGAUCUUUCAUCAAUGCAAAUUGGAACAGGAGGUGGAGCUCGUCUACCGACGAGAAGCUGCUGAUUCAACAAACAAGCCAGAUUCAUAUCUUCUUUAGGAGCAACUAGUUCCGCAACUACAUCUAAUUGCCACCCCGUCAACAAUAAUAAUAUCUAUCCUAAAACACUGGAUUCAUUUUAGGAGCUUACUUCACCCUGUACCAGACAGCAAACAUUCUCCUGCUUCAUCUUCAUGACGAGUCUCAAAAUUCAAAUUGGAGAGAAACGGCAGUCUGCUUGUUUGGUGACUUCAAUGUCCAUGCUGUCUCCCUUCCCGAAACCGCUUCUUGCCAUGCACCCAAAAUAUAGAAGAAGCAACACAGGCCCAAUGCAACAAAGAUGGAAGUAGCCCAAUACAUCUACCUUUCCAAAUGUGAGAGAUAAGGGAAACAACUUCCAGACCCGUGACACUGCAGCGAUGAAAGGCUGCCCAAGAACAUGGACCAACAGCCUCCAGAUGACCAGUGUUGACAAUGAGGGGGAGAGAUUGAUGUAGGCGAGUAAGGGUAGCAACACGCAGGGGAUUUAAAGAAAAUGGGUUUGCAUGGAAGAAAAUUUGACGUGAAUAUGGUUGUGGGGUUAGCUAUGGUACAUGGAUAUGAUGAGUAGAUGAGGAAUGGCAUGGUGCAUGGUGGUGUAGAGAGAGAAUGGUGAUAAUAGAAAUGGGUAUGAAAGGUGUAUUGGGUAAGGGUGUGAGAGAGAUGACCAGAUUUGCAUGUUCUCAUGAGCGUGGGUGGAUGGAUCUGAGGAGUUUUGGACAGCCAUGCAUGGGCGGAAACAGGUAAUGGAUUGGUGGAAUGAGUAGAGAGGUCUAAUGAGAAAAUGGGUAUAUGAAGAAUAACCAGGUUAGCAUGGUUCUCAUCCUGGAUCAUUUCUAAAAAUGAGGAUGACUCGUGAGAAGUAGUGGCAGCCAUUUUAAGAAGGAUAUCUUCUAUGUACUUGUAAGACUCAAAUGAACCUCCAAUCAUCAAAGAUUGGCUCAUGACGAGCACCCUUGUCACCACUUGAAACUCUCAUGCCAAGAUAGGGCGAACCCAAUUCAGCCAUGGCUUUCUCCUUUCUCUCAGUGUUCUCAUACUACUCAUUAUCAUCAUCAAUGAUACAAUCAGUGUCUUCGACGUCCAAAGGUGUGCAGUCAUUGAAGCUAUUGAUGGCUUCUUCACCCACUACAUCCUCAUCCAAACAGAGAUGGUUAGGGUAAGGAUUCCCUCUAUUUUCAUCCUCGUCUCUAUCAUCAUGAUUGUGCAUUGCAUGGAAUGGCACGAGACCAUAAUUUCCCGAGUCUUCUCUGCAUGAAGCAUAAUGAGACGCCUCAUCACGAAAUCCAUACCCAUAGGAAACGUUCUCAUAUAAGCAGAAUCCCAGAAACCCCAUGGAUCAGCUUCUUCAUUAUCAAACUGCCACCGCGUGUCACCAUUGAAGGCGCACCCUUGGCUGCUGAUUUUACAAUGCUUUUGGCAUCCUCUGAAAAGAAGAAGAAUUGGCUGAAUAAUUAUUAUUGAUGUUGAAGUGUGUAUUUAUACAAGGAGGUUUGAGAUAUUUCUCUACAAGUCAGGAAUCAGCUUACCAUAUUCUAGACUAUCCAUCUAUAAGUCAAGAAUUACAAUAGGAAAACUAACAUAUACAAAUCAUCUAUUCUUAAUAUGGAAGAUUUAGAAAGAUUGACUUUCCAACACUCCCCCUCAAGUUGGAGAGUGGAUAUCCUGCACUCCCAACUUGCGAAUCAUAGGAGCAAAAAACUCCUUUCCCAAUGGUUUAGUCAAAAUGUCUGCAAGUUGGUGCGCUGAGCUCACAUGUCUUGUAAUAAUGGAACCAUCUUGGAUCUUGUCCCUAAUAUAGUGACAAUCCAUCUCAAUGUGUCUAGUACGCUCAUGGAAAACAGGGUUGGCUGCAAUGUGCAAUGCUGCCUUGUUGUCACAAUACAGCAAGGCAGGUUCCUUAUGUAAAACACCCAAAUCUUUCAAAAGGUACCGAAGCCAUGUCAACUCACAACAAGCUCCUGUCAUUGCACGAUACUCUGCUUCGGCUGAAGAGAGUGACACUGUUUUCUGUCGCUUUGAUCUCCAAGAAAUCAGUGAAGGUCCAAGGAAUACACAGUAGCCUGUAGUGGACCUUCUAGUAAGUGGACAACCUGCCCAAUCAGAAUCACAAUAGGCUCUCAAUCUGAAAUCAUUAUUCGAAGAGAAGAACAGACCCUGACCAGGUGCAUUCUUGAGAUAACGUACAACUCUGAACGCUGCUUCCAUAUGAGUCUUUCUCGGUUGAUGCAUAAACCGGCUUAACACAUGAACUGCAUAAGUGAUAUCUGGCCUCGACACAGUUAGAUAUAUUAACCUUCCAACCAAUCUCUUAUAACGACCUUGAUCCUUGAGCAAAUCGCUCUUAUCAGACAAUUUCAAUCCUCGUUCCAUAGGUGUAUCAAUAGGGGCAGCGCCCAACAAUCCUGCAUCCUCAAUAAUCUCUAAUGCAUACUUACGUUGGGAAAUAAAAAUCCCAUUUUUAGAAGCAGAAACCUCAAUGCCAAGAAAGUAUUUUAAAUCGCCCAGAUCUUUGAGAUGAAAAUGACUAUGCAGAAAUUUUUUUGUUGUAGCAAUGCUCACAGGAUCAUUUCCAGUAAUCAGAAUAUCAUCAACAUAUAUCAAGAGGGCAGUAAAGGACUUGCCUUGUUUUUUGGUGAACAAAGAAUAAUCGGCUCGAGAUUGUGCAUAACCGGCGGAUUGAAUAGCUUCUGAGAACUUGGCGAACCACUGGCGAGAAGCUUGUUUCAGACCGUAGAGUGAUUUAUGAAGGCGACAUACCAAGUUUUCCUCCCUCUGUCGCCGAAGCCCUAGCGGCGGAGACAUAUAUAUUUCCUCAUGUAAGUCGCCAUGAAGAAAAGCGUUGUUAACAUCCAUUUGAUGAAUAGACCAGCCACGGGCUGUGGCCAAUGCAAGCAAGCAGCGGACAGAUAUGAUCUUGGCGGUGGGGGAAAAGGUAUCCUGAUAAUCGACACCUUCUAAUUGAGUAAAGCCUUUCGCUACCAAUCGUGCUUUGUAACGCUCAAUAGACCCAUCUGAACGGUGUUUAAUUUUAUACACCCAUCGACAGCCAAUCGGUGUCUUGCCAGCCGGAAGUGGAGUUAGAGACCAAGUGCCAUUAGCUUGGAGAGCUUGCAAUUCAGAACGCAUUGCCUUCUGCCACUCAGGAUGAGCGGCUGCUUCCGAAUAAGACCUGGGUUCUGUGACAGCACUAUGUUGAGCAACAAAAGAUCUAUAUGCAGGCUUAUAUCUGUGAUAAGAAACAUAAUUGGCCAGUGGAUAUCGUGUACCUUUAGUUGGACCUGGAAUCAAGGAAGACGAUUGAUUGGAGGAAACGUGGGAGCAAACAUAAUCGUGGAGCUUGAUUGGCGGGGCGAUAUGGCGGCUGGAGCGACGGAGCGGAGUGGCUGGUUUGGGUGAGUGUGUUUCUGGUGAAAAGAUGGGUGUCUCAGUUGGAGGAGCGGACGGGAUGGAUGCAAACGGUGGCCCCGGAGAAGGCGAUACUAGAGUUGUAGAAGGCGAUGGUGAAGGGUUUGGAUCAAUCUGAGAAGAAGGUUCGAUAAUGAGUUCGGAAGGUCGAGAAGGAGAGGAAAAGUCAUCAUUUUCUGUGGUGGGAGACGGUGUGCUUGUGUGGUUGGAAAGAAGAGGGGAAAGUGUGUGAGAAGUAGAGUCAAAGGAGGAAGAGAUGUCGUGGGCCACUAAGGGGAUUGGACCAGAAUUAUGGGUCAACGAAGGGAGAGUAGAGUUGGGCUUGAGAGAGACAUAAGGAAAAAUAUCUUCAUAAAAUUUGACAUCUCGGCUAGUAAAGACCUUUUUGGUUGAUAAAUCAAAUAAUUUGUAUGCUUUCUGACCAACAGGAUAACCGAUGAAGAUGGAUGGCAUGGCACGGUAAUCAAAUUUGUGAGAGGUGUGAACAUUGGUGGCAUAGGCUAAACAUCCGAAAACACGGAGAUGGGAGUAAGAAGGUGGUUUUGAGUAAAGCAAUUCAAAAGAGUUUUGAAAGACAAUAUUGGUGAAAGUAACCGAUUGAUGAUAUGUACGCAGUGAGAGCACACUCCCCCAAAAUUGAGUGGGAACUUGAGCAUGGAAUUUCAAAGCUCGGGCUACUUGUAAAAUUNUGACGAUGUUUGCGUUCCNNNNNNNNNNNNNNNNNNNNNNNNNNNNNNNNNNNNNNNNNNNNNNNNNNNNNNNNNNNNNNNNNNNNNNNNNNNNNNNNNNNNNNNNNNNNNNNNNNNNAUCGACAAUAGUGAGAAAGUAAUGGGCACCAAACAGAGAAGGGUGUCGAUAACGUCCCCAAAUGUCACAAUGAAUAAUCUCAAAAGGUUUUGUAGAAGAAAUAGCACUAGUACCAAAAGGUAAACGACUUUGCUUAGCCAAAGGACAUAUAGGGCAAGCAUUAUUGGACUGAACAGAAAAAUUCAAAAAAUUCUUGGCAAUGAAACUCAAACGAGAAGGUGAUACAUGGCCUAAGCGACUGUGCCAGAGAUCAGUGGAAGAGAUGGCGAGAUUGCAGGCUGGUUGGUUUGUGGAUGAGGAAUGGUUGGUUAAAGAUUUCUCCGUCGCUAGUGCCACCAAAUAGUAUAGUCCGUCACGUUGUUUACCCAAACCAAUCGUCCUCCUCGUAGCCAGAUCCUGCAAAAUACACAAAUAAGGGAAAAACGUCACUGAACAAUUUAGACCUCUUGUCAAACGACUAACUGAUAUUAAAUCAACUUUGAAUGUAGGCACAGAUAAGACAUCAUGCAGAUAAUAGACGGAAUUCAGAGGCAAAGUCCCUUUCGUAACGAUAUUCGCUUUUUCUCCACUAGGCAAUAAUACGGGCGGUAACGAGCAAUUUUUAUCUUUAUGCAAUAACUUAGAGGAUGAAGUAAUAUGAUCUGUCGCCCCACUAUCAAUAAUCCAAUUGCGGGAAGCGACUUUGGACAAACCUGGCUUUGUUACCGCAUUCACUUUGGAACUAGAGUUUUCAUCUUGGUUAUUAAGAAGUGACAAAAGUUGCUUGAGUUGGGCUUCUGACAAUGCAACUGCAGGUUUCCCUUCAUCUGCCUUAGAAACUUGGUUAGCCGCAGAAAAACUUUUAUUCCGAUUUGAGUUUGAGCCUAAGUUCAUUCUUGCUUUAGGAUGGUCUGGUAGGUAUCCAUGUAGUUGAAAACACUUUUGGACCCAAUGACCCAUAUCUCCACAAUACGAGCACUGGGGACGUCCUCUACCAGAACCCAUGCGGCGCCGAUCUUGAUCAAAAAAUGGUCUGCCAUCUUGUCCUUGAGAAGACCGAUUCUCCCGGAAAUUUUGAGAACCAGAGGGGCGAUUAGUCGGUUCCAUCCUUCUUGUGUUCGAUCGAUCUAUUCCGUCCUUCCAAGUUGUCGAAGACUUGCCGUUGCUGCGCACAGCCAUAGCAGCACUUGCGGCAGAUUCCGCUGCUGCGUUCGUCGAAGUGAGGAGGCGUUGCUUUUCUUCUUGAGAGAUAGAGGAGUAUGCUUGGCGGACAGAAGGAAGAGGAUUCAUCAGGAGGAUUUGCCCGCGAAUAGCACUGUAAGAUUCAUUCAAACCCAUCAGAAAUUGCAUCAAUUUUUGUUGAUCUUGUUGUGCCCCAUGUGCUGCAGCGUUGUAGGAAGCCAGUUCAUCCCACAGGCCUUUCAAUUUUGUGUAAUAGGCAGAGACAGAGAGUUGCUCUUGUCGAAGACAAGCAAUAUCUCGCUGAAUUUCAAAGAUGCGAGGCGCAUUGCUCUGAGAGAAUCGCUCACAGAGAUCUUCCCAAACUUCAUGAGCAGUAGAAUAAUAAAUUACACUGUCCGCAAUUUCUGGAUUGAGAGUAUUGACGAUCCAAGAGUGAACCAUGUCGUUACACCGUGACCAAGUCGCAUAACCUUCAGGAUCAAUUUCUUCUGAAGGAGCCUUGAUCGAGCCAUUAACAAAACCCAAUUUGUUCUUGGAGUUUAAAGCUAGAAUCAUAGCCCUUUUCCAAGCCGAAUAAUUGUCUCCAUUCAAAGAUUUGGAAAUCAAAACCAAACCUGGGUGAUCUGAAUGGUGAGUGAAAUAGGGAUUGGAGAGAUCUGCCUUUGAGAAAUUCGUAGGAAUUUCUGAUUUUGCCAUGAUGAUUGAAGAAAAGAGAUGCUACACGAGAGAGAUUAGAGUGCAGCAAUGAAUCAGGAUUUUAGUCCUGCUCUGAUACCAUGAAAAGAAGAAGAAUUGGCUGAAUAAUUAUUAUUGAUGUUGAAGUGUGUAUUUAUACAAGGAGGUUUGAGAUCUUUCUCUACAAGUCAGGAAUCAGCUUACCAUAUUCUAGACUAUCCAUCUAUAAGUCAAGAAUUACAAUAGGAAAACUAACAUAUACAAAUCAUCUAUUCUUAAUAUGGAAGAUUUAGAAAGAUUGACUUUCCAACAUCCUCUGCUCUUCGAUAGGAUUAUGGGACCUCAGGCAUGUGAGAAAAUGGGCAACAAAUGGGUAAUGCCAGGAAGGAGAGGUGGAUAUGAACAUGAAGGACAAGCGAUGUCAUGGAUGAAGUGUGGCAACGGGUGGAGAGAGAAAAGGUGGUGAGUAAAGCGGUGUGUUUGAAUGGGGUAUGAGACAUGAAUUUAAGAGUGAAGAUGUGAGUGUGUGGAGUGAAAGCAUGAGCGUGAGUGGUGAUGAGUUUGAAUGGGUUUGGGGUGGCGGUGUAGAGAGAGAAUGCAAGAUGAUGAGUGCAUGUGUAGAUAUGGGUGUGAAAUGAUGUAAAUCUGAAAAAGAUGACGAGCUAAAUAUGUGAAUGGAGAUCCGAGAAAGAGUACAGUGAUAGGUAUGAACAAACGAAGUGGUGAUAGAAUGAAUAAGAAAGCAUGCAUGUGGUUAGUAUGGGACAUGGGUAAUGAAAGGCAGAGUAGAGAGAGAAAAAAGUGGUGAGGGAAUAAUGGGCAAGAAAUGGUGGGUUGGAUACAUGGCAUACGGGUUGGAUGGACAUGAGGCAUGGCAGCCAAUAGAUUUAACAUCUCCAACUCCGUGAAUCACUCAUGAUUAUCUUCUCAGCAAACCCACCAUACUUCACUUCAGGAAUGUCUAUUGGACUGCUACAUGCUGCAACAAUAUUAUCCCCAUCCAAUAUAAGAACAUUCCAUGAAAAUCCUGAACCGUUAGGGCUGACAUGUGACACAUUCUCACUCAACACAUCCACAGAAAGAAUUACUUGAGUGCUAAGCCAGGUGGAAGGCAAAAUCAUAGUACAUCUAUCAGAAAACCAUGAGUUACCAAGGAUGCUUGAACCAUACAGCCCAGGGAAGUAGUUAUCCUCAGCACACAUCGCAACAGGAACCACAGAACAAGGAUGAAGCAUCCACGGAUGAUUUCAAGGUGUCAUUGACAAGGCUGAAGUUGCUGAAUCACUUGAACUCUGACCCAUUCCUUUAUUCAGUAUCAUCUUAACUUUGAGAGCGCGCAUCUUUGUAGGACUUCACAGCUGGGUUUGGAUCCACUCUCAUGACCCAUUCAAUUAAGAACAGAGGAAAACGUGAAAGGAUCAUUUACAAAAAACAGAGUAUAAAGACAGAAAAUCAAUGAGUGAAGCCCUAUUUCAUUUUUCUAUCCAUGGGCUUGCAAGAGGGUUGACUGUUGAGAGACUACGGGCUCAUAUAAAAACAGGGGGAUUAGAUUCUGAAAUAUCUCACAAUGAAGCUAAAAACAAAUUCAAGUUACUCUUCAACAAAGCUAAGAAGAAGAGAAAGAUAAAACAAUGACAACAAACCCACAAUCGUACCAGAGAUUAGUGAAAACUAAACAUUCAAUCUGAUGCACAUACCCAAGACAAACAAUAAUCCAGAAACAAGAUGGAGAAGAGUAUGCAAAGGGUUCAUACCUGAAAAGCUUCUUGCUGGAACCUUACUGCCUCUCUAGAAAAAUCUCAACUCAAACGUCUCUCUGCCUCGAAAAUAUCUCCAGCCGAGCCUCAAAAGGCACCUCCUCUCUCAAGCUAAACUAUCCUCCCUUAAAGCUCUCAUGUCUCUCCCUCUUACUCUCUCCCUUUUCUCCUUAGUUAACCUCCCCAGAAAACCAGUCUCCUUCUCUCUCAAGCUUUCUCUCUCUCUCAAAAAAAAAACCAAACAAAAGCUCCCUCUCUAAAGAUUUCUGCCACCUUCCUCUUCUAGGCCGAUAUCCCUUUUCUCUCCCGGAUUUGCCCCUCUAACCAUCUCUGUAGCGACAGCCACGCCCUGCACCACUACUCUGCAGCUGGCAGAAAGAAAAAGCCUCCUCCAACGGCCAGACAACCUUUUUCAUGCAGCUGGCUUUUCUCCCUCAAAUAACAACCAAAAUGAUUUUUGUCUGAUUCCAUGAUGACACGUGUCGACCCUAGAUUGGCCUUCAAAAGCGAUUCCAUGAUGGCCAGUCAGGGAUUGACACGUGGGUGCUUAGGAGCGCGACACCUGGCCAAAAGAGCUGCAAAAAAUGCAUGAAAGUGAGGUUCCCAAAAUGGGGUCUACAAUCGGCUAGUCUGAUUGGGCUUUUAAAACACAACUUAACACAUAAAAUGGAGAAUGGUUCUAAGGAGAAUUUUAUGGUCCAGUGUACCAAAGUUAGAUUUUUGACUCUUGGAUUUAUAUAUUUAAUUGUGACCUUUGAUUUGCAGUGUACAAACGAAGAAGAAAAAAACUUGUUGUCAAUUUCUUAUUGGUGGCUUUUUUUUCCAUCAAUAACUAAGUAAAAUUGCAUUUAUAUUGAAUUUUGGAGGUUAAUAAUUUAGUAAUGGAAGUUAAGUAAUAAUAUUUUAUAUUAUUAAAAUAUAUAAUAUAUAAUAAAAAAAUAAUGUAUUAUUUAAUAUCAUCUUCAUUUUUAUUUUAUAUCAAUGUUAUUUAAAAAUACAGAAUAAUAAUUUUUAGUUUUUUUAUCAAUCAUUUAAUAAAAAAAAUCAAUUCUCAUAAACUAAGGAAGUUGAGUUCAUUUUGAAUUCUAAUUUUAUUAUAUUAGAUAACUAAAAAAAUUAAUUUCAAUAUAAGUUAAUUAAAACAGCAUUUUGCUUUAGUGUAAUUCUCAUAAAUAAAUUAAAAUAUAUAUUUUAUUUAAAAUAUUUAUUUAUUACAUGAAAGAACUAAGGAUAAAAAAUUAAUUUAAAAAAGAUAAAUUUCAUAAUAAAAUUGUUUAAUAACAAAAAUCUUUAUUUUAUAAAAUGGAUAAAUAUGAAAUAAAAAAGUUAUAAAAUUAUUAAAAUAAAUUUAAUAAAUGUGAAUUUUAUAAAUCAAUUAAAAUAGAUAUUUUAUAAUUUUGACAUACCAAUCCAAAAAGGACCUAAGUGACUUAAGCAAGUCUAUCCAAAUUAUAGCAGAUUCCGGAGUAUGACAUACCACUUAAUGGUUCCAAUCCCACACAUAUUAUCAAGUAACGAUGGAGCUGCUGUAUGUAAUAUGACCUUCCUCAAUCAAUAAGCAAAUCAAGGUGUUCUUUCAAGUGCAACUUUGCCUUCAAGAAAAGAAGAAAGAAAGGAAAAAAGAUUGGAAAAAGAGGGAAAGAAAAUAAAAUUCCUAUUCCAUCUAUCUUUGGAUUUCAAUAACAAGCGCAUCUCACCUUCCUUUCAAUAAUAAAACUAGAUGACAACUCAUUUUAUUUAGAGAAUCAACUGUGGAGAAGGCUUCUCCAUGAGAACUAAGGUCACAAUAGUUUACAUAAUGUUGGUCCAUAGUUUGUGAAAUUUUUUCUACCCUGGUUCAAUAAUCAUCAGUAAGAUGGAAAAGCACAAGGAUUCAUUGCUAAAAGGAAGAAUGAUUGAGAAUGAGCAAAAAACAGAAUUUAUAGAACACUGAAUUCAUUACCAGAAAUCACAAAAAGAGAGACAUAAUUCUAGCAUACUCAGUGAAACGUUUCACAUGGAUGCUUUUAAUGUGGACAUUCAUUUUGGAAUUCCUACUUAUCGGGAGGGAAUGUUUCAUGGACUGUAUAUGCCACAUUCAUGGGACAACUUCAGGUGAAAAUAAUAAAAUGGCAUCGGUAUUUAUCAAAGUUACCUUCACCUAUCGGUAAGAUCUUGUCAUUUCGUAUGUUGCAAAACCACCAUCUGCAUUCUGUUGAGAUUCCAAGGGAAAAUCUAUAAAAUGAGUACAACACUCGCCUGAAGUCAGACAGUAGAGAAUCUUAAAUAUUGAUAAUCAGAAAAGACGGGAGAACAGGCUGAACAAGGAAUUAUAACUGGUUCCCAAAGCACACACUUGUAAAAAUCUUCAACACAAAACUUGAGUUGAGAAUCCCAUUCUAGGUAUGCUUGAAAGAUUCAAAAACAAGUUUCAGCCAACAAACAUAAAUUUGCAAUAUACAAGUAUUAUAAAAUCUGAUAUAGAGUUAUAUACUUUUCGGAAUAAUUUUGUGGCCUAGAAUUUUUAAGGCAAUAAUAAAUUUUUUAAAACUGCACAAAGAAGAACAGGUCAAAAUAAUACCUUUUGUAGUUCGGGAUAGAUUGGAUGAUCCCCUCUUCAAUAACACCGAUGCUGUUAAUUAAGUUGGAAUGGACUCUAUGUCAGAAAGGGACGAAAGAGAGUGUGUUGGCUGCCCUUUUGCAUCUUUUUUUGACAAUCUGCAGAAGUGAAAUUGGAAGGUAGUUGAAAAUCGCUCAAAUCCUUUUUUAUGUGCAGUUUUUCAGAAUUUGUAAGGCUUUGUAUAGAAGAGGCAUGAGGUAGGACAACCCUAGGAUGGUUGCCUACACUCAAGGGUAGGUGGGCUAGGGUUUUAUUUUUAGGGUAUAAGGAGAGGAACAAGGAAUAAAUUUUAUGAUAGAGAAAAUUAUAAGAUAAGAAAUAGAGAGAAAGAAGAAACAAUAAAGAAAAUAUGGAAAACCUUAGAGUCUCACUAAGGCCUUCUAGGAGUCUCACCUAGAAGAAAAUCAAUGGAAUCUCACCAUUGAGGGUUGCAACCUUGCAAUGAAAGAAAAUAUAAUAUUAUUCAUAUUAAUUCAUUCAUUUGAUUUACAUUGAUUAGCCUAUUUAUAGGCUUUUCUAUGAAAUCCAAAGUCUACUAGAAUUCUAAUAACCUAUUAUGAUUCUAAUUCUAAUUAUAACAUCCAAAGUCUACUAGGACUCUAAUAACCUAUCAUGACUCAAAUUCUAAUUAUAUUAUAACUCAACUAGCUAAUCCUAAUUAGACUCCAACAAAUACCAAUCCCAAUUCAAUUCUAAUUAAUAUUAAUCCUACUUAAAGUUUACUUAGGUCUUUACUUUCUUCCUUGAAUAAACUUUAAAAGGCUUUCCCCAUCAAGGCAUCUAUGUCUAUGAAGGAUUUUAUAGAUUGAGGGAAUGUUAAGUGCCUUUUUUUUUUUUUUUUUUUUUCUGAUAUUUUGCUUGGUGCCCUUUGCAUUCUCCCUGUCUACUCUGGUAUACCCUUGUUAUGGCUCGUUUGUAGCUUCUUUUUAUAUAUAUCGACCAUGUGCUUACCUAAAAAAAUAAAAAAUAAGAAAGAAAGAAACGCUUUUUGUUUGGACUGCUUGUCCUCUCGCUUCAACUUCAUUUCUUAUGGCAAAUAAAAGAAAGUUAGGUAUGAGAUUCUGAAUUCAGUAUGUUUAAAAUCUAGUUUUUAGAGUGCAUGCUAUACAUUGUGAGCCUAAAUCCUACAAACUUAAGCUUUUAGAAAUUUUUUUGAUAAGAGGUCAUGUAUUUGAACCUAACCACAUGUCUAUUUCCCCACUUUAUUAUUAAGCUUAAAGGAGGUUGUUUGUAGUUUGUUUAUCUAUGGACCUAUAUGGGCAUGUGUGUGCCUAUUUGUUUCUCUAGGUGCAGGUUUGGAGCUGCAUGUGAAGAAGGAUGUUGAAGGGCAUAAUAUACAUUAUAAGCUUUUAGAAUUGGUUGCUAAAACCAGUCGACUAGGAAGCAAAAACGUUUCUUAAAGAUCAAUACCAUUUCUAUUAUAACCAUUUUUUGUUUGCAAACAAAUGCAUAUAUAUGGGGUGAAGUCUAAAGAAUUUCAAAGCUAAACGUACAAGCCAGAUGCAUAAUCAACCAUGAGUUUUAUUAGAUUAUCAUUCAAUGGCAUCAAUCAUUUUUAGAGAGAUGGAAUAGGAGAAAACCAAUGAUUUCUCAGUAACUGAUACCCUACCCAAAAAUCCUUAAGGAAGGAUUUAUAACUAGUAAAGACUAUCAGUUUAUAAACUUUGUGCAUCAGCAAUUAAGUCUUCUACAUGAACUAUGUAUGAAUGUGUAACUGUUUAAAAUAUUCAAAUGAACAAGAAGGUUUAUAAAGUUUUUUCCAUAAUUAAAGGAUGCAAUUCAAUCAAUGGAUUGUUGCUUACUCCGAACUAUGCAUAUAUAUUUAUUUGUCCACUACCGUGAAUAUAGACCAUAUUCUGCACAUUCCAAAAAUCCUAAAUUUUAAAAUGCGAAAACACUCAUUGUUCAAGUCAGUUCUAACACCCAUACCUAUACCCACUCAGUAUGUCCACACCAUAACAUUUACAGCAUCAAACAAUUGCUCCAUAUCUAAUGGUUCCCCAAAUGUUUUCAAUGGAAGUUUAGAUAAUAAUAGAACAGCCUGCACAAGAGAAACAAACAAUAAAAAUGUCCGUAUAACAAGUAUUUUGAGUUAGUUCAGUUGUUACCUUCAAUCCUUCUACUGUACAACCAGAGAUCGGCCAUCCAUGAUCAACACCAUACUCUUCACCUAGGUUUGUUGAAAUAAUUGCUUGAACAACAAAAGAAGUAUCCCAUAAUUGACUUCCAUUAUAAUCCUGCAGUAAACUUAUUAUGUAUAACAGAUGGAUGAUAAAGUUCAAUAAUUUCCAAGGAAUAAAAUACAUAAUCUGCCUUUACAACACGCCACUAUGAAUGGAUAUAGACACUAUAAAUGGCUACAUCCACCAGAAAAAGUAAUAUCACAAUUCUCCAUAACAUAUAAAAUGGAAAUGGCACUUUGAGAUAAACUAGAAAGAGACCAAUACUACUUAUGGACCUGCAUUCUCAUGCCGUCUUCAGCAAUCCACAAAUAAUAAAAAAUUCUUGGAAUAUGCAACUUAAAGGCCUCCGAGUUUGGAUCUUCAAUCCAGCAGCAAAUCAUAUUUAACACCUGUACAAAUUAGAUAACAGGAAAUCAAGACCUUCAUGGAACAGACAAUUAGAUCAAGAGCACCUGAGUAGAGUGGUAGAACUAAAGAAGCUAACUGGUUUAGUUCUUAAUUAAUAGUAAUCGGUACAUUUAUUGAACUUAGUAAUCACUACAUUUAUUGCAGUUCAAAGGACCUUUCUAUACUUCACAUGUACCUUGUUCACAGGCCCUAUGCAUAUAUACCGUGUAUUCUCAUCUUCAUAGUGUACAUGCUGCAUUACAGUGCAUAAAGCCUUCUCUCUCAACUUGUUUCCGGGCCAAUGCCCCAGAAUAGGCUCAAGCACCUUAUGAAGAGAUGCCCAUAGAAUAUCCUGAACCAGUGGAUGUGGAUAGUAUAGAUCUUCCUGCCAAUAAUUGUAAAGACAAAUAUCAAAAUCAUCCGGGACCCUAAAGUAUAAGAAAGAUGCAAUUGAUCUUCUUCAUAAAUUUCCUUCUUAAAUGCUUAUUAAAAUGAUGUCAUUGAUUCGUCCUUCAUGCAGUCGUGCCAUUUGAUUAUGGCCCAGACCGGUGUUAUCAACAAAAUUUAUAAAACCUAAAUCACCUUAUACUAGGAUAGCAUAGCUAACAUAGUAUAGUGGCUCUAGGAUCGUCCACAGGGAUGAGUUUUUGUCAUACAGUUGACUUUAGUGAAGGAAAUAAAAUGGUGCUUUUCCUUAUGAAAAUUAGCUUUUAAAGAAAAUGGAAUUGUGGUUGCAAAGAUUGAUUUUAAGUCAAACAAAAAUAAUAAGUGAAGUUAACUACAAAGAAAAUGUCUCUUGGAGCUUUAGGUCACUAAGAUCAGGUUCCUUAGGAAAAAGGGGAGAUUCCGGAUCUUUUCCUUGCGUUAGGGACAAUAACAUAAAGGAUGGUUAUCUCCCGAACCGGUUUUGUAUUUAGCAAUUAAGAUUUGAUCCAAAGGGUUCAUGAAAAAUGGCAAUUGCUUUCCAUUAAUGGCUUCAAACACUAAAGACCCUCACCUUGAACCACCUUCCAAUGGCUCGUAAAUGAUAACUAAUAGACAUCCAUGGAUCUAGCAAUAAGCAUCCAUAAAAUCCGAAAAGCUUACCAAGUAUUGGGCAUCCAAGGUGAUUUUAAGGGAUUUAAAGCUAAACCUUGAAAUAAAAACCAUUAAUGGUUAACAACUACUUUCAUUUAAAGCAAGGACAACUCCCAUCUUUUCAUUUGGGUCUUUCACCUAGCUUCCCUCACUCCAAGAAACGUAAAACCUAGCCACUCAUCCCCUGAGAAAUCAUCCUCAGAGGUUGUUUGGCUAGAAAGAAAAGUGAAAACAAAAUGAGAAGGAAAGGUAGAGCAAAAGCUCUGUAUAUUUCUUUCUACGGGAAUUUACAAGUGUUCAAUCAUUUUUUCAUUCCCCCACGUCUCUCUCACUCUCUCCCAAAAAAUGUUACCAAAAAUAAAAAUAAAAAUAUAUAAAAGAAAAUAUCUAGGUUGAUUACAAGGGGAAAAUAGGAAAUUACACAAAAUAUCUGGAGAUAAAAAUCUAAUGGAGUCGGUGCACAGGAAGAUUUCGCAUAGUGUGCGAAAUUGCCUUUCACUCAGUCCUGCUCGCAGUCCUGCAGCUGCUCCUCCUCUUGAUUUCUCAUGCUAUGCGAAAUUUUCACAUAGCCAUGCGAAAUUUUCACAUAGCCAUGCGAAAAAUGCUGGUUGUUGGAUUUCUUCCUCUGGUUUUCUUCCUUGCAUCUCUAAUUGGCUUGACAACCUAUUGCCAAGCUUGGCAAAGGGCUAUGAAGUGCUCCAAAGCUCGGAUUCUUUAUGUAUUUGAGCUUCAACUUGUAUUGCCAUGGAUUUCACAAAAUUCUCCCUCAUUCUUGGCUUGUUUCAAUGAUCAAAUAGCUACCAAAAACACCAAAACUUGCCAAAAACUGAUUAGUAACCCUUGCUAGGUCCUUAAUGUGCCAAUUGAGUUAAAAAGUAUUAACUACCACUCAAUAGUGUUUAAAAUAGUUAGUUUCAAGCUAUAAAAGAGUACUUUUUGAGUAGUAAUCACUCCCCCUAACCGACAUAUUGCUAGUCCCUUAGCAAUGAAGGAGAGAUAAAGAAAAAUAGACAGUAAAAUAAUUUUCAAAAUCAUGCUAAUCAUUUCAAAAAAUUUUCAAGUGGCAUGAUGCUGAUUAUACUCUCUCAUGGAACAUCAAAGAGGUAAAACCUAACCUUCAACAAAAGUCAUCAAAUCUCUUGCCUAAUCACAAUUUAUAAAGAGUAGGCAUUAUGCAAAUUUAAGCAUCAAAAGAAUUUCUACUCCCAAAGGUCGAAUCCUUAUUUUUCCACAAAAAUCUAAGUGUUAAGCUUAUUAGUUUCCGAUUAUAGUAUGUCGAACUAUUCUCUCCCCCCCAACCUAGUUCUUUCUCAAACCUUAGGAAACUAACCAACUUCCAAUAGGCUAAGAAUGCACCUCUUUUAUUUCACAAUUUUUUUUUCAUUGUAGGAGUGCAAUGCUAAAGGUAUUGUUUUCUAAAGUGUCUAUGUAACAGGGAUCCAUCGAUGACUCCCAACCAAUCAACGUUUAGGGCAUCAAGCUUUAAGGAUCUUUCGACCAAUAACUCCUCAGAUUUUUCCCCGGGCUUUUGAGAUUGAAAUUCAAUAUCCAAGCACCUACAAUAUGUUAAACUCCACAUAUUCACCCUUGUAACGAGCAUUGAGGUCGGUGACUCCCAACCAAUAAAGGCUUAGGGCACCAGGUUUUAAAGACUUUCACCAUAUACCCCUUGGACCUUGCUGAAGUUUCAAGGCAAGUGAAACACUUUGUUCUUUCUUUAUAUAUAUAUAUAUAUAUUUAAAGGCUCAUUGGCAUUUUAUAAGGUAUCCUAACACUAUUAAAAUAAGGUCAAAGGUACCAAGUCGAAAUUUUCCUAAGUUCAGGGGGUGAAAUAGUUUUCCAUCUUAUAAUCGGAACCUAAUGUGCACAGUGUGUGGUAAGAUUAAAGUGGAAAAAAUAAGGUUGAAUUCAAUAGGAGUUUCAAUAAUUCAUCAACUUCAAUAAGCAUAAUACAAACUCUAAGAUUCAAGUAAAAAGACAAGAACUCAAUUUCUCCCAUUUCAUUUUGAGAAUUUUUCCUUAAUAACCAUGGAGAGUAGAGUAAAAACUUUUAAAAUUAAGCAAAAAGUAACUAAAUUAACAAAUUAACCUAGCAUUAUUAACAAUUCUUCCUUCCUCAACUCUCCCCCUAAUCAAGAUCAACAUUGCCCUCAAUGUGUCAAGAGCAAUUGAAAUAAAGGGAGGAAGUGGUAUCUCCUGAGUGAAAUGGAGUUUGAUUCAUAUAAGAGAAACCACAUGAGUAAAAAAAACAAAAGAGUAAUGAGUAGAGGAAAUAGAAAAAUGUUAAGUAUAAUAAAAAAAAUGAUGUCUAUAUAUUAAUAUGAGAAAGUACAAUAUAAGAUAUGAUCAAAUAAUAUAUCCAAUCCCAGAAUAUAAAACAUCAAAAUAAGAACAAAUCUCCACUAAUAUAAUAUGUAAAUACAAUAAGAUAAAGAGAUGUCCUAUGAUCAAGUAGUGGCAGCCUCAGGUGGAGAUGAUGCAUCCUCAGGUGUAGUUGUGACUGUGUCAACUAUCUGAGGCUCAUCAUGAGGAUCAUAUGAAGCAAUGGCAUCUGUGGUGGCCUCCUAAGGUGGUGGGAUAUGGACCUCUACUAUGGUAGUGUCCUCAGCUGGAAUAGUAUCCUCAGUUAGAGCUAAAGGCUCUGAUGAUGCAAGAAGGUCAGGCUAAGGUGGAGGCAGAAGUCCUAGGUGCUACUAAAUCUGGUGGAGUAUAAUAGUCUGUUGGUCCUAAUGGGCACGCAUCUCAACCAUCUGCUGGAAGAGAGCAGCAUGUGUGGUGGUCAGUGUUUGAAAGGUAUGUACAAGGCCGCGAAACUUCGAAGCAGAGAUGGUGAUGGAAGGCUUGGAUGUAGUAGGAGCAACUGGUGGAACAGUAGGAGUCAUAGGGGGAGCAGCAGAAGUAGCCUCAAGCAUAGGCACUGGUGGUGUUGAAGUAGGUGAUAUAGGGGCAGGUGGUAUAGUCUUUGUCAGAAGCUCGCCCUGCUCUGUCUGUGGGGGCACUAGAGGUGUUACCAUGGAAAGGGCUUCUAGAGGUGCAGAAUAGCCCGCCAACUGAUUCCAUUUUUCCAGAGUGAAUUGCUCUCGACAAAGCCAACGACGCUCGAGCCGAAGCUCAGUAGGAAAGCCCAUAUACUCUAAGAUCUGGCAAAGCAACCUCAGGAAUAGUAAUGGAAUGGUGUCCACCCUCUGAAGCUUCUUCCUAUGGACCUUCUCCUCAAAGUGGAGGAUGGAGGCCAUGAUUAAGUGGUGUGGGCCAAAGUAGAAGCCCUUUGAUAUAUGGAAUAAAGCGUCUAAAAUAGCUCAUCGCCACUGUACCGAAUGCUAUAGGGGAAAGAGGUUGGAGCGUAGCACCACAUCUACGAGGAGCAUCCCAAGUGGAAGCUCCUUCCGUAGAAGGAUCGAAUAUGUAGAGGUCCCCUUGGAUAAAAUGUGGACCAUGUCCCUCUGAGAUACUAGGGACCACUGGCCGAAAGCAGAUGGAUCAACUGGCUUGAAAGGAAUAUGUAGAGUCUCUGCAAUAUGUUUGGCCUCAAGGAUACCAUGACAUCCAUCAAUGGUGAAGUGAAUCGCGGUAGGACUCAGGAUGCCACGAGUAGUCAUAGACUGGUAAAAGUCUAAUGUUACUCUAGGAUAAAAGAACUCACAAUGAGUCAUAAGGUGCUCAAGAUAGUACCUCUGCAAUAGGUCAUAAGAGUCUCGGAGCUCAGGCUACUGUUGCAUGGCCUCUUGAUCAAAAUAUAACUCCGAGUAGGAAGGUCUCACUCUACAAUCUGAGUUACCCUCAAUGGGUGGUGCUGCAAACAUCGGGCGUUUGAUAAUAGACUCCAGUGACUGUCAGAAGGAAGCUCAGAAUCUACAGGAGCUUGAGCAUGUGUAGCUACAGGAGGCUCAGGUUGUGGAGCUCUAGAUAACUCGCCUAGGCCUGAAGUCCUGACCCUUUUGGCAGGAGGGCGCCGCACUGAAAUCUCAGGGCGUGAAGUAGUCGCCCCUGGUGUAGUAGGUGGUCUCCUUGUCUCAUAUCUGCGUUGAGGAGCAGGAUAUGAAGGACUUGUGGGCACUCCAUCCUCAAAAGGUGGAAUUUGUAGGGCCUCCGUGGCCUAAGAUGGAGAAUCACGAGGCACCCGAGCAGAUGAGGCUCUCUACCUCGAAGUGCGACUCGGUGAGAGGGCGGAAAGGGCUCCUUGGGUCCGUGCCAUGUCGAAAAUGGAAGGUGGGCCUUAGGUAUGUGCUCGAAGGGGGCUCGGAGUGCGACUCUUUGAAGUAAGAUGCGCGUGGCGGGGUGUUGAAUGGAAAGAGACGAGGUGACACUAUGAAGAGAUGAGGUCGCAAGGUGGCAAAGGAAAAUGAGGGGUUCGCAAUGAUAGGGGUGCUUGCGAAAUGAGAAAAUUAGGGCUCGGGGGUUUAAAAAGAGAUGGUAGAGUGUCUUUUGGUUUUCGUACAACGUCUUUUGAUUUUUGCAUAGAGUGCGAAAUGGGUUCGCAAACCCCUUAGGUUUUUGUAUAGUGUUUCGCACUGUGUUGGGUAUGCGAAAUGAGUUCGCAGGGUUAAUUUAUUUUCGCACAGUAUGCGAAAUUGGUUCGCAGGGUGUGCAAAAUUGGUUCGCAGGGUGUGCGAAAUUAGUUCGCAGGGUGUGCGAAAUUGGUUCGCAGGGUGUGCGAAAUUUUCACAGCCCAUGUGAAAUGAGCCAUGAAUUUCGCAUGUCUUGCGAAAAUUUCACAGGGUGUGUGAAUUGCCUUGGUUUUUCCUUUGCUAAGAAUCUUUAAGGACACACCCAACUGCUUUGAAGUCCCCCCUGCAAUUGAUCAUCAAAAACCUAAGUUAAAUCAAACCAAAAUAAAAUUAAAACAAGAAAUCAAAAUCAAAACAAGUAAUAAUACAAGAAAACUCUCAAAUAAAAAAUAAAACAAAAAGAUAUGGACUGAUAGUCUUUAGAAAGACUAAGUCCAUAAAAAAAAACUAGUCUUGUCAAGCUUGAUGUGGAUCAAGGAGGAUGAAUUCCUCUUUGUCAUGGGAAAAAUGCUCUACAAAGGGCUUGAGACGAUGGCCAUUCACUUUGAAGCUCCUAGUGCUGUUGGAGUUGAGUAGUUUCACUACUCCAUUUGAAUAACCUUGGUAAAUGGUAAAAGGACCUAUCCACCUUGAUUUCAGCUUGCCUGAAAAGAUGUGGAGCUUAGAGUCAUAGAGCAAGACUCUUUGUCCCUUUUGAAAAUCCUUAUGGGAAACCAACUGAUCAUGCCACCUUUUCAAUUUCUCUUUUGCAAUUUUUGAAUUGAUGUAGGCAUCAUUUCUCAAUUCUUCCAACUCAUUAAGGUCUAAGAACCUCUUCAACUUAGCUCUGCUCAAAUCCAUGUUGAGCUUCUUGAUUGCCUACUAAGCCUUGUAUUCCAAUUCCACAAGGAGAUGACAUGCUUUGCCAUAGACUAGGCAAUAAGGAGACAUCCCAAGAAUGGUCUUGUAAGCUGUUCUAUAUGCCCAUAGUGAAUCAAGGAGCUUGACUGACCAAUAUUUUCUGUUUGUGUUCACCACCUUCAUCAAUAUGUUUUUAAUCUCCCGGUUUCCUAACUCAACUUGCCCACUAGCUUGAGGGUGGUAAUGUGUAGCUACCUUAUGCUUCACCCCAUACUUGGCUAGGAGAGUUUCAAAAGGCUUGUUGCAAAAAUGAGUACCCCCAUCACUAAUUAUGGCUUUGGCGCUAUUUGAUGCGACUCAUGGUAGCUUAGCUUUAAAGGCGUAUCAACAAAAUUUAUACCUUAAAUACUAUUACUAAAGUAGCCAAGCUACUAUAGCAUAGUGGUUCUAGGAUCGUUCACUGGGAAGGGUUUUCGCAAACACUGGUGAAGUUCGGAGGAUGGAGUGAACUUUUCUUAAUAAAAAUUAGGUUAAGAUGAAAACAUAAAAAGAUGAAGGUGUUGUAAACUAAACUAACAUGAAAAUAGGUUAAAAGAUGGAAAAAGAAGUUUCUCAAAGCUUUGGAUAGCCAUGCUUAACUCACUAUGUAAAAAUGGAGAUUUUGGGACUUUUCACCUCGAGUUGGGGAAGCAACUAAGUGAUGCUUACUUCCCGAACCGGUAUGAGUUUAACAAUUGAGUUUUAGUCCUUGAAAACUUACAAAAAGGGUAGCUGACCUCAUAAAUGCUCUUUUAUUGGUAUAAGUCAUCUCCUCGACUUGCAAUACAAUUGCUCGUAGAGAUUACUAAUGAACGUCAGUGGAUCUACAUAAUGAAUCCCCUGANNNNNNNNNNNNNNNNNNNNNNNNNNNNNNNNNNNNNNNNNNNNNNNNNNNNNNNNNNNNNNNNNNNNNNNNNNNNNNNNNNNNNNNNNNNNNNNNNNNNAAGGUUUCAGCCUCUCAUCCUUGGGGAUUUCAUCCUCCAAGGAUGUUUGGCUACUAAGAAAAUGAGAAAGAAAAUAGAAAAGAAGCGUAUGAACAAAAGUGCUCUUAUAACUUAUAAAGUUACAGGUUACAAGAUAUCUUUGUCUGAGGCUCUUCACCUCUAUUUAAAGACAAUAACAAGCUAAAUUACAAGAGCUAUUACAAAAGCAACCUAUUCAUUGGUUGAUUACAAGGGUAAAAUAGGUAUUUACAAAGCUAAAAAUCAAGCAAAAUAUCUUGGAGAACCGGCAGUGGAAUAUCAUCAACAGCGUCUCAAAACAGGGGAUUUCAAAGGCAUUUUCGCAAAGGGGAAAGAUGAAGGGUCCAAAUUUCGCAAGGUGAAAAGGCACCUUGCGAAAUUUGGACCGGUCAUCUUGCACCUUGGCGAAAAUGCCUUGGAGAUCCUUCGUGUUGAGACGCGGUGUNNNNNNNNNNNNNNNNNNNNNNNNNNNNNNNNNNNNNNNNNNNNNNNNNNNNNNNNNNNNNNNNNNNNNNNNNNNNNNNNNNNNNNNNNNNNNNNNNNNNAUUUCGCAAGACGAAGGAGCUCCUUGCCAAAUUUCGCAAGGUGAAAAGGCACCUUGCGAAAUUUCGCAAGGUGGUUCUUCAUGGUGCGAAAUGGUGUUCCCAUGGCUUGAUGCAGUUGUCUUCCGAAGGCCAUAUCUUCCUCAUUUCAGCUCCAAAUCGUACACGGUUUGAAGCGUUAGAUUCUUGACUUCCUGAUCUUUGAAAUGGUAUAUAGCAUUUAGAAAAUGGACUUCAGGAAGUGCUCCAAAAGUGUGAAAGAAUACUGUAGCUUCUGUCCUCUAUUUUCUUCACUCUGUUUUCCUCUUCUCCAUUGUUCUUUCCUUGCAUACUUUGAACGACUUUGGCAAAGGGCUAUGGAGCUCCAAAGCUUGGUUCUUCAUGAAUUUGAGCUUCCAAAAUCUUUGCCAUGAACUAUAUACAGCUCUCCCUCAUUCUUGGAUUGCUUUGGUGUAGCUAAAAGCUAUCAAAAACACCAAAACUUAACACAAUUUGAUUAGAAACGAUUGCAAGGGUCCUUAACAUGUCAAUUGGGUUAAAUGAAUAUGAUUACUACUGAAAGGUGCUUAAAACCAUUAUAAUUAGGUCUACAAAAUAGCACUUUUUGGUAGUAAUCAGGCACCCCAAAUCUUGAGAAGAUGUUUUCCUUAAGAAACUUGGGAAUCACUCUAUGGUCAUUGUGUUUGCAUGAGAUUGCCUCAACCCACUUAGAAACAUAAUCUACUCCCACCAAGAUGUAAGAGUAGCCAGAAGACAUAGGGAAAGGUCCCAUGAAGUCAAUGCCCCAAACAUAAAAAAAAUCAACUAUCAAAAUAGGGUUCAAAGGCAUCAUGUUCCUGCUUGUCAACUUCCCAAGCCUCUGGCAUCGAUCACAACUCUUGCACAUGGUGUGAGUAUCUUUGAAAAGUGAUGGCCAAUAGAAACCUAUUGCAACACCCUCAUGGCUAUCUUCUAAGAAGCAAAGUGGCUUCCACAUGCAUUUUCAUGGCAAUGACUCAGGAUUCCCUUUUGUUGUUCUUCAGGAACCCACUUCCUUAUUAUCUGAUCCACACAAUACUUGAAUAGAAAUGGCUCCUCCCAAUAGUAGGCAUGAAUUUUUUCAACGAAGUGCUUCUUAUCUUGUGUUUUCUACUCACUUGGAACUUCUCCUAUGACUAGGUAGUUCGCAAUGUGAGCAUACCAAGGAGUAACUUCCACCAACAUAAGAGACUCUUUUGGAAAAUCAUCAUUAAUGGGCAAACCAUGGGAAUUAUGUGCGAUAGCUAGCCUUGAAAGGUGGUCUGCUACCACAUUCUCCACUCAUUUCUUGUCUUUGAUUUGGAGAUUGAACUCUUGAAGCAAGAGAAUCCAUCUAUUCAACCUUGCUUUAGCAUCUUGCUUAGUCAACAAAUACUUUAAAGCAGAGUGAUAAGUGAAAACCACAAUGAAAGACCUGACCAAGUAAGCACGAAACUUAUCCAAGGUAAAAACUACAACUAACAAUUCUUUCUAGGUGGUUGUGUAGUUUCUUUAAGCCUCAUUCAAUGUCUUGCUUGCAUAGUAGAUCACAUAGGGUUUUCCAUAUUCUUUUUGCCCAAGAAUAGCUCAUAUAGCAAAGUCACUGGCAUCACACAUUACCUCAAAGGGAAGUUGCCAGUUGGGAGCCCUCACUAUUGGUGCGGUUGUCAGAAAUAGCUUCAAUUCUUCAAAACUCCUUUGGCAUCUAUCAUCCUAUAUGAAUUUAGCAUCCUUCACCAAUAGUUCACAAAGAGGCCUUGCAAGCUUAGAUAAAUACUUGAUAAACUUCCUAUAGAACUCGGCAUAGCCAAGGAAUUGCCUUACUCCUUUGACAUUUAUUGGGGAUGGUAACUUAACAAUGAGUUCAACCUUUGCUUUGUCAACUUCAAUGCCUUGCUUGGAUAUGAUGUGCCUAAGGACAAUCCCUUGGUGUACCAUGAAAUGGCACUUCUCCUAAUUAAGCACUAAGUUUUUCUCAAUGCAUCGGUUUAGAACAGCUUCUAAGUUGACCAAGCAUUCAUCAAAUGCACUUCCAUAUAUAGUGAUAUCAUCCAUAAAGACUUCCAUAAUAUGCUCCACCAUAUCACUGAAAAUGCUUAACAUGCAUCUUUGGAAAGUUGCGGGUGCAUUGCAUAAGCCGAAAGGCAUUCUCCUGUAUGCAUAAGUUCCAAAUGGGCACGGGAAAGUGGUAUUCUCCUGGUCUUCAACAUCAAUUUCUAUAUGAAAGUACCCGAAGUAGCCAUCCAAGAAACAAUAAAAAGGAUGCUCAAAGACCCUCUCAAGCACCUGAUCAAUAAAGGGCAACGGGAAAUGGUCCUUCCUUGUCACCGCAUUCAGCCUCCUGUAAUUGAUACACACUUUCCAACCUGUAGUGAGGUGUGUAGAGACCUCUUCUCCCUUAUCAUUUUGCACCACCGUGAUCUCUGACUUCUUUGGCACAACUUGAGUAGGACUCACCCAUAGGCUAUCUGAUAUGGGGUAAAUAAUACCGGCCUGAAGUAGCUUAAGAACUUCAGCUUGCACCACCUCUUGCAUAUGAGGGUUCAACCUUCUCCGAGGUUGACAAACUGGCUUAGCUUCAUCCUCCAUGUAAAUAUGAUGGGUGCAGACUAAAGGGCCGAUCCCUUUCAAAUCAGCUAUUUGCCACUCUAUUGUUUUUUUACAUAUUCUAAGGACUUCAAGUAGACAAUCCUCCUGAUGGAUGGUAAGAGCUGAAGAUAUAACAAUAGGGCACUUCUUGUCUUCUUCCAAGUAUGCAUACUUCAAAUUUGUGGGUAGUGGCUUAAGAAUAAGCUUUGGGGGGUCCUCUUUAGCAGCUCUUUGUGUCUUCUCCUCAUUGAAUAAGGGUAGAAUUUCUUCUCUCCUCCUCCAAGGGGGUAGGGUAGCAAGCAAAUCUGAGGGUUCAGGUAACCCUUCAUUAAGAUCCCCAAAACUCUCAAUCAAAUCCUCCUGCAUUCUCUGAUCACAAUGCUCCUCCACUAAAGUGUCAAUCAUGCACAGUUCCUUUGGACCUUCUUCUUCUUCCAGAUGAAUAUGCUUCUAGCACAAAUGGAAGAUGUUGAGCUCUAAUGUCAUGUUGCCAAACGUGAGUUACAUGACUUUAUUCCUACAAUUGAUGAUUGCAUUUGAUGUAGCUAGGAAUGGUCUUCGAAGUAUGAUUGGAACAUAAUUAGUUCCUUUGACAACCGAAUCCGUAUCAAGAACAACAAAAUCCAAUGGAUAGUAGAAUUUGUCAACUUGAACCAAGACAUCUUCAAUCAUCCCUAUUGGAAUCUUCACUGAUCUAUCUGCCAGAGAUAGAGUGAUGGAUGUUGGCUUCAACUCUCCAAGUCCCAACUGCUUGUAGACAAAGUAGGGUAGCAAAUUCACACUUGCUCCCAAGUCCAACAAAGCUUUCUCCACACAAGUCCCUCCAAUACUCAUUGAGAUGGUAGGGCAGCCUAGAUCUUUGUACUUCACUGGAGACUUACACUAUAUGAUGGCACUCACUUGCUGAGUUAAGAAGGCUUUCUUGUUCACAUUCAACCCUCUUUUUACAGUGCAUAAGUCCUUCAAGAAUUUUGCAUAUGUCGACACUUGUUUGAUCAUGUCUAGCAAAGGGAUAUUGACCUUCACUUGCCUCAACACUUCAAAUUUUUUUGAUGCAUUAUUGGUUCCCUUUUUGCCAUGCAAAGCUUGGAGGAAAGGUGGAGGCAUGUGUUUCUUCAUCAUAUCUUCCUUGAUGACUAUCCUCUCGGGUUCUUCAUCCACACUAGAAUCAUGGUCAUCUUUCUUUGUACUUUUCCCUUUUCUCUUUCCUUUAAUUUCCUCACUCUUUUUUUUUUCUACUACACUCUCUUCAUCAUGCUUUGGCUUGGAUGUGGGCUGAUCAACCUCUUUACCACUCCUCAAGGUGAUAACUUCUUUGACUUCCCUCACUUUUGAAUAUUCUCCCUCUUGAGCCUCCAUUUCAUGGAUACCCUUGGGAUUUUGUUGAGGUUGAGAAGGAAACUUUCCUUUCUCUUGCACUGUGUUGAGGUUGGUAAGCCUUGAGAUUGCGUAUUGGACAUUGUCUAUCUUUUGAGACAGUCAUUUUGCAUCUCAUCCAUCAUUUUGUUCAAUGUACUCUCCAUACUAUCAAUUCUCUGAUUCAGUUGAGCAUUGAUGGAAUUCUAAUCUCCUACAAAGUCUCCCACAACCUUGCUAAGGUUCACAAUAACUUGUUCAAGAUUCGAGGCUUGCUAAGGUGCUUGAGCAGGUUGUGUGUACAGAGGUGGAUUUGGUUUCCAAGAGAAAUUUGGAUGGUUCCUCCAAUAUGAAUUGUAGGUGUUGCCAUAUGAAGCAUUGUUAUUGGGCUUGAAUUGACCAAUAACAUUUGCUUGAUCACCAAAAAUCUCUCUUACUACUGGAAUUGUAGGACACUCCUCCACCCUAUGCUCAUAAGAUUGACAAAUGGAACAAGGCAUAGCUUGCACUGGUAUCUCAGAAAUGGCUUGCACUUCUUGUACCUUCUUCAUUUCUAGCUCUUCCAAUCUCCUUGCCAUAGCUGCAACCUUUGCCUUCAUGUCAAUGUCUUCAUUCAAAACAUACAUCCCACCCUUAGCAUUAGGUUGAGACUUCAUUAUUCCCAACUCUCUAGCAUUUGGUUCAUCCCAUCCUCUUGAAACUUCAGCCACAUAACUCAAAAGGUCCAUGGCUUCCUCCGGAUUCUUAUUCAUGAAGUCUCCUCCACACAUAGUUUCUAGGAGUUGCUUCAUUGAAGAAGACAUACCAUCGUACAAAUAGCUCACUAAAAGCCAUGUGUCAAAGCCAUGGUGAGGACAAGCAUUAAUAGCUUUCAUGUACCUCUCCUAACACUCAUAGAAUUUCUUAUUCUCCUUAGUUGAGAAGUUCAAAAUUUGCCUUUUCAAACCAUUGGUCCUAUGAGUAGGGAAGAACAUCUUGAGAAACUCGGCUUGCAAAUCAAUCCAAGUUCGGAUACUCCUUGGCCUUAGAGAAUUAAGCUAAAUCUUGGCCUUAUCCUUCAAGGUGAAAGGAAAUAACUUGAGCCUCAUCAAGUCAAUUGAAGCUCCUCCUUCUUGGAAUGCAUUACAAACCUCCUCGAAUUACUUAAUAUGUGAGUAGGGAUUCUCACUUUCCAUCCCAUGGAAAGUAGGUAGGAGUGGCACGAUGUGAGGUCGGAUUACUAGUUGCUCAAUGGGAGGCACUAUGCAUGAUGGUGCACUCAUACGAGGUGGAUGCAUGUAGUCCCUCAUGGAUCGGUAUGCAUUGAAAUUAUCCUCUUGACCAUGUUGGCUAUUCUAGUCUUUAGGUAGAACAUCCAUGAUGUUCAAGCACACUUCCAACUCAGUUUCUCGAGGAGUUUCGAUUUUCACAAGUCUUCCCUCAAUAUCUCUUAUCUAAUAGGGCAUGCACAAUUAGAUACCACUGAAACAAAAAACAAAGAAAACAAAAGAAGUACAAUUCUAGGAAAAGUUAGGUUAGCUAAAAACUAAAUAAAAGAUAAGCUAAAAUAGAGACAAAGAAAAAUAAUUAGUAAAAGAAAAAUCACAAAACUUGUGAUGAAGAUCACAAGUGUUCACCAAAGGUCAUGUUAAUGCACUUUGGCACCAUCCCCGACAAUGACGCCAUUUGAUUCGUCCCUCAUGCAGUCAUGCCAUUUGAUUCUGGCCUAGACAGGUGUUAUCAACAAAAUUUAUAAAACCUAAAUCACCUUACACUAGGGUAGCAUAGCUAACAUAGUAUAGUGGCUUUAGGAUCGUCCACAGGGAUGGAUUUUCUUCGUACAGUUGACUUUAGUGAAGGAAAUAAAAUGGUGCUUUUCCUUAUGAAAAUUAGCUUUUAAAGAAAAUGGAAUUGUGGUUGCAAAGAUUGAUUUUAAGUUAAGCAAAAAUAAUAAGUGAAGUUAACUACAAAGAAAAGGUCUCUUGGAGCUUUAGGUCACUAGGAUCGGGUUCCUUAGGCAAAGGGAAAGAUUCCGGAUCUUCUCCUCGCGUUAGAGACAAUAACAUAAAGGAUGGUUAUCUCCUAAAUCGGUUUUGUAUUUAGCAAUUAAGAUUUGAUCUAAAGGGCUCAUGAAAAAUGGUAAUUGCUUCCCAUUAAUGGCUUCAAACACUAAAGACCCUCACCUUGAACCACCUUCUAAUGGCUCGUAAAUGAUAACUAAUAGACAUCCAUGGAUCUAGCAAUAAGCAUCCAUAGAAUCUGAAAAGCUUACAAAGUAUUGGCCAUUCAAGGUGAUUUUAAGGGAUUUAAAGCUAAACCUUGAAAUAAAAACCAUUAAUGGUUAACAACUACUUUCAUUUAAAGCAAGGACAACUCCCAUCUUUUCAUUCGGGUCUUUCACCUAGCUUCCCUUACUCCAAGAAACGUAAAACCUAGCCACUCAUCCCCUUAGAAAUCAUCCUCAGAGGUUGUUUGGCUAGAAAGAAAAGUGAAAACAAAAUGAGAAGGAAAGGUAGAGCAAAAGCUCUGUAUAUUUCUUUCUACGAGAAUUUACAAGUGUUCAAUCAUUUUUUCAUCCCCCUACGUCUCUUUCUCCCUCUUUCCCAAAAAAUGUUACCAAAAAAAAAUAUAAAAAGAUAUCAAAGAAAAUAUAUAGGUUGAUUACAAAGAGAAAAUAGAAAAUUACACAAAAUAUUUGGAGAUAAAAAUCUAACGAAGUCGGUGCAUAGGAAGAUUUCGCAUACCAUGCAAAAUUGUCUUUCACUCAGUCCUGCUUUCAGUCUUGUAGUUGCUCCUCCUCUUGAUUUCACAUGCUAUGUGAAAUUUUCACAUAACCAUGCGUAAAUGCUAGUUGUUGGAUUUCUUCCUCUGGUUUUCUUCCUUGCAUCUCUGAUUGGCUUGGCAGCCUAUUGCUAAGCUUGGAAAAGGGCCAUGAAGUGCUCCAAAGCUUGAAUUCUUCAUGUAUUUGAGCUUCAACUUGUAUUGCCGUGGAUUUCACAAAAUUCUCCCUCAUUCUUGGCUUGUUUCAAUGAUCAAAUAGCUACCAAAAACAACAAAACUUGCCAAAAACUGAUUAGUAACCCUUGUUAGGUUCCUUAAUGUGCCAAUUGAGUUAAAAGGUAUUAACUACUACUCAACAGUGUUUAAAACAGUUAGUUUCAAGCUAUAAAAGAGUACUUUUUGAAUAGUAAUCAGUGAUCAUCAUGAAACUGCAAAUUAAAUAAAUUUUGAGGAAAAAAAAUGAUUGAAAAUCUAAAUGCAUAUUGCUAGUUGACUUGAUUUAGAAUUUUAAGGAAAUAUAAUAGUUGAACCACAAUAAAAACCAGAAUUUAGUUGUAAAUUGUAUAUAAUAGACUCCCAUUCUUCAUUAGGUGAAUUACUUUCAAAAGAUUGGCUCAUUUUUGCAAGAGAACCUAUUUCUUUUCACAACAUCCAAAAAACUUCUCUUAGACCCUUGGCUACUCAACAAUAAGCUUAGAGAAAAGGAUGAACAACCCCUAAAGUUAUUAUUCAUAAAGUAUUAGUGUAAUUUACAACUCAAUAGGAAAUACAUGAAAUUUAUAUAUAAAAAGAUUCAUAUGUGCUGCAUUUUAAAUUUCCAUUAAAUUCCCAAAUGCAGGAACACAACCUUACUUUGGAGAUAUUUUUCAAUGACAAAUGAAAAUCAUGGUGUUAACAAUAUGUCAGAAAUCUUAAUUAAUAUCUAUAAAGUAUCGAUAUUAUUUUAACACUUACACUUAACUAACCAAAAUGCCAAUAAACACAUCGAAUUACAUACUGAUAAAAUGUUGAUAUUAUCAAAACAUUAUACAAACCAAAUUUAUGUUGUGAUUACCUUUUCUCUUUUUCCAUUUUUUUUCAUUUUGUAGAUCCUCCAAAAUGAGUUUUAAUUUUCCUUUUGAAUCCUCUAGAAAGACUUCUUAUUGCAUAAGACUUCUUUCAAAUAACAUUUUUUAUACAGUACUUGCAUUGAAUUACUUGCCCUUGACAUCACUUGUAUAUUGAUUUAUACAUAGAGCAUUUAAAUUAUGAAUCCAUCUUAAAUCAUAUCAAGAUUGUCUUCAACCUUUUGUUUUUGUUUGGUUGUAAGUUCUCAGCAACACAACAUCUUCCAUUUUAGGAAAACCCUAUCACCAAAAGCCACAAAACGAUUAGAAGCUAACCUAUUUUAAAAGGCCCAAUGAUUUAAGAAACAUUAUUAAGAUGGCUUUCUCAUCCAUUACUACAAAAAUUCCCUCCAUUGUAGGCAACAACAAAAAUUCCUAGUACCUCUCAUCAUGCCAAACACAUUUCAAAUGGGCAAUACACAUGUUAAUCAAAGCCACCGUAAAUAAUAUUUUUUUUGCACAAGAGACUUGGUCAAGGAACCAUAGAAGCUUUAGUCUAAAAAUAUUAUCUCUAUUGGAGUAAAAAAUAAAUAAAUAAAUAAAUUUUAAAAAUAAGGUUGAAUAUAGUGAACUUCACAUGAAGUUAAAAUAGACAAUGAAAAAAAAAAGAAAAGAAAAAAGAACUCCACAAUUUGAUCAAGAUGCCAACAUGACUAAGCAACUCUUGCUUAUAUCUAUGUUAUUUUCAGGAAGAAGCAUAUAUGGCACCACCACCCUUUCAUCCUUAGUGAAGGGAGAGUUAUGCAUGGGGUAUGGACUAAAAGCAAUCCACCAAAGCACAAUUGGAGCACUUUGGUGUUGCAUUUUUGUACUUUCAGCAAUAGAGUUUCAGUUAGACAAUACAACAUAGGCCCAUAGUACCACUUCUUUUGUGACUAUCAUACUUGCUGACAACACAAAAUAAAAUUUUCAAGGUAAAAAAAACAUCUACUGGAUUUCUCAUAUAGAUCCAAUCAAUGUAUCUCCUUGGAAUCAGAUAGGUGAGAUCAAGACAUGGGGAAAAUUACUUCACAAUGAAGAUACUCCUUGAUCUUCUUACAUAUACCAGUAUGCUUCAAAAUGGAGAGAAACUUGUAGACAUCCUAGUGAUGGUUAACAUAAAAUCUAUCAGCAACUAAUAAGAUUAAUUUUCAGGGGAUAAACUUGUAGAUCAUCCAUAUGCAAGGAUACUGAUCAGAAGCACAGUUGUGGACCCGCAUUUUUCACGUGCGUCCCCACUCGAUCGGCUAGACUCGCUUUUUAUUUGUAAAAAAAUAAUUUUUGGAAAAGUCGGAGUCGCCACUUAUUUUAUUUUUAUUUUAAAGGGAAAAUAAAACAAGAAAUAAAACCCUAAAAAAAACGACUCCAUAAUUUUUGGAAAAACAUGUCUUUGAAAAACUUGAGUCUAAGUCCAGGGAUCAGGUUACUUAUUGGGAAGGUACCUCUGGGAGGUAGCACCCCUCUAAGCCCUAAAGAGGUCUCUACUGACUAAAUUGGGGGUAAUGUGGCAAUUAAUUGAUUAAUUGAGGAUACCUAGAUAGACUAAGUUGAUUUCAAAAAAUAACAUGCCAAAUAGGAUCAAAUUACCAUAAAGAAGAGUUAGGGUGCAUACCAGGACGACUUCUCAAGCGUUAUCAUAAAACAUUAAAGUUAGUAUUGAGAUACAUCACACAACAUGCAUUUUAUCAAAGAUAAUCAAACAAUCAUCAAAUGUAUAUCAAGGCAAUCAAACAAGAUAGCAAGCAUGGGCAUAGUACGCAACGACAAUCAUAUUCAUAGGGUUUAGAAAGUGGGUAUUAGGGAACGUACCUGAAUAGCAUAUAUAACUCCUAAUGCUCCUUAGGACAUGAGGGUUAGAUAAUAAAUAAUAAAUAAUAAAUCCUAGCAUGCCUAUCUAAUUAAUUAGCAAAAAUUAUUAGGAUACAGAAUAAUUAACCAUACAUAUCUUGUAUACAAUUCCUAAAAAGAAAAAUGUAAAUAUGAUUACAAUAAAUAGCAGGGUAGUAGCAAAAAUAAAUUUUGAAAAGAUUUUCUUAUGUAGGGGUUUCACCAAUUCCCCAAAUUAAUAUACACGAAUUUAGCCUAAAAUUAUCCCAUUUAUUAGGACCACAAGCUUUGAUUCGUGUUUUGUUCAAAACCAAAAUUUUUGUUGAAAAUUGAAAAGGAUGCAAACCGAUUAAGAUACGGUUGCAUAUUAUUUUUUUAAAAAAGAAAAGAGAUUUUGAUUCUAGAGGCUUUAAAUGAAUUUUUAAAAAAAAUCUUAAAAGGUUUUUUUUUAGAAAAAGAGUUUUGUUUUAAAAUAAAAGAAAUUAACUUUUAAAAUAGCAAAAAUUGAAAACAAAAUAUCAAUCAAAACAAAAGGAAACAAAGAUCACAAAAUAAAGAUUUUAGAAAAUCUUGUCAAUUAAAGUGGUGAGAGUAAAGGCCAACCUUUGUGGGUUUCCAGUGGCCCUAAAAAAAAAUUUGACCAACAAUCACUAAAGCAACAAAUUUAUGACUUCCUAAUCAAACAAACUAACAAAAUUAUCAUCCAAAAACUAACAUUUAGAUUUCAAGAAACACGUGAAUAACUAGAAUUAAACUAAUUGGAAUUAAAAAUGUAAACUUUACCUCACAAGAUCAAUUAAACUAAAGAAUUAAGAUCGAUAACUCGUUCAAAUUAAAAAUAAACUAGAAUUUAAACUAAUCGGAAUUAAAAAUAUAAACUUUACCUUACAAGACCAAUUAAACUAAUAGAUUUAAGAUCAAUAACUCAUUCAAAUUAAAAAUAAACUAGGAUUAAACUAAUUGGGAUUAAAAAUAUAAAUUUUACCUCACAAGACCAAUUAAACUAAAGAAUUAAGAUCAAUAACAUAUUCAAAUUAAAAAUAAACUAGAAUUAAACUAAUUGGAAUUAAAAAUAUAAGUUUUACCUCACAAGAGCAAUUAAACUAAAGAAUUAAGAUCAAUAACAUAUUCAAAUUAAAACUAAACUAGAUUUUAAACUAAUCGGAAUUAAAAAUAUAAACUUUACCUUACAAGACCAAUUAAACUAGUAGAUUUGAGAUCAAUAACUCAUUCAAAUUAAAAAUAAACUAAAAUUAAACUAAUUGGAAUUAAAAAUAUAAAUUUUAUCUCACAAGAUCAAUUAAACUAAAGAAUUAAGAUCAAUAACAUAUUCAAAUUAAAAAUAAACUAGAAUUAAACUAAAAGGAAUUAAAAUUAUAAUUUUUACCUCAUAAGAUCAAUUAAACUAAAGAAUUAAGAUCAAUAACAUAUUCAAAUUAAAAAUAAACUCGAAUUAAACUAAUUGGAAUUAAAAAUAUAAAUUUUACCUCACAAAAUCAAUUAAACUAAAGAAUUAAGAUCAAUAACAUAUUCAAAUUAAAAAUAAACUAGAAUUAAACUAAUUGGAAUUAAAAAUAUAAAUUUUACCUCACAAGAUCAAUUAAACUAAAGAAUUAAGAUCAAUAACAUAUUCAAAUUAAAAAUAAACUAAUUGGAAUUAAAAAUAUAAACUUUAUUUAAACUUUCAUGUAGAUUAAAAUAAACUAGCAUAGAACUAAUGAAUUGCAAUCAUAAAAGAGAGACAUUUAAUCUAAUAAAAAUAAAAGAUUGUUUGAAAUCGAGAUUUAAAGGAAUUUAUCACAAACAAUUAAUUAAACCAAUAAACUAAAACCCAAACUAAAAAAAAGAAAUACUAUAUCGAAAACCGAAAACUAACCUGUAUUGUAUCGGAAAAAUACUCUCUUGUGUUUCAAGUCCUCUACUGCUCCCCCCAAAAAAACUCUUGCGCGUGUCCUCUCUAAAAAAGAUUGCUCUUGUAUGUGGAUCUCUGCUCCAAAAGAAAAGUCCUCCUCGUGUGUUCUCUCUAUGACAUGUUUAUAUGGCAACACCUUCUCUCUAUUGAAUAUUCUAUUUCCUUUUUUAAUGCACAUGGAUAAGGAAAGUGCAUACAUGGUGGCUCAUUGGGAGAUUCCCUCAAGGAUGCAACCACAUCUCGUUUGGUAAGUGAUACAAGUUGACUUUUCUUUUCUAAAAAAAACAAAAAGAAUCCCCCUUACAACCCACUAUAUGCGUGUUGUGCACAAAGUGGCCACUUCCUUUCUAUUUUCAUGUUAUUUUCCUUUCUACUCAUCCAUCUGUACCACAACGUUGCAUUCUAAGGAUACUUUCAAUUUCAUCAGCUGUCAUAUACUUGGAUCUGAACUGUGGCCACCCAACAUCACUCUUCCGACUACUAGUAUCCAAGCCUUGUUGAGAAAACCGAUGAUUCGGUCUACCUUUUUGCAUUGACUUGGGUCUUUGAUUCCUCAGAUCACUUAUCCCAAGCAUUGCUUCAUAUUUGUUCAUGAUGGGUGGAGCUGGGGAAAGAUGGGGAUUUAAUAGUUGGGGCUGCAACUCUGAUAAAUGACCAAAUGAAGGUUGAACUGAAUGAUGCAGUCUAUGCUGCUGUUGCUGCAGCUGCUGUGGCUGCUACUGUUCAGGAUAUGACGAAGUUCUGUACAGAGGCUUCAAUUCUGAGAGAUGGGCAGAAGAAGCAUGGGGCUGUGAUGACCAUCUUUUUCCAUCCUGAAGGCUUUCAGUCUCAAACAUAUGUUGAUCAAACCAGUAAUGUAGAUCCUCUUGUACUCCCCAAGAUGGUGCUCCUCAUGCAAAACAAAAUAAGAUAAGAUUAAAAAAUCAAAGGAAAAGAGAAGCAACUAAUGAAAGUCAUGAAAUUGGUAAUAAAGUGAAAUACGAUUAAAAGAAAAUGAAAGAGAAAAUGAGAUAUCAGAUUGUACAAUUCCAUCAUUCAAUAAGGGGGUUGUAUGCAUAUUUAAUAUCUAAACAAUUCUAACAAUUCUCUAUUAAGUAGGUAAAUAAAUGAAAGAAGAAAAAUAAAAAAAAUAAAAACAAAACGUAAUAGAAAUUAAAAAAUGAAUAAAUAAAUGGAUGAAUAAAUAAACAAAUAAAUAAAUGAAUAAACAAAGAAAAUAUAAUCAUCAAAUGCAUGCAAUAAUGAUCAAGAGAUUAUAUAAAAAGGUUGAGCCCCAAUGAAGUGUUUAAGCGGGUCUAAGGUGAACCUAGGCGAGUUUAAGGUGUCUAAACGGGCCCAAAAUGUCUAAAUUAGCCAAGGGUGAUGCCUAAGUGGACCUAAGAGCUAUCCUAAGAAGGAAUGAAAAGCUUAAGUCUAAUCAAGACUGCUAAGGAUCAUAAUAAGGGGUUAGGCAAUCCCUCAACCAAAGUCUCCGAGGUGGCUCAGAAAAAAUAAGUUGUAUGAGUAGUUAUGGGCCACCAAGGAAGUACUAUGAAGCACUAGAAAUGAACUUAAAGACAUAUGCUAAAGAGACAAAAUUGAGGGUCUACAACAGUACAAGAGCUAAAAUAGCAUCAUAAGGGGAUGGUAAAUGUUAAAAACAUGAGUUCGGAAGGAGAAAAUAUGCUAACCAACCUUCGCACAUUGAUUGCGGGCUUGAUUCCAAUCUACUUCUUGAUAAGGGACUAUGUAUAGCUCCUUUCUCAAAGAAAUAAUUGUGGGUGUAAUUAGACCAACAAACCUCUUCCCAUAUAUGUAUGACAUGGGCAAAUAAACCAUUCGGCAAUGACACCACAUCCGUCCUAUAGAUAAAAAUUUGAAAGCUUACCACCAAUAAAUAAAAUCUUGCUUGUAGUGAGAUAAAAUAAACCUGAAAAGCUGCCUAAUUUAUUGGUAACUUGUUUGUCAAGGAGAAUAAAAUUAAAGUCUUUAAUAAAGUGGAAACAAAACCUAGUUCUGUUAACAGGGGAGAAAAAAACCCGAGCAAAGUAAUUGAAAAAUCAAUUAAAGCUUUGAUUGUAAUGAAUUAAGGAAUAAAGAGGACACUCUAGGGGAAAAUCCCCAAAAAUAUAAAUAAAAUUGGCAAGAACCCAAAUGCGAGGAAAAUAUUUUUAAAAAAAUAAUUAAACUAGCCUUUUCAAAGUCUAGGAUUCUAUUUAAAGAAACCUCAUUGCUCCAUAGUUUGCUUCUAUUCUCUAACAUGAGGAAUAAAAUUAGAUACUACAGCUUUCCUCUAAUGUAAGAUUCUUGUCCUAGUUGUCCAAAAGCAAUUUUAAUUCUCCAAUCCUUCAUUAUGCGUUACAAUCAUAUCCAUUUGUAUUUUCUAGCCAUUUGACUUUCCCCAUUAGUUAGGAUCUUUGUUAUGCAUCAAAUUGAGAUUAUUAAUAACUUCUUCUACAGCUAACCAUGAUCCUUUACACCUCAUUGCAGGAGACUUAUAUUCAUAUCCAUAUUUAUAUUUACAUUUAUAUUUACCCACACACACACACAGUGAGAGAGAGAGAGACCUGGAUUAACUGGAAGAAUGUAAGGACAUAGCCACACUUUUGGUAGGAGUGGAUUAUUCCUAGACCAUUCAUAUGCUCCAAGUACGUAUGGCUAGCAGAAGCAAAUCAAAUGUUAACUCAUAGUUGCAAAACAAUUAAUAUUUUAGCUCAAGCCAAAAUUUUUGAGUUCAUACAGAAAACCACAUUUCCCCCCAAGAAGUUAUUGCAGUUGCACCCCCAUGGUCCAAGAUCCAUUUUCGCCCAUUUUCCAUUGCUCUUUCUGCACCAAAAGCUCCUUCACCAAGUAAUUUUAGAGUAGCAUAGCUGAGCACAGUACCAAACAUGGUGCUCGGACCCUCAAUGUGUAGCCCCCUACCUCCAUCUUCGUUUUGCAACAAAAUGUGCUAUCCUUUUAAUUACUUUUGUUUCUUCACUAGCAAUGUCAAAGCUAGCCAAGUAAAUGGUAAAAGGCUUCAUUUGGUUGAAUUUUUUAGCUUCCCAUCAAAAUAAUAGCACUUUACAUGAGUAUGUAGAGAUGUAGCUAGUACAUACAUGCAUUUAAUGUUCCAUAACGAGUGCAUAGUUACAAGUCACUCAAGUUGGAUGGGAUAACACAACAUGAAUAGAGUUUUCUACCACCCUACCAUUUGGGACUAUUAUUAUGUGCAAUGAAUGUGAAGUUAUUAUGUGGUAGGUGCAUCAUAAAUAUUGGUAAUAGGUUACUUGUAGGUAUUAAUGGUCCACUGUGGUACAAUCAAAUCAAAUGCUACAAAAGUUUUCUAAUAUUUUUUCUCUUAAACAAAAAAUGGCCAAAUUCGGGAUGGGUUUUUGUACACAAGGUAUAAAAUAUUGGUAAAUACGAAUAUGUUAGUACUUGGAUUUUAUAGAUAUAUCGAAAAUACCGGUGGAUAAUUUGACAAAAAUAUUGAUGAGAAAAAAAGCUUGAAAAAACUCUAAAAACGAUAAAAUAAGUAAGAAUAUAUAUAUAUAGUAAAGUUAUUUUGUAAGUGUAAUUUAUAUAAGUAUAAUUAAAUAUAAUAUUUAUAAAAUUUUUAUAAAAAAAAUAGCAUAAAUUCAUUUAAUAUAUUUAAGAGAUUUAUUUUAAAAUUAUAAAAAUACUUUUAUUGAAACAAUUUUUAUUACAUUUUAAAUAAACAAUUAAAUUGAUUUAUAUAAAAUAUUUUAUUUGAGAUAUGAUUUCUAAAAAUUUAUUAUAAAUAUGUGGUCACAAUUUUUCUGUUAACAUUAAUUUAUUUAAAUAAUUAAAAUUAUUAAUAAUUUAUCUUGUCAAGUUAAUUUUAAGUUAUUAAAUAUUAGGACUUCAUUAAUUUAUUUUUUUAUAUUAUAGCAAUUUUUUAGUAAAACUAUAUUUUUAAUAUUUAAAAUACAAACAUUUAAAAUUAAAUAAAAGUAAAUGGAUAAAUAAAAGAAAUUAAUAAUGAAGUGAUAGUAAUUUUUUUAAAAUAGCAUUAAUGAGAUAAAUAUAAAAAGUAGUUAAACAUAAAAAGAUAAUAUAGAUUUAAAAUAAAAAAUAAAUUAAAAAUGAAUAAUGAAAAACUUUUAAAAAUGAUAAUUUUUUUUUAAAAAAAUAAAAAUUUCAAAUAAAUCUCUGAUUUUAAAUCAACAAGGAAUCAUUUCCAUCACUUAUUUCAUAUGAACGUCAAGGGCCAACCUUUCAAGCUAUUAGCAUGCCUCCAUUUGCCUUACUGCCCAACCCACACCUCAAAUCUAGUCAUCUUGAAGGCAUGCCUCUAACAGAGAGUCAUCUUUAUAUUUUCCUACUGCACAUAGCUUAACAAAAAUAAGUUUUUCACCCACAUUUAUGCGUCUUCCAUGAAGGUUGUGCUCUUAGGUUGACUAGUGCACAUAGGCUACCAAUAUAAUGGUUUCACCCAUAGGUAUGCCUCUAAAAUCAAGGGUGUGGCCCUAGUUUGCAUACUGCAUAUAGUAUACCAAAAUAAUGUUAUCAUACCAUGGUACAAAUUUUGCUAUUACAAUUACAUUAUCAUGUAACAUAUCCCAUAAUAUUGAAGAACAUACAAUCACAAUAUAUGUACACUAGAAAAUGACUGCAUUUACAAACCCAUUAAACACAAACCCAGAAAAUGACACCACCACAAACCAUCCAUGCCAGGAAUAAAUUCCAUUAUAUGCCCAAUCCUACUAAAAGGCCUCACAAUGUUGAAUUGUAGGCCAUGCUCUACCCCCUUGUCUGUAAAGAAUGAAACAAAAAUAUAGUUCAAGCCUAUAUGAUACACAUACAUGGUAAGAAACAUCCACAUUGAUGGAAAAGUUAAGUCACCAUAAAUCAACCUCUAAAUCAAUUGCUUCGCACAGGCAUAAGACCACUUUUUCUUCUUAAUUGGAAAAAAAAAUGCAGGAGGAGAAAUAUACAAAUUUAAUCCAUUUGAACAAUAACACAAGAAGAAACAAAUAACAAAUAGCAUAUGAUAGCUUCAAAAAAAAUUUUUAUUUCUCAUUCUGCAAAUAGAAAUGAUAAAGCAGUGGAAUGUCCACAAUGAUCAAGACCAAAGAAAAAACAUUUUGUAGUGGAGGUUAAAACUUGUACCAAUUACUCUAAAUCUAUUAACCAAAGAAGAAAAACAUUUAAAUGCAAGAUAAUCAAAAAGAAAAACACUUGAUGAAAAGUCUUCUAAUUUUCCAUACCUAAUUAUCAAAUGACAGUAACUAUCUUCACUAAGGUGAUUGUGAAAAUCCCGGAAGCACCUUUUGAUUGUAAUAGACCAUAGAUGUUUGAGUUUGAACCACUUGUUGAAGAGCCUUAAUCACAAUUGGACCCGCUAUAAAUGCUGCACCUAUUUACUAAUGAAGCUGAGACGACUAAGAUAAUUAUCUUGCAGGGUGCCUAUAUGUAUUAUCCAUUGGUCUACCAGUACAGAAGAUUGAGAGGGUUUUAAAUAUUGUCAAUUUGAUUUUCAUAUGAGUCUUGUGUGGAAGUUUCAAUUACAAAGAAUGAGUACAACACAACUAUACUCCUAAUAAACUAUAAUUUAUGGAAGCAUAAAGAAAUUGUCAAUAAUAUAACUUGAAAAAAAUAAAUAUGUCAUUUACUAUAGUUUUAUAUAUAUAGGGAGGUGAUAUCAACUAACCUGGUAGUAAAAUAAACCAUGCAUGCAUUGGAAGCAGAGGUAUUGAUAACUUAUCCCUUCAAUUGUACCAUAAAGAAGGCAUGACAUAGCCUCAAAUUCUAUUAUUCACUAUAGAUGGCCAAGUAAGAGUUUAAAUUAGAAUGUAUAGUUAAAUAAUUGAAUGAAAUAUAACAAAAUAAAUGAAUUGUAAAGGUUACCCAAUACUAUUAUGCAUCGUUGGUUGACCAAAUAUUAGCCGCAACCAUUUCACCAAAUUCAUUUUCACUAUCAAGAACCAUUUGAAUUGCUCUGCUUACUUAACAUGAAUUAGGAAUUAAUGUCUUUUAUUCCUUAUCCUCCUGGUAUAUAUAAUAUAGAUUAUGAUCGUGUAAAAGAACUUAAUAAUAGGUUGUAUUCUCAACGUAAAGAAUUUAGAGAAACUUGUGAUAAAUUACAUAAUUUAAGAACUACUGUAAAAGAUUUAACCACAGAUAUUAAAAAUUUAACUUCUCUUAAAUAUUUGAAUGAAUACGAAGUAGCUAUACAAGAAGCUUUUGAUGAACUUUUUGCUACAGAAACCAUAAUUAGAAGAGAAAUUAUAAAAUUUUAUAUUGAUAAUUUAUAUGCUAGCUCAUCUAAUUAAAACAUAUUAGAGAUAAUGAACCCUCAUCUACAAACCCAAGAGGUAAAACAGUUAAAAUUUUUAGUAGAGACACAAUUAAAAAUAACAAACGAAGUAUUACAAGAACAAAUUCAGAAAGAAAACCAAAACAAUAUAGAUAUUUUAAAAGAAAUCCAGAAAAGACAAAUAAAAUCUGUAGAAAAACUAAACACGGUCUUAGGAAUUAGAAAAGAAGCUGGAAGACUUUAAGAACCAUAAUUUGCUAAGAAAUAACCUAGAUUAUAUUAAAGAACAAUUAGCUAGAGAAGAAAAAUUUGUUAGAAAAGAAAUAGAACAAAUAAAAUUAGAACAACAAAAUUUAAAAGAAACUUUAGAAAAAAUUAACCAAAAAGUAGAUAAACUUUUAGAACAAAGAAAUAUAGUAAUAUCAGAGGAACAAAAAUUAAAUAACCUUUUAAAACAAUUUGAAAACUUUAAUUUAGGAGAAAAACCAAUAAUUAAAAUAGAAAGAAAAAUAAAUCCUUUUGAACCAAAAAAUCUAGCAAUAAAACCAUGGAAAUAGUAGAAGCAAUAAACCCUCGAGACAAUGUAAAAGAAUUUAUUGAAGAAAAAUUAAAAAAGGCAGUAAAGGAAGUAACACCUUACAAAAAACAAUUAGUUCAAAAUUAUAAAAUAACUAGAUUUUUAAAUCAACAUACUAUAAGUUCAAUAGGAAAUAUUGUAUAUUUAGAUUUAGUAUCUCCAGAAACAAAACAUAAAUUACUAAAAAAUAAAACCGAUAAAUAUAUGCACUUAGGAAUAAUUUUGAUAGGAAUAAUAGGACUUCAUCGUAAAGAAAUUGGAGCACUUAUAAAUAUUAACCUUUUAGAUACUAGAAACAACACAGUAGGACGAGCUCUUUUAGCUAGUGCAGAAGUUAAUAUGAACCAAAAUUACGCAGUUAUUGGUUGUAUACCUCAAUUUUGUAUAGAUCUUAAGGAAUUCACAGAAAAAAUAAAAAUAACUGUAAAUACUAAAGGUUAUGAUAUGGAAGUAGGAAGUAAAAACCUUAGCAUAGCUAUAGGAUUUAUAGGAAAAACUACUAAUGCUUUAAGUUUAAAAUGUAUGAUGGAAUUCGAUGAUAUAGUAAAAACCUUUGGAAGUAAGAUAGUAAAUAUGAUAGAAGCAAAACCUGUAAAUAUAGACUAUUUACUAGGACGAGAGUGGGAAUUACCUCAAAUAAAUAAACCAAUAAUAAGAUAUCCAACAUCCAGUAGCUUAUAUGAAAACCAAGAUGGAAGUGCAAGUAUAACCUUUGGAAAUUAUAAAACUGUAAAUGUAGAGGUAGAGUCAGAUAGUGAGAUAGAAAAUGUAAAUGUUAUACAAGAAGAUAUUUUACUAAACAUUGAGACAGUAGAAAACCUAUACAAAAACUCAGAGUUAGUAAAUAUAAUGUUAGAAGAAUUUAGUAAUCCAAUAUUACUAGACGAACAAAUGGAUCAAGAAAACUUUGCUAAUAUAAUGUGUAACAACUAUACAGAUGACCAAAUAAUAGAACAACUCUAUAAAACCAAUUUAAUCAAAAAACUUAUAGAUAUAGAAAUGAUAAAUCAAUUUACUAUUCAACCAAAAGUUAACGAAAACAUAGAAAUAAUCUCAAACGAAUCAAUAAAUACAAUAAAUGAAGAAAAAGAAACUGUAAAUGUAAAAAGUGAAAUAGUAAAAUAUAAUAAGCCGUAUAGCAAGCCAAAAGGACCUCAAUGGAAAACUAAAACAGAACCUUCUAGUUCUUUGCAACCAAUAUACGAAUAUGGAACAAUAUUAGAUAUAGAUAGUGCACAAGAUCUUAGAAAAACCAUAGAAAAUUGGGAGCAAUCUUUAAAUUCAGCAGGUGUGGUAGUAUCCUUUGAAAACCAACAAGAAAUUUAUGAAUUUUGGAAAAGCACCCUUAGAGGAACUGUACUACAAUUUUUUAGAAACAUGGAACAAGAAAACAGCAGUUAUUUUCAAGAAGUCAGAAAUAAUUUUAGCAUAUCUGUAUUUAUAAAUCUAAUAAAACUUUAUUUUUUAGGAACAACACAAGAAGAUGUAAAGGAACCUGCAAUAUACCUUCAUAAGUUAGAACAAUUGAAAUUAUGUAACCUUUCAUAUAUAAGAGAAUAUGAACAAAAAUUUAGGAAAUAUGCAAUCCUUGCUAGAGUAGACAGAACCCCUGAAUAUUUAAAUAAAUAUAUAUUAAAAAUACAAGGACCCGUAGGACUUAGAUUAUGGAAUGAAUUUACAACCUCCGAGUAUAAAAACUCUCCUUAUAUAGGUGCUAGAAUAGAAUUUGUAAAAAAUUGGUUAGAAAGAGAAUGUGUAAGUAUAGGAGAAAGAAGUCAGAUAAAGAAACAAGACAUAAAUCAACAACUUUGUAGAAAAUUACAUAUAGGAGAAAAUCUAGAUAUAGGAUGCAGAGAAUAUAAGUUUAGAAAACCUAAGAGAUAUAAUAAAUUUUUAAGAAGAAAGUCAAGAACCUUUUAUAAAAAACGACCAUAUCAUACAAGGUAUAAAAAACCUGGAAAGCUUUGGAUAAAAUGAAAAAGAACCUCAGAAAGAAAAAGACAGUGUAAAUGUUAUUUGUGUGGUCAGGAAGGCCAUAUAAGACCUGAAUGUCCUGAACUUAAAAAACCAUUAAAUGAACGAAAUAGAAAAACCCAAGUAAAAAUAAACCUAAUAAAUGAGUAUCAGCUAGAUAGUGAAGAAGAAGAACUUAUCAGUGAAUUAGACUUUGAAAGUGAAAAUUCAAGUGUAUAUAGUGUAGAAGAUAGUGAAAAUGAAAAAGAAGAAAUUUGUAUGAUUAUUGAAAAAGAGGAAAAUCAAGCUAAGAAAACCCCUUUAAAUUUAGAAAACCUUGUACAACCUUUAGAAAGUAAAAUAAAACCUUAUAAUAUAUGGAAAGAUUUACAAAUAAUAAUCAAAGGAAAAUUUUCAAAAGAAGAAGAAGAUAGUAGUUCAAAAACUAAGGACACAGAAGAACACACAGAAGAACCAAAAAGUCCUGUAAAAGAACCAAUGAAUCCUGAAAAAAUAACCAUACAAACAAUAGAACAAGUAAAUAUGGCAAAUAAAGUUAAAUCUAUUAUUUUUCCAACAACAAUUAAAUUAAAAACCAUAGAAUUAAAGGUAGACGCAAUGUUAGAUACUGGAGCCAGUAAAAACCUUUUAUUUGAAACCUUAGUACCUCAAGAAGAUCAGCAAACAUUAGUUCAACCAGUAGAAUUAAUCCAAUACAAUCAACAAAAACUAAUACUAACCAAGUAUAUUUCAAACGUACCAAUCAUAAUUAAUAACAUAACCUUAGUAUUACCCCAAACUUAUCUUGUACAUACUAUAAGUUUAUAUCCUUUUAUUUUAGGUUUAAAUUUUGUACAUUCUUUACAAGGAGGGAUAACAAUACAAAAUAACCAAGUUAGUUUUCAUCCUAAAACCACAACAAUUGUUUAUACAAACAUAGAAAAUGUAUUAAAUAAAAAUCAUAAUGUAACAUCUCAUCAAAUUAGCAAAGUGGAGGCACAAAAGGAUAGCAUAAUUAAUGACUACUCAGAACAAUUAAGAAAUGCAAAUAGAUUAAAAACCCUUAUAUUAGAAGCAGAAAAAAUAGGAAUUAUAGGAGAAGACCCACAAAAACAUUGGAAUAAAAAUAAGACAACAUGUAAAAUACCAAUUAAAAACCCAGAUUUAACAAUAAAAACUGCAGAUAUAGCAUGCAAUCUUAUAGAUACAAAGGAAUUCAAAAUUCAAAUAGAAGAACUGUUACAGAAUAACCUCAUAAAACCAAGUUUCAGUCCCCAUAGAUCCUCAGCCUUUUUAGUUAGGAAUCAUAAUGAAGAAAAACGAGGAAAAGCUAGGAUGGUUAUUAAUUAUAAAAGAUUAAAUGAUAAUACAUAUGAUGAUGCCUAUAAAAUUCCGAACAAAGAUUCUUUAAUUAAUUCUAUUCAAGGAUGUAAAUAUUUUUCUCAGUUAGACUGUAAAAGUGGAUUUUGGCAAAUCAGAUUAGAAGAGGAUAGUAAACCAUGGACAGCGUUUUCAUGUCCUUGUGGAUUAUAUGAAUGGAAUGUAAUGCCAUUUGGACUAAAAAAUGCUCCUCAGAUAUUCCAACGAAUGAUGGAUAAUAUUUUUGGAAAAUAUUCUUUUGUUCUUGUAUAUAUUGAUGAUAUUCUUGUCUUUUCAUAUACUCUUCAAGAACACAUAAAGCAUUUAGAAUUGAUUUUUGAAAAAUUAAUUAGUCAUGGAUUAAUAGUAAGUAAAAAGAAAUUGAAAUUAUUUAAGACUCAAAUAGAAUUUUUAGGAUUAGAACUAGAGGAUGGACAAAUAAAAUUACAAGAACAUAUAGUACAAAAAAUAAAUAAUUUUCCAGACAAACUCGAAGACUUAAAAACCCUUCAAAGUUUUUUAGGAUUAUUAAACUAUGCUAGGCCAUAUAUUAAAAACCUUAGUAGAUUAGCUGGACCCCUUUAUAGUAAAACAAAAAAUACAGGGCAGAGAUAUUUUAACCAAGAAGAUAUUAAACUUAUACAGAAAAUAAAAGAACUUGUGAAACAUCUCCCAACCUUACAUUUACCCUUAGAAAAUGAAUAUAAAAUAGUCCAAACUGAUGCUAGUCAAACAGGAUGGGGAGGUAUACUUUUAGUUGUAACUAAUAUAGGAGAAGAAAAACUUUGUAGAUAUUGUAGUGGAACUUUUAAUGAUUAUCAAAAGAACCUUAGCUCUACAGACUUAGAAAUUGAAGCAAUAAUAUUAUUCUUAGAAAAAUUUCAAUUAUUUUUGAACCAAGAACAAUUUACUUUAAGAACCGAUUGUGAGAAUAUUAAAAAAUUCUUUGAAAACAAAAAUUCUUCAAAACUGUCCACCAAAAGAUGGAUAAAGUUUCAAAACUCUUUAAUUGGUUUCAAACCUAAAUUUGAACAUAUUAAAGGAAAAGAUAAUAUAUUAGCAGACUGGUUAAGUAGACAAAUAAUUAAUAAUGUCGAUAAUACUAAUGAUUGAUUUCAUGAUUACAGGAACAUGGCUCAAAGAAAACCUACGAAAGCUAGAACUUUUCAAUAUGGAACCAUAUGUCUAAACGAAGUGUUGAAUCCAAACCUAAGGUUUAACUCUUUAUUUUCUCAAAACCUUUUUGAAGAACAUAAGGUUAUUGUAGAUAAUUUUUGGUCUUUAAAACCACAAAGUUUUCCGAACCAAAAUUUAGAAUACGCUUAUGGAAAAACAGUGUCAGCUUUAGCCCAACAUUUACAAAACCUUCAAAACCAACUGAUUGCUUUAGAAACCCAAAAAUUCCAAAACCUCAAAAUCCAAGAAAAUCAAGAAAAACUGAUAGAAGAUUUGAAAACCAGUACAGUGUCAACCAAUCAAACCAGCUGUUCAAACAGUCAACCUGAAGUAAUUAGUUUAAUUAAGAAAUCAGCUCUUCUGACUGAACAAUAUGAAAGGCUUGUUGUUAAAAAUAUAAUUGGAGUUGAUAACUACUCUUUCGUCAAAACCUUUUUUCUACAAAACCAAUAUAACAAAGUGUUUAAAAAUCAAGAACUUUUGUAUAAACAUUUUAGAACUAAAAAUGUCGGGAUAAAAACAGGGUAUAUGGCAUAUCACGACCCUGAAUUUUUCUUUGUUAUAUAUUUAGCUUAUGUAAAUAUGUCUGCUGUAAAUGAAGAAAAUUUUGAUUUAGUACCGCAAUUUAUGGAUCAGGGAAUUUUAAAAAAUGUUUUUUAUGAACCAUAUAUCUCAAAUCCCUGAAAAUUUCCCAGAAAAAUUGAAAGAUAUUUUAACUUAUCUUUUUAAAACCGAAAAAUAUAUAGAUAUUUCUUUUGAAACCAUUCCACCUUUCUUUCAACCCGAUGGAUCAGUAGUACCAGCCUAUCAUCAUGUAUACAUAAAACAUAAUAAAGAACCACUCAUCCCUCAACAAGAACCAGAAUGGGAAAUGACCCGUUCAGAUGAAUUUCCAGAAUUUUUUACUCGCUACAGAGCUUUUCAAAUCUAUGAUCUUAGACCAACCCGGAAUAAAUUAUUUCAUCUCAUUGGCGAAACAAAAACCAUGUCUAUAUAGAGAAUAAAACCUUUAGAACACAUUAUUGUUCCAAACCCUUUUAUUACUUCUGAAGAACAGGAUUUUAUAACCGAACUCAGUGUAGAUAUACCGGAACCAUCUUCCUACCUUAGCGAUGACGCAUUAUUUUGGGACAACCUGGACGAUGAAAGUUAUCAUAAUCUACAAAAUGCAAUGGAAGGAUGAUGUCAGCAAUGACGACAUUGAAGCAGUAAAUGCGUCUUCAACUACAAAAAUUAAACAUGGCAGUACAAGUUCAGAAGCAGUAAAGACAUCCACAAGCCACGUGUUAUGCAUGAAAUAAAAAGAGAAGAAAAGGACAAGAGAAAGAGACAAGAAGGAAGAGAAGAACGGAUGAAUAAACAAAAGUCACAAGUCUCAAAAGUAAAAGUCUCCAAAAGUCUUUGUAUUUAUUUUAUACCAAACCUCUGAACACCGUAAAUAUUUUUCCUACCAUCCAACCACUUGAAAUUAAUUCUCACCUGUAUUCUCACCUGUCAUUUGUAAAUGCUUUGCAUAUAUAUAUGUGGUAGUAAAAGAAAAGAGAGGUGUGCCCGAGAGAGUGUGUCAAAAGGUGUGUGCAAUAGUGUCUGUAAAAGGAAGCUCCAUUUUCAGCCUGGUACAUUCAUCAGCAAUCAAUAAGAAAGUAAGAAUUUUCUGUUAAAUUUUUGCCUUCAUUUAAAUUUAUUAUGUAUUUUUCUUACCCUUAGGGGGUAAAAAGGGGUAAAAAGGUAAAGUUCGGUACUCUGAAAAUCAAUUUGAAUCUACAGUCUCCUUUCCUAAUUAAUAUACUGCAAUACACAGAGAGAAGCUCUGAUACCAACUUUUCUCAUCACAUCACCAGUUUCAACAACAGUUUGUUUUCAACAACAGUUUGUUUGAAAUCUCCGUUAGCAAUGGAAGUUUAAUAGAAUUUAAAGUGAGAACAAAGUGUGAACACAUUUAUUGCUAGCAUUAAAAUAAUACAAACACUUCUCCCAUACUUAAUAUUUUAAUAUAAACUUUACAAAGACUUAUUAAAAUAGUAUAAAAAUUUCAAACACUUAAUAAAAUAAUACAAAAGGUUUCAGUCAUUUUGAAAAACUUAAUAUUUUAAUAUAAAAUUUUUUCAAACACUUAUUAAAAUAAUAUAAAAAGGGUUCUGUGCUUAUAGUUAAAGCUUUUUUAACAUAUAAAAUUAAGUUUUUGAAAUCUUGAACGUAUAAAAAUUAAGUUUUUGAAAUCGGAUAUCUCAAAAAUUCAGGUAGUAAAAUUCAAAAAUUUUAAAACAUCACUUCGUUUCAAGGUAAUACCCCCCUUCUGACCAGACAUAGUCUCCCUAAAACGCCAAUUUUCCGGCAAAAACGGGUUUGAGGUCAAGGGUUAAGACUAAAGACUCUAGUUUUAAAACAUGAUUUUACACCCAAAAUUUUCUAAAUAAACUGAUUUUUUAUUUUUUAUUUAUGUUGAUGAGAACAUUAUAUAAAAAGGAUCCAUGUAUAUUACAUAUAUUAACUAGUAAAGAAAACUUAAAAAUAAUUCAAAUAAUUUUCAUUUCCCUACUUUACCUUUUAUAUAUAUAUAGCACAUAUAUACGCCUUGAUCUGAUACACUGAAUUUAUUUAUAGAUUAAUGAGAGUUGACAUGUUAGAAGAUAAUGGCCUCUCUUUAUGAUGUGGUCAAAGUAUAUCUUGUGUUUUUAUGACACCUCAUUAAUGUUUCUUUUUUGUUAUGUUGCUACAUAAAAUCAGACCUCCAUCUAUCAUGUUCUAAUAUUAUACAAAAUCAUAAUUCUAUCCCAUAAUGCCAUUAAUAUUCUAGCCCAUGGCUGAGGUACCUUCCAUCUUGUUAGCAAUUUGAAUUUCCACGAGUUCUUAAAUAAAAUAAUUAUUUUAGAGUCUCUAAAAUAUAAGUCACAUCAUCAAAUAAGAGAUUAUAAAUUAUAUAUUUCAAAGUCAUAAAAUGAAUAAUUAGUUACUAAUUUAACAUAGCUACUUAUUCAUAAAAUUAAUUUUUGACUAUAAAAAAUAAUUUAGCAAUUAUAGAAAAACAAUAAACUUAAUACUUGAAUAUAAUUAAAAAACUAAAAAUGUUAAAAUUUGUCUUAUCAUUUUCACUUUUUCAUAAUUAAAAAUAAAUAAAUAAAUAAUAUAUCAAUUCAUAUUUUGAUAGGUUAACCAAAACUUUAGAAACACCUUAACCCUAAAAUUUUCAUUCAAACAUUGUUAAUGUCAAUUCAAACACCAAAUUAAGUACAACUUACAUGGGCUGGAACCAUCCAAAUUGCAACCCUAUUUUUCACUUGUUAUUUUCUAAACUACCAACAUUGUUGUAGACUUUACACCUCAAACCAAACAUAGCAUAAAGGAAACCCAAUGGAUAUAUCAAAUUGGUAAUAUCCUUUCCUUAUUAAUGAUUCGACUCAUGGUAGCUUAGCUUUAAAGGCGUAUCAACAAAAUUUAUACCUUAAAUACUAUUACUAAAGUAGCCAAGCUACUAUAGCAUAGUGGUUCUAGGAUCGUUCACUAGGAAGGGUUUUCGCAAACACAAGUGAUAUUCAAAUUAGGAAAAUAGGUGAUUUUCUUAUGGAUGUUAGCUUUAAAAGAAAAUGUAAAUGUUUUAGAAAGAUUUAAACUAAUUUAAGCUAACAUUAAAGACUAAAAUGAAAGGGUGUAAAAACAAGUUUCUCAAAGAUAGGAUAGCUAUGCUCUGGCUCUUAUGCAAAUUGGAAAUCUCAGGAUAGGCUCCUCGCGUUGGGGUUGCAACUAUGGUGAUGCUUGCUUCCCGAACUGGUAUGGAUUUAGCAAAUCAAGUUUUAAUCCUUUAAAAUGGCAAAAUAGAUGGUAGUGAAUUUCAUCAAUGGUUAUUCACCUUAGACUUCCUUUGAAUGGCUCGUAAGAGAUAACUAAUGGUCUAAAGCCAAAAGCUUACCAAAUAUUGGCAACUCAAAGUCAUUCCAGGUGAUAAACUCACCUUUCAAUGGCCAUUGAAAUUGGUUCUAACGGAUUAAUGCAAAACUUGGAAUUGAAAACCUCACCUUCCAAUAGCUCGUAGGAGAUAACUAAUGGAUAGAAAUCCAAAAGCUUAUCAAGUAUUGGCCAUUGGAAGUUGUCAAAAGGAAAUAAAAACCAAACUUUACAUUAAUGAACCAUUAAUGAAAAACGACUACCUUACCUUCCGGGUGCGAGAAAUUUCCAUGGGAUUGCAUCCAAACCAUCACAUAACAUCCAUACUUUGAGAAACUAAAAGUUUUAGCCAAUCAUCCUUUGAGGAAAAACCCUCAGAGGCUGUUUGGCUACUAAGAAAAUAGAAACGGGAGAGCUCUGUAGAUAUUCUAAGUGUCAAACGUAAUAUGUAUUCUAUAUCUAUAUAUUAAUAUAUGUUACAACGGAUGCAAGGGGAUAUAAAUAGAGAAGUUUUUCCAACCUUCCUAGCUAAGAAAUCUUAUGAUUCGUGGAUUACAAGGAGAAGAAUGGAAAUUUAUACAAAAAUAUCCAAAAUAAAAGAUCUCAUGUGGAGUCGGCAAAAACAGAGGAAAAUUCGCACCACGCAUGGGCUGUGCGAAUUUGGAAGGUGUUGUGCGAAAUUUUCGCACAAGCCUGGAGCAGUUGUCUUCCGAAGGCCAUAUCUUCCUCAUUUCAGCUCCAAAUCGUACACGGUUUGAAGCUUUGGAUUCUUGACUUCCUGAGCUUUGAAAUGGUAUAUAGCAUGUAGAAAAUGGACUUCGGGAAGUGCUCCAAAAGUGCCAAAGAAGACUGCACCUGCUGUCCUCUGUUUUCCUCUUUGCUUCUUUUUGCUUCUCUUUGCUUUUCUCCUUUUGUUGGCUUGAUUUGGUGUAGCUAAAAGCUUGCUUUAACUUGUACAAGUAGCUCCUCCAUCAUUUGGCAUGCUUGAAUUGAUUCAUAAGCUGAUAAAAACAUGUAAACUUGCCACAAAAUGGUUAAAACCAAUUACUAAGGACCUUAAUGAAUUAAUUGGGUUAAAUGAAUAUGAUUACUACUCAAAUGUGCUUAAAACCAUUAUAAUUAGGUCUACAAAAUAGCACUUUUUGGUAGUAAUCAAUUAAUGUUAACUCCAAAUCAGAAUUGUUUUAAUAAUUUCUUUUUGAUAUACACUAAGUAUUUAGUUUAAUAAAAUAAGGUGAAAAACAAUACAUAAAGAAGCACUUUUUUAAGCAUGACAAUUUUAAAGUUUUUUCCUAAUAGUCAUUAAGUAAUAGAAGGGUCCACACCCAUGAUGACUAAAUGCAUUCCAGCACCACACAUAAGAGAUAAAUAAAUAUUGCUUCAGAUGCUUAUGCAAUAAGAAAAUGAAAAUUACUUAUUUUUUGGGAAAAAAGGGUUCUCCCCUAUACCCCACGAUUUUAUUUAAUAGGGGGUUGUUUGGAUGAGUCAGGGAAAAUAAAUCACGUAUUUGUCUCUCAUUUUUCCGUCUAGUUUCCUUUACUUUCUGGAAUAAGAGUAAUGUGCCAAACAACAUAUGGUAACUAGGGCUGCAACCCAAAUGGGUUGGGUUGAAUUAGUGAUUCAUACAACUUAUAAAUUAACAUAUUUGAUACUGCAAAUAAUUUUUCAUGGUGGAGACUUCACUUGGCAAAUUGACAUUGUUGGGUUACCUCAAAUGGUUCUUAGGAAAGGACCGGAGAAAAAGUUCCGUAGUGGGCCAUGGAAUGGAUUAAGUUUUAAUGGUCUUCCAUUGAUUACGAAGACAUUUUUUAAAUCUUCUUUGGUGGACAAUGUAGAUGAGUUCUACUAUUCGUACGAGCUUGAUGACAAAUCGAUUAUAACAAGACUUACUCUGGAUGAACUGCGAAUCUACGUGCCUGCUGUUGAGCAAAACAACCAAGAAGUUGGAUAUUGUGUAUCCACUGCUGGAUGAUUUGUGUGAUGACUAUGGUUGUUAUGGUGCUAACAACUUUUGCAAAAUUAACGAUAGGUCUAUUUGUGAGUACUUGGAAGGGUUUGUUCCAAAAUCACAAGAGGAAGGAAAAUUUCAAAAUUGGACCAGUGGCUGCAUUAGGAGAACACAAUUGGACUGCCAAAAGGGAGAAAAAUUUAUGGAACUUGAAGGGGUCAAACUGCCUGACUUGUUGGAAUUCUAGGUCAGCAAUAACCCUUAAGAAAUGUGAGGAGGAGUGCUUGAGGAACUGUUCUUGUACAACUUACACUAAUUCAAAUAUUAGUGAGGGAAACAAUGGAUGCUUGAUCUGGUUUAGGGAUCCGAUCGAUAUUCGAGAGUUCCAUGAAGAUAAUAAGCAGAAUAUCUAUAUCGGAAUGCCAACUUCAGAACUAGGUAAUUGUAGUUUAUGCAUUAUCAUACCAUAUUUUUUUCUAGAUAAAGCAUAAAAAUUUUUUUUAACAUGUUUUACUUUCUUCAUUCUUCAUGUCAUAGAGUUAAUGAAUAUUCCAGUGAAAGUAAGAAACGCUUGGUAUUUGUGGUGGUCUCAUCUACUGCCUCUAGAGUUUUUAUCUAAGGUUGGUACUUUGGUUUAUAUUUUGGAAGAGAAAGAAAAGAAGUAAGCAAUCUUUUCCAGUCUUAUGUAUUUUGUGCUCAAAGUAAUUAUGCCCAUGUGAGUGGACCUUCUAGCUAAUCCUUCUAGCUCAAAGUGUAUGAUAUUUUUAGUUCAUUUUCCAUUGAAGGAAAUGCUCCAAAGGUUAAAACCAUCUAAUUAAAUGGAUGAUGUAUCUUGCACUCUUCCAAAUUACAAGUUCAGAAAUAGAAAAGCAAGACCUGGAGUAGUAGUUGUUUGAUCUGGCUACUAUUUCAAGUGUUACUAAUAACUUCUCUGAUUCAAAUUUGAUAGGGAAUAGUGGUUUUGGACCAGUUUGCAAGGUAAUAUAGUCUAUAUUAUGUGAUAAUUAAGCAAAAAUGAAUGUUGUUACGCAACAUUCCAUUUCAAAAUUGUAGCGUACCCUGGCGACAGGACAAGAAAUUGCAGUAAAAAGGCUUUCAAACAAUUCAGGACAAGGCUUUCAAGAGUUCAAGAAUGAAGUUAUUUUGAUUUCCAAACUUCAACAUCGCAAUCUUGUGAGGCUUUUGGGUUGUUUCGUUGAAGAAGAAAUAAUGCUCGUCUAUUAGUAUAUGCCCAACAAAGCUUGGACUGUUUUAUUUUUGGUUUGAAACUCUUAGUCCUUUGUCUAUUUUGGCUACUUUUCAUUAAGUGAAGUUGUCUCCACUUCUACUUAAUGGAAUUUUUGAAUCUGGAAUAGUAUUUAUAUGGAUGAAACUGUUCUGUAGAUCAGGAAAGAAGUAUGUUACUGAAUUGGCCAAAACAAUUUGACAUUGUCAUGGGGGUUGCUCAUGGACUCCUUUAUCUCCACCAAGACUGUAGAUUGAGAAUCAUCCAUAGAGAUCUCAAAACCGAUAAUAUAUUACUUGGCAUAGCAAGAGUUUUUUGAGGACAACAAAUUGAAGCAAAAACAAAGCUAGUAAUUGGAACAUAGUAAGUUCUAUAUGUAUUCAUAUGCUAGAACAUAUCUUUAUCAUUUCCAACUACUCAAAUUUGAUAUUUCUAUGUAGUGGUUAUAUGUCUCCAAAGUACGUAAUUGAUGGCAAAUUCUCAUUAAAAUCUGACGUCUUCAGUUUUGGUGUGCUUUUGUUGGAGAUAGUGAGUAGGAAAAAAACAGGGGGUUUUGUCAUCCAAAUCACCUCCACUGGGACAUGUAGGUGAAAAAUAGUGAAAUAUUGCUAUCCCUUUCUAUACCCUUUAACAAGAAUGAUUAACAAUAUUCAUUGCAGUUAUGUGCAGGCAUGGCUACUUUGGAAUGAAGGCAAGACCAUGGAACUGAUGGAUACAUGCCUGAAGGAUUCAUGCAUUGAGUCUCAAGUAUUAAGGUGCAUUCAAGUGGGCUUAUUAUGCGUUCAGAAACUCCCAGUACACGGGCCAACAAUGUCAUCUAUAAUUUUCAUGUUGGGUAAUAAGGAAACAACGUUUCCUCAACUUAAACAACCCGAUUUGUUCAUUGAAAGAAGCUUUGAAGGAGAUGACAAAGGAUGCUACAUAGAAUAUAAAGUUACUCUGACAAUUCUUGAAGCUAGAUAGACAAUUUGUGCAGCAAUUCAUGGUUGAAAUACAUACUAAAAACAUAGAUGUUAGAUGAAGAGGAGCUGACAGUUACAGAAAUGAGGGAGGCUAGAUUCGAUCUCAACAAGCAACGAUAAGAACCCAAAUGAACUCAUAAAUCGAUUACAUUCGUACCUGGGAAAGCUCCUCUCAACUCGGGCCACCUCUCUCUAUUUUCACUGCUAGUUCCCCUUGCGAAUUGUGGCUGUAAAAAAAUGUGAAAGAAUAUGGGUUUUUGGAGUUAGGGUUUGGUUCAAGAGAGAAUAAGGGAUUUGGGGGUAAAUCUCACUAUUCAUUUUGUUAUAUUUUAGCAAAUAUUUUUAAAAAAAUCAAUCCACGUGGAGUGUUUACUUGGACGGUGACAUGUAAAUGAGUCAUGUCAUUGGCUUAAGUGGACAACUGAUUUGGACCUUGUUUAUGUGGCUUUUCCAAGGAACUAAUCCAACUAAGAGAGCUGUCAAAGUGUAGGAGGGUAUUUUUGGAAGGGUCUCAACAUUACUAUUACAGUGUAUGAAAGGUCACUUAUUUUCCCCAAAAUCCACUGAAUUUGAAAAGUAAAAAACAAAGUUUCUGGAAGGCAAAAUUUUGCCCCUUGCUAUAUGAUUACAUAAAUUUCCCUAAUAAUAAUAUCAGUAAAAUAAUAAUAAUCUUAAUAAUAAUAAUGAUAAUAGAAACAAUGGUAACAAAAACAAUUCUAAUGAUGAUAAUUAAAAAUAAAUAAAAAUAAAAUAACAACAACAAUAAUAAAAAUAUACAAUGACUAUAUAUACAUAUAUAUAUAUAUAUAUAAGUAGAUAUGAAAAUGAGCAAAUAAAUAAAUAAAUAACAAGAUAUGAGUACACAACACGUAUUUAUAAAGAAAACAUGCAAGCUACGUAGGCUAUGUAGGCCAUGUAGGCCAUGCAAGCCACGUUAACCAUGCAAAUGACUUACGGGUGUUGGGAUAAGCCUAAGCGGGCUGGGUGCCUAAUGGGCCUAAAUAUAUCUCAGCAAGCUGUCGUAAAAGUGUACCUAAUAUCGAGAAUGACUCAAAUAAGUAAGUUAUAUGAGUAGUAAUGGGCCACCAAAAAACUAUUGUGGAGUAAUAAAAGGACACUUAAUCAGGGCAUGACAAGAGGACAAAAUGGAGGGUCUACACGCUCAAAAGACAAGAUAAAAAGUCACAUACAUUCAAUCAAUAAAAAAUUAAUCAUGUACUAAAAUAUUAAAAAUCAAUCAUGCAAUCACAAAUAAAAAAUAAAUUAUGAACUCAAAAUUAAAGUCACAUAUAAUCACAAUCAUAAACCCUAAACCCUAAACCUAAAAUAUCCCUAUAAAUAUUCUAGGUCAUGAGGGGAAAAAGUUAUGAGAUGGAGAUGGGCCUGUAAAGACUAUUCAAAGUGGAUAGAGAUGUGAGGAAGAAUAGGAGGUACCUAGUGGAGUGAGAAGGUUUGUGGUAAGGUAGGGAUACAAAGAGUGGGGAAACAUGGGAUGUUUUGGGAACCCAAUAAUUGUAUCUGGUUAGGUCCUCUAUAAUGUUUUGGUUAUGUCCUCUAUAAUAUUGCAGUUCUUUCCUCUGUAAUGUUUUCUAUUGUAUAGUGAAAUAAUUCUCUCUCAUCCGUGGACGUAAGCAUGGUUGGCCGAACCACGUUAAAACCUUGUGUACCAUUUGUAUUGAUUAUUUUAUCUUUGUGUUCUUGAUUAGCGAUGAUUGCAUCAAAGCUUCCAUUGUCACAACAAACUGGUAUCAGAGCUUUGAGUUGAAGAUUUCUAGAAGAUUAAAAGAUCAUAGAGCACACAAGAUGAAAACAAAAGGAAUUUUCAGUUAAAGGUGGAGUCCAUUGCUCUCUCAUGGUAAUAUGAUACAAAAGCUUGUGUCAUGGAGAGUUUGAAGAUUGACUUCAUGGAAUUUGAUCAAAGGUGGAAAUUAUUAGGAAGUGUCCCAAAUUCCUAAUUAGUAUAGAUUUUAUUUUAUUUUUGUAAAGAAUAUUAUAUAGAAUAUUUCUAGGUUGAUAUAUUAUUGUAAUAUUAGAAUUUCUUAUAGAAUAAGGAAGGUUGUUUGAAAUAUCUCUAUAAAUAUUCUAGGUCAUGAGGAGAAAAAGUUAUGAGAUGAAGAUGGGCUUGUAAAGACUAUACAAGGUGGACAAAGAUGUAAAGAAGAACGGAAGGUACCCGAUGGAGUUAAAAGGCUUAUGGUAGGGUAGGGAUAUGAAGAAUGGGGAAACAUGGGAUGUUUUGGGAACCCAAUAAUUGUAUUUGGUUAUGUCCUCUAUAAAGUUUUGGUUCUGUCCUCUAUAAUGUUCUCUAUUGUAGAGUGAAAUAAUUCUUUCUCAUCCGUGGACAUUGGCAUGGUUGGCCGAACCACAUUAAAAUCUCGUGUACCGUUUGUGUUGAUUAUUUUAUCUUUAUGUUCUUGAUUAAUGAUGGUUGUAUCAAAACUUCCACUGUCGCAACAUGAAGUGAACUAUACCAAAGAAUAAAAAAGAGCCUGAAAUUUUGUCCUGACACAUGACAUGAUAAACUCAAGGAUUGACCACACAAGGAGAAAAAGGUACUUUAGAUAAGGGAAAUAAAAGAAAGCUUAUGCGAUGAAAUGAUGGAAAUAAUGAAUAUGAUAAACUAAUGAGAACAAAGAGUGUAAAACUGCCAUCUUUGAACACUAAGAACCUACAACCUUGAUUGCCAAAGAGAGAAAAAAAAAGGCUUUAAAUGUCAAAUAAAAAAUAAUGGCUUUGAACACUAAAACUAAGAAGAAUGAAUCUAAAUGCCAACACUAGGAAAAUAAAUGGCUUUGAAUGCCAAUACUAAAAACAAUGGCUCUGAAUGCCAAACCGAAAAUACUAACUCUAAAUGCUAAAUCAAAAAAAUAAUAGCUCUAAAAGCUAAACCAAAGAAGUGGUUUGUACCUUUCCUAAGAAAAGUAUACUAGAGACCUUUUUUACAAAGCACAUAGGCUAGAUUGUUCUACCAUAGCCAUGCUUACAUCUAUUAAAGAUUCACUAAUUAUAGAUUAUUUACAACCUUUCAAUCUGAGUAUGACACCUUGAUUGGUACCCUCGAAACCAAAUAUCACUCACACAGUUAACAAAGUGUGCCAAGAUCUCCAACAACCAAGGCAAAUCUUAAGGAUGUGAAAUGAAUCCUAUGUUGUUUAAAAGGUACCCUAGAUUACAACAUUUGCUUAUUGGCUUAAAGCUCACUAUCAUUAUAUGUUUUUGUUGAUUCUAAUUGUGUAGGUUAUCCAAUAACAAUGAUUAGCACCAUUGAUUUUGUGUUUAUCUUGGCAGCAAUUGUAUUUCCUGGUCUUCUAAGAAAAAAAAGUCAAUAGCAUGCCCUACAAUAGGGGUAAAGCACCACUCCAGGAUUGCAACUAUUGCAAAAUUAACUUGGCUUAUAUUUCUCUUAUGUGACAUUAGCUUACCACUUCCCCAAUUUCCAUUUCUCUUUUAUGAUAACAUUAGUGCAUUACACAUGGCCAAAAAUCUGGUGUUUCAUGCACAAAAAAAGCACAUUGAAUUAGAUUACCAUUUUGUCUUUGAAAAGUUGUUAUGGGACACCUUUAUGCUAAAUAUGUUCAUAGUUAUCUUCAAAUAGCUAACAUUCUUGCCAAGACUCUAGCUAGAAAGGCUUUUAGUAUGUUUAGCUUCAAUUUAGGAGCUCAAUGCAUGACAGCACUAGUUUGAGGGGGUUAAACCUCCUCUACAUUUAUCUCCACAACAAAACAAAUCAACAUGUCACCUUUUGAGACAAAUAUGACAAUAUGCAAGUGUAGACCCUCCAUCUAGUCCUAGUAGCAUAUGUUAUUCAAUGUAUUUUCCUUCACUUCUCGUUGCCUUAUAGUCAUCCCAUGGUGGUUUAUUUUUCGCUCAUUUGGUACUAUUUUUGAAGCCACCUUCAAAGAUUCAUUGUCGAUGGAUUUUUUUUAUUUUUAUGGAUCCCAAUUGUGACCUUAGUUGCAUGCUUAGUCUAACUCACUUAGUUUACUUAGUUUCAUUUUAGGUUUAGUUCACUUAGUCGCAUGCUUAGUCUAGCUCACUUAGUUCACUUAGUUGCAUUUUAGGUUUAGUUCACUUAGUCGCUUGCUUAGUCUAGCUCAGUUAGUUCACUUAGUUGCAUUCUAGGUUUUGCUUAGAUGCAUUCUAGGUUUAGCUCACUUAGAUGCACUUUGGUUUAGUUCCCUUAGAUGCACUUUAGUCUAGCUCCCUUGGGUUCACGCAUGAUAGGAUUUUUAGGAAGGAAGAGAUUUUUUUUAGGAAGACACGAUUGCAUAUUGCAUGAGAAGAAGAGAUUCACGCGUAGGAAAACUUUUAUUUGGAAUAUAUGGGCUAUCAUUGAGAGGUACACUACUAUUAGAGACUAAUUUUGAAAAAAGGAGUUAGGGCUGACACUAAUUGAUCUUGAAGAAAAAAUGAAGCAUCUUGAGAAGAAAAGUUGAAGUUUUGAAGAUCAAGAAGGCAAGACUCAAUGUAGGAAAACAAGAAAGAAGUAAACUUGCAAUCUUUUGGAGGAAAGGUAUGGUUUUUUUUAAAAAAAAAAAAAAAAUUUCUUACAUAUCUCAAUUAUGAUUAUCUCUUUAUUUAUUUGUUCUUUUUCUUUUUUUUCCAUCAUUUUUAAGUAUAGGAAUUCUCUUUGUUUGGGGUAGAUAAUGAAGGCCACUUUGAUUGUUGUUAAUCAGAUUGUUGAUGACAUAUUAAUGAGAAGUUGAUGAAUGGUUAAUUGAUCUCAUGUUGAUUAAUGCCUAUUAGAAUUGAGAUUAGAGUUAUUUUCUUUGGAAUUAUUUUCACUUGAUUGAGGCCUUUUGAUAACAUAUGAUAGGUGGCUAAGAGAUCCUUUAUUUGAUUUUUUAUGCCUUUGGUUUUAUUUUUGGUUAUUCGUUUUUUAUUGUGAUGUUUGGAGUGUUCACCUUGCUGUUGUUUUGUUAGAAUUAUUGAACCUCUAUAAUUAAAAAAUUGAAUCAGGUUAUUUAACAUCUCUCUAAAAUUUUUCUUAUGAUUGCUUGAUGUUGUAGACUUCCCAAAUAUGUUGAUAAAUGUUUGUUUGAGUCUUAAAUCAUUUUCCAAUUAAGAGAUAUAAACCAUUUUUUCACUCUAUUUUGAACACCCAAUUUUUUUUUAAAUUAAAUUAUUUCUUGAUCUCUUUAAUUUGUUUUGAUAUUUUUCCAUUAAUAUAAAUUCUUAAGUUUAAUUUUAGGACCCUGAUUUGUUGAAAAUUGAUUCUCUAAGUAGAAUAAAAAACCUCUUUUGCCUACACCUGUUGCACUAACCCCUUUUUGUAGUCAAGGGAAGUUUGGCUUAAUUUAAAAAUUCACAUUCUAUGAUUAAGUCAUGUUGUUAUUUUUUCUGUAAGUUAGAUAUAUUGAAGGUAUUGUACAAGCUUUUUUCAUGCUUAAAAAUAGAUUAAUUAAAUUAGUAUUUUCAUGCUAUAGGAUUUUGCUCUAUUUCUAAUCAAUAUAUUUGUGAAUUAAAUCAAGUAUUAAACGAGAUAUGAUUUGAUGAUUUAGCCUUUUGGGUUGUAAUCUAGACAUAGGAGAUGUUGUCCAAGCAUUUUCAUGGUGAAAUUUCAUCUCUAGAUAUUUGUUUAGGAUAUAUGUUGCAAGUGUCUUUGUUUUAGAUGCAUGUUGAUUGUUUAGUAAAGUGUUCUUAAAGUGAAUUAAUUUGGUAUUGAUUGACAUGUAAUUAAAUAUUUUGGGAUUUUGCAUUGUAAUAUAGACACAUUGAAGAUGUUAUCAAUUUUUUUUUUCAAUAUGCAAUAACACCUCUAGGUAUUUAUUUAUGAUUUAUUUUAAGAACGUCUAUGUUAUGACCCAAUGCUGAGUAUUUUGGAUGAUUUGUUAUUUUCACCACUUUUUGCAUAUUUUUAAAUCUUUUAGACCAUUGUUAUAUAUUGUAGGCAUAUUGAAUAUGAUAAGUGAAUUUUGUUUUGCACCAUAAUCCCUUAUUGAAUAUUUUAAUUAAACUCAUUUUAAAAUUGUAUGCAUAUUAAAAGUGUAUUGAAUUUACAUGACAAUUGUUACUUGGUUUUUUUUUUUAUUCCUUUAUUGGAGUAGUGGAUGCAUUAUGUAUGAUGAUAGAUUUUUAUUAUGAUUUUUCAUGUCUAUUUUUUAUUGCUUGUGAACUAACCCUCAUUGAUUUUAUGAAAGCACUAUACAUGUUAUUAAGGUAUGUUCCUCUCCUUCCUUUGUUUGAUUUUUUAAUGCAUGGUUCAUUUGAGUGAUGCAAGUUAUGAUUUCACCGUUGUCUUGAUUGUGUAUUACUUAUUUCUUUGGUAUCCACUAAUUUACAAAUCAAUUAUCAUAGUUGUCUCAACCCAUUAGUCUUCAAAUUGAUGAAUGAGGUUUUUUUAUUUUUUCUCAUUCUUCCUUUUAUUAAUUCAUGUACAAAGUAUAUAUAGAGAGUAAUCACCAUUCUAAGAAUGGGAAAGAAUGAUACAAGGAAGGAAUGAUAUAAGGAUAUAAUGAUAUAAGGAAAACAUUCUUAAUAUCUCAACACUCCCCCUCAAGGAAAGAAUGAUACAAGGAAAGUAUUCCUAAUAUCUCAACACUCCCCCUCAAGUUGGUGCAUAGAUGUCACACAUGCCCAACUUGUCUAAAAAUUUUGAGAACACUUGUCUUGAGACAGCUUUGGUGAGGAUAUCAACCAAUUGAUCUUCUAAUCAAAUUUUAAGCAAUUCCACAAUCUUAUCAUCCAACUUCUCCUUAAUGAAGAAUCUGUCCACCUCGACAUGCUUUGUACGAUCAUGUUGUAUUGGAUUAUGUGUAAUGUCACAUGCGGCUUUAUUGUCACAAAACAAUUGGAUUGGUUGCCUAGAUAAGUAACUUAAAUCUUGUAAGAGGAGUCUUAGCCAUAAUGCCUCACAAAGUCCUAAAGCCAUACCCUUAAAUUCCUCUUCUGCACUUGAACAAGUGACGACAUUCUGCUUCUUACUUUUCCAUGUCACAAGAUUACCACCUACAAAGGUAAAGUAACCAGAUGUAGACCGCCUAUCAUCCACUGCACCAGCCUAAUCAGCAUCAGUAUAUACUUCUAUACUCUGAUGAUCAACAUUUUUAGCGAACAAAAUUCCCUUCCCAGGAGCAUUCUUCAAAUACCUCAAAAUACGCAUGACUGCAUUCAUAUGUUGUUCUCCAGGAUUAUGCAUGUAUUGACUCACUACACUUAGUGCAUAAGCAAGAUCUGGUCUUGUAUGAGCUAAGUACAUUAAUCUCCCUACAAGUCUUUGGUAUCUUCCUUUAUCGGUUGAUACUUGAUUAGGCAAAACACACAAUUUCAAACCUUCUUCUAUUGGUGUAUGAACAGGUUGACAUCCCAACAUUCCAGUAUCCUGUAAAAGAUCUAAGGCAUACUUUCUUUGAGACAGAAAAAUUCCUUCACUCGAUCGAGAAACUUCAAUCCCAAGAAAGUAUUUCAAAGGACCUAGAUCUUUCAUUUCGAAUUCUCUAGAUAGAUAAUUCUGUAGAGCUUUUCUUUCUUCAGGAUCAUUUCCUGUAACUAUCAUGUCAUCCACAUAUACGAUGAGUGUCGUAAUCUUACCAUGUUGCUUUUUCAGGAACAAAGUGUGAUCUGAAUUACUCUGACGAUAGCCAAAAGCUCUCAUUGACUUGUGAACCUUCCAAACCAUGCUCUUGGGGAUUGCUUCAACCCAUACAAUGACUUCUUCAAUUUCCAUACCUUCUGACAUUGCUUUUUUGACCCCAUGCAUCUUGGUGGAAGAUCCAUAUAUACUUCUUCAGAUAACUCACCAUGUAGAAAGGCAUUUUUUACAUCAAACUGUUGUAAUGGCCAAUCCAGGUUUGCAGCUAAAGACAGUAAUACUCGAACUGUGUUGAUCUUAGCUACAGGUGUAAAUGUCUUUGUGUAGUCAAUUCCAUAAGUUUAAGUGUACCCUUUUGCUACCAAUCUUGCUUUAAAACGUUCAAUACUACCAUCUGCCUUGUACUUCACAGUAUAGAUCCAACGACACCCAACUGGCUUCUUUCCUAGUGGACAAUCUAUGAGUUCCCAUGUUUCAUUCUUCUGUAAUGAUUUCAUCUCUUCAUUCAUGGCUGCUUUCCACCUUGGAUUAGCUAAGGCUUCCUGCACACUGUUAGGAAUAGCUACAGUAGAUAAUUGAUUUACAAAUGACUUAUUUGAUUCAGACAAACGAUGGUUAGACACAUAGUUGCUCAUGGGAUAUUUGACAUUAGUAGACAAUUCAGGUUCAUAUGUGGGUUUAGGAAUACCUCUAUUAUGACGGUGUGGAAACCGUUUCAUGAAUGGAUCAGGUUCCAAAUUAAGAACACCUUCAACAGACGACGAUUGGUUUGGUAUUUUAAUGAAGGCAUCUUCGGACCCAAAUUGUUCAGAUGGUUCAAUUGUACCGUCUCUCCUCUCUUUUAUCACUUCUUCAACUUCUGGGUGGUCAUUACUACUUGGUUCACNNNNNNNNNNNNNNNNNNNNNNNNNNNNNNNNNNNNNNNNNNNNNNNNNNNNNNNNNNNNNNNNNNNNNNNNNNNNNNNNNNNNNNNNNNNNNNNNNNNNAUGAAACACCACAUCCAUUGUAAUAAACAUUUGUCGAGUUGGAGGAUGGUAACAUCGAUAUCCUUUUUUGUGCAAUGCAUAUCCAACAAACACACAUUGCAAUGCACGAAAAGUUAACUUGGUGCAUUGGUGUUUGUGUAGAUGCACAAAUGCCAUGCAACAAAAAACACGAGGAGGUAGAUUUGGGACGGUUGGGGCAACUACAACAUUAGUAAGAGAUUGGAGAGGUGUUUGGAAGUCAAUUGAACUAGAAGGUACCCGAUUGAUCAAGUAUGCAGCAGAUGUGAUUGCUUCUCCCCAAUAAGAUAUCGGCAUUUUUGCUGCUAUCAAGGAAGCACGAACAACCUCUAACAAGUGCCGAUUUUUCCGUUCAGCAACUCCAUUUUGCUGGGGUGUAUUGGAACAAGUAGUUUGAUGAAUAAUGCCAUGUCCUUCCAAAUACUUUUGAAGAUCAGAAUUAUGAUAUUCUUCACCAUUAUCACUACACAGAACCCGAACCUUUGCAUUGUACUGAGUUUCAAUCAUUUUAUGAAAUUUUUGAAACAACAAGUUCACUUCAUCUUUGGUCUUCAUCAAGCAUAACCAGGUCAUUCUGGUACAAUCAUCAAUAAAAGUAACAAACCAACGCGAGCCACUCAAAGUUGGUACUUUGGAUGGGCCCCAAACAUCAGAAUGUAUAACCAUAAAAGGAAGCGGACUUUUAUUCAAAAUUAACGGAAACGAAGUACGAUGACUUUUAGCCAAUUCACAAAUAUCAUAACAGAAACCAGAAAUAUCACUCCUUACAAACAAACUAGGAAACAAUUUUUUUAAAUAACCAAAGGAAGCAUGUCCCAAACGUCGAUGCCACAACCAAAUUUUAGACUUUUUCUCCUCCCCCUCAGAUCCAUCUACCAUCAAGGCUUGUCGCAACUUAUUGGAAUCCUUUGACUGCAAGUCAAAGUAAUAGAGUUUUCCCCGCUUAAUACCACAACCAAUCGUCUGUCUUGUUUGGAUGUCCUUAAAAACACAAAAUUCAGGCCAAAAAAUGACAAUACAAAAUAAGGCUGCAGUCAUUUGAGAAACUGACAAAAGAUUGUAAUCUAAAGAUGGAACAACUAAAACAGAAUCCAAAUUCAAAGUAUCAGUAAGAGUUAAGGAUCCUUCCCCAAUGACUGGGGUUGUGUUACCAUUGGCUGUGGAAACAAUUUUUUGUGAGGAAGGUCUAAGGGGUGAGACUUGUCUAGAAUCAAAAGUCAUAUGAUCUGUAGCACCAGAAUCAAUUAUCCAUGCACUAUUAAUAACAGGUGUAGAAGUAUUCAAAAACUUACCAUCAUAAUUUGUAGUGGCUACCAAUGCAGAGGCAUUCUCAGUAACAUUAGCCUCUGUUUUUAUUUCGACAAUAGCUGCAGUCGAGGUUUUCUUGGAAUCCUUCUUCCGUUGAUCACGAUUAUGAUCAUUAAUAACAAAGUGGUGAUAACCUAAACAUGAUCUAAAGGUCCAUGGUUCAAACCCUCGAUUCCUCAUUGUUUUCCUGGUCAUACCAAGAGUCAUUGCUUUGAAAUUGUGGGAUAUCCAGAUUGGUGGGAUUAGUCUUAUUGCAGUGAGUGCAUUUGAAGGUUGACUUAUCAAUAUUAGGGCUUCUCUUAAGAUGGUUGAUUGCUGUCGAACUACCAUAGCGACAAAAUAUCCAGGAUUUCAAUUCCAUGGCUCUGAUACCAUCUUCAAAUUGAUGAAUGAGGUUUUUUUUUUAUUUUUUUCUCAUUCUUCCUUUUAUUCAUUCAUGUACAAAGUACAUAUAGAGGGUAAUCACCAUUCUAAGAAUGGGAAAGAAUGAUACAUGGAAUGAAUGAUAUAAGGAAAUAAUGAUACAAGGAAAACAUUCCUAAUAUCUUAACAAUUAGUAGAGACCUUUAUUUAGGCCUUAGAGGGGUGCUAUCUUAUGAUACAUUCCCAAUAGGUAACCUGACUCUUGGACUUAAACUGGGGUUUUCAAAUGCACGAUUUUUCAAAUUAAGAGUCACUCUUAAGGUUUCAUUUCUUAUUUUGUUUUCCAUUUUUUUAAAAAUAAAAUAAAUGGCGACUCCAACUUUUUAAAAAAUUAGUUAAUUUUCACUAAAAAACAAAUCAUCAUCAAGUAAGGACGCAUGUGAAAAAAAUAGGUCCACAACAAGGCUAUUCCAAUGGGUUUUCCCUCUACCAGAAUAUUCAUUCAAGGAUCCAAUCACUAGAUUAUUUUCGCAUAAUCAUUUAGCUGUUGUUUAACUUAUAAAAUAGGAGAAGAUUUAUUCUUUCCAUUUGUAUCAGCACGACUCAAUUGAUUAGCUAAACUUAAGCAGAAGUAGUUGACUUGUCUUUCAUUUUCUACCCAUUUUUGUAUAUAUAUUCUGCAUAACGAUGUUAAUUUAAUAAGGGUCUGCUAUUGUUUUAUUCUCUUGCACAAACUAUUCUUCAAAGUACUCAACUGUGGCAUAGAUAAACCUUUCAUCUACUUGACAUUACUCAAAAGGCCUCGACGGUACUCAACAUUAUCUGAGGUUUUCUCCUACAGAUGCUUUGACAGCAUGGCAAUGCAACAGGCCUUAAGGCAAUGGCACCCACUUACAUACUGUGCAAGGGCCCACAAUGGAAAAGUAUUCCUAUAAGUUGCAUAGUGUAACAUGCAGUUCUUCAUGAAGGCUCCAGUGAUUUCCUGCCAUAGAUAAUUGUUGAUUAAAUGGUUAGACUACCACCCAGUAUACAUAGUUAGCUACAAAAGAACAUCAUUUUCCAUUUCCGAAAACCAUGUUAAAAUAUUGCUCCUUUCAUUUUUUAUUCAUGUUCAAGUGAGAUACCUGUUGGGGAAAAUCACCAUAUUCCAUUUAGGAAUUAAUCAACAGCUUUGCAGCCCUGUGAAGAGGUGUUGGGUCUCUCUCCACUUGUUAGAAAGGAAAGGUUAGACUCAGAUGUUUGGGGAGAAGCCAGAUUGUAAAAGUAAUGUAGAAGACCAAGGUAAGCUUAUUGAUGAUGGAACUAUAAAAACUAACCUGCCCAGAAGAAAGCAGCCCCAUCAGAGCCCACCCGGUUUGUACCAAAUUUGAAUUAUUUCCUUCAAGAGGUGUGUAUUUCUAUAUCACCAAGCACAAGGAUUACUUUUUUUUGUCCAUGUUUCUACCAGAAAACAGAGCAGUGGGAGGCAUGUAAAAAUUAGCUUGUCCGGGCAAGAAGUACAGUUCUCUCCCCAAGCACCAUCAUCUCUUUGUGAUUUGAGUAGAAACUUAACAGCUUUACGAAUAACAAGACAGUUGUGGUAAGUCUUGCCAGCAGCUGCUAGGCCCCCAAGUGCAAACCAUGAGCCAUAGGUGAAACAUACUCCCCAAUUGCCAUACAUGGUGAAAUGUUUCUUUGUUUAAAUGGAUCUGCACUGCAUAUAUAAAAAAAGAUUUCCCUAGUGAAAUAAUAAUAGUGGAGUUGAGAAACAUGCCAUCAGCCAUUAGGCAUUUGCAUGUCUUCAAUGUACUCAGCCGCAUUUGUGAUGAAAUUGUCUAUCUCCUUCUUCUUGUGUCCCAGGUAUAACUUCUUAAACAAAACUAGAGCCUGAAUUGCUGAUGCAGUGCACUCAACAUACCUGCAUCAUUGUUUUGUUAGUCUCCAAGGAUGUUAAAGCUAGCAAAGUUAGAAAAGAAAGUUGGUUUAUUAUCAAGAAUCUUACUCAUGCUCGAUAACAAUGUCUGUAAAAAAUUCAGUGGGGUUAAGUAGCUGAAAAGAGAAGAGAUUGGCAUUGAUUUAGAUUCAAAGAAUACAAAGAGUUAGAAAGAGAGUGAGAUAAUGCAGAAAUAUUGAAGUUACUUAAACAUGUUGAAGUAAUUUACCUCCAACCAUUCUGAAGCUCCUACAGGCUCCCAGGCAGCUAAACCACCAUUUUUACUCUAUAGUGGUUUCAAAAAUGGGGAUUAUUGCUCAUAAGAAGUUAUGACCUAUUUUACAAUGGGGACACAACCAUGGAAAUGGCGUAAGGAAGAUGAUUCUCACCUGUAGGGAAAGCAGGAUGUUGACAACAUCAAAUAGUCGUUCAGGUUCCAUCUUCAUACCAACAAUUUUUGGUGCCAUCCUUGAAAAUAGGAGACAACACUGUGACAGAGAGGGGACUUUAGUAAGAAACCAAGUAACGUUAGUUAAUCUGCAAGCCUUGACUCAAUUGAAGUGUUUGAGCAAAAAGAGUUACCUUCAAACCUUCUGUAGUGCAAUCAGAAACUUGGCAACCAUGAUCCUGAUCUGAGAAUGUCCACGAUCCCUUGGAAAUGUGGCGGUACAUGCUUUUAAAGUCACCAGAAGGAUUGUUCUUGACCUUCAAGAUUUCAAGCAGUAUGAAGUAAAUAGACCAUGAGAAACCCAAGUAGAUUCUGGUUGAAGUAAAGAAAUAAAAGAUGGAAUUCAAGAUCAAACCUGAGAUUCCUUUAUGAAUUCAUGUCCUUUCUAGAGUGUAGGUCCAAGUUCAUCAGUCAUAUUGCAAGCUAGAAGUGCUUGAAGGGCAAAACCAGUGUCCCACUCUUGACUACCAAAGCUCUGCAAUAAUCGACAAUUUCAAAACCAAUUAGGCAGGAAAGGGAUAAAAGCAACUUCAAACCAGUUGCAUACUUGAAAAAUUUUAAGAAAAAGAUUAACAGAUAUUGUCUAAUUUUCCUAAAAUUAUUUGGGAGAUUAGUGAUUGAACUUGUCUUCUGACCUGCAUCUUUAUUCCAUCUUCUGUAACCCAUAUAUAAUAUGGGAUCCUAGCAAGAUGCUUCUUGAAAUAAUCCCCAUUUGGAUCUUUAACCCAACAUGCAAGCAUACACAAUACCUGUUCAAUUUAAGCGAUCUCAGUACCCCACAGAAGUGACAUAUUGUCUGAAUAGUCAUUAUCCAUUACUGAAAAUUUACCUUCUUCAUAUAUCCAAUGGUAAUGUAUCGACUGUUUUCAUCUUCAUAAUGGAUGUGUUUCAUUGUUACUUCAAGAGCCUUCUUUCUCAACUUGUUGAAGGGCCAACGAGUAAGAAAAGGCUCGGUACAUAUGUUCAAACUAUCCCACAUUAGAUCUUGUAUUAGGGGAUGGGGGUAGUAGAGAUCCUCCUGAAAUAAACAAUUUUGAAUGUGUUUCAUGCACGCGUAGCAUAUUCAUACGAAAAAGAAAUUGUUUCCAUAAAAAAUCAAAACUUACCUUGGCACAAAGAUGUCGUACUUUCUUCCAGUUGAUUUCAUUAUAAGUGAUUACUACUCAAAAAGUGCUAUUUGAUAGCCUAUAAUAAAUCCUUUUAAACACUUUUGAGUAGUAGUUUAGGCCUUUUAACUCAAUUGGCAUGUUAAGGACCCUUGAAAGGGAUUUUAAUCACUUUAUGCAAGUUUUGGUGUUUUUGUUAGUAAUUUGAUCACCAAAGCAAGUCAAGACUGAGGAGAGUUUUGAGGAAUCUUGGGCAAAGCUUAGAAGUCAUUUGCCAAGAGUAAAUCCGGAUUGCAAGGAGAAAAAGUAAAGAGAAUCUGCCAUGAAGCAUAUUCUUGAUGACAGUCGUAGCAGCCCCUUUUGGAGGAUAUUAUGAAGUCCAAAUUAUGCAUUCUAUAUACCAUUUCAAAUCUCAGGAAGUCAACAAUCCAAUGCUUCAAACGGUGUGCAAUUCGGAGUUGAAACGAAGAAGUUGCAGCCAUUACAACCCAAUCACUCCGAGUUGAAGGAAGCAUUUUGCAAAGUGCUGCGAAAUCACCCUUUUGUUGCGAAGUGAUUCCGCAGCCUUUUUGUACAGUGUGAUGUAUCUCCUUCUGAAGUUGCCCAACAUAUACCACGAGAAGGAAGCUUGGAACCUCAAGGUGGAAGCCAACUUUGCAGCCCUCUUGAGUGUCUGCGAAAUCUCGCAGACACCAUUUUUCUCAUGCGAAAUGGUUCCUGAAGCCUCCCGAUAUUUGCUACUGACAUUGGGAGAUAUUUUACAUCAGAUUUUUGUUGUCUAAAUCCCAAAAUACUCCUUGUAAGCCACCAAUUACAUGAUUCCUUAGUUUUUAAGUUAGUAAAAAGAGUAAAUAUCUAUGUAAUAAUUAGUUUUAAAUUAUGUUAAUAUAUAUACCUCUCGGGAGCCUGUUCUCAGAGAGGAGUUCCUUCUGUAAAAGUUUGGGUAAGCAAGUAAAGUUCAGUUCUUUCUACUGCCUUACCUUCUCGCUUUGUAUUUUUAUUUUAUUUCUAAGUUAUGAAUUCUCUGAGGAGUUUUCCCCAGAGAAUGAGUAACUAAACCUCUAAUUCCUUGGAGCUAAGGUUGCCGGGGAAGGUUCCAAGUGCAAGAAUGCAAAGCUUUGUGGUUUUAGCUAUUAAUGAAGAGGAAGUGAAAUCCUUUAGUGAUUUCUAUGUUUUUAGUUAACUUAAAACACCUUAGAGUCACCUGGGCCAACACUUGGUAAGGCAAGUGAUUUCCAACCAUGGAAAUGCACUAGUUUACCCCUUGCGAGCCUUUGGGAGGUGACUUCAAGGUAGGAUUUUCUAGAAUAGCCAACACUUGGUAAGCUUUUGGACUCCAAGGAGACAUCCAUUAGUUAUCUCUUGCGAGCUUUUGACGGGUAAUCCAAGGUUAAAGAUCACCUUGAAUGGUUAAGGCUUAGUGAGAGGCUUAAACCAUUGCAAGUUGCAUCAGUGAGAGAAUUAAAGUGAAAUCUAAUUGAAGGAGUCUCUGUAUAACACCGGUUAGAGAAUUGAUAUGUUGAAUCUCUAACGCUAGGAAAUGAACCAUCUGACCAGAGCCGUGUCUUUUGCAUGAGGAACCACCCCAGUGAACCUAACUCUCCAGGGAAUGCUUUUCUUCCUAAAUUAUUCCAAACUUCUGUUGUGUUAGUUAGUUUAAGUCUAAACCUUUACCAAUCAAAGUUUGUGUUUUACUUCUUAAGCUAACCAUGAAAUGAAACAAAACCAAUUCACUUGGAAUUGGUAUCAUUGAGAGCUUGUUAAUCUUUCCCAGUGGACGAUCCUAGAGCCACUAUACUAUAGUAGCUUUUUCUUUGCUACCCUAGUAUAUUGUGUUAUAGGUUAUAAAUUUUGUUGAUUACUCCCUCAAUCAAGGAGCACCAGCUGGACACAAAUCAGCUGAGACACCAAUUGGGCACGAAUCAAUAAGGUUGAAGGAAGAGCUCUUUUCUGAGUUCUAGAACAAGAGGUGUGAUUGGGCCAAUGAAUUGUUUACCAUAUAAGUAUGACUUGGGCAUGUAAACCAUCCGACCGUAGCAAAACAUUCUUGUUGCAUUUAAGGACUCAAAUGAAAAGAAGGUAGACCAAGACAAAGCAAUACCAAAGAGAGAAAAAUAAAAUUUUUUUAGUAUAAGAUGUUUUAGUAGACAUCCCAAUGGAAACCCUUAAGACCAACAAACCAGUCCUAGGUUGGAUUUGUACGUAUUCAAAUGCCAUCUUAUCACUGUAUAAAGCUCAAGUUGCUCAGCUUUUCCCUUAUCAUUUUUAUCCCAACUCUGUUUUGAGUCAAUGUGACAAAUUCCAAAUUCCAUGCAAGAAGAUCUUAAUAUGUAAAAUACAUUAAGUGUAAAGUAGAUGUUAAAUUCAAGAACUUAACCUGGAUGCAUAGGAAGAAAAGAAGGGAAGAGCCAAAACUCUGGGGGCAUUGGGUUGCUUCCUGACUAGUCAAAUAAGCCAAAUAGCUGCAUGGAAGAAGCAAUUUCAUAUAAGAUUCAGUCCAACACACAAGAAUAAAUUGCAUAGGAUGAAUAUGAACUUGUGUUUAAAAUGUCCAUACUGAAAGCCAAGUCUUUCCCCAAGAGGGAAUGAAUGUCACUCCACCUCAGUCAUGGAUCCAUUUUCGCCCUCUUGCAUAAGCAUUGUCUCUUCCACCAUCUCGCCCUUCUCCAAGGAUGCACAUACAAAUGUAGUUGAGGGUUGUACAAAACAUGGUGCUGUGUCCCUCAAUAUGAAAUCCCCACCCACCAUCUUCAUUCUGCAAUGUACAUAAGCCAUUUUCAUACUUUAAAGCUCCAAGCCCAUUUAUGAGGUUAGGAUGAUGACUAGGUUCAAAAUAUAUGUACCUGAUGGCAGUAUUGGUAGCGAAGAAUUUCUUUAAGAAAUUCCUCGGGGAAUACAAUGUCAAGAUGCCCUGUAAUGUAUAGACGCAUGUCCUGCAUUUUCCAUAAAAUUAUGCCAUUGAGAAUGGUUGUUAAAAUGGUCUAUAUUCAUGAUUUUUAAGGAGGGUGAGAAAAUGUUGAGUAGACUCACCAGGGGAGGAAAGAAAUACAAUGGGCCAGAAUUUUCUACAGGCCAAUAGCUAUCACUAACCUGUAAGGCUGAAAAGAAAUGUGCACCUCUUCUCAGUGCUAUUGUGGUUGUCUCAUAUGUAAUUGCUUCACCAUCCCUAACUUUCAUUUGUGGUAUUGUUUGUUUGAAAUUCUUCUCUCUAAAAAAUUGUAGGUUUUUUUUUUUUUUUUUUUGGCCAAAUGAAAUGGGAGUUAGUGAAGAACAAAUUUAAAAGAAAAGAAAAGGUAAAUUAACCUCAAUAGUAAACAUCUAUUCAUACAAUUGUUCCAAGCUAAGUGGGACUAUUAGAGUCAAGAUAGGUGUAACAAUUGUUAAAGUGCAUAAUAUCUAUUAUGAGUCCAAAUCCUAUAAACUUAAUUUUUUAGGAAAUUGGUCCUUCAACAUGAUAUCAAAACUUAAUUUACCUAGGGCAAGGCCCAAAAUCACCUACUUGUAGUCAUGGUUUGAAAUGUUGCGAGCUUAUGGGAAUUGAACCCAAGCCGAAAUGUUUGGAUUGAAACUUGGCUACCAUUGGGCCAAGCUCACUUUUGUCAAUAUAUAUUCAAUUUAAAUAUGUUAAAUUUUAUUAUUAAAAAAAAUCUAAUUAUUUUAUUUUAAAUUUUAUUUAAUUGAUUAUAAAAGUAUAAAAACCAACAUUAUAAUUUUCUUAACAAGACUUUUUAUAUCAUUUAUAUGAUAAUUAAAUAUAUAAAAAAAUCAUAUAUGUGUCAUCAUUUAUUUUACAUUAUUAAAUGCAUUUGAAUUAAAUAAAUUAUAAUUUUAAUAUUAAAUGUAUUAUCAUUUAUAUCAUUAGUCCUAUUUUAAAAAAUUACUAUCACUUCACUUUUAAAUUUUUUAUAUUUAUCCUUUUAAUUUUGAAUCUUUUUAUUUUAAAAUAUUAAAGAUAUAAAUUUAUUAAAAAAAUACUAAAAUAUAAAAAAAUUGAUGAAGUCCUAAUAUUUUAUAAAUUAAAAUUAAUUUGAUAAGAUAAAUAAUAAAUUAUAUAUUAAGACUCGUAUAUCGUUGUUUACCAAUCUUUUUCUUCUUAACCAUACCUAUAUCAAUUACACUUACAUAAUAACUUUAACAUGUAUAUUUUUAGUUAUUUUAUCAUUGUUUGGAAUUUUUCCAAAUAUUUUCAUGAAUUUUGAAUAAUUUUCAUCUCAUCGAUAUUUUUGUCAAACUAUCCACCACUAUUUCUCCUAUAUUUCUGAUAUAUCCAUAAAAUUCAAGUACUGAUAUAUUCGUAUUUACCAAUAUUUUAAAUCAUGCUUAUAGUAUCCCUAAUAUAUGCUAGGUGGUGAACCUCAUAUGGUCUUCUUGUGUGGUCACCUCAUUUGAUGGGAGGCCAAGUGUUCACCAACAUGUUCUUUUCCCGAUUUAUUAAAAAGUCUACGUGUAAGCCAAAAAUAGGAGGCUACACAUGCAUGAGGAGCAGUAGAGCUAGGAAAUGAAGUGAAUGGGGCAUAUAUAUAUAUAUAUUAGGGAGCAAAAAUGAAUAAAGUUAACAUAUAGCAAAGUGGUAGAGUCUUCUAUUUUUCCCCUUAGAGUCAUUUUUUUUGGCUUUGCCCCUAUGCAUGAGGGUGUUAGAAAGCAUGAGAGAAAGUGCUACAUAUAUAUGAGCUCGCAUAUAUUGUGACUCCAAAUCCUAUAAAUUUAAACUUUUAGGAAAAUUCAUUGUGCAAGAACAAUGACCAAUUGAUUUGUUUGGAGGUGAAAACAAGAUUAUAAAGAGGAACCCAUAUCUUGCUCUUUCUUGGGUUCAUUUUUUCAUGCAAAUCAUCACCUAUAAUCAAACAAAAAGAAACAAAAUAUGAAAAGCUAUGUAGCUAGACUACAUAAAACAAGAAGUAUGUAUGCAUGGAAGACAUGUAUAUUCAGUGAAAAACUGCAAUCUAGGACGCAGAUGACAGAUCAAUAUCUGUUGUGAUAUUAGGACUUGAGAUAGAUGGGAUCAAAUCACCUGCAUCCGCCAAAGGAGGUUGCUGCUGGGCUUAACUUGAUAUCGGUUUUUCCAGAAGUUCUCACGAGCUGCUUCGACCUCAUCUCGCUCUUCUAAGGUUCCAUAAUUAGGAUCAAACUCCCAUAUCUAUCUUCCCACGAAGUUGUUGGUGUUGUAGAUGUAAGGAUCAUUGCCCCCAUCUGCAACCUUGAGCCUCCACAUUUUCUAACUCACCAAACUGAAGAGAUAUAUCUCUAUAUAUAUCUAAGUUAACAAAUAUGUGUGUCUUGCUUUCGAAAACACCUGCUGAUCAUCCAAUCACCAUAAAGGUAAGACAAGCUUUUCUUUGCAAUAAAAUUAAGUUAAAAUGAUACAGACCAAGAACAGAGAGAUAGGUGUCGGGUGGGCAGAGAAGAGAGAAACUUAAAAAACUUGGAAGGGAAAGUUAGGUUUUGGGCUAUUGAUUUGGAAAAUAUAUGGUUUUAAAAAUCCAAAUACAUAAAAUAUGACAUCUAACUAUUAAUAAGUAAAAUAAUAUCCAAAACAUGCACUAUGUCCUGUUUACUUUUCCUCUUCCCAGAUUGCCCCUAAAUUUCUCCAUGUCAUCAACAAAUCCUCCCCAUGUCAGCAGAAAAUUUGAAACUUGGAACUCUUUCUCAAAGCUGAAACAUAAAGAAACUCGACCCGAGAACCAAAAGUAAGAAAUCUCUCUCUCACUUCUAGUCAUUUUGACCUAAACCCAUCUCAUGAAAUUCCCUUUUUUAAUAUGGGGAUUGAUACAACAACUGCCUACAAUGGCAACGAUGUGUCUAAGUUGCCAUCAAGUGACUUAUUUGCGUGGGCCGGAAAUGGGAUAUGGGACAAUGGGGCAGCGUGUGGGAGGCAGUACUUUGUCAGGUGUUUGAGCGCACAAACUCCAGGGACGUGCAAAACUAGUCAGAUCAUUAAAGUGAAGAUAGUUGCUAGAGCCUCUAAGAAUGGAGCGAUCCUUGUUCUUUCUAAUAUUGCAUUUGGGGUUAUUGCUAAUCCUUCUGCCGCUUUGGUUAACAUAGAGUUUGCCGGGUAAGUGUCAUCCCUUUUAAUAUUAAUUACAUUGAAUUAUCUUUCAGGUAAUUAAUUUUUUAAAAAAUUAUUUCUGCUGGAAUUUUUAAUGUUCUUUUAUGGUGCUUGAUGUGUGCGCAGGGCUUGAGGGUAUCAAUGCAAAUAUAUGUCUGAGGGAGCUGCCUUUUUGCUAAUGAGGUUUCCAUUUGUCCAUUGUUUGAGCAUUUAUUAUUAUUAUUAUUAUUAUUAUCAUCUAUUUUUGCGAUUUUUAAUGAAAUUCAAUUUCGAUUUUUGUGAUUACAUGGCUGUGUUUUUUGUAAAUCAAUGUAUUUGACACGAUUACAAGUCACUAUUUUUCUACAUAAACAAAGGAAUUGUUUAUUCCUUAGUUCCUAAAAAGUGUAUUCAAUCUAGAAAAUGUUUUUUGGUACUUAGUUGUUUCAUCUCUUUGAAAGAGAACUUCUGAAUUUUAGGAGUUCAUUUAUUUCAAUGAUGAUUGAUAUGCAAUGAUGUAAGUAGUUCCCAUGACAGAAACUGGUCCAAGAAGCUAGCAAAUAUGUUAAUAAGAUUGAUUCCACUGGGGGAAAAAAUAUUUUUCUUGCCUGAUUCGUGCCCAAUUGGUGUCUCAACUGAUUUGUGUUCAGCUGGUGCUCCUUAAUUGAGGAAGUGAUCAACAAAAUUUAUACCUAUAACACCAUACACUAGGGUAGCAAAUAAAAAGCUACUAUAGUAUAGUGGCUCUAGGAUCGUUCACUGGGAAUGAUUAACAAGCAAUCAAGGAUACUAAUUCCAAGUGAAUUGGUCUUGAUUCAUUUCACGGUUAGCUUAAGAAAUAAAACACAAACUUUGAUUGGUAAAGGUUGAGACUUAAACUAACUAACUUAACAGAAGUUUGGAAUAAUUUAGGAAGAAAAACAUUCCUUGGAGAUUUAGGUUCACUGGGGUGGUUCCUCAUGCAAAAGACACAGCUCUGGUCAGUUGGUUCAUUUCCUCGCAUUAGAGAUUCAACUUAUAGUCAAUUCUCUAACCGGUGAUGUACAGAGACUCCUUCAAUUAGAUUUCACUUUAAUUCUCUCACUGAUGCAACUUGCAAUGGUUCAUGCCUCUCACAAGCACUUACCAUUCAAGGUGAUCUUUAACCUUGGACUUCCCUUCACAAACUCGCAAGAGAUAACUAAUGGAUGUCUCCUAGGAGUCCAAAAGCUUACCAAGUGUUGGUAAUUCCAGAAAAUCCUACCUUGAAGUCACCUCCCAGAGGCUCGCAAGAGGUAAACUAGUGCAUUUCCAUGGUUGGAAAUCACUUGCCUUACCAAGUGUUGGCCCAGGUAACUCCAAAGUGUUUUAAGUUAACUAAAAACAUAGAAAUCACUAAAGGAUUUCACUUCCUCUUCAUUACUAGCUAAAACCACAGAGCUUUGCAUUCUUGCAUUUGGAACCUUCCCCGGCAACCUUAGCUCCAAGGAAUUGGAGGUUUAGUUACUCAUUCUCUGGGGAAAACUCCUCAGAGAAUUCAUAACUUAGAAAUAAAAUGAAAAUACAAAGUGAGAAGGUAAGGCAGUAGAAAGGAAAUAGACUUUACUUGCUUACCAAACUUUUACAGAAAAGAACUCCUCUCUGAGAACAGGCUCCCGAGAGGUAUAUAUAUCAAACCAAUAUAAAACUAAUUGUUACCAAGAUAUUUAGUCUUUUUACUAACUUAAAAACUAAGGAAUCAUGUAAUUGGUGGCUUACAAGGAGUAUUUUGGGAUUUAGACAACAAAAAUCUAAUGGAAAAUAUCUCCCAAUGUCGGUAGCAAACUUCGGGAGGCUUCAGGAAUCAUUUUGCAGGAGAAAAAUGGUGUCUGCGAGAUUUCGCAGACACCCAAGAGGGCUGCGAAAUAUUUUCGCAACACCAAGCUAUCUUCACCAGGCUGCAAAGUUGGCUUCCAUCUUGAGGUUCCUAGCUUCCCUCUCGCGGCAUAAAUCAGGCAUCGUCAGAAGGAGAAACACUCUACUGUACAAAAAUGCUGCGAAAUCACUUCGCAACAAAAGGGUGAUUUCGCAACACUUUGCAAAAUGCUUCCUUCAGCUCGGAGCGAUUGGCUUGUAAUGGCUGCAACUUCUUCGUUUCAACUCUGAAUUGCACACUGUUUGAAGCAUUGGAUUGUUGACUUCCUGAGCUUUGAAAUGGUAUAUAGAAUGCAUCAUUUGAACUUCAGAAAGUGCCCCAAAAGUGGCUGCUACGACUGUCAUCAAGAAUAUGCUCCAUGACUGAUCCUCUUUGCUUUUUCUCCUUGCAAUCCGGAUUCACUCUUGGCAAAUGACUUCUAAGCUUUGCCCAAGAUUCCUCAUAGCUGUCCUCAGAUUUGACUUGCUUUGGUGAUCAAAAUACUAACAAAAACACCAAAACUUGCACAAAGUGAUUAAAAUUGCUUUAAAGGAUCCUUAACAUGCCAAUUGGGUUAAAAGGCCUAAACUACUACUCAAAAGUGUUUAAAAGGAUUAAUUAUAGGCUAUCAAAUAGCACUUUUUGAGUAGUAAUCAUUGCCUACGUGUAGAAUGUAGUAUUAAAACAUUGGUGUUGGACCUGUUAAUAGUGUUGGAAUGAUAUACGGUGCUGGUACUUACAAGAUGUUGUUGUAAAAAAUGGUUUCUAGAUUUAUGGACCAGUGGUAAAGUAAAAUAUUAUAAGUUGUGAUUGAUUCAUCCUCAUUGCAGUCAUGCCAUUUGAUUCUGGCCCAGAUAGGUGUUAUCAACAAAAUUUAUAAAACCUAAAUCACCUUAAACCAGGGUAGCAUAGCUAACAUAGUAUAGUGGUUCUAGGAUUGUCCACAGGGAUGGGUUUUUAUCAUACAAUUGACUUUAGUGAAGGAAAUAAAAUGGUGUUUUUCCUUAUGGAAAUUAGCUUUUAAAGAAAAUGAAAUUGUGGUUGCAAAGAUUGAUUUUAAGUUAAGCAAAAAUAAUAAGUGAAGUUAACUACAAAGAAAAGGUCUCUUGGAGCUUUAGGUCACUAGGAUCAGGUUCCUUAGGCAAAGAAGGAGAUUCUAGAUCUUUUCCUCGCGUUGGGGACAAUAACAUAAAUGAUGGUUAUCUCCCGAACCGGUUUUGUAUUUAGCAAUUAAGAUUUGAUCCAAUGGGUUCAUGAAAAAUGGUAGUUGCUUCCCAUUAAUGACUUCAAACACUAAAGACCCUCACCUUGAACCACCUUCCAAUGGCUCAUACUUGAUAACUAAUGAACAUCCAUGGAUCUAGCAAUAAACAUCCAUAUAAUCUGGAAAGCUUAUCAAGUAUUGGUCAUUCAAGGUGAUUCUCACCUUGAACCACCUUCAAUGGCUCGUACUUGAUAACUAAUGGAUAUUCAUGGAUCUAGCAAUAAGCAUCCAUAGAAUCCGGAAAGCUUACCAAGUAUUGGCCAUUGAAGGUGAUUCUAAGGGAUUUAAAGCUAAAUUUUGAAAUAAAAACCAUUAAUGGUUAACAACUACCUUCAUUUAAAGCAAGGAAAACUCCCACCUUUGCAUUCGGGUCUUCACCUAGUUUCCAUCACUCUAAGAAACGUAAAACUUAGCCACUCAUCCCCUGAGAAAUCAUUCUCAGAGGUUGUUUGGCUAGAAAGAAAAGUGAAAACAAAAUGAGAAGGAAAGAUAGAGCAAAAGCUCUGUAUAUUUCUUACUAUGGAUCUCCCAAGCCUCGGGCCUUCCUCUGUAACCCUUAGACCAUGCCAUUAUGUGGUUCUCUUGAGUGUUUAAGUGGUCCACCAAAGGUUUUUUGGGACUGUACCUUAGGUACUACCUUAAUGGCCUUUAGGUACUACCUUAAGGGACCCUAGGUACUACCUUAGCUAAAUAUGAACUCUAUCUUUCCCUAGCCUCAGGAUUUCCUUUGUGACCCUUAGACCAUGCCAUUAUGUGGUUCUCUUAUGUGCUCAACUCCAAGAUUCAGCGCAAAGGUUUGUAACAAAACAUACAAAAUGGAACCAUUUGGAAGUUUUCUAUGUCUAAUUGGUAAUACUGCAUUAAAUGUCUGGAGAACUUGAGACAACUACACUACCUAUUUGUGUUGAUUCCACCUAUGCCCUUAACCAUUAACUUUUUACUCAUAUGUGGAUUGAUGAGUCCACCACCAAAAUUUUGCUCACAUAUUAUCUGUAAUAUUUUCUUCAUUUUCUAAUUUAAGUUUUAUUGUCCACAAUUGUCCUUCUUUAGCAUGUUUCUUGAUUAAUCAGGUAUUGAAUCAAGAUUCAAUAUCUCUUAAUACUUAAAAGUUCCUAGAUUCAACUGUUUUUUUAUUUACAUUUUCUACCACUUGGCACUUUGGUAGAGUUCCACAUGGAAGAAACUGGAUAUGUGAUGCGGACAAAAUUCCAGCAUGCCCCCAUUGAUUAUAUUAUGUUCUUUUAUUCCAUUUUUUUAACUCUUCUGUCACUAAUGGUAGGCUUAAAGAGAAGCUUUCUAAUUUAGAAUCAGAUAAUCAAGUACUUUGUCAACAGGCACUGACCAUAUCAGCAACUGCUAAAGCUUUAUAUGCACGACCAAAAACACCAAUUCUUCAGGUAUCAACAACAUGCAAUUUAUCUGUUGUUGCACCUCAAAUGUCCUCAUGGAAAUAAAUGUUGAGCUUUUUUUUUUUAUUUUUUAUUGUAUUGCAGAGAACUCCUGAGAAUGGAAAUGUUCUAAAUGGAGAAGCAAAGAAACAAUUGGUAAGAAAUCUCGAGUAAUUUUAUCACUUAUGUUACACCCAACACUCCUGAUUGAGAGAUGAAAAAUAAACCAUGUAUUUUGUGUCCCACCAUCUUUAAAAUGUCUUAUGAUUCAAGUCUUGCCCUUUCUUCUCCACGGGAACCUGAAUCUAAGGAAAAGCCCUAGAAAUCUCUCAAUGAAAAGCACCAGGUGGAUAUCCUCUUUCGGUCUUUCAUUUUUUGUUUUUCUUCCUUUUCCAAGGCAGUAGUUUGGUGGUCAUUUAAAAAUUAUGAAUUUUUACCUGAGGCAUGCUCCACAUGUACUCAAUAUUCAUAUUACUGCUUGUACUCCCCGGAUAUUUUCUUCAUGGUAAUAAUUUUUUCUGGUGCAGGAAAACCAAGACCUGCUAAUCAAGUGUAUUUCACAAGAUUUAAGAUUCUGUGGGGGCAGGUCUAUUGCUGCUUGCCUGAUUUACAAAUCCCUUUUCCAAUGGAGGUCGUUUGAGGUUGAACGAACUAGUGUAUUUGAUCGUAUCAUUCAGACAAUAGGUGCAGCAAUAGAGGUAUAAUCGACCUCUAUUUUACUUGGUUUCUAUAUCCUGAUGUUUGAAAAUAGUAACUACUGUCAAUCCCCUUGUUGGACCUAGUAAACUGAAUUCAUUUUGCUUAAUGGCACCAAGACAUUUCACUGGAAGAAUGAGUGAAAAUUAACUGGAGAUCAAUUCAUGCUUGAAUUCUGAUGUUAUAAGCUAGAUGAUAACAUUUUGUAAAAUUCAGUAUCUGAAGGUCCAGGAUAACAAUGAUGUCUUGUCCUUUUGGUUAUGUAAUUCGUCUACACUGUUGUUGCUUCUUCAAUGCACACUUAAAGCAAGUGGAACAGCUAGCUUAACUCCACAAAGGCGGAGAUCAACAUCAACUUCUUUCUUUGGGAGGAUGUCUCAAGUAGGAAAUGGGAUUUGUUUUAUCUUUGCAACCAACCAGGACAUUUGAUAUAGCUUCAUUUUUUGUUUAUGUUUCUAUUUUCUUAAUUGAUGCCUUACAUUUUUAGGUGCUUCGUGCAUCUCCACAAAGUAUUGGGUUCACAUUUCUUAAUGGUCAGGUUCUUGGUGGAUUGGAUGACUUGAGACAAGUUGAAGCCAAAUAUCUAGCUUUGGUUUUUAAACAACAACUCACAGCCUUCCUUGAGAAGAUAUAUGGAAUGAUAAGAGACAAUUUAAAGAAAGAUUUCCCCAUUGCUUGGAUUGUGUAUUCAGGUAAUUCUUCUUAGCAAUUGUUAAUUCGAAACAAAAUAUGAAUGGUAUGAAUAGUUCCAUUUAAUAUCAAAAGCAACUCAUUUUUUGAAGAACCCUUUUUUAUGUAAGUCCUUCCUUAACUACCCAACACAUCAGUAUUCAAUCUAUUGAUAUUCUUAUGAGUCAGCCUACAAUUCACUUAUUAAGGUCAAGAAAUGAAAAACUUUUAUUUGUAAUUAUUUAAAACCAAACACUCAAUUUGUUGCUUUACUUUCAUGAAAGAUUAAAGAGCAUGUUUGUUUAUUUUGUUUGGUUGCAAUUCAAUUCUUUUAAAUACAAACAAAUCCAUUGACUAUCUUUUCACAAUGGGUUUAUAAGACUUUUUUUUUGUACUUUUUAUUCAACAAUAUGGUCUGAUUUUUUACUUAUAAGGGGAGAAAAGGGAAAUGUAUAACAGAUUAUGUCAAGGCAUAUAGAUGGUAAGUAAAUAUUUCCUAUAUUUUUUACAUCGUGCUGUUGCCUAUAGCUUAACCUAUUAAUUCACAUUUUCUAUUGUUCACCCAAAACCUAGUAUGCCUCCCCUUGAAUUUAUUUAUUUAUUUACAUGUAAAUAAACUUCCUUGAAUAAGUACCUAUUGUUAGAAUUUGGGGAUCAAUCAAUUCCUUUGCACCUAAAGAGAUUGUUUCUAUUGGGAAAAUUGACCAAUUGGCACACACCAUCUCAGUAACUCAUUUACUACUUCUAUCUAAAGUGGCUCAUUCUCUUUUUCAAUGUAACUUUUAAGUUGGCCAAUAUAUUCUUGAUCUUCAUUCAAGUAUCUUUUCAUUAUACAGGCACCUAGAACAUCUCGUGCAAGUUUAGUGAAGGGGCGUUCUCAAGCUAAUGCUAUUGCACAACAAGCGUUGAUUGCUCAUUGGCAAAGCAUUGUGAAAAGCCUGAAUUAUUACUUGAAGAUAAUGAAAGCAAACCAUGUAAGUGUCACAGUCUGAAAUAUAAUGUCAAAAACUUAUUGUUUUUCUUCUUACAGCAGUACCUCAUUCUGUUGGUUAUUGUGACUGUACAGGUUUCGCCAUUCCUACUCCGCAAGGUCUUAACUCAGAUUCAUUCAUCAAUGUUCAGUUAUUCAAUAGGAAAGUGCACUCAAACAUGGCUUUUUUCUUAUGAUCCCAGUUGCUUUGAUUAUGUAAUGUGAGUAAGUGGCAUUUUUAAAUUCAUUUUUGUAGUCUCCUUUUGAGGCGUAAAUGUUGCUCAUUCAGCAAUGAGGAGUUUGUUAAGACAGGAUUAGCUGAGUUAGAAAACUGGUGCCAUGAAGCAACCGAAGAGGUGACAUUAAUUACUCCUCUGUAACCUUUACACGUUGAUGUCUUUAGCAUGUGGCCUAAUAUCUGCUUCAUAUUCAGUAUGCUGGCUCAACUUGGGAUGAACUAAGGCAUAUCAGAUGAGUAGUUCGAUUCCUGUUUUUAUAUAGGACUCAAACAGGAUUCAACAAGUUAGAGAAAAGAACUGAAAGAACUUCUCUCAAUGGUUCAAAAUCAUCAUCAUGAAUGAAGACAACUAGCACCUCUGAUUUAUUGCUAAAACAAUUGCAAAGAAUAGGAAAGGAUUGAACUUGAUUAUGAAUCUCUCAAGAUGGUUCCACAAGGGUUGAAUCCAAUGCAACAUUUUUUUCCAUAUAUCUAUAAAAGAUCUUUGCCUUUGUCACAUUUAUAUGGCUCUUCAAGCUCUUUCAUAUGGGAUAGUACCAACAAUGCCUUUCUUGAAUACACAUUUUUUAGACAUAUAGGGGUGCCUCUGAGUAUCAAACAAUUAUAAUUUAUCUGUUCUAUAAUUAUAAAAAAUUCUUCAAGCUAUAUGCUAUGAUCAUCUCUCAUCAUAAGCAUCUGGAAUCAGUACUUUUAGGUCCAUUGUUUUCAUAGGAUACUUGAAUGCUCAUUCUGAUGUUUGACAUAUUAAAUAUCAUUUCUCAAUGGAAAGAGGGUCUUAGGUCUUGAAAAUCAGUGUAUAAAACAUAAAUUAAUACAAUGCCAUAAACUGAUACAUGCUGAGCUUUACAUGAAUGUCCAUGUCUUUCCUUAAUCAUCCAUGAGAAACUAGAAGUACACUGUUACCAAUAUCUCCAUCCAAGCUCAUUUGUUGGACUUCUUCAGGAUAAAGGAUCUUGAUGUAGCUUACCCAGUUCACAAACUCCCUGAAAUACCCCAAACGAGACAGCAUAAUGUCACAAACUUAGUCUUUUCCUAAGCUCGUGCGGCACUUAGAUGAGUCAAGACACUUGAUCUUGCUAAGUCAGCCUUACUUCCAAUGCUUAGCUUGUUCUGCUAAGACGCUCGUGACUUGGGAGGUUUAGAAGGCGUAGUAGGUGACUCUUAAAGAAUGGAAGCUUUAUUGCUUUCAAAGGAAGCUAUACAAUGCUUGGAAGCUAUACAAUGCUUGGAAGCUCACUUGCUUGGUUAGGAAGUGAUUUGGGUGGUGCCUUGGCCAAAUGAGGCUCUCACCUAUUUAUAGGUACCAAUGGAACUCUUUGGAACCUUGGAGGGUUCCUUACAAAUCAAGAAGAUUUUAGAAUACUCUACACAAUUCUAUGUACAACCCUAUGUACAAAAGAUCUCUAGAAUUCUUUAGAAAGCCUUGGACUCCUCUCAUGCCUUCCACCAUAGUGUAGAGAUGUGUGGACAUCUCUAGGCAUCUCUAAAACCUUCCACACUCUUCCCUCCAAUGGCUUAGUGUAGAUGGCUCCAGGAGUCUCUAGAAGCUUCUCGGGCUCUAUAUAAACCCAUGAGGAGGCUCAUUUGAAGCAUCCUAUGACACUCUCCCCCACCUAUGUCGUCGACGUCCUCGUCGUUGCCUCUUUCUGAAACCUCUCGAUGUGUUUCCAGAACCUUCUCAAGGCAUCCGCAUGUUCCCAGCUUACCUAGCUCCUUGGUAGUCCUUUUCAUCAGACUAGAUACUCCAUCACAGGAGGGACCCCUUGUCUCUUGGUGACCCGUUCAACUAGGAUAUUUUUCACCUCCUUUUCUCGUGAGGCCUCGGAUGGAUGCAAAUCCCUACACUUUCGAUGCUUGGAGUGUUGCUUCCUCUUACCCAUCAAGUUCACCUUUCCCUUGGUGACGUUGUCGAUGUAUGUGCGGGCUACCUCAGCUCGCUCCCCUUUUGCCUCAUUUACUUGCACCCCUGAUAGUAAGGAGGUCUUAGGCGUACUAGGCUUUAGGUUGAAUUGGAGGGCACCUAGUAGCUACAUUGAGUCCAUAUGUGCUCCGUCCUCCUAUUCCCUCUCCUCGAUCAUGGCACUGAGUGCCUUUCUCUUUGGACAAUCCCAUGCCCAAUGUGGACCAUCACAUAAGAAGCAUUUGAUUUUAGACGUAAACUCCUUCCUUUCCGCCUCACCUCUUCCUUCUCAGACGUUAGGCGUCUUGCCUGAUCCCAUUCUAGGAGUAUUGUGGUCCCUUGAAACCUCGUCUCCCCCACCCAUGGCGUGGCUAUCCUCUAAAGACUCAACCUUGGAGGAGUCUCCCCUCUUGUAAUCUGUUAAAGACUCUGCUAGUGCCAUAGCAGUGGCUAAGUCUUAAACACCUCGGCGUCUUAAUUCCUACUCAACCCACCCUUGCAGAUUAUCCAUGAAGUUGGAUAGCAACUCCUCCUCAGUCAUGUUAGGAAUCUCAAGCAUGAGCGAAGAGAAUUCCUUGACAUAGUCGCGUAUUGAGCCUAUAUGCUUGAGAUGCCUCAUGUUUUUCCUAGUCAGGUAAGCCACGUCCUCGUGGUAGAAUUGCCUCUUGAUUUCCCUCUUGAAGUCUUCCCACGUCUCUAUGGUGCAAAUGCCUUUCUCCAUAUCGGCAAACCUCCGACGCCACCAUAGAGUAGCUGUGUCAAUAAGGUAGAGGGUUGCAGUCCUUACCUUAGCCACCUCAUCAAUUAGUGCGAUAGCCUCGAAGUAUCGCUCCAUAUGCCAUAAGAAGUUGUGCAACUCCUUGGCAUUCCCCUUCCCACUAAACCCUUGUGGCUUUGGCACCUCCACCCUAGAUGCCUCUUGGGUGGCCAUGACCCGUGCCGACACAGUAGCCUUUAGAUGGCCAGCUCCUGCCUAACCUCAUGGUCUCGGGACUCUAUUCGAGUGGCUAAGGCCUCUAUCCUUGACUCCAUGCUAGCAAGCAUGCUCAUUGCCUUGUCUUGGAAGGACAUGAACUCCUCGUGUGACACCGGCUAAACUUGUGAGCCUAGCACUCUCUCACGAAGGUCUUGGAUCUGCUCCCUUAGAUCCUCUAAGCCCUUCUCCAUGCCUUGCUAGAUCAAGUCCACCCCUUCGCGGGUGUCCACCAUGGCUAGCUCCACUUUAGCUAACCUUGCCUCCAUGUUGGCAACGACAUCACGAGACUUAUCCUUCCUGCCCCUGCCCCGCAUAGUAGGCUCAAUCUCUCUUCCACGGGUUUGCUCACUAGUCUCCUCCACAUUAGAGCCCGACAUGCUUCCUUUACCAUGCCCGCUUCAUAGCCGCGCUCUGAUACCACUUGUCACGAACUUAGUCUUUUCCUAAGCUCGUACGACACUUAGACGAGUCAAAACACUUGAUCUUGCUAAGUCAGCCUUACUUCCAAUGCUUAGCUUGUUCUGCUAAGACGCUCAUGACUUGGGAGUUUUAGAAGGCGUAGUAGGCAACUCUUAAAGAAUGGAAGUUUUAUUGCUUUCAAAGGAAGCUAUACAAUGCUUGGAAGCUCACUUGCUUGGUUAGGAAGUGAUUUGGGUGGUGCCUUGGCCAAAUGAGGCCCUCACCUAUUUAUAGGCACCAAUGGAACUCUUUGGAACCUUGGAGGGUUCCUUACAAAUCAAGAAGAUUCUAGAAUACCCUACACAAUUCUAUGUACAAGAGAUCUCUAGAAUUCUCUAGAAAACCUUGGACUCCUCUAAUGCCUUCCACCAUAGUGUAGAGAUGUGUGGACAUCUCUAGGGAUCUCUAAAACCUUCCACACUCUUCUCUCCAAUAGCUUAGUGUAGAUGGCUCUAGGAGUCUUCAGAAGCUUCUCGGGCUCUAUAUAAACCCAUGAGACAAGGGUAAUAUAUAUAUAUAUAUAUAUAUAUAUAUAUAUAUAUAUAUAUAUAUAUCAAAGUUUUACACCACAAUGUACAAUAUCACCCAACCUUAAAAAGAUGGAAAACUUUUCGUGCCAAGCUGGUUGAUUUGUCAACAUUUUGGGCAGUACCAGCCUGUCCCUCGCUCCAACAUUUCAAACCAUAUUGUAUUGCCCGUGUUGCAUUAGGUUUAGGUUUUUUGAAAUACAAAAUUACAAGAGCAAGUUCUGCCCGUGUUGCAUCCAGAGUACUCAUCUUUUAACCAAAAUUCACCUGCUAAGUCAAAACAUCAACGUUCAUUUCACGAGAAAAAAAAAAAAAAACAUAAUAUACAUGUAGAGAAAAUUACAUUGACCAAAGCAACAACAGUAAAAAAAUUGAAUAAAAACCACAUGAAAAAUCAUGCUUUCACGCCAAUAAAUAAAAUGAUAUUUAUUGUCCAAAUCAAAUGAAGCUAGCACGAAGUCAACUUGUUGCCAGAAUCAGAUAUACAAUCAAAGCUAUUCUUAAUAAGAGUAAGCAAUAGUUCCAUGCUAUUAAAACUGCAGCAUUAGACAAAGCAGGGUACAGAAAAAAUGCUAAUAGCCUAGUUAUUUAUGGUCCAAAUAACAUAUUCCAAAUCAUGGUUUACUCUCAUACCCACAACAUAACUAACGCUCAAAAGAAUCACUCUCCUUCAGAAUCAUUUUCAGGAGGAAAAUAUAUUAAAAGUAACAUAUCGAAAUAUAAUAGAACAUAUAGUUGCAUUUUAAAUAAAAUGUUUUAUUAAUCCACUUUUUACUAAUGGAAAAAGCAAAAUGAUAUUUUAAUUGAGAUUGUUUAUUCCAUUCUAAAUAAAUACUCUAAAUGAACCCACACCAUCAUGCCACAAUUCAAUGUACUGGUGCAACACACACCACAUUGAUCCAUUUUCUAGAUCAAACUCGGCUAGUUAGGAAAACUUGAAGUAAAUAGAAGUUUGCCAAAGUACAAAUAUACCAUCAUACAUGAUCACAAUGUUAAAGCUAUAUCCAAUUUUACUCUCUCCAACAGUGCCCCCAAAGAUUGACAACAGAUCAACAAAAUCAACUGAAAUCAUGUGUUUUCUCCCCAUGUUAACCUAUGUUGUUAUUGGGUUUCCUCUACUCUCAUCCCUCCUUCAGUCUAAAAGCACCUAACAUAAGCGGGGGCAGAACCCAAAUAUAUAGGAAGUAUGGCAUGGGUGCCCAAAUUCAAAAUGGAAAAUAAAAAACUAGCACCCUCCCAUUAAUAAGAAGCCAACCAAUCAAUGCAAGCUAACAUAGACACAGAUCAAGCAUCAAGGCACUCUCCAUGACUUCCUGGAGGAGAUUUGGAACAGAGCUGAGGAUCCUGUGAGGACCUUGGUCCACGGAAUUCUACAGUGUGCUGUGAGACACCAAGAAGGGUAAAACUUCCAAUCCUUAAUGCAACUGCAGAAUAUCUCAUGGCCUUUGGUUAUAACUGACUGUCUAAAGCAACCAUUUUGUAUUUUUUUUUGGGGUGGGGUUUCGUUUUACUCCACAUACUUCUGUCUUAUACCAUUCUCUACUUGGGUUUUUAAGUUUUCAUGUGUAGACACAAGUACAACAAAAAUUAUGGCUAUCAAGUAGAUAUAGCCCUUUAACCAAAAUAAUGAGAAAAUCUUACAAGAAACAUAGACCAUUGUAGAUACAAAUAAGAAUACACUCCUGGCCAUUACAACAUAUGAACCUAAAUAGAAAGAAGACUGAUCUGAUCCCUAGAUUUGACAAAUAGUCAUGACAUUUGUUAGAUCAUCCUUGAUCCCAGAUAUGAUCUUGAGCAUUCAUCCAGAGUCGCUCACAUAAAUGAUUUCUCGCACUAAAAUAUUCCAUAUCUCAACAUAGUAUAUUCAUUUAUCCAUUCACAGUUUUCAUGGUUUCCUCCAUAAAUAUGCAUAUAUGUUCAUUUUUCAUUGUACCAGCACAUGUAUACAUAAUCUUAGCUUAUAUUACACACCUUGAAUAGUAAUAUGCAAUUUUUAUAAAAUUUUCCAGAACAAAUAAAAAUUAGUAUAGUAAUAUACAAUUGGUCAGGACAUUUACAGAACAAAGAGAAAUAAGUAUCAUGUCUGUGGAGAACUCAUUUGGGGAAUGAGACUCUUUUAACCCUCAUCCAAGAGGGUUUGAAAAGACAGUCACAAAUGAGGAUGAAUGGUUGAUUCUUCUCACUCCUUAACUAGACGACGCAAGACACUGCUACUCAAUGGCGAGAGGUUUCAGUUAUCCUAGAGAAAUGAAACCACCCAAUGCUGAAAAAUCAAACAUAAUAAGUUCAAAUAUUGAAAAAAUUACACAAGUAUGGAUACAAAAGCAUCAAGAAGCACACAUCCUCCUGCAUCCACCAACCACAAUAGAUUUGGUUUUGAUUUUAGACCAAUCCAAGCUGCUCACCAGUAUGCUACAAAAGGAUCAACAUUUAAUUUGUCCAUGAGACCAAAUAUCCUAUAACAUCACACUGAAGCAACCCAAAUUACUAAAUGGAACUAAAAUUUCUUCUUAAGAUACUUGGCUUGGGAAAUUGGUUAAGUAUGCUUCUUUAGAGAAACAAAAUGAAACUGACACAUCAUCAUAACACAAUUUUAUAGAGUACCAACUAAAUUACAAUUGAGUUAGGAAGAAUAAAUGUAAUGAUAGGUCAUUUUCCUUCCAACAUAUGUAGCAUUUACAGUUAAAGCAAAUAGGAACAUUAAUGGAUUAAGCCCCUAUAUGUCAAGACCGAAAAUGUUAGAAUGUGCUAAGUCCUCUCUUUUCUUGAUGAUACUAUAGCGCCUAAAAUGGAUGCAUCAACUUCAAUAACAAGUUAUGAGAACCAUUAGAUGUUUUAAAUCAUAAUUAGUAUCAAAAUAAUGAGAUUUUGCCUAGUGAUUCACUAACCAGGACCCAGACUAUGAUACUUAAAUCAAUGAGGGAAAUCAAUUACAUGUAGUAUAAUUCUCUUGAAUGAGAGAUCUUUCUAGGACUGGCUCGAAGAUUUCCGAGGAUUGGUGAACUCAGAGGAACUUCUCCAAAAACAUUAGACUAAUUUUUUUGUCCAUCAGAAAGUUGUCUCCCACCAGCACUGUUAUUGUCCUCUCUUUUCUUAUUGAUUGUCCCGGUCUGGUUAGACUUGAUCUCCUGCAUUGCAAACAAAAGAAUAAUGGCGUAUUAUGGAUAUGUGGUAAAAAAGCAAGAAUCAAACUCCAUAUCAUUGAUUGUAAUAUCAGCAGGGAUUGAACCCAAGCCAUGAUUUUGAUUUAAUAAAAAUUAAGAUGGAUAAUUAAUAAUUAAUAAUUAUUUAUAUGGGGCAAAUUGUUUUCAUGAUUUGUUUCCUUUUUUUUUUUAUCAUACUAAAUCUAAAACUCAAAAGGGUCACCCACUUCUCUCACUUGCUCAGGCAUCAAGAAGCCUUUUUUCUGAAGUUGCUCUCCAGACGAGAGAAUCCCUAAAAAGGCCCUAUUUUCCUCUGCCAGGUACUAAUCUAAUCAUGUUUUUUUUUUUGAAACCCCCGUUUGAUUCCCAAGAAAAUCCAUCCCCCAUUUGAUUUUUGCGAAAAUUCAUCCUCAUUUGAUUUCCGACAAAAUCCAUGCAAAACCCCCAAGGAAAACAAAAACAUUUGUUUUUUUUUCCUCCCUAUGUUCUCAGGAUCUGUUCUAGGGGUCUCUUUGCUUUUGUGCCAUUGGAUUUCAAUUUCACAAACCCUAAAUCCACGAUUUUUGAGCCAGGCUGAAAAAUACAACCUUUGCCAGCAAAUCGUGAUCAGAUUACCAAAUAGCAUCUUAGGUUUUUUUUUAAAAAAAAUAAAAGUUUGGACAGAUUUUGCAUCCUGCGUGGGCUGGGCUGGUCGGAAAUAUCGGGAAAAUUUCUCGAAAAUACGGUAAAAAUUACCGAUAAAUACCGAAAUAUUUCUCCAUAUUUCAAACACUGGUGAUUCUCAAAUUUUUUUCCUCAACGAUUCCCCACAAACAGCCGUCUUGUGAACAUAAAAAUUUAAGAUAUAACAAAAAAAAUUCCCCAAAUAUUCUAAAUCACAGGGUUGUGAACAAUGUAAAAAAACUUUCGGCCCAAAUAUUUUCUCAACAGCCAAACAAAUCCUUAAAUGGAAAACUCACCUGCAAUUAAUCCAAAAGGAAGAGGAAGCUCCACUUAAGUUUCUAGAAACCUUCAAAAUAUUCCACCUUUGAUGAAGAAAUAUGAAGAUAUGGCUCAACUUUGGCUUCAUUGAAGGUUUUCGGAAGAUGGCUAUCGGGUUUGGGUGGUCAGCUCGUGAAAAGAGACACUAGGGUUAGGCCAAAAUGAGACGAAAUGAGAGGAAAUAACAGAGUUAUGAAAAUGCAGAGCAAACGAGCCAUGAAAAUGUAGAUCGGGUUAGGGCAAAAUGAGAGGAAGUGACAGAGAGUUUCCCCAAAUUUCAAAGUUCAUCGGGUCGGGUGUUCUAUGGGUUUUGCAAAUUUGAUAACUUUUAAGUUUUAGAUUUUGCGUUUAUUAAAAGCGCAACUUCCGAUGACAUGGAGGUGAUGGUUGCUAACAAGAUGCAUGGAUGGGUAAUUUCAAAAAUGCAAUUAUAAACAGUAUAUAGUGCAUGAAAAGGAAAAAAUUUCUUCAAAUAGUGGAGCUAUCUUGGGUUAUGCAAACUUGGGUUUUGAAAACAAUUGAGAAAAAUGGGUUCCCGAAACACAACUUUCCCAACUUGGAAUGGCGAAUUCCAGGUGGGAAUCACUCAUUCAUAUAGAAGCACAACACCAAGUCACUAACCCCCAUCACUUCUAUCAAUUCAUUUUUCACCAACCCCCAUCAAGUUUGUGGAAUUUUUGGACUCUCAAGUAUUUUUUAUUGAUAUAUUUUAUUUCAAAGAAAAGCUUGUCUCACCUUUAUGGUGCCUCUGAUAUAAGGAUGGUGAUUGCAUGACCAGCAGGUGUCUUUGCAAUAAAAUUUUAUGGAAUUGAUAUAUUUUUUAAUUAAAGAAUCCCAUGCAUUAAUUUUAUUUAAAUAAAGUUUAUUUAUUUAAUAAAAAUAUAUAAUUAUGCGCAGAGGAGAACCCACGAAUAGUCAUUUUAGGUCGCUUUCGGUCUGUGAAAUUUUAGGAUUACUUAAUUUGAUUUUUUAGCUCUAAAACUCGUUAAUAAACCUAACAUAUGAAAUUGUAUUGAAUUUGAAGUCAUUUUACACACGAAGAAAACCCAAUAAAGUCAAUAAACUUGGUGAGGGAGGAUUUGGUUUAUGAAUAAAAAUAUUAAUUUUUAAUUUAUUCUUAUCUAUAUAUAUAUAUAUAUAUAUAUAUAUAUAUAUAUAUAUAUAUAUAUAUUUUUUUUUCCAUCGAUUGAUCAUCCCUUUAUCAAUUUUCUUGCAUAUCCGAUAAUGAAGGCCAAUUUGAUUGUUGUUAAUCGGAUUGUUGAUGACAUAUUAAUGAGAAGUUGAUGAAUGCUUAAUUGAUCUCAUGUUAAUCGAUGCCUAUUAGAAUUGAAAUUAGAGUUAUUUUCUUUGAAAUUAUUUUUACUUGAUUGAGGCCUUUGAUAACAUACAAUAGUGGCUAAGAGAUCCUUUAUUUGAUUUUUUUUGCCUUUGGUUUUAUUUUUCAUUUUUUUUUUAUUGUGAUGUUUGGAUUGUUCACUUUGCUGUUGUUUUGUUAAAAUUAUUGAACCUCUAUAAUUUAAAAAUUGAAUUAGGCUAUUUCAUGUCUCUCUAAAAUUUUUCUUAUGAUUGCAUGAUGUUGUAGACUUCCCAAAUAUAUUGAUAGAAUUUUGUUUGAGUCUAAAAUCAUUUUUCAAUUAAGAGAUAUAAACCAAUAUUUCAAUAGGUCCACUUUUUUCACUCUAUUUUGGACACCAAUUUUAUUAUUAUUAUUUUUUUUGUAAAAUUAAAUUAUCUCAUGAUCUCUUUAAUUUGUUUUGAUAUUUUUCCAUUAAUAUCAAUUCUUAAAUUUAAUUUUAGGCCCUGAAUUUUUGAAAAUUAAUUCUCCAAGUAUAACAAAAAAAAAAAUUUUCCUACACCUAUUGCACUAACCCUUUUUAUAGUCAAGGAAAGUUGGCUUAAUUUAAAAUUUCACAUUGUAUAAGUCAAGUUGUUAUUUUUUACGUAAGUUAGAUAUAUUGAAGGUAUUGUACAAUUUUUUUUUCAUGAUUUUAUUAUGCAUAUAGAUAGGUUAAUUAAAUAAGUCUUUUCAUGCUAUAGAAUUUUGCUCUAUUUUUUAUCAAUAUAAUUGUGAUUAAAUCAAGUAUUAAAUGAGAUACGAUUGAAUGAUUUAGCCUUUGGGUUGCAAUCUAGACACAUAAGAGAUAUUGUCCAAGUUUUUUUAUGGUGAAAUUCCAUAUCUAGAUAUUUUUUUAGGAUAUAUUUUGAAGGUGUCUUUAAUCUAGAUGCAUGUCGAUUAUUCUAUAGAGUGUCCUUGAUGUGAAUUAAUCUAGUAUUGAUUGACACGUAAUUAAAUGUUUUGGGAUUUUGUAUUGUAAUCUAGACACAUUGAAGAUGUUAUCCAAUUUUUUUUUCAUUAUGCAAUAACACCUCUAGGUAUUUAUUUAUGAUUUAUUUUAAAAACGUUAAUGUUCUAACCCAAUGCUGAGUAUUUUGGAUGAUUUGUUAUUUUCACCACUUUUUGCACAUUUUUAAAUCUUUUGGACCAUUGUUAUAUAUUGUAGACCUAUUGUAUAUGAUAAGUGAAUUUUUUUUUGCACCAUAAACCCUUAUUGAAUAUUUUAAUUGAACUCAUUUUAAAAUGGUAUGCAUACUAAAAGUGUAUUGAACUUACAUGACCAUUGUUACUUGUUUUUUUUUUAUUCUUUUAUUGGAGUAGUGGAUGCAUUAUGUAUGAUGAUAGAUUUUUAUUAAGAUUUUUCAUGUCUAUUUUUUAUUGUUUGUGAACUAACCCUCGUUGAUUUUAUGAAAACCCUAUACAUGUUAUUAAGGUGUAUUGCUCUCCUUCCUUUCAUUUUUUUAAUGCAUGGUUCAUUUGAGUGAUGCAAAUUAUGAUUUCACCAUUGUCUUGAUUGUGUAUUACUUAUUUUUUUGGUAUCCACUAAUUUAAAAAUCAAUUGUUAUAGUUGUCUCAACUCAUUAGUAGAGACCUUUAUUUAGGCCUUGGAGGGGUGCUAUCGUAUGAUACAUCCCCAAUAGGUAACCUAACUCUUGGAUUUAGACUCGUGUUUUCAAAGACACGUUUUUUCAAAUUAAGAGUCACUCUUAGGGUUUUAUUUCUUAUUUUGUUUUCUAUUUUUUUUAAAAUAAAAUAAGUGGCAAUUCCGCCUUUUAAAAAAAUAUUUUUUUCAUAAAAAAUGAGUUAUCAUCAAGUAAGGAUGCACAUGAAAAAUGUAAGUCCACUAUAAGGCUAUAUCAAUUGGUCUUCCCUCUACAGAAUAUUCAUUCAAGGAGCUAAUGGCUAGAUUAUUUUCCAAUAAUCAUUCAGUUGUUGUUUCGCUCAUAAAAUAGGAGAAGAUUUAUUCUUUCCAUUUGUAUCAGCAUAACUUAGCUAAACUUAAGCAGAAGUAGUUGACUUGUCUUUCAUUUUCUACCCAUUUUUGUAUAUAUAUUAUGCUCAACAAUGGUAAUUUAAUAAGGGUUUGCUAUUGUUUUAUUCUCUUGCACAAACUAUUCUUCAAAGUACUCAACUAUGGCAUAGAUAAACCUUUCAUCUACUUGACAUUACUCAAAAGGCCUCGACGUUACUCAACAUUAUCUGAGCUUUUCUCCUACAGAUGCUUUGACGGCAUGGCAAUGCAACCAACCUCAAGGCAACGACACCCACUUACAUACUGUGUGAUAAAGGAGAAUCAUUUGAUUCUCCAUAAGAUUUGCUAUAUCCUAAUUUGGUUCCAUAAAAUCUGAAUGUAUAACUAUAAAUAUAUGUAGAUAUGUUUUCAAUAUUUGUAUUUCAAACCUUUCCUGUUUUAUAGGAUCACAUUGUUGUUAUUUAUUAUAUAUAUAUUUGAUGUUAUCUUCUGCACACGGCAAUGAGGAUUUCAAUCAUUAUACAUUGUUUAUUAAACAUCUUUUUGGUAUCAGAGCAAGGUUUUUUUCUUUGAUUCUAACCAUGGUUGAUUCGGCUUCUUCAUUUCCUUCUCUUCCGCUUAACAUAAUGGUGCAUAUGCUGAUUCAUGCCCGAUUGGUGUUCCAAUUGAUUCAACUCAAUUGAUGUGCUUUGAUCUCAAUCCUCAUACGGGAGUAAUCAACAAAAUUUAUAAACCUAUUUCACCAUAUACCGGGGUAGCAUUUAGCUAGCAUAGUAUAGUGGCUCUAGGAUCGUCCACAGAGAUGGGUUUUCACUUUGCAAUUGAUAUUAGUUCAAAAACUAAAUUGGUGCUUUUUCUUUUCUUUUUUAGCUUUAAAAGAAGACAUAAGUUUGAAUGAAAACGGAUGGUAUUAAGCUAACCUAACAUAAAGUAACUAAAAUUAACUAAAAAGAAAUUAGAAAGAAAGGUGUUUCUUGGGAUUUCAGGUUACUAGGAUCAGGUGCCAAUUGCAAAGUGGAAAAUUCCAGAUUUUUCUCCUCGCAUUGAGUAUUUAACCUACAGUUAUUUCCCGAACCGAUAUAGGUUUAACAAUGAAGAUUUAAUCCAUAAAAAGUCAAUAGAGAUGGUAGUCAAGUUCCGUUAAUGGCUUUAGACACUAUGGGUCUUCACCUUAAGCCACUUUCCAAUGGCUCGUACAUGAUAACUAAUGGACUGAUGUGGAUCUAGCAAUAAGCAUCCACAGAGACCUGAAGCUUGCCAUGUAUUGGCCAUUCAAAGUGAUUCUAAGGGAUUUAAAGCAAAACUUUAGAUUUAAAAGCCAUUUAUGAACUCCAACUACCUGUAUUUAACGCACGAGAGUUUUCCACUUUUUCAUCUAGACUUUUCACCUAGCUUCCUUCACUCCAAGAAACCAAAGGUUUAGCCUUUCAUCCACUGGGAAAACAUCCUCAGAGGUUGUUUGACUUCCAAGAAAAAGAAAAAUAAAAGAGAAGGAAAAACAGAGCAAGGCUCUGUAUAUUCUAUAUAUUGAUCUAUUUUACAUACUUCUAUAUCUAUAUGUUUUACAAUGGAUGCAAGGGAAUAUAUAUAGAGAAGUUUUUCCAACCUUCCUAGCUAAGAAAUCUUAUUGUUGGUGGAUUACAAGGAGAAGAAUGGAAAUUUAUACAAAAAUAUCUAAAAGAAAAUAUCUCGUGUGGAAUCGGCAAAACAGAGGAGAUUUCGCACCACGCAUGGGCUGCUGUGCGAAAUUCAAGGUGUUGUGCGAAUUUCAAGGUGUUGUGCGAAUUUCGCAUAAGCCUGGAGCAGUUGUCUUCCGAAGGCCAUAUCUUACUCAUUUCAGAUCUAAAUAGUACACGGUUUAAAACAUUGGAUUCUUGACUUCCUGAGCUUUGAAAUGGUAUAUAGCAUGUAAAAAAUAGACUUCAGAAAGUACUCCAAAAGUGCGAAGGAAGACUGCAGCUGCUGUCUCUGUUUUCUUCAUUCUGUUUGUUUUUCCUCUUUGCUUCUCUCCUUUACUUGGCUUGUCUUAAUGAUCCAAAAAGCUGUCAAAACACUCAAACUAGCCACAAAUAUGAUUAGAAGUCAUUGCUAGGUCCUUAACAUGCCAAUUGGAAUAAGAAUGGAGAACUACUACACAAAAGUGCUUAAAACAUAAUGAAUUAAAGGCACAAAAUAGCACUUUUUGGGUAGUUACCAUUAAACCGAUUUCCUCAAAUUACUUAUUGUGGAAAAAUCAGUUUGCUCCACUGUUAGCCAGUCAAGAUUUGUUUGGAUUUACUCUACUCUUCUCUUACCGAGGAGUCUAUGAGUGAAGUAUUGGGUUUACGUCAUUCUCAUGAGGCUUGGCGCGCUCUUGAAGUCUCAUUCUCGCACCGGUCGAAGACUUGUGAACUGCAACUCAAUGAUGAACUCCAAUUGAUGCAACGCGGCUCUCAUCCCAUUGCUGAGUUUUCCUGUACCUUCAAAGGUCUUUGCGAUCAAUUGGCUGCGAUCGAUCGUCCCAUUGACGACACAGAUAAAGUUCACUGGUAUUUACGAGCAUUGGGGCCCAACUACAAGAUCUUCUCCACCACCAUGAUGUCACAGCUUCCGCUACCCUCCUUUGUCGAGAUUGUUCCGAAAGCUUUGAGUCAUGAGAUUUUUGAAAGGUCAAUUUCGCACUUGUCUUCUAACUCUGCUUAUUAUGUGCAGCAUACUUCUAAAUCUGUAGGGGUUAAGAAAUGGAAGAAUUGGCCUCCCACUUCGUCUAGCUCUUCUACAAAUUCAAAGUCCUCAUCCACUGUUCACUGCCAAUUGUGAGACAAGAAUGGACACCUAGCCAAACAUUGCUGGAGCUUCUUGAAACUCAAGAAGAAGCAGUCGGGUAAUAUUGUUGAAGCUUUUUCAGCCUACUCAAUUCAAGACCCGAAUGACACUGAAUGGUUUCCUGAUUCUGGUGCAACGUCCCAUAUGACAAGUGACACCGAGGUUGUGGAUCAACCAACUCUUUACUUUGGUAAUGAACGUGUCAUGGUUGGAAAUGGUCAGCCUUUAGCAAUUUCUCAUACUGGUUCCAUUUCAUCUCUUAUGCCGUCUAGUUCUCUUCUUUUAUCAAAUGUCUUAGUUGUUCCUGGCAUUAAGAAAAAUCUUAUUUCGAGUAGUCAACUUACAACAGACAAUAAUUGUCUUGUUACCUUCUUUUCCUCUGGUUUUACCAUACAAGAUCAGGUCACAAGAACCAUACUGGGAGUCGGAAAAUGUGAAAAUGGUCUCUAUGUGUUAGAUCGUUGUCAUCAUGCCCUUAUGUCCACCACUUCUCCUUCACUGCGAGCCUCUGUUUGUUUAUGGCAUGCUCACCUUGGUCAUCGCAAUUAUCAUACUGUUGCUUCUCUUUCUAGAUUAGGAUAUAUUUCUUGUAGUAAUAAAUUGGUGAACAUUGAUUUUGAAAUUUGUGUUGGUUGUAGACUUGGCAAAAGCCAUCGUUUACCUUUUUCUCUGAAUGAUGAACAUUGUGCCAUGCCUUUUGAUUGCUUACACUGUGAUUUAUAGGGUCCGUCACUAGUUCUCUCUUUUACUGGAUAUAGAUACUAUGAGGUAUUCAUUGAUGAUUGUACCAGAUUUAGUUGGAUAUUCUUUUUAAAACAAAAAUUUGAUUUUUUUUUAUACUUCAUCCAUUUACAACAUUAUAUUGAGACUCAAUUUUCAUCUAAAAUAAAAUCCUUUCAAUGUGAUGGUGGAAUCGAAUUUACAAAUAAUAAAUUUUGAUCUCACUUCCAAUCUUGUGGCAUUGUUCUCCAUUUGGCAUGCCCCUACACUCCUAGUCAAAACAGCAUUGCCGAACGCAAGCAUCGCCAUGUCAUAGAAACGGGUUUUACCCUUAUGUUCCAUGCACGUGUGCCGCUUUCUUUGUGGGUUAAGGCCUUCUCAACUACUGUCUUUCUCAUUAACCGACUCCCGUCACCGUUACUUGAUGGCAAAACUCCUUAUGAGCUCUUGUUUGGUAAGCAACCAGGUUACUCUAUGCUUCGCACUUUUGGGUGUCUUUGCUUCCCUCAUUUGAAAGAUUACUCACCAAAUAAAUUGUCUCCAAAAUAUGCUUCUUAUAUCUUUUUAGGUUACAGUACACUUCAUAAAGGAUUUCAAUGCCUCGACCGAACGACACAUCGUGUCUAUGUUUCUUGACAUGUGCAAUUUUAUGAAAAUAUUUUUCCUUAUCAUGGUGAUUUUGUACAAAAUUUACAAACCAACAUUAACUAUACCCCUUUUUUCUGAAUGUCAGGACUAUGUGUCUAGUUCUUCUAAUAUUGGUUCUUCUCAUUCAUUUUCGAGUUCACCAUGUUUGUCUUGCAGUGAUUCUCCACACCUGUCCUCAGAUCCUCCCCCUGAUCUACAAGGUCCUAUUUCUAUGGAACCCCUCUCUGAUUCUACAACUUCAGACUCAACUUUUCCACCGUCGGUGUCUUCCGUUCCUCGUGUGACCAUUUCCAGCCACCCAAUGAUUAGCAAAGGAAAAACUGGUAUAUUCAAACCACGAUUAUAUCAUGCUAUGAAUGUUUUAUCUUCUUCUCAAACUUUCCAGGCACUUCUUGCUCUCAAAGAACCUCGGGGUUUUAAGUUUGCUACAAAACACCCUGAAUGGCUCUCGACUACGGAUUAUGAGAUUUAAGCUUUGAAGACAAAUGAUAUGUGGGUUCUUGUACCUCAUCCUAACAAUCACAAUGUAGUGGGUUGUCGCUAGAUUUUCAAAACCAAACUUCGAUCGGAUGGGUCCAUUGAGCGUCACAAGGCACGUCUCGUGGCUCAAGGAUUUUCUUAGAUUCAUGGUCUUGACUUUGGUGACACAUUUAGUCCUGUAGUGCGCCCUGCUACAAUCAGAAUUAUUUUUUCAUUGGUUGUUACUUCUAGAUAUUGUUUACAUCAACUAGAUGUUAAAAACGCCUUUCUACAUGGUUUUCUCAAUGAAGAGGUGUAUAUGGAACAACCACCUGGUUACACAAAUCCACAUGCUCCCACUGAGGACCACUUUCGUGCUCUCAAGCGCAUUUUGCGCUAUGUCAAAGGCACUCCUCAUCAUGGACUUCAACUCUAUCAACAAUCCACUCAUGAUAUUCUUGCUUACUCUAAUGCAGACUGGGCAGGUUGUCCUGAUACACAUCGUUCCACUACUGGCUACGCUAUUUUUUUUUGUACCAAUUUGGUUUCUUGCUCCUUUAAGAAACAAAGCAUUGUCUCUCAAUCAAGUGCCGAAGCAGAAUAUCGCUCUUUAGCUAUUGCCACUGCUGAUAUUGCCUGGAUUGUUCAACUACUUCGGGACCUCCAUGUUACACUCUCAACAACACCUAAAAUUCUUUGUGACAAUCAAAGUGCAAUUUUUAUGGCAAUCAAUCCGGUUACUCGCCCUCACUCAAAACAUAUUGCGAUCGACUACCACUUUGUUCAUGAACUUGUUGCUAAUGGCACUUCGAAAGUUGAUUUUAUCCCUUCACAUCUACAGCUUGCUGAUUCAUUGACCAAAGGUGUCACCAAGCCUCAGUUCUUUCUCUUCCGAUGCAAGCUCAGCGUUAUCCCUUCUCCCAUGCUCACCUUGCAGGGGGAUGAUAAGGGAGAAUCAUUUGAUUCUCCAUAAGAUUUGCUAUAUCCCAAUUCGGUUCCAUAAAAUCCGAAUGUAUAGCUGUAAAUAUAUGUAGAUAUGUUUUCAAUAUUUGUAUUUCAAACCUUUCCUAUUUUAUAGGAUCACAUUGUUGUUAUUUAUUCUAUACAUAUUUGAUGUUAUCUCCUACACACGGCAUAGAGGAUUUCAAUCAUUAUACAUUGUUUCUUAAACAUCUUUACUGUGCAAGAGGCCACAAUGGAAAAGUAUUCCUAUAAGUGGCAUAGUGUAACACACAAUUCUUCAUGAAGGCUCCAGUGAUUUCCUGCCAUAGAUAAUUUGAUGAUUAAAUGGUUAGACUACCACCUAGUAUAUAUAGUUAGGUACAAAAGAACAUCAUUUCCAUUUGCCAAAACCAUGUUAAAAUGUUGCUCCUUUUGUUUUUUAUUCAUGUUCAAGUGAGCUACCUGUUGGGGAAAAUCACCAUCUUCCAUUUGGGAAUUAAUCAACAGCUUUGCAGCCCUAUGAAGAGGUGUUGGGUCUCUCUCAGCCUGUUAAAAAGGAAAGGUUAGACUCAGAUGUUUGGGGAGAAGCCAUGUUGUGAAAGUAAUGUAGAAGACCAAGGUUAGCUUAUGGAUGGGGGAACUGUAAAAAUCUCUACCAGUAAUGUAGAAGACUAAGAUGUUUGUUCCACAUGCAACUUCAAUGAUGAGGGCCUUAAUCAAGCCACGAACAAUUUCUAUGUUUAUCAAAGGUUGGAGACAAGGGACUUCUUAUUUCAUCAGCAAAGUGUUUCAAUGAGCCUUGUGAUUUCUCUACCAGUCUUUGACGUCCACUCCUAUGAGCUAACAGCAAACCCAAGGUAUUGUCAUCAUGCUCAGCUUUGGGGGCCGCCACCUGAGAGCCCAAGUUUUGAACAAUUUUGCAAGAAUGGUUGCGAACCAAGACACUAAGAAAGUAACCUUCUGUAACUACCCAUUUGUCUUCAAAAUCGAAUCACAACUUCCUCUUUUAUUAAUUUCGGUGUCAAUCCAGUCUACCCUUUAUCUGCCCUCGAUUUUGAUCUCGGUGUCAAAUCACUCGGAUACACAGCCUGUACAGAAAAUGUGGCACACUGAAAGGUGGCCAUGCAGUUUUCAGAAACCAGUAACACAAGAAAAAGUGAGAUGACCAUGCAUGCAGAAAUUGAGCUUCAGCGUUUUGAGAGUGUUAUUCACCGACCCUUCGAUACAAUUCGACCCAUAACUUUCAUGAUCACCACAGCAAAGGAGUCCAUCUUCUUUCACAGUUUUGGACUGUCCAAUUGAUUCCGCAUUAAGAUCUUCAGUUCUUGGGCUUAUUGAACGAGGUUGUCACAUUACCUCCAAUUGCCUCCACUUCUAUCGAUCUCUUCCUCCUCCUUUCAGUUGCUCAAACCUUACCACCCAAAUGAACUUCACUGCCUUCCACGAGCACAAAAACCACAAACUCCUAUAAAGCAAAACAGAGCAGUUUGAAGAAUGCACGGUAAAUGAGAAAUGAACCGAGAUGAGAUUUAAGAUACCCGAUGCGGAGAAGUGAAAUGUGCCAAAAAACAAAGUAUGAUCCAAAAGAACAAACAAAAGACCCAUUAAAUAGAAACCCAUUUCAGGUUGAAAUCAAUGGGCUCAGGUCAGUGGCAAAACUGAAACUAUAUCCAAACCUUUCCUCAGAUGAAAAUCAAAAGAAAACGUGAGAAAAGCAGAGUAAUAACACAAGUUCACAACCAAACAAACCAACAGUGUUCAGGAACCUCAUGAGAGGAUGAGAAACAAAGCAAUAAACGUAAACAAGCAAGGAAAUCACAACAAGCGUACCUAAAAAUCCUCCUCUCAAGCAAGAAUACGCUUGGCUUCCUGCUUUUCUUCCUCUCCAGAAACCUGUAAUCCAGCUAGCUCCAACCUCUGCUUCUUCUCCUUACUCUCUUCCAGCUCUUUCUCUGCUCUUACUUCAUUCUUCCUUCCACAGUCUCCCUUCUCUGUUUCACAGCUUUUUCUCAGCUCUCUCUGUCUAAGCUCAGCUCACCAUGGUUUCUUCUCCAGAAUCCCUACCCAGUUCACUCUCUCUCGGUGCCUUCUUUUCUUUUUCAACUCAUCCUCUUUCCUGUCCAAGACAUCUCUCUUCUCUCUCAGAACCCACUCACAGCCUACUCAGCUCAUCCAUGGUUCUUGCCCCACCCGAGAAUCCUUUCUCUCUCAAACCAAACAUCACCCCCUGAAAAUCCACAUCCUCCCUGUUGAAUCCCUCCGUUCUCUCUAGUUCACCCUCUCAAAUGGUUUUCUAAAAACAGGUACCUCACUCUCUCUUUCCCAAUCUCUCUGUUUUUCUCCUCUUCUCAGUUUUUCCUUUCUUCCUCCCAAGCGUAUCUCACUCAGCUCACCACCCUGUGCAACUCCCUACUCUUCUUCUGCUCUUCCUCUGUCUUGGGUCUAGCUCCCUUUGUUUUCUCCCUCUCUCAGAGCUCUCUCUCUGGUUCCUCUCUCAAAAAUGGCUCUCUCACAGGCUCACUUUUUCUCCUCUCAGCGCCGGCCACCCGAAUAUCCUCUGCACUCCCUCCUUCGGUAGAGAUUCCCCCCCCACAAAAUUUUAAAAAAAUCAAUCCUCCAAUAAUUGUGCUGGGACCUAAAAUAAUCUUCUAAUGGUUUUCAAAAUGUAGCUCAAAAAUCAAUAAUGAGCUAAGUAGGCACAAACUACUAAGGGACACGAUGAAAAAUUGACUAAAAAUGGAUCCUAAGCAUGUGCUAAAAAUCAAUAAUGAGCUAAGUAGACACAAACUACUAAGGGACACGAUGAAAAAUUGACUAAAAAUGGAUCCUAAACAUGUGCUAAAAAGGAGUAGAAUAAGAGCAAAAACUAAUAAUAAAAAUGUGUGUGCUAAGGACAAAAUAAAGGAUUUACAUAUAGCCACACCUACAUCUAUUAAAGAUUCAUUAACUAAAGAUGAUUUACAACCUUUCAAUAUGAGCAGCACACCUUGGUUGGUACUCUCCAAUAUUUCACAUUCACUAGACCAGAUAUCACUCAUGCAAUUAACGAAGUGUGCCAAGGUCUCCAACAACCAAACCAAAUUUCAAGGUCGUGAAAUGAAUUCUACGUUGUUGAUCAAUUGUUAGCUAAGAAAUGAAUAAUAGUUUUUAGGAGAGAGACUUUUAGAAAAAAAAAAAAACAGAAUCAAUGUCAAACUUAUUUGGGUUUAAAGAGAAUUUGGUUGAUAAUAAUUCAUGUGUAACUGCACUUCCUUUGUCACUAUCACCAUGUGACUCCAUAUAGUGUUUGGGAGAGUUAGAUCUUGGAACUGGGCGUUUGCAAAAAUAGCAAUUCCCGAAUUUAAUAAAAUGUAGAAGUGUAGAAAAAAGGAAAACGGAACUAUGGACUCAUGCUUCUACAUGAACUAAGCUUAGAUAUAUUGACUAAUCAAACUCUAGUAUUGAUUUUGCAUGAGAGGCGCAUAUUUAUAGACUCUAAAAAACUUUCUAGAUUUGAAAAUCUUAUAACAAGACUCACAAAUAUUGGACUCAAGUAAGUUUGUAGAAAAUUUCUGAACAUGUCCAAUUUAACAACCUUGCUUGAGAUUCCUAAUAACUCAAACUAGAAAUAAAAUAGGAAUUUUUAACAAAAUUAGGAAAUUCCGACUAAACCCAAAUAAGAAAAAACAUGAGCUACUUUUGACUACCAAACUAAACUAUCUUGACAUUUAAUGUCACAAAAUCACUUUUGGUAGACUAAAACUUGAAAGAAUGUAAUAAAUUGAGACACUAAUGACUCACAUCUACCAUAGACACCUCUUGUUGAACUGAAAAUGUAGGUCUUUUUUCUUUUUCUUUUUUAAAUAUCAGUAAACUGUUGAAAAUGUAGGUUAGUUUCUGUUGCUCUUGCUGAUCUGUUGAAUUGAUUGAAUAUCUUCAAUUAUUUUUGUGUUUUAAACCAGCUGAAAAUAGAGAAAGAAGCUCACAGAGUGAUGCAACAGUCAGUAGUAAUCAACCAAGCCUUCCUAAACUCAUACACUACAAGUGGUUGCUUCGAGCGGCUAUCUACAUCCUCUUUUUUCCUGCUGGCCAAUCCAUAGCCACUCUCUUGGGAAGAUUGUACGAUGACAAAGGUGGAAAUAGCAAAGGGAUGGCCAUAUUUGUUCAAUCAGCAGGGGAACUUCCCAAUUCUCCUUUCCCUCUUCUUUUUCUUCUCACCAUCCACCAAAUCCAUGCUUUGUUAGCCUCUCAAAGGCCCUUUUUCAUAUAUAGUUUCAACAAGGUACUUUUCGAAGAUGCAUUAAACCGUUCCUUUAUCUAAGUAGUGAUUUUGGCACUGCAGGGCUCUUCAAUUUCUUUCUUAAUUUUUCAAUUUGCACGAAUGUGGAAACUUUUAAACAUCAAUCAUUUGCUACAAUAAUAAUCAUGUAAAUUUGGUCCACUUUUCCCAUUCUCUAUAAUUGAUUAGCUUAGGAGCUGUAUGGAGAGGAAAAUGACAUGGGUCGGUGUUUGACAAUAAUAUAUAGGAAACCUCUGAUGCAGGCUCUUGGCAUUAAAAUGAGCUAAAGAUGGGUUUGGAAACCACUUUCAAAUGAAAAUUGACAUGCAUAAUUUUUGGUGUAUUUGACAAUAAUAUGAAACCUCUGAUGCAGGCUCUUGGCAUUAAAAUGAGCUAAAGAUGGGUUUGGAAACCACUUUCAAAUGAAAACUGACAUGCAUAAUUUUUGGUGUGUUUGACACAUGCAAUAAAAAUUACUUAAAUAGGAGUGACUUUGUCACAUGGCUUCAGAUGGAAUUACAGCACAGUAUUGGAAUUAGUAUUCAAAUGGCUGCCCACGUGGAGAGUUUUUUAGGCCUCAAUCUUAACAGCAUAGGUUGACCACUCGGAAAUUGGGACCACAACCUAGCCUAGGCUUGAUCUAGGCACUGCUUAGAGACACAUUUCACUUAACUUCUUCGAUCUGUUACUUGUAUUUAUUGUGACACUUAGUUGCUUCUUGUUUAUCAAACAAGCAAGACCUUUCGAUGUUUAUGGAUGAAUUCCUCUUGUCAGCAUUGGUUCUUUAAUAUUCACCAAAAAGUGAACAAGCUUGGAGCCAUAGGUAGAUAUUUUACAAAGCCUUCUAUACUGUUAUCUUAUGCUAAGUACUGAAUAUAAAUGUUGUUGAGGGUACCAACAGUGACAUGUAGUUGCAAUGUUGAUUAUGAGAACGCCAACGGCAUAGUGCAUCAACGGAUAUUUGAGUUUGCUGAGAAGGAGGCCUUUAUAUCAUCGACCAGAUCAGGAUUAUUUGAAUUUAGUAAGGUCCUGCUAUUGUUUUAUUCUCUUGCACAAACUAUUCUUCAAAAUAUGUUACCAUGACAUAGAUAAACUUUUCAUUUGCUUAACAUUGUUCAAAGGGCUUGACAUUGCUCAACAUUAUCUGAGCUUUUCUCCUACAGAUGCUUCUUUGGCAUGGCAAUGCAACCAGACUUAAGGCGAUGGCACUCACUUACAUACUCUGCAAGAGCCCACAAUGGAAAAAUAUUCCUGUGAUCUGCAUAGUGUAACAUGCAGUUUUUCAUGAAGGCUCCAGUGAUUUCCUGCCAUAGAUAAUUGAUGAUCAAAUGGUUAGACUACCACCCAGUAUAUAUAGUCAGCUACAAAAGAACAUCAUUUUCCAUUUCCCAAAUCCAUGUUAAAAUGUUACUUCUUUCGUUUUUUAUUCAUGUUCAAGUGAGCUACCUGUUGGGGAAAAUCACCAUCUUCCAUUUGGGAAUUAAUUAACAGCUUUGCAGCCCUGUAAAGAGGUGUUGGGUCUCUCUCCGCCUGUUAGAAAGGAAAGGUUAGACUCAGAUGUUUGGGGAUAAGCCAUAUUGUGAAAAUAACGUAGAAGACCAAGUUAAGCUUGUUGAUGGUGGAACUGUACAAACUGACCUGACCAGAAGAAAGCAGCCCCAUCAGAGCCCACCCGGUUUGUACCAGAUUUGACUUGUUUCCUUCAAGAGGUGUAUGUUUCUGUAUCACCAAGCACAAGGAUUACUUGUUUUUGUGCAUGUUUCUACCAGAAAACAGAGCAGUGGGUGGCAUGUAAGAAUUACCUUGUCCUGGCAAGAAAUAUAGCUCUCUCCCCAACCACCAUCAUCUCUUUGUGAUUUGAGUAGAAACUCAACAGCUCUACCAAUAGCAAGACAGUUGUGGUAAGUCCUGCCAGCAGCUGUUAGGCCCCCAAGUGCAAACCAUGAGCCAUAGGUGAAACAUACUCCCCAAAUGCCUCUUUGUUUAAAUGGAUUUGCACUGCAUAUAUAAAAAAAGAUUUCCCCAGUGAAAUAGUAAUAGUGGAGUUGAGAAACAUACCAUGAGCCAUCAGGCAUUUGUUGGUCUUCAAUGUACUUGGUAGCAUUUGUGAUGAAAUUGUCUAUCUCCUUCGUCCUGUGUCGGGGGUAUAACUUCUUAAACAAAACCAGAGCCUGAAUUGCUGAUGCAGUGCACUCAACAUACCUGGAUCAUCGUUUUGUUAGUCUCCAAGGAAGUUAAAGCUAGUAGAGUUAGAAAAAAAAGCUGAUCUAUUAUCAAGAAUUUUACUCAUGCUCGAUGACAAUGUCUUCAAACAUUUCAGAGGGGUUGAGCAGCUGAAAAGAGAAGGGAUUGACAUUGAUUUAGAUUCAAAGAAUACAGAGAGAGAGAGAGAGAGAGAGAGAGAGAGAGAGAGAGAGAGAGAUAAAACGGAAACAUUAAAGUUACUUAAACAAGUUGAAGUAAUGUACCUCCAACCAUUCUGAAGCUCCUGCAGGCUCCCAGAUUGCUAAACCACCAUUUUUACUCUGCAGUGGUUUUGAAAACAAGGGUUAUUGAUACUAAGAAGUUAUAACCUGUUUUGUGAUGGGGACAACCAUGGAAUGGCCCAAGGAAGAUGAUUCUCACCUGUAGGGAAAGCAGGAUGUUGACAGAAUCAAAUAGUCGUUCGGGUUCCAUCUUCAUACCAACAAUUUCUGGUGCCAUCAUUGAAAAGAGAAGACAACACUGUAACAGAGGGGACUUCAGUGAGAAACCAAGUGACUUUAGUUAAUCUGCAAGCCCUGACUCAAUUAAGUGUUUGAACAGAAAAAGUUACCUUCAAACCUUCUGCAGUGCAAUCAGAAACUUGCCAACCAUGAUCCUGAUCUGAGAAUGUCCACGAACCUUUGGAAAUGUGGCGAUACAUGCUUUUAAAGUCACCAGAAGGAUUGUCCUUGACCUUCAAGAUUUCAAGCAGUAUGAAGUAAAUAGACCAUGAGAAACCCAAGUAGAUUCUGGUUAAAGUCAAGACACAAACAAUGGAAUUCAAGAUCAAACCUGAGAUUCCUUUAUGAAUUCAUGUCCUUUCUUGAGUGUAGGUCCAAUUUCAUCGGUCAUAUUGCAAGCUAGCGGUGCUUGAAGGGCAAAACCAGUGUCCCACUCUUGACUACCAAAGGUCUACAGCAAUCGACAAUUUCAAAACCAAUUAGGCAGGAGAGGAUAAAAGCAUAGCUUCAAACCAGUUGCACACUUGAAAUAUUUUAAGAAAAAGAUGAAAAGAUCAAAGCUCCAAGCCCAUUUAUGAGGUUAAGAUGAUGACUAGGUUCAAAAUAUAUAUACCUGAUGACAGUAUAGGUAGCGAAGAAUUUCUUUACGAUAUUCUCCAGGGAAUACAGUGUCAAGAUGCCCUGUAAUGUAUAGACACAUGACCUGAAUUUUCCAUGAAAUUAUUCCAUUGAGAAUGGUUGUUAAAAUGGUCCAUAUACAUGAUUUUAAGGAGGGUGAGAGGGUGUUGAGUAGACUCACCAGAGGAGGAAGGAAAUACAAUGGGCCAGCAUUUUCAGCAGGCCAAUGGCCAUCACUAGCCUGCAAAGCUGAAAAGAAAUGUGCACCCCUUCUCACUGCUGCUGUGAUUGUCUCAUAUGUAAUUUCUUCACCAUCCCCAACCUUAACUUGUGGUAUUGUUUGUUUGAAAUUUUUCUCUCUCAAAAACUGCAGUUUUUUUUGGCCAAAUGAAAUGGGAGUUAAUGAAGUGAAAGUUUAAAAGAAAAGGUAAAUUAACCUCAAUAGUAAGCAUCUAUUUAUACAAUUGUUCCAAGUUAAGAGAAUUAUUACAAUUUUUAAAGUGCAUAAUAUAUAUUUUGGGUUCAAAUCCUACAAACUUAAUCUUUUAGGAAAUUACUUGUUUAACAUGGUAUCAAAGCUCGGUUUUGGAAUCGGUCUUACCUCUCAUUAUCCGACAAUUUGCUUGAUGGUGUCUCAACCAGUUUAAAAGAAAAGAAAAGAAAAGGUAAAUUAACCUCAAUUGUAAGUAUCUACUUAUACAAUUGUUCCAAGCUAAGAGAAUCAAGAUAGAGUUAGCAAUUGUUAAACUGCAUAAUAUAUAUUUUGGGUUCAAAUCCUACAAACUUAACUUUUUAAGAAAUUAGUUGUUCAACAUGGUAUCAAUGCUCAGUUUCGGAAUUGGUCUCACCUCUCAUUAUCCGACAAUCUGGUGGUAUCUUAACCUAAGGCCUGGUGUAUGAGGGGAAUAUUGUUAGGUUUUCCCAUAUCUCUUAUAGAAGGAAUUGGGUGACUCUUUAUCAGUGUGCAUGAAAAUCUCAGCCUUCAAGCUAAUUUUUGGGGUGAUAAGGCCCAAAAUCACCCAAUAUAUUUUUUCUUUUUUACUUUAUGAUAUCAUAACCUCAUUUGGGAGUUUUGGGUCAAAAUGGCUCAUUUUUUAAACUUAAUGUUAAAAAUGGGCACAUUUUCAAACUAUUGUUCAAAAUGGCCUCUUUGAUGCCACGUAGGCGUCACAUCAUUAAAAAAUAUUUUUUUUUCGUCAUUAUAGUGAAAGCCGCAGUUGGGAAACGCAGCUUCAUUUUUGUACUAAAGCCGCAGUUGGGAAACGCGGCUUCAUUUUUGCACUAAAGUCGCAAUUGGGAAACGCGAUUUCAUUUUUGUACUAAAGCCGCAGUUGGCAAAUGCGGCUUCAUUUUUACACUAAAGCCGCAGUUGAGAAACGCGGCUUCAUUUUUUAACUAAAGCCGCGGUUGGCAACUGCGGCUUUAGUUAAUUUUUAUUUAAAUUUAAAAUUUAAUUAAAAAAUUAUUAAAUUACAAUUUAUGAAUGAAAUUUAAAAAUAUACUUAAAUAAUAAAUUAUUUAUAUUUAAAUUUAAAAUUCUAGUAUUACUUCAACAAACAUAAAUUGGUAAAUAGAAGAUAUUAUAAAUGAAUGUUUUAUUUAUUAAUAAAUUAAUAAUCUUAAAAUAAUAAAUUUAUAUAACAUAUAAAUAAUAUAUAAAAUUGUAUAAUUUAUUAAUUUAAGAUAUUUAAUUUGUUAAAUUUUAAGAUAUUAAUUUAUUUAUAUUAUGAUAAAUUUAUCUUUAUCGAAAUAAUAAUAUAGUAGUUAAUAACUGAGAUUUCAAUUAUAAUAUUUUUUUUUACUUUCCAAUUUAAUUAAAAACUAUUAAAUCACAAUUUAUGAUUGAAAUUUAAAAAAUAUACUUAAAUAAAAAAUUAUUUAUAUUUAAACUUAAAAAUCUAGUAUUACUUCAACAAACAUAAAUUAAUAAAUAAAAGAUAUUAUAAAUGAAUGUUUUAUUUAUUAAUAAAUUAAUAAUCUUAAAAUAAUAAAUUUAUAUAACAUAUAAAUAAUAUAUAAAAUUGUAUAAUUUAUUAAUUUAAGAUAUUUAAUUUGUUAAUUUUUAAGAUAUUAAUUUAUUUUUAUUAUGACAAAUUUAUCUUUAACAAAAUAAUAACAUACUCUUAAGCCGUAGUUGUCAUAUAUAGAUUUUUUUACAAAAUUAGUUAAUGAAAUUAAUUACAAAAAGUCUACUACAAAAUGUAAUUUUUAAUAGUUUAAUUAAAGUCACAAAAAAUAUCUACUAAACAUUAAUAUAGUGGAAAAUAAAAAACAUAUAUAAUCUCACAUGCCUCCACAAGAAGAGAACCUAUGUGUAACUGGUACUCUCUUCCUUUGGACAAGAACGCCGAUUGUGACCCUAUUGCUUGCAAAGUCCACAUGUUUGUGGAGUCCUAGUUUCCCUUGCAUCCAUCUCAUUAUGCAAACGACUUGAUUUUGGUCGACCAGAAGUUAGCCAUUUCAUUGAGUCUGAAGGCACAAUUAUCGGUCCAUUAUAUUGAGGCCACUCCAACUCAUCAAAUAUGGGAUAAAACAAGGGAGCCCAUGUUGAUAGGUAAGCACGUGUGGUGUAAUAACCUUGUACAAAUUGUCGAAAAUCAAUUGCUCGACAAUGACAAGCAGCAAGAAUGUGCGAACAUGGGAAUCAUAACAAAAGUGUUUUGUUACAUGUGCAAGACCCCAUUUGAAGGGUAACAUGAUAUAUGCGAGGUUUCCUAUUACUGCUUCCAACAGAGUGUCUAGUUUUAACAUGAAAACGUCCCGCCACAUGAUCAUACAAAAAAACCUCAUGUGCACCCACCUUAACAACUUUAGCCUUUAUCUUGGCGUCAAUAUGUGGAGUGAAUUCUUCACCUGAAGCGAGCCGACUAGCACCAUGCUCCCGCCUGACUGUGAAGUAACUGUUAACCCGAUAGAAAGUUAACUGGACUAAAGCUAUUAUUGGUAAGUUACGAGCACCCUUAAGGACACCAUUAAAAACUUCAGACAUAUUAGUUGUCAUAAUCCCAUAUUUUCGCCCACCAUCAUAUGAGAGUGCCCAUUUUUCAAGAGGAAUUUGCUCCAACCAAUUUCUAGCCUCGGCAUUUAUCCGGCCAAUUGUAUCCAUGUGAGAAAUAAAUUUUAUCAUGUGUGAUUAUAUAUAGGUUCUUGUCCAAACAGGAAGAGAGUACCAGUUACACAUAGGUUCUCUCCUUGUGGAGGCAUGUGAGAUUAUAUAUGUUUUUUAUUUUCCACUAUAUUAAUGUUUAGUAGAUAUUUUUUGUGACUUUAAUUAAACUAUUAAAAAUUACAUUUUGUAGUAGACUUUUUGUAAUUAAUUUCAUUAACUAAUUUUGUAAAAAAAAAUCUAUAUAUGACAACUACGGCUUAAGAGUAUGUUAUUAUUUUGUUAAAGAUAAAUUUGUCAUAAUACAAAUAAAUUAAUAUCUUAAAAAUUAACAAAUUAAAUAUCUUAAAUUAAUAAAUUAUACAAUUUUAUAUAUUAUUUAUAUGUUAUAUAAAUUUAUUAUUUUAAGAUUAUUAAUUUAUUAAUAAAUAAAACAUUCAUUUAUAAUAUCUUCUAUUUAUUAAUUUAUGUUUGUUGAAAUAAUACUAGAUUUUUAAGUUUAAAUAUAAAUAAUUUUUUAUUUAAGUAUAUUUUUUAAAUUUCAAUCAUAAAUUGUGAUUUAAUAGUUUUUAAUUAAAUUGGAAAGUAAAAAAAAAAUAUUAUAAUUGAAAUCUCAAUUAUUAACUACUAUACUAUUAUUUCGAUAAAGAUAAAUUUAUCAUAAUAUAAAUAAAUUAAUAUCUUAAAAAUUAACAAAUUAAAUAUCUUAAAUUAAUAAAUUAUACAAUUUUAUAUAUUAUUUAUAUGUUAUAUAAGUUUAUUAUUUUAAGAUUAUUAAUUUAUUAAUAAAUCAAAUAUUCAUUUAUAAUAUCUUCUAUUUAUCAAUUUAUGUUUGUUGAAAUAAUACUAGAUUUUUAAGUUUAAAUAUAAAUAAUUUUUUAUUUAAGUAUAUUUUUAAAAUUUAAUCAUAAAUUGUAAUUUAAUAGUUUUUAAUUAAAUUUGAAAGUAAAAAAAAUAUUAUAAUUGAAAUCUCAGUUAUUAACUACUAUACUAUUAUUUCGAUAAAGAUAAAUUUAUCAUAAUAUAAAUAAAUUAAUAUCUUAAAAAUUAACAAAUUAAAUAUCUUAAAUUAAUAAAUUAUACAAUUUUAUAUAUUAUUUAUAUGUUAUAUAAAUUUAUUAUUUUAAGAUUAUUAAUUUAUUAAUAAAUAAAACAUUCAUUUAUAAUAUCUUCUAUUUAUCAAUUUAUGUUUGUUGAAGUAAUACUAGAAUUUUAAAUUUAAAUAUAAAUAAUUUAUUAUUUAAGUAUAUUUUUAAAUAUCAUUCAUAAAUUGUAAUUUAAUAAUUUUUUAAUUAAAUUUUAAAUUUAAAUAAAAAUUAACUAAAGCCGCAGUUGCCAACCGCGGCUUUAGUUAAAAAAUGAAGCCGCGUUUGGCAACUGCGGCUUUAGUACAAAAAUGAAGCCGCAUUUGCCAACUGCGGCUUUAGUGCAAAAAUGAAGCCGCAUUUGCCAACUGCGGCUUUAGUAUAAAAAUGAAGCCGCGUUUUCCAACUGCGGCUUUAGUGCAAAAAUGAAGCCGCGUUUCCCAACUGCGGUUUUAGUACAAAAAUAAAGUCACGUUUCCCAAUUGCGGCUUUCACUAUAAUGACGAAAAAAUAUAUUUUUUAAUGAUGUGGCGCCUACGUGGCAUCAAAGAGGCCAUUUUGAACAUUAGUUUGAAAAUGUGCCCAUUUUCAACAUUAAGUUUCAAAAAUGGGCCAUUUUGACCCAAAACUCCUCAUUUGGUGGGAGGUGAAGGUCAUAUGGUGGCCCACUAUGGUCACUUUGUUUGAAGUCAAGUGGUUUCAAUACAUGUUUCUUUUCCCAAUUUAUCAAGUUCGCAUGCAAGCCUGAAAAUAGAAGCUGCACAUGUAAGAGGGAGAGAGAGUGAGAGAUUAUGGUUGUUUGGUGGUGAAAACAUGAUUCUAAAGAGGACCCCAUAUCUUGCGAUUUUUUGGGUUCCUUUUUUCAUAGAAAUCAUCACCCAUAAUCAAAUAAAUGGAAACAAAACAAGAAAAGCUAUGUAGCUAGACUACGUAAAACAACAAGUAUGUAUGCAUGGAAGACACAUAUAGUCAGUGAAAAACUGCAAUCUAGGACGCAGAUGACAGAUCAAUAUCUGUUGUGAUAUCAAGACUUGAGAUAGAUGGGAUCAAAUCACCUGCAUCCGCCAAAGGAGGUCGCUGCUGGGCUUAACCUGAAACCGGUUUUUCCAGAAAUUUUCACGAGCUGCUUCGACCUCAGCUCGCUCUUCUGGGGUCCCACAGUCAGAAUCAAACUCCCAUAUCUGUCUUCCCACGAAGUUGUUGGUGCUGUAGAUGUAGGGAUCAUUGCCUCCAUCUGCAACCUUGAGCCUCCACAUUUUCUAACUCACCAAACAGACGAGAUAUAUCUCUAUAUAUAUCUAAGUUUACAAAUAAGUGUCUCCCUUCCGAAAACACCUGCUGAUCAUGAAAUCACCAGAAAGGUAAGACAAGCUUUUCUUUGCAGUAAAAUUAAGUUAAAAUGAUACAGACCAAGGAUAGAGAGAUAGAUGCUGGGUGGGCAGAGAAGAGAGAGACUUCAGAAACUUGGAAUGGCGAGUUCCAGGUGGGAAUCACUCAUUCAUAUAGAAGCAGAACACCAAGUCAGUCACCAACCCCCAUCACUUCUAUUAAUUCUUUUUUCACCCACUUCAAGUAUUUAAUGCAAAUUUUCACCAACCCCCACCAAGUUUGUGGAAUUUUUUGACUUUCAAGUAUUUUUUAAUUGAUGUGUUUUUUAAAAGGGUUAAACCAUUAAAGAACUCAAUGCAUGGAGUCCAGGGACAGUCCCUGAUAGAUAUCAGUCAUUCAAUCCUAAAAUUAAUAUACUUUAAAACAUACAUGAAGAAAUGACACAUCAAUUAGGUAUAUAGCAUUCAAAUUGUAUCAACUAAUAUGUCCAAUUAAAGUCUCAAUCAAAUUGUUGCCAUCAGUUAUAAUUAUGGUUCUUGUGGUUGUUAUUAGGAGAAAUGGCCACCAGUAUUUGAACAUAGAGUAGAUGUGAAUCAUGUGAUAGCCUACUUACAUAACUCCACACCCAACCAAAUCAACAACUCACUAUUUAAGACAAAUAUAACAAUGUGUAAGGCUAUUCCAAUGGUUCUUCCCUCUACUAGAUUAUUCAUCCAAGAACGUAAUGGCUAGUUUAUUUUCAUAGAAUCAUUCAUAAAGUAGGAAAAAUUUUAUUCUUUCCAUUUGUAUCAGCAUAAUCGAUUGAUUAGCUAAACUAAGGCCAAAUUAGUUGACUUGCUUUUCCCUUUCUACCCAUAGUUUUAUAUAUUUUCUAAAAAUCAAUGCUAAUCUAAUGAGGGCCUACUAUAGUUUCAUUUUCUUGUAUAAAAUAUUCUUCAAACUUCUUAUGUUAUUAGAAUUCUACCUCACAAUUCAAUCUUUUCACCAAUGUGCAAACUUGGUAUUUGUGAAAUUUCAAAUUUUCAAUCUUUUCACAAUUUCAAAUUUCUACCAAGUAUCUUCUUUGGAGAUCUUAAUAUUUGCCUUUAAUCAAGAGUCUUUAUCCUGAAAAUCACCUUACAAAUGUUGGUAAGAAGGAAGUGAAUCCAAGCUACACAAUCUGGGUGAACAAUGAUGGCCUCCCGUCUUAACUUAUAGGGUUGAUAAAAAAAAGAUGAAGUAUUACCAUUGGAGGACAAUCUAGUUGAUAGAUCUGGAUUUUUUAUUGAAGAACAACAAACACAUCAAUACCAAUUCCUCCUCCUAUCAUUCUUGACACAUAGCCUACAGUUACUAUCACUACACUUCCAAUCAUAGAAUCACCUUUUCCUUUCCACGAAAUCCAUUCCAACCACCUUUACACCUGAUCCUUCCUCUCCACCAUACACUCCACACUAGAUUUAACGAACCAAUUACUUACCAAUCUUCCAACUGCCCCAACUUCUCUAUGAACACAACCUAUGCCUGACAAUCCCUCUCCUUCACCAGAACAACCCACACAACUUCCCACUAGCAUUAACACUCAUGGCUUGUCACCUAUGCAAAAUUGAGACAAAAACGUUAUUUGGCUCUCCAUGCUAGUCAUUCUACUCGUAUUGAACCUAGAACUCUUAAAUCAAAACUUAAACAACCUCAUUAGGUGGUUCAUAUGGAGGAAGAAAUAAACAACUAGAGGUUGAAAAUGUCUUCUUAAUUGACUAUCUUAAGGAAAUGAUUUACAAGGAGUAACCUCCAGGGUUUGUUAACCCUAAUUUUCCUUCACACGUUUGUCUUCUUAAAUGUUCCCUAAAUGGCAUGAAGCAAGCCUCUUAAGUUUGGUUUAAGUGUUUAUCACAAGCUCUUAUUCAACUUGGUUUCUUUGAUACCAAGAAUGACUCAUCAUUAUUUAUUUUGCAUACAAGUUCUCUAAUUGUUUUAAUCUUAUUUUAUGCAAAUGAUGUUAUUGUAAGAAGUAGCAACCCUUGCUAUAAUUCAAUAUAUUAUUACUACUUUCAACUCUAGAUUUGCUUUAAAGACCUUGGCUACCUAAAAUAUUUCUUGGAAAUUGAAGUUAAAUAUUUUCAAGGUGGUUUUUUAUGGACCUACAUUUUUCACAUACGUUCCUACUCGAUAGCGAGACUCGUUUUUUAAUGAAAAAUUGAUUUUGAAAAAGUUAGAGUCACCAUUUAUUUUUGUUUAUUUUUUAAAGGGAAAAAAAUAAAAAAUAAAAUCUAAAAAUGACUUUUUAUUUGGAAAAGUAUGUCUUUCAAAACUAGGUCCAAAUCCAGGAUUCAUGUUAUCUAUCGAGAAGGUACCAUAAGGUAGCACUCUUCUAAGCCCUAAAUAAAGGUCUCUACUAAUUAAAUUGAGGUAACUAUGACAAUUGAUUUGUAAAUCAAUGGAUGCUAAGAAUCAUGAGAUAUAUAUCAUAGUAAUAAUGAAAACAUAAUUAAAAAUCACUCAAACAAGCCAUGCACACUCAAAGAGUCACAUCAACAAGGAAAGGAAGGAGCGUACCUUAUAGCAUGCUAAGCAUUCUUAUAAAAUAACAUAAUGUUAACAAAUAAACCAUAUCAAGGAAGCAUUCAAAACAAUACAUGCAUACUCAAAGAAUCAAACAACAGAAAAAGAGAGGAGAUAUACCUUGAUAGCUAGCAAAGCACUUUCAUAAAAUCAUUUAGGGGUAGUUCAUAAGUAAUAAUAAUAGCAGAUAUAAAAUCAUAGGUAAGACCUCACAAUAGAUACAACAUAUGCAUAUCUCAAAUCAUGAAAUAAAGAGAUGAUAAGGUAUGAACAAGAUGAAACAAAAUACAAUACACAUGCUUAAAAUUUCAGAAUUAGCUAACAAGUAUUCACUCACAAAAAUUAGUCUAAAUAAAAUAUCAAAUAAAGAAUCCCAAUCCAAAGAAAGGUUCAACUAAUGUGUAUAAUAUGUCUACAAUGUAAAUCAAUAAUCAAAAGCAUGCAUAAAGGGGAUCGAAUUAUAAAAAACCUACAGACUAUCAUCAAUAGGGCAGAACAAGGGUAUUUACAAAAUAAAUCUUAAAUAAAUACCUAAAAUUCUUAUUUUAUCAAAAUAAAAAAUGGAGAACAUCUUCAAUAUGUCUAAAUCAAAAUAAAAAAAAUUCCAAAUUAUUUAAUUAUAUGCUAUUCAAUACCAAAUUAAAUCAAACUAAGGACACUACACAGAACAUUCAACAUAUGAUUAAAACAAAGAUGUUCAUGAAAUGGAUUCUAAAAAAAUAUCUAGAAAUAGAAUUUCAUCACAAAAAAGGGACAAUAUCUCCUAUGUCUAUAUAAUAACCCAAAAGAUCACAUUAUUUAAUUAUGUUCCAUUCAAUACCAUAUUUCAUCACAAUUCAUAUUGGUAAAAAACAAGACAAAUUACAAAGCAUACAAGAAUUAAUUUAUUUGGUGAAUUUAGAAGUAUGUUAAAAUCACAUAAAAAGUUAUACAAUUUCUUCUAUAUGAUUUCAUUACAUGAAAAAUAAUAGCGAGAUUAAAUCAUACAAGAACUUAUUGAAAUUCAACCAAAAAAAACCUUAACUAUAGAAUAGAGCCGAUGUAGUGGGUGUAGAAAUGAAAAUUUAUUUCUCCUACUUGGGAGGUAAUUUUUGAGUGUCAUAGGGGUCUAAAUUAUAAUUUAUGAAGUUUAGAUUAAGGAAAAAACAUCAAAAUAAAUUAAUUUUAAAAAACUAUUUUGGGUAUCUAGAAUAGUGCUGAAAUUAGACCUAAUGAAAGACUAAUUUAAAUGCCUUACUUAGAGAAGCGUUUCAAGCUCAAAAAUAAAAUAAAAUAAUUUCACAUAGUUAAGAAUUCUAAAACAAUAACCAAGCAUUGAAAAAAAUUUAAAAGGUCUCUAAGUGGUCGGAUUCUAAUUUACAACUUCAAAGGUGCAGUGGACUAACAACAAUGGCAAUAUAGAACUGAUUUUUGGAAAACUUUGAAUUAAGGGAUUCACUAGGUCCCUUUUAAAUUUUUAUGAAUUUAUCUAUGCUUCAUUAACCUCAUGUGAGCAUGAACAAGCUCACUAAGGCUAGGAAUGACUCCAUUGAUUGGAGCUAUAAAUUUAAUUCAUGUAUGAGAAAAAUCGAAAAUAAAUGAAACCUUUUCAAAUAUGCAUAUCAAAUUAAAUGAACAAGGUAGCAAUUUUUAUUUUUUUAUUAUUUUUAAAUAGUCUUCUUUUCACCUAAUUGAUCUAAUAUGGAUUUGAAUAGUGAACUUUCAUGAUUCACUUUGUUUUAGAAACAAUUAAAAAUACUUUCAAAAUCAUUAAAACACAUAAAAUCAUAAAUCACUAAAAAGGCACCUAAAGAUCAUUGUGUGUGUAUAAAAAAUUGAGUGUUCAAAGUGAAGUGAAUUGCGUAUUUUGUGCAUCUUAAAAAUGACUAAAAAAAUGACCUGAAAGUGUGCCAAAACUAAGCCUCUAAAGUGACAUAAAAAAGCAUAUAAAAUUGACUUAAAAGUGAAAUGAACAAGUGAUACGGAAAAUAGAGAUACAUGGUGAACUCAACUAAUGACCUAUAUGUGUGAUUAGUGAUGAAAGAUUAUAAGGAUCAACUAACCUAAAAAUAAAAAUUAAGAGACAUGAAUCAAUACAAAAACACUAACAUUCAAAACCUAUUUUCAUGAUUUUUCAAUCGCUUAUUUUUGGAAAAACAAAUUUAAAAGAAAAGAAACCUAAUCUUAAUUCUAAAAUUAACUAACAAACAUUUCACAUUCAAGCAACAUAUCAUCAAUUAAUCCAACACUCAUGUGUGUCCUAUUCCUCCACACCCAACCUAAUCUAAUAUAUCCAAAAUCAUGAAAAUGAGAAGAAAUAGGAAAAAAAAAAAAAAGAAAUCAAAACUAAAAUCAAAAUUCAGCAACUUACCUCAAAUUAACUUUCUCUUCAAAAUUCGGUGGGGUCCUUUUUACUUUUCACAAAUCUAAUCUAUGCAUCUGUGUGUUCUCAAUGGCCGAUGCAUGCCUUCUUCUCCAAUAUUCCUCUACUGCAUCUCUUAAGGAUCAAAUUCUUCUCCAAUAUUCCUCUACUGCAUCUCCUAAGGAUCAACGUUGCUGCAUGUUUUCUCUCUCCUUUACCAAAUGCUGCUACAUUUCAUGCUUGCAUCUUCACUUUAAAAAUUAUGUUGUAACUUUCAAUUAAAGGCAUGCACUAAUAGCUCCACAAUCAACCCACUCUAAUCAUCAAUUGUGUACAACCAACUCAAGAAAAACAUGAAUAGUGUUUUUUUCUCACAAAUUUCAUUUAAAAAAAUUAUUCCUUAUCUAGAAACUUCCCUCAAAUUAUGCCAUGCCAAUUUGUGGACCUGCAUUUUUCACGUGUGUCCCUACUGGACGGCGAGACUCACUUUUGAUUUGUGAAAAACUACAUUUUCAUUAAAAUUUGGACUCACCGCUUACUUUUAUUUAUUUUUUAAAGGGGAAAUCAAGUAAGAACAAAAUGUCUGAAAUGACUCCUAAAUUUUGGAAAAGCUAUCUACGAAAAACUUGAGUCUAGGUUCAGGGAUCAAGUAAUCCAUUGGGAAGGUACCUCCAAAGAGAUAACACCCCUCUAAGCCCUAAAGAGGCCUCUACUAGUUAAGUUGAGGGAAGCAUGUCAAUUAGUCAGUUGAUUGAAGAUGCCUAAGUAGGUUAAGGUAAUUUCAAAACUUUGAUAAUUCUAAAGUGUCAAACAAGGAUUCAAAUCAUAAUCAUAAAAAGAGGAUAAUAUGUGUAUUUGGAUCAGUAACUUAAAUGCCAUCACAAAACACCAAAGUAAGUUAAGGUAUUAUAUCACUCAACAUGCAUUUUAUCAAAGGAAAUCAAAUGAAUAUCAAGGCACCCGAAGUCAAUUUCAAACAUGGAUAUAGUUUCCAAUGACAUACAUAUUCAUGGAACUUUGAAAUGGGAAGAUAAAGAGCAUACCUAAGUGCCAAGCAUUUGUGCUUUUAUAAAAAUGGGGUUAACUCAAAAAUAAUAAUAAUGAGAUUAAAGAAUAAUAAAAAUAAAUAAAUCUAUAUAGAUAUAUAUAUAUAUACUUAGCAUGUCUCAAAUCAAGGAAAAUUCAUAAGCAUAUUCAAAAGUGACCAAAUUAUCAAAAGGAAAGGAAAUAUCAUUAAAAGGGUAAAAUAUUGGUUCACAAAAUAAACUCCAAAUAAAUAUCAAGAAAGGUUAUCUCACCAAAAUAAAAAUUAGGCAACAUCUUUAACAUGUCCAAAUUAACAUCUGAUAGGCCAAAUUAAUCAAUUAUAUUUCAAUUAAUAACAAAUUGAUUCAUAAAUGGGUUACUUCACAGAAAAAAGUCAUCAAAUGAUCAAAAUAGAAGACUGUACAAAAUAAAUCUAAAACAAAUAUCUAGAAUCUAAGUUUUAUCAUGAAAAUUUUCAAAGAACAUUUCUUAUAUGUCUAGUUUAUCAUCUAAGUGACCAAAUUGAUUGACCAUCCCUCAUUUAGUACCAGAUUUCAUAAUGAUGAUAAUAGGUCCAAAACGUGGCAUCUUUUUAAGGUAUUCAACAAUUGAUUUUUCCGAUUAACUUAUAGAUGUCCUAAACUCAUAAAAAUAAAAUAAAAAAUUCACACAACUAUCUAAAUUUUCUAUUUUAUAGGAAAAAUAAUCAUAAGGCAAUAACACAUUCAUAUUUUAAAGUAAAUAAACAUCUCUCUACUUUAGAAGAGCCCUCAUGCAGUGUGUGCAACAAGAAAAAAUUAUAUCUCUUAUUUUAGAAAUCAUUUGUUAAUAGUUUAUGUAUCAAAAAUUAAAUUCAAAAAGUUUAGAUUAAGAGAAAAAUGUUCAAAGAAAUUAAAGAGAUCGUUUAGUAAUUUAAUUUUGUAAAACAAAACUGAGUGUCAAAAACAGAGUGAAAAGUGAACCUUUUGAAAAAUUGAUUUAUAUCUCCUAAUUGGAAAACCAUAUUUGACCCAAGAAAGAUUCUAAAAUCAAGUUCAAGGAGUCUAGAAUGUUAUAGAAUAGUUAGAAAAAUUUUAAAGGGUUUCUAAGUUGUUAGAUUCCAAUUUACAGAUGCAGAAGUACAAUGUACUGUAAUGAAAAAUUCUAAACUAGCUAAAAUGAAUUAAGAUAAAUCAAGACAAAUUUCAAAAUAAAAACUGCAUCACCUAGAAUAGAAGCCAAUUUACCAAAAAUAUAAGAAAUACUCAAACUAAAAGAAUGGGAUCAAACCAAAUCAAAGCAUUAACUGUAACACCAAGGAUUGAUUAAAUUAAUGAUGAAAAAUCAUAAAUGGGCCUAAACUAAUAGAACAAAUUAAACUAAACUAAAACAAGAAUUUAAAAACAGAACUUACGUUCAACCGUGUAAGAGGGGCUGCUAUUAGAACGCUCUUAAUCCUUCCAAUCUGAUGCUUUAUAUGCUACAUUUUCUAAAAGAAAAUCCCGAGACAUCCUCAAAGUUGCAGCUUGUUGUCAUCUUCUUUGCAUGGUAUGGUUGCCCUCCAAAUUUCAUCAAAAUGUGUGGAUGGCUUUCACAAAAUCUGGUGGUGCCAUAUUCUUAAAGUGGCAACCUUUUUUUUUUUUUUUUUUUCCAAAAAAUAAGCUGAUGUGUAGUGGAGGUUCAAAGUGGUAGCCUUAUUCUCAUCCUAGUAGUGCGUGGUGGAUACCUCUCACAAAAUCUGGUGGUGCAAAAAUCUGUGCGUGUAGGGGCUUUUUGAGUGGCAGCUUGUUGUGUAAAAUCCACAGAUGCAGCCUUGAUGGAGAUCUCUUGGUGCGUCAGUUAAAGCUCCAAUCCAUAAUCAGUCCGGUGCGUCUUUAGGAAGAUUUGGACAUUCAAUGCAUGCAGUUCCCUAUUCUCUCUGAGUAACAAGGACUGUUCAAGCUUUAACUCAGCAAAAGUAUAGCCUGAAAAUCAUAUAUCAAUGAUUAUGGUGCAUUCUGUUGCUUCAAUUGAUAGAAGCAUUGCUGCCCGACCAUAUGUCAUGCCACUGUUUUGGUUCCGACAAUUUCCAUCUUCUCAUUCCAUUUUCCAGUAGAAUUUAUGUGGAGAUAUAUAGUCUUUGUGGGGUUGUCGAAAUCCAACCACGUGAAUUGAGAGUAAGAAGCUCAGCUAUUAUAGGUAUGACGGGCAUGCCUAAACAAUAAUUUCAAGUUUCUAAGAGCAGUAGAUCCCUUCACAUCUUCAGAUUUUAGAAACAUAGGCCAAAAAAAUACUCAAGAUUUCUCCACCCCGCAACCAUUCCAUCGCAAUUGUAAAUAUGCAGUAAGUAUAACCAGUCCAGUCUUGUGCCAUUGUAUUGGCUUUCAUUUUGGGAGCAAAUCAUCACCAGUAGGUCUCGAAAUGGAAAAGUUAGUGGCUCUCUCAUCUUCUGUAACUUUGUACAUAUCUGUCCAAUUAACUCUAGGCUUCAUUAUAGAUAUUACAGUGUUGCGAGCCACAAAAAUGAUAUAUAGCUCCCAUGUCAAACAAUGCCGCAUCUCCAUCCUCAGAGGUUUUACCAUUUAGAGCUGUUGUGUGCCCGUAAUGGAGAAUAGCACCACUUUUCCCGCAACUUGUUCACUUCAAGAAUGCUAAAGUUACUCUAGUGACAUCCUCAGCAAUCAUAAACAGAGGAGCUCUCAAUGGUCUUUUCUAACAAAAGAAUUAUGCUCUUUAUCAUUGAAAUCUUUUGCUUUGUGUCCAACACUCUUACAUUCUCAAGUUCAACAAUCAAUUUCUCAAGGUAUGUAACAAACCAUGGGGAGAUAUAUCUUCUGUCAAUCUUUGUUCCUUCUUCAACAUCAACAAUUAUUUCAAGAAAGAAUGAUGACUCAACAAAUAAGAGACCGUUUGGCUCAACCCAAUCAAUUGCAUCAACAAUCUUGAACUCAAUGAACUGUUUAUUUCCCACAGACACAGAAGCAAUAUCUUUGGUAUCAAUAUUGACUUCAACAAGUUGAGCUUACAUCUCCAACUCCUUCACUAACUCACGUAUAGUUUUGUAGUUCCCUUUUUCUAUGAAAACUAGAUUUGGACUAGAUUUAACACUUGGCAGGCCCAAGGGCAUGAACCAGAAGUAGAGGAAAGCAACAAAACCAUGGCACGAAUGGGUAAAACAAAAUGGACUAACAAAAGCCACAUUUCAUGUAUGCCUAAACAACAGAUCAAGAACAAGUAAUACAAACUGAGAGCAGCAAUAUGAUUAUCAAAUGCCAAACCUAAAGAUAAAUCCAACUAUUUACAAGGGGAAAUAAAAGAAUCCAAAAUGUGACCAGAACAUAGCAUGUAUGCAGACAAAUGGAUACAGUCAAAGUAACCAAAUAACUCCUGAUGUCCACACCAAAUCAACAAGAUAACGUUCAUAAAUAUGAAGAAAAUGAAAUAAAACAGUAUUGAAAACAAGGAAGAAAUGAAACUCAUAGAGUGAUCUUACUUGGAAGGCUACACCCCGAGCAAGGUGUGUUCGCCUUCCACUCAUCAGGAAAUGACCACUCUUUAAUAGUGGUGAUGUUGCUGAUCUCUCAACAUGCCACCAUUUUUCUAAAUUUCUAAUUCCCCAAAUCACGUGCCUUCUCAAAAGAACCUGGAGAUCCUCCUCCAAAGCAGUGUUAGCUUGACUUCAAGUGAGACCCACCUCCAAAAAUUGGCAAAGCCAGUCAAGCUUCGUCUCUUCUCCUCCUCUACCUCUAGUUUUUAUCUCCAUUUCAAACUAGAGAAUCCAUUUUUCUUCGUUCAAACAUCUUCUUCCUCUCUGUCCAAGAAAAAAUAUUGUGUCUUUCUUCCUCUCCAAACCUCUCCUCAAUGUUCCAUCCUGUUAUUUUACAGCUCCUCUUAUAUCCCUCCUGUCUCUACUCUGCUCCACUCCAAAACAAACUUUUGAAUAUCCUCUCGUAAUCCGCCAACUUCUCAUUCUGGAUGGCUCUUUUCCACUUUCCCACCAAAACUCUUUAAUUCUCCCAAAAAUUCAACCUAUGUCUUCUUCCUCCACGGUCUCUUUUUCACUUUCCCACCAAAAAUUCUUUUUUUUUUAAACCUAAAUAAAUUAGUAAAUAAAAUAAAAAUAACUAAAAGGGAUUUUGGAAAUAGAAAUGAAAAAAAAAAAUAUAAUAUAGUAUAAUAUAAUAAUAAUAAUAAUAAUAAUAAUAUCAAUAAAAUAAUAAUAAUCUUAAUAAUAAUAAUAAUGAUAAUAGAAACAAUGGUAACAAAAACAAUUCUAAUGAUGAUAAUUAAAAAAAUAAAAUAAAAUGACAAUAAUAAUAAUGAAAAUAUACAAUGAUUAUAUAUAUAUAAGUAGAUAUGAAAAUGAACAAAUAAAUAAAUAAAUAACUAGAUAUAAGUACGCAACAUGUAUUUAUAAAGAAGACAUGCAAGCUACGUAGGCCAUGCAAGCCAUGUUAACCAUGCAAAUGACUUACGGGUGUUGGGGUAAGCUUAAGUGGGAUAAGUGCCUAAUGGGCCUCAAUAUGUCUCAGCAAACUGUCAUAAAAGUGUACCUAAUAUCCAAAAUGGCUCAAAGAAGCAAGUUAUAUGAGUAGCAAUGGGCCACUAAAAACUACUGUGGAGUAAUGAAAGGACACUUAAUCAGGGCAUGGCAAGGGGACAAAAUGGAAACACUCAAAAGAUAAGAUAAAAAGUCACAUACAUUCAAUCAAUAAAAAAUUAAUCAUGUACUAAAAUAUUAAAAAUCAAUCAUGCAAUCACAACUAAAAAAUCAAUUAUAAACUCAAAAUUAAAGUCACAUAUAAUCACAAUUAAUAAUCAAACAGGAACUCAAAAUUAAAAUCAAAUAUUCAAGAUUCAAAUGUGAACUCAAAAUUAAAAUCACUCAUGCACUAAAAAUUAAUCAUGCAAUAAAAUCAAUCACAUGCACUCAAAAUAUCAAAAAUCAUUCAUGUACUUAAAAUAUCAAAAAUCAAUCACACACUAAAAAUCAAAUAACAAACCAAAGCUCAUCUAACCUAAAAACAUGCAAUCAAAAUCAAAAUCAGACGUAAUGCACUAAAAAAAUAGAAACUAAACAACAGAAAGACUCACUAGAAAAUAGACUCCUAAACUAGAACCAGAGCCACUAAAAAAAACCACAAUAAGGAUCCAUAUAAUCCUCGAAGAUAUAUAUAUCCAAAAAAGGUCCAAAAAUAAUGAUAAGGUGAGUAGCAAUAGACCACCAAUGGAGACACAAUAAAAACUAAAAAAUAAAUUCUAAGUGCACAAUGAAGGAUCAUGAUAUGAAGGAAGACAACUACUAGAUAAAAUGUGCCAAGAUGACAAAAUUGAGGGUCUACAAAUUUGUCCAUCUUUGAUAGAAAUCAAGAGUGUAAUGAAUAGAUCACUGAUACACGAGAGAUGAGUGAAAUGAAGUGUCCCAAAUUCCUAAUUAGUAUAGAUUCUUUUUUUUUUUUGUAAAGAAUAUUAUAUAGAAUAUUUCUAGGUUGAUAUAUUAUUGUAAUAUUAGACUUUCUUAUAGAAUAAGGAAGGUUGUUGGAAAUAUCCCUAUAAAUAUUCUAGGUCAUGAGGAGAAAAAGUUAUGAGAUGAAGAUGGGCAUGUAAAGACUAUACAAGGUGGAUAAAGAUGUAAAGAAGAACGGGAGGUACCCGAUGGAGUUAAAAGGCUCGUGGUAGGGUAGGGAUACGAAGAGUGGGGAAACAUAAGAUGUUUCGAGAACCCAAUAAUUGUAUCUGGUUAUGUCCUUUGUAAUGUUCUGGUUUUGUCCUCUAUAAUGUUCUCUAUUGUAGAGUGAAAUAAUUCUCUCUCAUCCGUGGAUGUUGGCAUGGUUGGCCGAACCACGUUAAAACCUCGUGUACCAUGUUAAAACAUCAAAUAAAAAAUAAAGGCUCUGAACACUAAAACUAAGAAGAAUGGAUCUAAACGCCAACACUAGGAAAACAAAUGGCUUUGAAUGCCAAUACUAAAAACAAUGGCUUUGGACGCCAAACUAAAAAUGAUGAGUCUAAAUGCUAAGUAAAAAAAUAAUAGCUCUAAAAGCUAAACCAAAGCUGUAGUUUGUACAUUUCCUAAGAAAAGUUUACUAUAGACCUUCUUUAGAAAGCGCAUAUGCUAGAUUGUUUUGGCAUAGCCACACUUACAUCUAUUAAAGAUUCACUAAUUAUAGAUUAUUUACAAAUUUCAAUCUGAGUAUGACACCUUGGUUGGUACCCUCGAAACCAAAUAUUACUCACGCAGUUAACAAAGUGUGCCAAGACCUCCAUCAACCAAGGCAAAUCUUAAGGAUGUGAAACAAAUCCUAUGUUGUUUAAAAGGUACCCUAGAUUACAACAUUUGCUUAUUGGCUUAAAGUCAAUAUCAUUAUAUGAUUUUGUUGAUUCUAAUUGUCUCCGUUAUCCGAUUACAAUGAGUAGCACCAUUGAUUUUGUGUUUAUCUUGGCAGCAAUUGUAUUUUCUAGUCUUCUAAGAAACAAGAGUCAAUAACAUGCCCUUGAAUAGGGGCAAAGCACCACUCAAGGAUUGCAACUAUUGCAAAAUUAACUUGGCUUAUAUUUCUCUUGUGUGACAUUAGCUUACCACUUCCCCAAUUUCCAUUUCUCUUUUGUGAUAACAUAAGUGCAUUACACAUGGCCAAAAAUCUAGUGUUUCAUGCACAAACAAAGCACAUUGAAUUGGAUUACCAUUUUGCCCGUAAAAAGUUGUUAUAGGACACCUUUAUGCUAAAUAUGUUCCCAGUUAUCUUCAAAUAGCUAACAUUCUUGCCAAGACUCUAGCUAGAAAGGCUUUUAGUAUGUUUAGCUUCAAGUUGGGAGCUCAAUGCAUGACCGCACUAGCUGGAGGGGGUUAAACGUCCUUUACAUUUAUCUCCACAACCAAACAAAUCAAUAGGUCACCUUUUGAGAGAAAUAUGACAAUAUGCAAGUGUAGACCCUCCAUCUUAUUCUAGUAGCAUAUGUUAUUCAAUAUAUUUUCCUUCACUUCUUAUUGCCUUAUAGUUGUCCCAUGGUGGUUUAUUUGUUGCUCAUUUGGUACUAUUUUUUAAGCCACCUUCAAAGAUUCGUUGUUGAUGGAUUUAUUUAUUUAUAUUUUUUUAUGGAUCCCAAUUGUGACCUUAGUUGCAUGCUUAGUCUAACUCCCUUUGUUUACUUAGUUGCAUUUUAGGUUUAGUUCACUUAGUCACAUGCUUAGUCUAGCUCACUUAGUUCACUUAGUUGCAUUUUAGGUUUAGUUCACUUAGUCGCAUGCUUAGUCUAGCUCAGUUAGUUUACUUAGUUGCAUUCUAGGUUCAGCUUACUUAGAUGCAUUCUAGGUUUAGCUCACUUAGAUGCACUUUGGUUUAGUUCCCUUAGAUGCACUUUAGUCUAGCUCCCUCAGGUUCACACAUGAGGGGAUUUUUAGGAAGGAAGAGAUAUAUAUAUAUUUUUUAGGAAAACACGAUUGCAUAUUGCAUGAGGAGAAGAGAUUCAUGCAUAGGAAAAAUUUUAUUUGGAAUAUAUGGGCUACCAUUGAGAGGUAAACUACUAUUAGAGACUAAUUUUGAAAAAAGGAGUUAGAGCCGACACUAAUUGAUCUUGAAGAAAAAAUGAAGCAUCUUGAGAAGAAAAGUUGAAGUUUUGAAGAUCAAGAAGGCAAGACUCAAUGCAGGGAAACAAGAAAGAAGUAAGCUUGCAAUCUUUUGGAGGAAAUGUAUGAUUUUUUUUUCUUGCAUAUCUCAAUUAUAUAUAUCUUUUUUUUUUCCCAUCAUGUUUAAGUGUAGAAAUUCUAUUUGUUUGGGGUAGAUAAUGAAGGCCACUUUGAUUGUUGUUAAUCAAAUUGUUGAUGACAUAUUAAUGAGAAUUUGAUGAAUGGUUAAUUGAUCUCAUGUUGAUUAAUGCUUAUUAGAAUUGAGAUUAGAGUUAUUUUCUUUGGAAUUAUUUUCAUUUGAUUGAGGCCUUUUGAUAACAUAUGAUAGGUGCCUAAGAGAUCCUUUAUUUGAUUUUUUAUGCCUUUGGUUUUAUUUUUGGUUAUUCAUUUUUUAUUGUGAUGUUUGGAGUGUUCACCUUGUUGUCAUUUUGUUAGAAUUAUUGAACCUCUAUAAUUAAAAAAUGGAAUCAGGUUAAAAAUAGAAGAAAAAAAACUCUUUUUCCUACACCUGUUGCACUAACCCCUUUUUGUAGUCAAGGGAAGUUUGGCUUAAUUUAAAAAUUCACAUUGUAUGAUUAAGUCAUGUUGUUAUUUUUUCUGUAAGUUAGAUAUAUUGAAGGUAUUGUACAAUUUUAUUUUUUUAUCAUAAUUUUAUCAUGCUUAUAGAUAGAUUAAUUACAUUAGUAUUUUCAUGCUAUAGGAUUUUGCUCUAUUUCUAAUCAAUAUAUUUGUGAUUAAAUCAAGUAUUAAAUGAGAUAUGAUUUGAUGAUUUAGCCUUUUGGGUUAUAAUUUAGACACAUAGGGGAUGUUGUCCAAGUAUUUUUUAUUCGUUCCCACUUGGUGUAUCAACUGAUUCAUGUCCAGCUGGUGCUCCUUGAUUGAGGGAGUGAUCAACAAAAUUUAUAACCUAUUACACCAUGAACUAGGGUAGCAAAGACAAAGCUACUAUAGCAUAGUGGCUCUAGGAUCGUUCACUGGAAAGGGUUUUCAACUCUCAACUGAUACCAAUUCAAAGCUGAGUUGGUGAUUUUUCAUUUCAAGGUUAGCUUAAAAGAAAACAUAAAGAUGUUUGGGUGAAAAGGGUUUGGUCUUAAACUAACCAAAAAGAAAGUAAUGGAAAUUACUUAUGAAGAAAAACAUUCCUUGGAGGUUUAGGUUCAUAGGGGAGGUUCCUUAUGUAAAAACAGAGCUCCGGUCAUUUGGUUCAUUUCCUCGCAUUAGAGAAUUAACAUAUAGUUAAUUCUCUAACCGGUGCUAUACAGAUGUAUCCUUUAAAUGGAUUUCAAACUCUAAUUCCCUCUCACUGAUGCAUCUUGCAAUGGCUCAUACCUCUCACCUAGCACUUGCCAUUCAAGGUGAUCUUUAACUUUGGAUUACCCGUCAAAAGCUCGCAAGAGAUAACUAAUGGAUGUCUCCUUAGAGUCCAAAAGCUUACCAAUUGUUGGCAAUUCUAGAAAAUCCUACCUACAAGUCACUUCCCAAAAGCUUGCAAGAGGUAAACUAGUGCAUCUCCAUGGAUAGAAAUCACUUGCCUUACCAAGUGUUGGCUCAAGUGAAUUGAAGGCGUUUUAAGUUAACUAAAAACAUAGAAAUCAUUAAAGGAUCACACUUUCUCUUCAUUAAUGGCUAAAACCACAAAGCUAUUAAUUCUUGCACUUGGACCCUUUCCUAGCAACCUUAACUCCAAGGAACUAAAAGUCUAGCCACUCAUUCUCUGAGGAAACUUCCUCAAAGCUUGUUUGGCUAGAAAGAAAACUAAUGAGAAAACAAAUAUUAAGCAAAAACAGAGCAAGUGCUCUAUACAAUAUAUUUCUUCCUUCCGUCUAUUACAUAGAUUCUUCUUUUUCAAGAAAAUUACAAACUAUAUAUAUGAGGUUAUUCACCCUUUUUACUUACUUAAAGAUUAACGAAUCCUAUGAUAGGUGGGUUACAAGGAGACUUUGGGAAAUUAGACAUAAAAUAUCUAAAGCAAAAUAUCUCAAAAUAUCCCAAAAUAUCGUUGGCAAAUAUCAGGAAGCUUCAGGAGCACACAGCAGCACUGUGCAGCAUGGCUGCUCUCCCAUUCAGGUAGGCGGCUAUCAGAUGAUCCGGAUACGUCCGUCCGGAGAAGUUGAAAUGCCUCCUCUCCCAUCCGGCGUCGGAAUUCCGGAUGUGAACAUCCGGGGGUGGAAAGUACGUGGCAGCCGGGUGCAAAAAUGGCGGCGCGCAUCCGGGUGUACAUGGCGGCAGCUGGGUGCAAAUCCUACCCGAGUGGAAUGUUGUCCGAAUGAAAGGAUAGCAUCUUAUCCGGAUGCCUUCCGAUGGUAUAUCCGGACGCACUGUCCGGGUAUACUCCUUGUAUGGAUUCCAAAGAACUCUCCUCAAUCUCAGAUUUGCUUUGGUGAUCAAAAAGCUAUCAAAACACCAAAACUUAACACAAUUUGAUUAGAAUUGAUUGCAAGGGUCCUUAAUAUGUUAAUUGGGUUAAAAGGUAAUAACUACUACUCAAAAGUGUCGAAAAGAGUUAAUUACAAGCUAUGAAAUAGCACUUUUUGAGUAGUAAUCACUCCCCCCAACCGACAUAUUGCUAGUCCCUUAGCAAUGAAGGAGAGACAAAUAAAAAAAUAAACAAUACUAUAAUUUACAACAUCAUGCUAAUCAAAAAACAAUUUUCAAGUGGCAUGAUGAUCUAACUCUCACAUGGAACAUUAAAGAAAUAAAACUCAAACUUCAUCAAGAGUUAUCAAAUAACUUAUCUAAUCAUAAUUCUUAAAGAGAAGGCAUUAUGCAAAUUUAAGCUUUAAAAGAGUUUCCACUCCCAAAGGGUCAAACCUUACUCUUCCACAAAAAUCUAAGUGUUAUUUAUUAGUUUCCGAAUAUAGUAUGUUGAAUUAAUCUCUCCCCCCAACCUAGUUCUUUUUCAAAGCUUAGCAAACUGGUCAACCUCCAAUAGGCUAAGAACACACCUCUUUUCACAAUUUUUUUCAUUGUAGGAGUACACGGCUUAAAGGUAUUCUUUUCUAAAUUGUCCAUGUAACGGGGGUCCAUCGAUGACUCCCAACCAAUUAAGGUUUAGGGCAUCAAGCUUAAAGGAUUUUUCAACCACUAACUCCUUGGAUUUUACCCCGGACUUUUGAGAAUGAAUUUAAAUACCCCAGCACCUACAGUAUGUUAAACUCCACCUAUUCACCCUUGUAACGAGCAUUGAGGUCGAUGACUCCCAACCAAUGAAGGCUUAGGGCACCAGGUUUUAAAGAUUUUCAUCAUAUACCCCUCAGACCUUGCUCGGGUUUCAAGGCAAGCAAACAUUUUUUCUUUCUUUUUUGAAAGACUCAUUGGCCUUUUACAAGGUGUCCCAACACUAUUAAAUGAGGUCAAAGGUACCAAGUCUAAAAUUUUCCUAAGUCAAGAGGGAAAUAGUUUUUCAUCUUAUAAUCGGAACCUAUUGUGCACAGUGUGUGAAUAGCUUAAAGUGGAAGACAUAAGCUUGAAUUCAAUAGAAAUUUCAACAAUUCAUCAACUUUAAUAAGCAUAAUACAAACUCUAAGUCAAGUGAAAAGACAAAAAUUCAAUUUCUCCCAUUUUAUUUUGAAAAUUUUUCCUUAAUAACCAUGGAGAGUAGAAUAAAAACUUAAAAAAUUUUAAAAUUAAGCAAAAAGCAACUAAAUUACCAAAAUAACUUAGCAUUAAUAACAAAACUUCCUUCCUCAACUCUCCCCCCAACCAAGCUGAACAUUGUCCUCAAUGUGACAAAAGCGAUUGAAAAAUAGGGAGGAAGUGGUACCUCCUGAGUGACGCGGAGUGAUGUCGUGGAAAUAAUGACUCAGAUGUCUCUCCUAUAGGAGGCUCCGGAUGAGGAGGCAAUGGCAUGCUCAGGAGCUAAUGUACUGCCAAUUGAUGCUGAAUCUGCCUCAGGAUGGCAGUGUGCUGGGCCUGAGUGGCAAGAAUAUGUUCUUGAUUUUAAUCAUUCAAAAAGAUUAAGCUAGUUACAAUUUACAAAAUUUCAAGACUAAAAUUACAAUCAAAUAAUUUACAAAACUUAAAAAUUAACAUAUUUAACAAAAUUAUGGACUUUGGUGAAACCAAGUCCAUCUAACCCUUCUCUGUUCAGGAUUUCUGUGGCUCAAGGAGGUUGAUUUCCUCCUUUUCUGGAUUGAACGGUUCAAUGAAUGGCUUGAGGCGAUGACCAUUGACUCUGAAGGUGUCUAUGCCAUUGGAAUUUAAUAAUUCCACCACUCCAUUGAAAUGUACUUGGUGAAUAAUGAAAGGACCUAUCCACCUUGACUUGAGCUUUCCGGGAAAGAUAUGGAGCCUUGAGUCAUAGAGUAAGACUAGUUGUCCUUUCCUCAAUUCUUUGUUGGAGAUUAGUUGAUCAUGCCAUUUCUUCAUCCUCUGUUUUGCAACUUUGGAAUUGAUGUAAGCAUCAUUUCUUAACUCCUCCAUCUCAUUAAGGUCUAAGCACCUCUUUUCCCCAGCUCUGAUCAAGUCCAUGUUCAACCUCUUGAUUGCCCACCAGGCUUUAUAUUCAACUUCCACAGGGAGAUGGCAUGCUUUGCCAUAGACUAGACGAUAGGGAGACAUGCCAAGAAUAGUCUUAUAAGCUGUUCUGUAUGCCCAUAAUGAAUCAUGAAGCUUAAUAGAUCAAUCUUUUCUGCUUGUAAUCACCACUUUCAUCAGUAUGUUUUUGAUUUCCCUGUUUGCUAACUCCACUUGCCCGGAAGUUUGAGGAUGAUAAGGUGUAGCUACCUUAUGCUUCACUCCAUACUUGGUUAAUAAGGCUUCAAAAGGUUUGUUGCAAAAAUGAGUACCUCCAUCACUGAUUAUGGCCUUGGGCACCCCAAAUCUUGAGAAGAUGUUCUCCUUAAGAAAUUUGAGAACCACCCUGUGAUCAUUCUGUUUACAGGGGAUUGCCUCCACCCAUUUGGAAACAUAGUCCACCCCCACCAAUAUAUAGGAGUUACCAAAAGACAUUGGGAAAUGUCCCAUGAAGUCAAUACCCCAAACAUCAAAAAGAUCAACUAUAAGGAUGGGGUUCAUAGGCAUUUAAUUUCUUUUUGUUAGCUUCCCAAGCCUUUGGCAUCUAUCACAGCUCCUACACAUGAUGUGGGCAUCUUUGAAAAGCGAUGGCCAAGUAAACCCUGAUUGCAACACCUUCAUGGCUAUUUUCUGAGAGGCAAAGUGGCCUCCACAUGCAUUUUCAUGGCAAUGACUGAGGAUCCCUUGUUGCUCUUCUUCAGGGACACACUUUCUUAUGAUCUGAUCUGCACAAUACUUGAAAAGGAAAGGCUCCUCCCAAUAAUAAGCAUGAAUUUUUGCAAAGAAGUGCUUCCUGUCUUGUGCAUUCCACUCACUUGGAACUUCACCAAUAACCAAAUAGUUAGCAAUAUAAGCAUACCAAGGAGCUUUCUCUAGCAACAUAAGUGAUUCCUCAGGAAAGUCAUCAUUAAUAGGUAAUACAUGGGAAUUAUGUGCUAUAGCCAACCUUGAAAGGUGGUCAGCUACCACAAUCUCCACCCCUUUCUUGUCUCUGAUUUGGAGAUCGAACUCUUGUAACAAAAGAAUCCAUCUAAUCAACCUUGCUUUUGCAUCUUGCUUUGUCAAUAAAUACUUCAAGGCUGAAUGGUCAGUGAAAACAGUGAUGAAAGACCCUACCAAAUAAGCAUGAAACUUGUCUAAGGCAAACACCACAACUAACAAUUCUUUCUCUGUAGUUGUGUAGUUUCUUUGAGCUUCGUUCAAUGUCUUGCUUGCAUAAUAGAUCACGUAGGGCUUCCCAUCUUCUCUUUGGCCAAGUACAGCUCCUAUAGCAAAGUCACUGGCAUCACACAUUACUUCAAAGGGUAAUUGUCAGUUAGGAGCCCUUACUAUUGGAGCGGUAGUAAAAAAUUGCUUCAAUUGAUCAAAACUCUUUUGACAUCUUUCAUCCCAUAUAAACUUAGCAUCCUUAGCCAAAAACUCACAAAGAGGCCUUGACAGCUUAGAGAAAUCUUGUAUAAACCUCCUGUAGAACCUUGCAUGGCCAAGGAAUUGCCUUACUCCUUUGACAGUGGUUGGGGAUGGCAAUUUGGCAAUACGUUCCACCUUUGCUUUAUCAACUUCAAUGCCUUUCUCGGAGAUGAUAUGGCCAAGGACAAUUCCUUGACGUACCAUAAAAUGACAUUUCUCCUAGUUGAGCACCAAGUCCUUCUCAAUGCAUCUGUUAAGAACUGCUUCCAAAUUGACUAAGCAUUCCUCAAAUGUACCUCCAUAUACGGUGAUGUCAUCCAUGAAAACCUCCAUAAUUCGCUCCACCAUAUCACUGAAGAUACUAAGCAUACAUCUUUGGAAUGUUACAGGUGCAUUGCAUAAACCAAACGACAUUCUUCUGUAAGCAUAUGUUCCAAAUGGACAUGUAAAAGUGGUCUUCUCCUGAUCUUCAACAUCAAUUUCAAUUUGAAAAUAUCCGGAGUACCCGUCCAAGAAACAAUAAAAAGGAUGGCCAGAGACUCUCUCCAGCACCUGGUCAAUAAAUGGGAGUGGAAAAUGAUUUUUCCUUGUCACAGCAUUCAAUUUCCUAUAGUCAAUACACACCCUCCAACCUGAAGUGAGGCGUGUAGCAAUUUCUUCUCCUUUUUCGUUCUGAACCACAGUAAUACCUGACUUCUUUAGUACCACUUGAGUAGGACUCACCCAAGGGCUGUCAGAUAUGGGAUAAAUAAUACCUGCUUGGAGUAGCUUCAGCACUUCAGCUCGCACCACUUCUUGUAAAUGAGGAUUCAAUCUUCUUUGAGGUUGACGAAUUGGUUUAGCUUCUUCCUCCAUAUAUAUGUAAUGUGUACAAACCAAAGGACUGAUUCCUUUCAAGUCAGAUAUUUGCCAUCCUAUUGCUUUCUUGCACCUCUUGAGAACUUCAAGUAAACACUUCUCGCGAUGACUAGUAAGAGAUGAAGAUAUAACAACAGGACAUUGAUUAUUUUCUUCAAGGUAUGUAUAUUUCAGUUCCACGGGCAGAGGCUUCAAAUUGAGCUUUGGGGUCUCUUCUUCAGCAGCUUCUCCUUCCUCUUUAUUGAAUAAAGGUAGGAUCUCUUCUUUCCUCCUCCAACUUUGUAGAGUAGCAAGCAUAUCAGCGGGUUCAGACAACCCUUCUUCAAGAUCCUUAAGACUUUCAUUCAACUCGUCUUGCAUAUUCUGAUCACAAUGCUCCUCCACUAGAGUGUCAAUAAUGCAUACCUCUUCUGGACCUUCUUCUUCUUCCGGAGUAAUCAGCUUCUUUGACAUAUGAAAGAUAUUAAGCUCAAGUGUCAUGUUACCAAAAGUAAGUUGCAUAAGUCAAUUCCUACAAUUUAUGAUUGCAUUUGAAGUAGCAAGGAAUGGCCUUCCAAGGAUGAUAGGAACAUAAUUAGCUUCCUUAACUAAAGGAUCAGUAUCAAGAACAAUAAAAUCUACUGGAUAGUAGAAAUUAUCAACUUGAACUAAUACAUCUUCAAUUAUCCCCCUUAGAAUUUUCACUGACCUAUCAGCUAAAGAUAGGGUGAUUGAUGUUGGCUUCAACUCACCAAGUCCCAAUUGCUUAUAAAUAGAGUAUGGUAGCAAAUUCACACUUGCUCCCAAAUCUAGCAAAGCUUUUUCCACUACCUUUCCUCCAAUCAUGACUGAAAUGGUAGGACAUCCCAGAUCUUUGUACAUCAAAGGAGAUUUUCAUUGUAUGAUGGCACUUACUUGUUCAGUUAAGAAGGCUUUCUUAUUCACAUUCAACCCUCUUUUGAUAGUACAAAGGUUCUUUAGGAAUUUUGCAUAUGAUGGAACUUGCUUAAUCAUGUCCAGCAAUGGAAUGUUGACUUUCACUUGGCUCAAUACUUCAAGGAUUUCUGAUGCAUUUUUUAUCCCCUUUUCCCAUGCAAAGCUUGAGGAAAAUGAGGAGAUGUACGUUUCAUCAUCAAUUCUUCCUUGAUAAGCUAUUUCUCCAGAUUUGCAUUCACUGUUGAAUCACGGUCCUUUUUCCCUUCACUGAUAUCUUUCUUCUUUCCUUUCAUUUCCCCCCUCUUAUUUGUCUCUUCUUCUUCCUUCUCUUCAACAUAUGGCUUGGGUGUUGGUGACUCAACCUUUUUACCACUCCUUAGAGUGAUCAAGGCUUUAACCUCUCUCACCUGUGAAGAUUCUCCCUCAUGAGUUUCCACUUCGUGGAUACCCUUGGGGUUUUGGUGAGGUUGAGAAGGAAAUCUACCCUUCUCCUGCACUGUGUUCAUAUUAGUGAGCCUUGAGAUUGAGUAUUGGAGAUUAUCUAUCUUCUGAGAUAAGUCAUUUUGCAGCCCAUCAAUCCUUUUGUUCAAAGUAUUCUCUACACUGUCAAUUCUUUGACUGAGCUGAGCAUUGAUGGAUUUUUGUUCUCCAACAAAAUCUCCCACAAUCUUGCUGAGAUUUACUAUUGCUUGUUCAAGACUUGAAGCUUGUUGAGAUGGUUGAGCUGGCUGUUGGUACUGAGGUGCUCUCGGCUUCCAUGAAAAAUUUGGAUGAUUCCUCCAACUUGAGUUGUAAGUAUCGCCAUAUGAAGCAUUGCUAUUGGGCUUGAAUUUUCCAAUGACAUUUGCUUGUUCUCCAAACAUUUCUCUAGCAACUGGAAUUGUAGGGCACUCCUCUACCAAGUGUUCAUAAGAUUGACAAAUAGAACAUGGCUUUACUUGCAUUGGUGUUUCAGCAACAGCUUGCACUUCAUUCAUCUUUUUCAGUUCUAGCGCUUCCACUCUUCUUGUCAUAGUUGCAAAUUUUGCUUUCAUUUCAACAUCUUCAUUCAAGGUGUACAUCCCAGCCUUAGCAUGAAGAGCAUUUGGUUGAGACUUCAUCUUUCCCACUUCUCCUCUGUGCGGUUCAUCCCAUCCUCUUGAGACUUCAGCUACAUAACUCAAGAAAUCCAUAGCUUCCUCAUGAUUCUUACUCAUGAAAUCCCCUCCACACAUUGUUUCGAGGAGUUGCUUCAUUGAGGAAGACAUCCCAUCAUAGAAAUAACUCACCAACAGCCAUGUGUCAAAGCCAUGGUGAGGACAAGCAUUAAUGGCUUCCAUGUAUCUUUCCCAACACUCAUAGAAUUUCUCAUUCUCUUUAGCUGAGAAGUUUGAAAUUUUCCUUUUCAAGCUAUUUGUUCUGUGAGUGGGAAAAAAUUUCUUGAGGAAUUCAGCUUGUAAAUCAGUCCAAGAACGGAUACUCCUUGGCCUUAAAGAAUUAAGCCAAAUCUUGGCCUUAUCCUUUAAAGUAAAAGGAAAUAAUUUAAGCCUCAUCAGGUCGAUAGAAGCUCCUCCCUCUCGGAAUGUAUUACAAACAUAUUCAAAUUCCUUGAUAUGGGCAUAGGGAUUCUCACUUUCCAUUCCAUGGAAAGUUGGCAGAAGUGGCACAAUAUGGGGUCUGAUCACUAGCUGCUCUAUAGAGGGCACUAUACAUGAUGGUGCACUCAUACGAGGUGGAUGCAUACGGUCCCUCAUUGAUCUGAAUUCAUUGGGAUUGUCCUGAUGAUCAUGGUGACUAUGCUGAUCCUCAGGUGUAGUUUCCAUGAUGUUCAAGAUUACUUCCAACUCCUUGUUAUGAGGUGUAUUAAGUUUAACAAGCCUUCCUCCAUUGUCUCGUAUCCACUUUGGCAUACACAACUAGUAUCAACUGUAACUAAAAUGAAAUUAAAAGAAAACAAAAGAAAACAGGGCUACCAAAAUUUUUUUUCUAAAAUAGACUAAACUGAAUUUAAAAGAUAUAUUAGAUUAUGAACAAGUAAAGAUACAAAAAAAUAGAAUUAGUAAAAUGAAAGAAAAGUUACCAAACUUGUGAUGAAAAUCACAAGUACUCUGAAAUAAUAUCACUAUGAAGUUGGCACCUUCCCCGGCAACGGCGCCAUUUGAUUCGUUCCCACUUGGUGUAUCAGCUGAUUCAUGUCCAACUGGUGCUCCUUGAUUGAGAGAGUAAUCAACAAAAUUUAUAACCUAUUACACCAUGAACUAGGGUAGCAAAGACAAAGCUACUAUAGCAUAGUGGCUCUAGGAUCGUUCACUGGGAAGGGUUUUCAACUCUCAACUGAUACCAAUUCAAAGCUGAGUUGGUGAUUUUUCAUUUCAAUGUUAGCUUAAAAGAAAACAUAAAGAUGUUUGGGUGAAAAGGGUUUGGUCUUAAACUAACCAAAAAGAAAGUAAUGGAAAUUACUUAUGAAGAAAAACAUUCCUUGGAGGUUUAGGUUCAUAGGGGAGGUUCCUUAUGUAAAAACAGAGCUCCGGUCAUUUGGUUCAUUUCCUCGCAUUAGAGAAUUAACAUAUAGUUAAUUCUCUAACCGGUGCUAUACAGAUGUAUCCUUUAAAUGGAUUUCAAACUCUAAUUCCCUCUCACUGAUGCAUCUUGCAAUGACUCAUACCUCUCACCUAGCACUUGCCAUUCAAGGUGAUCUUUAACUUUGGAUUACCCGUCAAAAGCUCACAAGAGAUAACUAAUGGAUGUCUCCUUAGAGUCCAAAAGCUUACCAAGUGUUGGCAAUUCUAGAAAAUCCUACCUACAAGUCACUUCCCAAAAGCUUGCAAGAGGUAAACUAGUGCAUCUCCAUGGAUAGAAAUCACUUGCCUUACCAAGUGUUGGCUCAAGUGAAUUGAAGGCGUUUUAAGUUAACUAAAAACAUAGAAAUCAUUAAAGGAUCACACUUUCUCUUCAUUAAUGGCUGAAACCACAAAUCUAUUAAUUCUUGCACUUGGACCCUUUCCUAGCAACCUUAACUCCAAGGAACUAAAAGUCUAGCCACUCAUUCUCUGAGGAAACUUCCUCAGAGCUUGUUUGGCUAGAAAGAAAACUAAUGAGAAAACAAAUAUUAAGCAAAAACAGAGCAAGUGCUCUGUACAAUAUAUUUCUUCCUUCCGUUUAUUACAUAGAUUCUUCUUUUUCAAGAAAAUUACAAACUAUAUAUAUGAGGUUAUUCACCCUUUUUACUUACUUAAAUAUUAAGGAAUACUAUGAUAGGUGGGUUACAAGGAGACUUUGGGAAAUUAGACAUAAAAUAUCUAAAGCAAAAUAUCCCAAAAUAUCAUUGGCAAAUAUCAGGAAGCUUCAAGAGCACACAGCAGCACUGUGCAGAAUGGCUGCUCUCCCAUUCAGGUAGGUGGCUAUCAGAUGAUCCGGAUACGUCCGUCCGGAGAAGUUGAAACGCCUCCUCUCCCAUCCGGCGUCAGAAUUCUGGAUGUGAACAUCCGGGGGUGGAAAGUACGCGACAGCCGGGUGCAAAAAUGGCGGCGCGCAUCCGGGUGUACAUGGCGGCAGCUGGGUGCAAAUCCUACCCGAGUGGAAUGUUGUUCGGAUGAAACGAUAGCAUCUUAUCCGGAUAUGUUGUCUGGAUGCCUUCCGAUGGUAUAUCCGGACGCACUGUCCGGGUAUACUCCUUGUAUGGAUUCCAAAGAACUCUCCUCAAUCUCAGAUUUGCUUUGGUGAUCAAAAAGCUAUCAAAACACCAAAACUUAACACAAUUUGAUUAGAAUUGAUUGCAAGGGUCCUUAAUAUGUUAAUUGGGUUAAAAGGUAAUAACUACUACUCAAAAGUGUCAAAAAGAGUUAAUUACAAGCUAUGAAAUAGCACUUUUUGAGUAGUAAUCAAUUUUCAUGGUGAAAUUUCAUCUCUAGAUAUAUGUUUAGGAUAUAUUUUGCAAGUGUCUUUGUUCUAGAUGCAUGCCAAUUGUUCUGUAAAGUGUCCUUAAAGUGAAUUAAUUUGGUAUUGAUUGACACGUAAUUAAAUGUUUUGGGAUUUUGUAUUGCAAUAUAGACACAUUGAAGAUGUUGUCAAUAAAGUAGUGAUUUUGGCACUGCAGGGCUCUUCAAUUUCUUUCUUCAUUUUUCAAUUUGCACGAAUGUGGAAACUUUUACACAUGAAUCAUUUGCUACAAUAAUGAUCAUGCAUGUAAAUUUGGUCUACUUUUCCCAUUCUCUAUAAUUGAUUAGCUUUGGAGCUGUUUGACAAUAAUAUAUAGGAAACCUCUGAUGCAGGCUUCUGACAUUAAAAUGAGCUAAAGAUGGGUUUGGAAACCACUUUCAAAUGAAAAUUGACAUGCAUAAUUUUUGGUGUAUUUGACACAUGCAAUAAAAAUUACUUAAAUAGGAGUGACUUUGUCACAUGGCUUCGGAUGGAAUUACAGCACAGUAUUGGAAUUAGUAUUCAAAUGGCUGCCCUAUGGAGAGUUUUUUAGGUCUCAAUCUUAACAGUAUAGGUUGACCACUCGGAAAUUGGGACCACAACCUAGCCUAGGCUUGAUCCAAGCACUACUUAGAGACACAUUUCACUUAACUUCUUUGAUCUGUUACUUGUAUUUAUUGUGACACUUAGGUGGUGUUUGUUUUUUGGCUGAACAAAAAAAGUAAAAAUAUUUGGUUUUUUCUAUUCAGUUAAAAAUAACAUGUUGACAUCAUCCAACAUAACUAAACUGAACCUAUUGAUAACAAGUUCAUUUUAGCUAUGUUGGAUGAUGUCAACAAGUUACUUUUAGCUUAAUAGAAAAAGCCAAAUAUUUUGGCUUUUUCUAUUCAGCCAAAAAACAAACACCACCUAAGUUGCUUCUUGUUUAUCUGAUCUAGGAAGCUUGUUUUGUCAAAGAAGCAAGACCUUCCGAUGUUUAUGGAUGAACUCCUCUUGUCAGCAUUGGUUCUAACUUUGGUCCAUUUUUCCCAUUCUCUAUAAUUGAUUAGCUUAGGAGCUGUAUGGAGAGGAAAAUGACAUGGGUCGGUGUUUGACAAUAACAGGAAACCUCUGAUGCAACAUUGGUUCAUUAAUAUUCACCAAAAAGUGAACAAGCUUGGAGCCUUCGGUAGAUAUUUUACAAAGCCUUCUGUACUGUUAUCUUAUGCUAAGUACUGAAUAUAAAUGUUGUUGAGGGUACCACCAGUGACAUGCAGAUGCAAUGUUUAUUUUGAGAACGCCAACGGCAUAGUGCAUCAACGGAUAUUUGAGUUUUCCGAGAAGGAGGCCUUUACAUCAUCGACCAGAUCUGGAUUAUUUGAAUUUAGUACGGUCCUGCUAUUGUUUUAUUCUCUUGCACAAACCAUUCUUCAAAAUAUGUUAUCAUGACAUAGAUAAACUUUUCAUUUGCUUAACAUUGUUUAAAGGGCUUGACAUUGCUCAACAUUAUCUGAGCUUUUCUCCUACAGAUACUUCUUUGGCAUGGCAAUGCAACCAGACUUAAGGCGAUGGCACUCACUUACAUACUCUGCAAGAGCCCACAAUGGAAAAAUAUUCCUGUAAUCUGCAUAGUGUAACAAGCAGUUCUUCAUGAAGGCUCCAGUGAUUUCCUGCCAUAGAUAAUUGAUGAUUAAAUGGUUAGACUCCCACCCAGUAUAUAUAGUCAGCUACAAAAGAACAUUUUCCAUUUCCCAAAACCAUGUUAAAAUGUUGCUCCUUUAGUUUUUUAUUCAUGUUCAAGUGAGCUACCUGUUGGGGAAAAUCACCAUCUUCCAUUUGGGAAUUAAUAAACAGCUUUGCAGCCCUGUGAAGAGGUGUUGGGUCUCUCUCCGCCUGUUAGAAAGGAAAGGCUAGACUCAGAUGUUUGGGGAGAAGCCAUAUUGUGAAAGUAAUGUAGAAGACCAAGUUAAGCUUAUUGAUGACGGAACUGUAAAAACUAACCUGCCCUGAAGAAAGCAGCCCCAUCAGAGCCCACCCGGUUUGCACCAAAUUUGACUUGUUUCCUUCAAGAGGCAUAUAUUUCUAUAUCACCAAGCACAAGGAUUACUUGUUUUUGUCCAUGUUUCUACCAGAAAAUAGAGCAGUGGGUGGCAUGUAAAAAUUACCUUGUCCGAGCAAGAAGUACAGUUCUCUCCCCAACCACCAUCAUCUCUUUGUGAUUUGAGUAGAAACUCAACAGCUCUACCAAUAGCAAGACAGUUGUGGUAAGUCUUGCCAGCAGCUGCUAGGCCCCCAAGCGCAAACCAUGAGCCAUAGGUGAAACAUACUCCCCAAUUGCCAUACCUGGUGAAAUGUUUCUUUGUUUAAAUGGAUCUGCACUGCAUAUAUAUAAAAAUAUUUCCCUAGUGAAAUAAUAAUAGUGGAGUUGAGAAACAUACCAUGAGCCAUCAGGCAUUUGCAUGUCUUCAAUGUACUUAGCAGCAUUUGUGAUGAAAUUGUCUAUCUCCUUCUUCCUGUGUCCCGGGUGUAACUUCUUAAAAGAAACUAGAGCCUUAAUUGCUGAUGCAGUGCACUCAACAUACCUGCAUCAUUGUUUCGUUAGUCUCCAAGGACGUUAAAGCUAGCAAAGUUAGAAAAGAAAGCUGGUCAAUUAUCAAGAAUCUUACUCAUGCUCGAUGACAAUGUCUGGAAAAAAUUCAGUGGGGUUAAGUAGCUGAAAAGAGAAGAGAUUGGCAUUGAUUUAGAUUCAAAGAACACAAAGAGUUAGAAAGAGAGAGAGAUAAUGCAGAAAUAUUGAAGUUACUUAAACAUGUUGAAGUAAUUUACCUCCAACCAUUCUGAAGCUCCUGCAGGCUCCCAGGCAGCUAAACCACCAUUUUUACUCUACAGUGGUUUAAAAAAUGGGGGUUAUUGCUACUAAGAAGUUAUGACCUAUUUUGUGAUGGGGACAACCAUGGAAAUGGUGUAAGGAAGAUGAUUCUCACCUGUAGAGAAAGCAAGAUGUUGACAGAAUCAAAUAGUCGUUCAGGUUCCAUCUUCAUACCAACAAUCUCUGGUGUCAUCAUUGAAAAGAGGAGACAACACUGUGACAGAGAGGGGACUUCAGUAAGAAACCAAGUAACUUUAGUUAAUCUACAAGCCCUGACUCAAUUGAAGUGUUUGAGCAAAAAGAGUUACCUUCAAACCUUCUGCAGUGCAAUCAGAAACUUGCCAACCAUGAUCCUGAUCUGAGAAUGUCCACGAUCCCUUGGAAAUGUGGCGGUACAUGCUUUUAAAGUCACCAGAAGGAUUGUCCUUGACCUUCAAGAUUUCAGGCAGUAUGAAGUAAAUAGACCAUGAGAAACCCAAGUAGAUUCUGGUUGAAGUAAAGAAAUAAACGAUGGAAUUCAAGAUCAAACCUGAGAUUCCUUUAUGAAUUCAUGUCCUUUCUUGAGUGCAGGUCCAAGUUCAUCAGUCAUAUUGCAAGCUAGCAGUGCUUGAAGGGCAAAACUAGUGUCCCACUCUUGACUACCAAAGCUCUGCAAUAAUCGACAAUUUCAAAACCAAUUAGGCAGGAAAGGGAUAAAAGCAGCUUCAAACCAGUUGCAUACCUAAAAAAUUUUAAGAAAAAGAUCAACAGAUAUUAUCUAAUUUUCCUACAACUGUUUGGGAGAUUAGUGAUUGAAUUAACUUGUCUUCUUACCUGCAUCUUUAUUCCAUCUUCUGCAACCCAUAUAUAAUCUGGGAUCCUAGCAAGGUGCUUCUUGAAAUAAUCCCCAUUUGGAUCUUCAACCCAACAUGAGAGCAUACACAAUACCUGUUCAAUUUAAGGGAUAUCAGUACCCCAAAAGGAGUGACAUAUUGUCUGAAUAGUCAUUAUCCAUUACUGAAAAAAUACCUUCGCCACACAUCCAAUGGUUAUGUAUCGACUGUUUUCAUCUUCAUAAUGGAUGUGUUUCAUUGUUACUUCAAGAGCCUUCUGUCUCAACUUGUUGAAGGGCCAACGAGUAAGAAGAGGCUCAGUACAUAUGUACAAACUAUCCCACAUCAGAUCUUGUAUUAGGGGAUGGGAGUAGUAGAGAUCCUCCUGCAAUAAACAAUUUUGAAUGUGUUUCAUGCAUGCGAAGCAUAUUCAUAGGAAAAAGAAAAGUUUUCCAUACAAAAUCAAAACUUACCUUCGCACAAAGAUGUCGUACUUUCUUCCAAUUGAUUUCAUUAUAUGGUUGAAGGAAGAGCUCUUUUCUCAGUUCUAGAACAAGAGGCGUGAUUGGGCCAACAAAUCGUUUACCAUAUAACUAUGACAUGGGCAUGUAAACCAACCGACAGUGGCACCACAUUUUUGCUGCAUUUAUGGACUUAAAUUACAAGAAGCUCGACCAACGAUAGGAAAAUGAAAGUUAGACCGAAGUAGACAUGGGAAUGUCAUUUCUUGAGACUAAUAAACCAUCCCCAGGUUGAAUUUUUAAGUAUUCAUGCGUGAUCUUAUAAUUGUAUAAGGCUGAAGUUACACAGCUUUUGGCUUAAACAUUUCGAGUCCGUGUGACCAAUUCCAAGUUUUAUGUAAGAAGACCCUAGGAUGUAAAAUGCAUUAAGUGCAGAAGUAGAUGUGAAAUUCAAGCACUUGAGUAGAUGACUACAGCACAAACCUGGAUGCAUAGGAAGACGAGAAGGGAAGAGCCAAAACUCUGGGGGCAUUGGGUUGCUUCCUGACCAGUCAAACAAGCCAAAAAUCUACACGGAAGAAGCAAUCAUAUAAGAUUCAGUCCAUCACACAAGAAUGCAUUGUAUAGGAUGAAUGUGAACUUGUGUUUCAAAUGGCCAUACUGAAAGCCAAGUCUUUCCCCAAGAGGGAAGGGAUGUCACUCCACCACGAUCGAGGAUCCAUUUACGCCCUCUUGCACAAGCAUUGUCUCUACCACCAUCGCGCCCUUCUCCAAGGAUACGCAUACAAUGGGCCAGCAUUUUCAGCAGGCCAAUGGCCAUCACUAGCCUGCAAAGCUGAAAAGAAAUGUGCACCCCUUCUCACUGCUGUUGUGGCUGUCUCAUAUGUAAUUUCUUCACCAUCCCCAACCUUAACUUGUGGUAUUGUUUGUUUGAAAUUUUUCUCUCUCAAAAACUGCAAUUUUUUUUGGCCAAAUGAAAUGGGAGUUAGUGAAGAGGAAGUUUAAAAGAAAAGGUAAAUUAACCUCAAUAGUAAGCAUCUAUUUAUACAAUUGUUCCAAGCUAAGAGAAUUAUUACAAUUUUUAAAGCGCAUAAUAUAUAUUUUGGGUUAAAAUCCUACAAACUUAAUCUUUUAGGAAAUUAAUUGUUUAACAUGGUAUCAAAGCUCGGCUUUGGAAUCGGUCUUACCUGUCAUUAGCCGACAAUUUGCUUGAUGGUGUCUCAACCAAUUUAAAAGAAAAGAAAAGAAAAGGUAAAUUAACCUCAAUUGUAAGCAUCUAUUUAUACAAUUGUUCCAAGCUAAGAGAAUCAAGAUAGAGUUAGCAAUUGUUAAACUGCAUAAUAUAUAUUUUGGGUUCAAAUCCUACAAACUUAACUUUUUAAGAAAUUAGUUGUUCAACAUGGUAUCAAUGCUCGGUUUUGGAAUUGGUCUCACCUCUCAUUAUCCAACAAUAUGGUGGUAUCUUAACCUAGGGCCUGGUGUAUGAGGGGAAUAUUGUUGGGUUCUCCCAUAUCUCUUAUAGAAGGAAUUGGGUGACUCUUUAUCAGUGUGCAUGAAAAUCUCAGCCUUUUAAGCUAAUUUUUUGGGGUGAUAAGGCCCAAAAUCACCCAAUAGUAGUGUCCCCAAUAUUAUUUUUCUUUUUUACUUUAUGAUAUCAUAACCCCAUUUGGUGGGAGGUGAACGUCAUAUGGUUGCCCACUAUGGUCACUUUGUUUGAAGUCAAGUGGUUUCAAUACAUGCUUCUUUUCCCAAUUUAUCAAGUUCGCAUGCAAGCCUGAAAAUAGAAGCUGCACAUGUAAGAGGGAGAGAGAGUGAGAGAUUAUGGUUGUUUGGUGGUGAAAACAUGAUUCUAAAGAGGACCCCAUAUCUUGCGAUUUUUUGGGUUCCUUUUUUCAUAGAAAUCAUCACCCAUAAUCAAACAAAUGGAAACAAAACAAGAAAAGCUAUGUAGCUAGACUACGUAAAACAACAAGUAUGUAUGCAUGCAAGACACGUAUAGUCAGUGAAAAACUGCAAUCUAGGACGCAGAUGACAGAUCAAUAUCUGUUGUGAUAUCAAGACUUGAGAUAGAUGGGAUCAAAUCACCUGCAUCCGCCAAAGGAGGUCGCUGCUGGGCUUAACCUGAAACCGGUUUUUCCAGAAAUUUUCACGAGCUGCUUCGACCUCAGCUCGCUCUUCUGUGGUUCCAUAGUCAGGAUCAAACUCCCAUAUCUGUCUUCCCACGAAGUUGUUGGUGGUGUAGAUGUAGGAAUCAUUGCCUCCAUCUGCAACCUUGAGCCUCCACAUUUUCAAACUCACCAAACUGACGAGAUAUAUCUCUAUAUAUAUCUAAGUUUACAAAUAUGUGUCUCCCUUCCGAAAACACCUGCUGAUCAUGCAAUCACCAGAAAGGUAAGAAAAGCUUUUCUUUGCAAUAAAAUUAAGUUAAAAUGAUACAGACCAAGGACAGAGAGAUAGGUGCUGGGUGGGCAGAGAAGAGAGAAGCUUCAGAAACUUGGAAUGGCGAGUUCCAGGAGGGAAUCGCUCAUUCAUAUAGAAGCACAGCAGCAAGUCAAUCACCAACCCCCAUGACUUGUAUUUAUGAAUGAGACUAUUAACACUUAAUUUAUGCUUAUCUAUAUAUAUGAAGUGAUGUCAGCCAUAGUAACUUGAUUUCUAAAUUCAUGAAUCUUGUAACAGACCCUGAUAGAUAUCAGUCCUUCAAUCAUAAAAUUAAUAUGGUUUAAGACAUACAGUCCCUGAUACAUCAAUUAGUUAUGUUUAAGUGACGUUUCACCAAUUUUUCCCCAACGUCCAACAAAAGUCUCAAUUAAAGCACAAAAAAUUUAAUUUAGAUGGUGGACAUGUGAAAAAUUCCAGUUUUGCAAAGAAAAAAAAAAAGAAAAAAAAAAGAAAAAAAAAGAAAAAAAAAAAAGAAAAGGAAAUAAUUGACCUUCUGUGUUGUUGCCACCAGUUAUGAUGGGUGUUCAUUUUUAGAGAGAAUUGUGCUUAAGGGAGUCCACUUGUUCAUAAUGGGUCAAACAUCCUUCAAAAUCUUAUAAUUGACAAUUGAUAAGAAGGAUAUAAACUUUAGAGAGACCAGGGUACCCUUCAAAGUUGUUAUGUCCCUUAACACCAAUACUUUCACCGAUUGUUGAAUUAGAAAAGUUAUCAAUUCAUGGUUUAUUCAUCAGACUGACAGGCAAACUAUAGUCGAAAUUAACCUAAACUAAAACAAGAAUUUAAAAAGAGAACUUACGUUCAACCGUGUAAGAGGGGCUGCUAUUAGAACACUCUUAAUCCUUCCAAUCUGAUGCCUUAUAUGCUACAUGUUCUAAAAGAAAAUCCCGAGACGUCCUCAAAGUGGCAGCUUCUGUGAUCUUCUUUGCAUGGUAUGGUUGCCCUCCAAAUUUCAUCAAAACGUGUGGAUGUCUUUCACAAAAUCUGGUGGUGCCAUAUUCUUAAAGUGGAAGCCUUUUUUUUUUUUUUUACACAAAAAAUAAACUGAUAUGUAGUGGAGGUUCAAAGUGGCAACCUUAUUCUCAUCCUAGUAGUGCGUGGUGGAUACCUCUCACAAAAUCUGGUGGUGCAAAAAUCUGUGCGUGGAGGGGCUUUUUUAGUGGCAGCGUGCUGUGUAAAAUCCACAGAUGCAGCCUUGAUGGAGAUCUCUUGCUAAUGCAUAAUCAGUCCGGUACGUCUUAAGGAAGAUUCAGACAUUCAAUGCAUGCAGUUCCCUAUUCUCUUCGAGUAACAAGGAUUGUUCAAGCUUUAACUCAGCAAAAGUAUAGCCUGAAAAUCAUAUAUCAAUGAUUAUGGUGCAUUCUGUUGCUUCAAUUGAUAGAAGCAUUGCUGCCUGACCAUAUGUCGUGCCACUGUUUCAGUUCCGACAAUCUCCAUCUUCUCAUUCCAUUUUCCAGUAGAAUUUAUAUGGAGAUAUAUAGUCUUUGUGGGGUUGUCGAAAUCCAACCACAUGAAUUGAGAGUAAGAAGCUUAGCUAUUACAGGUAUGACGGGCAUGCCUAAACAAUAAUUUCAAGUUUCUAAGAGCAGUAGAUCCCUUCAAAUCCUCAGAUUUUAGAAACAUAGGCCAAAAAAAUACUCAGACUUCUCCACCCCGCAACCAUUCCAUUGCAAUUGUAAAUAUGCAGUAAGUAUAACCAGUCCAGUCUUGAAGGCCACUUCUUGUGCCACUGUAUUGGCUUUCAUUUUGGAAUGGUUAGAUAUGCAGGAAGCUUGUUUUAUCAAAGAAGCAAGACCUUUCGAUGUUUAUGGAUGAAUUCCUCUUGUCAGCAUUGGUUCUUUAAUAUUCACCAAAAAGUGAACAAGCUUGGAGCCUUAGGUAGAUAUUUUACAAAGCCUUCUGUACUGUUAUCUUAUGCUAAGUACUGAAUAUAAAUGUUGUUGAGGGUACCACCAGUGACAUGCAGAUGCAAUGUUUAUUAUGAGAACACCAACGGCAUAGUGCAUCAACGGAUAUUUGAGUUUUCCGAGAAGGAGGCCUUUACAUCAUCGACCAGAUCUGGAUUAUUUGAAUUUAGCAAGGUCCUGCUAUUGUUUUAUUCUCUUGCACAAACUAUUCUUCAAAAUAUGUUACCAUGACAUAGAUAAACUUUUCAUUUGCUUAACAUUGUUCAAAGGGCUUGACAUUGCUCAACAUUAUCUGAGCUUUUCUCCUACAGAUGCUUCUUUGGCAUGGCAAUGCAACCAGACUUAAGGCGAUGGCACUCACUUACAUACUCUGCAAGAGCCCACAAUGGAAAAAUAUUCCUGUAAUCUGCAUAGUGUAACAUGCAGUUCUUCAUGAAGGCUCCAGUGAUUUCCUGCCAUAGAUAAUUGAUGAUCAAAUGGUUAGACUACCACCCAGUAUAUAUAGUCAGCUACAAAAGAACAUCAUUUUCCAUUUCCCAAAACCAUGUUAAAAUGUUACACCUUUGGUUUUUUAUUCAUGUUCAAGUGAGCUACCUGUUGGGGAAAAUCACCAUCUUCCAUUUGGGAAUUAAUCAACAGCUUUGCAGCCCUGUGAAGGGGUGUUGGGUCUCUCUCCGCCUGUUAUAAAGGAAGGUUAGACUCAGAUGUUUGGGGAUAAGCCAUAUUGUGAAAAUAAUGUAGAAGACCAAGUUAAGCUUAUUGAUGGUGGAACUGUAUAAACUGACCUGCCCAGAAGAAAGCAGCCCCAUCAGAGCCCACCCGGUUUGUACCAGAUUUGACUUGUUUCCUUCAAGAUGUGUAAGUUUCUGUAUCACCAAGCACAAGGAUUACUUGUUUUUCUGCAUGUAUCUACCAGAGAACAGAGCAGUGGGUGGCAAGUAAGAAUUACCUUGUCCUGGCAAGAAAUAUAGCUCUCUCCCCAACCACCAUCAUCUCUUUGUGAUUUGAGUAGAAACUCAACAGCUCUACCAAUAGCAAGACAGUUGUGGUAAGUCCUGCCAGCAGCUGCUAGGCCCCCAAGUGCAAACCAUGAGCCAUAGGUGAAACAUACUCCCCAAUUGCCAUACCUGGUGAAAUGAUUCCUUGUUUAAAUGGAUCUGCACUGCAUAUAUAAAAAGAGCUUUCCCCAGUGAAAUGGUAAUAGUGGAGUUGAGAAACAUACCAUGAGCCAUCAGGCAUUUGUUGGUCUUCAAUGUACUUGGUAGCAUUUGUGAUGAAAUUGUCUAUCUCCUUCGUCCUGUGUUGGGGGUAUAACUUCUUAAACAAAACCAGAGCCUGAAUUGCUGAUGCAGUGCACUCGACAUACCUGGAUCAUCAUUUUGUUAGUCUUCAAGGAAGUUAAAAGCUAGUAGAGUUAGAAAAAAAAGCUGGUCUAUUAUCAAGAAUUUUACUCAUGCUCGAUGACAAUGUCUUCAAAAAUUUCAGAGGGGUUGAACAGCUGAAAAGAGAAGGGAUUGACAUUGAUUUAGAUUCAAAGAAUACAGAGAGAGAGAUAAAACGGAAACAUUGAACUUACUUAAACAAGUUGAAGUAAUUUACCUCCAACCAUUCUGAAGCUCCUGCAGGCUCCCAGACUGCUAAACCACCAUUUUUACUCUGCAGUGGCUUUGAAAACAAGGGUUAUUGAUACUAAGAAGUUAUAACCUGUUUUGUGAUGGGGACAACCAUGGAAAUGGCCCAAGGAAGAUGAUUCUCACCUGUAGGGAAAGCAGGAUGUUGACAGAAUCAAAUAGUCGUUCGGGUUCCAUACCAACAAUUUCUGGUGCCAUCAUUGAAAAGAGGAGACAACACUGUAACAGAGGGUACUUCAGUGAGAAACCAAGUGACUUUAGUUAAUCUACAAGCCCUGACUCAAUUAAGUGUUUGAACAAAAAAAAUUACCUUCAAACCUUCUGCAGUGCAAUCAGAAACUUGCCAACCAUGAUCCUGAUCUGAGAAUGUCCACGAUCCUUGGGAAAUUUUGCGAUACAUGCUUUUAAAGUCACCAGAAGGAUUGUCCUUGACCUUCAAGAUUUCAAGCAAUAUGAAGCAAAUAGACCAUGAGAAACCCAAGUAGAUUCUGGUUGAAGUCAAGACACAAACCUGAGAUUCCUUUAUGAAUUCAUGUCCUUUCUUGAGUGUAGGUCCAAUUUCAUUUGUCAUAUUGCAAGCUAGCAGGGCUUGAAGGGCAAAACCAGUGUCCCACUCUUGACUACCAAAGGUCUACAACAAUCGACAAUUUCAAAACCAAUUUAGGCAGGAGAGGAUAAAAGCAUAGCUUCAAACCAGUUGCACACUUGAAAUAUUUUAAGAAAAAGAUGAAUAGAUAUUAUCUAAUUUUCCUACAACUGUUUGGGAGAUUAGUGAUUGAAUUAACUUGUCUUCUGACCUGCAUCUUUAUUCCAUCUUCUGCAACCCAUAUAAAAUCUGGGAUCCUAGCAAGGUGCUUCUUGAAAUAAUCCCCAUUUGGAUCUUCAACCCAACAUGUGAGCAUACACAAUGCCUGUUCAACUUAAGCCAUAUCAGUAUCCUAAAGAACUGACAUAUUGUCUAAAUAGAAGUUAUCCACUGCAGAAAAAAACCUUCUCCACACUUGCAAUAGUGAUGUAUCUACUGUUUUCAUCUUCAUAAUGGAUGUGUUUCAUUGUUACUUCAAGAGCCUUCUGUCUCAACUUGUUGAAGGGCCAACGAGUAAGAAGAGGCUCGGUACAUAUGUACAAACUAUCCCACAUCAGAUCUUGUAUUAGGGGAUGGGGGUAGUAGAGAUCCUCCUACAAUAAACAUAUUUGAAUGUGUGUUUCAUGCAUGCGUAGCAUAUUCAUCGGAAAAGGAAAAGUGUUCCAUACAAAAUCAAAACUUACCUUUGCACAAAGAUGCCGUACUUUUUUCCAGUUGAUUUCAUUAUAUGCUUGAAGGAAGAGCUCUUCUCUUAGUUCUAGAACAAGAGGCGUGAUUGGGCCAACGAAUCGUUUACCAUAUAGGUAUGACAUGGGCAUGUAAACCAACCGACUGUAGCACCACAUUUUUGCUGCAUUUAUGGACUCAAAUUACAAGAAGCUCAACCAACGAUAGGAAAAUGAAAGUUAGACCAAAGUAGACAUGGGAAUGUCAUUUCUUGAGACUAAUAAACCAUCCCCAGGUUGAAUUUUUAAGUAUUCAUGCGUGAUCUUAUAAUUGUAUAAGGCUGAAGUUACACAGCUUUUGGCUUAAACAUUUCGAGUCCGUGUGACCAAUUCCAAGUUUUAUGUAAGAAGACCCUAGGAUGUAAAAUGCAUUAAGUGCAGAAGUAGAUGUGAAAUUCAAGCACUUGAGUAGAUGACUACAGCACAAACCUGGAUGCAUAGGAAGACGAGAAGGGAAAAGCCAAAACUCUGGGGGCAUUGGGUUGCUUCCUGACCAGUCAAACAAGCCAAAAAUCUACACGGAAGAAGGAAUAUCAUAUAAGAUUCAGUCCAUCACACAAGAAUGCAUUGUAUAGGAUGAAUGUGAACUUGUGUUUCAAGUGGCCAUACUGAAAGCCAAGUCUUUCCCCAAGAGGGAAUGGAUGUCACUCCACCACGAUCGAGGAUCCAUUUACGCCCUCUUGCACAAGCAUUGUCUCUACCACCAUCGCGCCCUUCUCCAAGGAUACGCAUACAAAUGUAGCUGAGUGUUGUACAAAACAUUGUGCUGUGUCCCUCAAUAUGCAAUCCCCACCCACCAUCUUCAUUCUGCCAUGUACAUAAGCCAUUUUCAUACUUCAAAGCUCCAAGCCCAUUUAUGAGGUUAGGAUGAUGACUAGGUUCAAAAUAUAUAUACCUGAUGACAGUAUAGGUAGCGAAGAAUUUCUUUACGAUAUUCUCCAGGGAAUACAGUGUCAAGAUGCCCUGUAAUGUAUAGACACAUGACCUGCAUUUUCCAUGAAAUUAUUCCAUUGAGAAUGGCUGUUAAAAUGGUCCAUAUACAUGAUUUUAAGGAGGGUGAGAGGGUGUUGAGUAGACUCACCAGGGGAGGAAGGAAAUACAAUGGGCCAGCAUUUUCAGCAGGCCAAUGGCCAUCACUAGCCUGCAAAGCUGAAAAGAAAUGGGCACCCCUUCUCACUGCUGCUGUGGCUGUCUCAUAUGUAAUUUCUUCACCAUCCCCAACCUUCGCUUGUGGUAUUGUUUGUUUGAAAUUUUUCUCUCUCAAAAACUGCAGUUUAUUUAUUUAUUUUUUUUGGCCAAAUGAAAUGGGAGUUAGUGAAGAACAAGUUUAAAAGAAAAGGUAAAUUAACCUCAAUAGUAAGCAUCUAUUUAUACAAUUGUUCGAAGCUAAGAGAAUCAAGAUAGAGUUGCAAUUGUUAAAGAGCAUAAUAUGUAUUUUGGGUCCAAAUGCUACAAACUUAACCUUUUAGGAAAUUAGUUGUUCAUCAUGGUAUCAAAGCUCGAUUUUGGAAUGGGUCUUACCUUUCAUUGUCUGACAAUCUGAUUGAUGGUGUCUCAACCAGCUCAAAAGAAAAGAAAAGAAAAGGUAAAUUAAGCUCAAUAGUAAGCAUCUAUUUAUACAGUUGUUCCAAGCUCAGAGAAUCAAGAUAGAGCUCACAAUUGUUAAAGCACAUAAUAUAUAUUUUGGGUUCAAAUCCUACAAACUCAACCUUUUAGGAAAUUAGUUGUUCAAUAUGAUAUCAAAACUUGGUUUUGGAAUUGGUCUCACCUCUCAUUAUCUAGCAAUUUGGUCGAUGGUCUCUUAACCUAGGGCCUGGUGUAUGAGGGGAAUAUUGUUGGGUUUUCCCAUAUCUCUUAUAGAAGGAAUUGGGUGACUCCUUAUCAGUGUGAGGGAAAAUAUCUCCCUUUAAGUUAAUUUUUAGGGUGAUAAGGCCCAAAAUCACCCAAUAGUAGUAUCCCUAAUAUAUCCUCUCUUUUUUUUUGGUUUUACUUUAUGAUAUCUUAACCUCAUUAGGUGGGAGGUGAGCCUCAUAUGGUGGCACACUAUGGGCACCUUGUUUGAUGAAGUCAAGUGGUAUCAAUACAUGUUUUUUUUUUCCCAAUUCAUUAAGUUCAAGUGUAAGCCCGAAAAUAGAAGCUAGGCAUGUAUGAGGGAGAGGAAGGGUGUUAUAGAGAGAGAGAGAGAGAGGUGGGAGGUGAGCCUCAUAUGGUGGCCCACUAUGGUCACCUUGAUCGAUGAAGUCAAGUGGUAGAGAGAGAGAGAGAGAGAGAGGUGGGAGGUGAGCCUCAUAUGGUGGCCCACUAUAGUCACCUUGAUCGAUGAAGUCAAGUGGUAGAGAGAGAGAGAGAGAGGUGGGAGGUGACCCUCAUAUGGUGGCCCACUAUAGUCACCUUAGAGAGGUGGGAGGUGAGCCUCAUAUGGUGGCCCACUAUGGUCACCUUGAUCGAUGAAGUCAAGUGGUAUCAAUACAUGUUUCUUUUCCCAAUUUAUUAAGUUCGCAUGUAAGCCCGAAAAUAGAAGCUACACAUGUACGAGGGAGUGGGAGGGUGUUAGAGAGAGAGAGAGAGAGAGAGAGGGUAAUCAAACAUAUGGAAACGAAUUAAAUAAGAAAGCUAGCUAUGUAGCUAGACUACGUAAAAGAAGGAGUAUGUAUGCAUGGAAGACAUGUACGUUCAUUUAAAAACGGGAAUCUAGGAUGCAGAUGACAGAUAAAUAUCUGUUGUGAUAUCAAGACUAGAGAUAGAUGGGAUCAAACCACCUGCAUCCGCCAAAGGAGGUCGCUGCUGGGCUUAACCUGAAACCGGUUUUUCCAGAAAUUCUCACGAGCUGCUUCGACCUCAGCUCGCUCUUCUGUGGUUCCAUAGUCAGGAUCAAACUCCCAUAUCUGUCUUCCCACGAAGUUGUUGGUGCUGUAGAUGUAGGGAUCAUUGCCUCCAUCUGCAACCUUGAGCCUCCACAUUUUCUAACGCACCAAACAGACGAGAUAUAUCUCUAUGUAUAUCUAAGUUUACAAAUAUGUGCGUCUCCCUUCCGAAAACACCUGCUGAUCAUGAAAUCACCAGAAAGGUAAGACAAGCUUUUCUUUGCAGUAAAAUUAAGUUAAAAUGAUACAGACCAAGGACAGAGAGAUAGGUGCUGGGUGGGCAGAGAAGAGAGAGACUUCAGAAACUUGGAAUGGCGAGUUCCAGGUGGGAAUCACUCAUUCAUAUAGAAGCACAACACCAAGUCAGUCACCAACCCCCAUCACUUCUAUUAAUUCUUUUUUCACCCACUUCAAGUAUUUUAUGGAAUUUUUCACCUACCCCCACCAAGUUUGUGGAAUUUUUUGACUUUCAAUUAUUUUUUAUUGAUAUAUUUUAUUUCAAAGAAAAGCUUGUCUUACCUUUAUGGAGCCUCUGAUAUAAGGAUGGUGUCUUUGCAAUAAAAUUUUAUGGAAUUGAUAUAUUUUUUAAUUAAAGAAUCCCAUGCAUUAAUUUUAUUUAAAUAAAGUUUAUUUACUCAAUAAAAAUAUAUAAUUAUGUGCUAAUCAUAAUUAUAUAUUUUCUAAUUAAUUUCAUUUUCUACAAAUCAAUGCUAAUCUAAUGAGGGCCUACUAUAAUUUCAUUUUCUUGUAUAAAAUAUUCUUCAAACUUCUUAUGGUAUUAGAGCAACAUGGCCAAGAAUUCUACCUCACAAUUCAAUCUUUUCACCAAUGCGCAAGCUUGGUAUUUGUGAAGCUAUUUUUUUUUUUUAUCAAUUUUUACCUUUAAUCAAGAGUCUUUAUCUUGAAAAUCACCUUACAAAUGUUGGGGCUCCACUAGAAGAAAUAGAAAAUGAAGAUGGCAAGAAGGAAGUGAAUCCAAGCUACACAAUCAUAUAGGGUUUAUAAAAAAAUAUAAAGUAUUACCAUUAGAGGACAAUCCUCUAAUUGUUGAAAGAAGACAAACAUUUCAAUACCAAUUCCUCCUCCUAUCAUUCUUGACACAUAGUCUACAGUUACUAUCACUACACUUUCCAUCAUGGAAGCACCUUUUUCUUGAGCUUUGACCCAAAAUAGUGCGUUUUUAAAAAAAAUUCCAAAAAAUAAAGUUGUUUUCUAAAUAAUGUUCGAUCUAAUGCGUCUGUACCACAUAAGCUGCCACGUCAUAAAACCGUAGUUGGUGACUACGGUUUUAUUUUUCUAAAGUGGUUAGAAACCGUAGUUACCAACCACGGUUUUAACUUUAAGUUUAAAGCCGUAGUUGGUGACUACGGCUUUGACUUUUUUUUAAAAUGGUCAAAGCCGUAGUCACCAACUGCGGUUUUAACUUUAUAUAUUUAUAUAUAACUUUAAUUUUUUUAAUAAAAAUAUUAUAUUAUUUUGCUUUUAAAUAUACUUAUUUUAUUAUUUUAAUAAUAAUAAUAUAUGAAAUUAAAUAAUUGAUAUUUUUAAUUUGAUAUAAAUAUAUUUUAAAAUUUUAUUAAAAUAAUAUACUCUAUAUUUAAUAUAAAUAUAUUUAGUUAAUUAUAUUUAAAUAUAAAUAAAAUAUAAUAAAUUAUGAAAGCCUAUUAAAAAACAAAUAAUAUAAAUUAUUAUAUUAAUUAAUAAUUUUUUAUAUACUAUAUGUAAGUGGUAUAUAAUGUCACAUGUAUAUAAGUUCAAUUAAGUUUAAAAUUUAUUAUAUUUUAAUUUAAGUUCAUAAUAUUAUAUCGAUAUGAUAAUAAUUUAUUUAUAUAUUUAAAUAAAUAUGCCAUAUAUAUAUAUAUAUAUAUAUAUGUGUGUGUGUGUGUGUGUGAUAUUAUAUACUACUUACAUAUAAUAUAUAAAAAAAUUAUUAAUUAAUAUAAUAAUUUAUAUUAUUUUUUUCUCCAAAUAGGCAUUUAUAAUUUAUUUAUUUUAAAUAAACAUAAUUUAUUAUAUUUUAUUUAUAUUUAAUUUUAAUUAAAUAAUUAUAUUUAUAUUAAAUAUAGUGUCAAUUAUUUUAAUAAAAUUUAUUUAUAUAUUUAAAUAAAAAUGUGAUAAAUUUUAAACUUAAAUUAAACUUUUAUAUAUAUAUAUAUAUAUGUGUGUGUGUGUGUGAGAGAGAGAGGUAUUAUAUACCACUUAUAUAUAAUAUAUAAAAAAUUAUUAAUUAAUAUAAUAAUUUAUAUUAUUUUUUUAUUUUUCUAAAUAGGCAUUUAUAAUUUAUUUAUUUUAAAUAAAUAUAAUUUAUUAUAUUUUAUUUUAAUUAAUUAAUUAUAUUUAUAUUAAAUAUAGUGCGUUUUAAUAAAAUUUAAAAAUAUAUUUUUAUAUCAAAUUAAAAAUAUCAAUUAUUUAAUUUCAUAUAUUAUUAUUUUUAAAAUAAUGAAAUAAGUAUAUUUAAAAUCAAAAUAAUAUAAUAUUUUUAUUAAAAAAAAUUAAAGUUAUAUAUAAAUAUAUAUAAAGUUAAAACCGCAGUUGGUGACUUCGGCUUUGACCAUUUUAAAAAAAAGUCAAAGCCGUAGUCACCAACUACGGCUUUAAACUUAAAGUUAAAACCGUGGUUGGUAACUACGGUUUCUAAUCACUUUAGAAAAAUAAAACCGUAGUCACCAACUACGGUUUUAUGAUGUGGCAGCUUAUGUGGCACAGACGCAUUAGAUUGGACAUUAUUUUGAAAACAACUUUAUUUUUUGGAAUUUUUUUUUAAAACACACUAUUUUGGGUCAAAGCUCCUUUUUCUUUUCACAAAGUCCAUUUCAACCACCUUUACACCUGCUCCUUCCUCUCCACCAUCUCUACACUCCACACUAUAUUUAAUAAACCAAUUAUUUAUCAAUCUUCCAAUUGCCCCAACUUCUCUAUCAACACAACCUAUGCCUAACGAUACAUCCCUCUCCUUCACCAAAACAACCCACACAACUUCCCACUUGCAUUAACACUAUGGCUAGUCACCUAUCCAAAAUUGAGACAAAUACGUUAUUUGGCUCUCCAUGUUAGCCAUUCAACUCAUAUUGAACCUAGAACUCUUAAAUAAAAACUUAAACAACCUCAUUAGGUGGUUGGUAUGGAGGACGAAAUAAACAACUAGAGGUUAAAAAUGUCUUCUUAAUUGACCAUCUCAAGGAAAUGACCCUAAUUUUCCUUCACACGUUUAUCUUCUUAAAUGUUCCCUAAAUGGACUAAAGCAAGCCUCUUAAGUUUUGUUUAAGCGUUUAUCACAAGCUCUUAUUCAACUUGGUUUCUUUAAUACCAACACUGACUCAUCAUUAUUUAUUUUGCAUACAAGUUCUCUAAUUGUUUUAAUCUUAGUUUAUGCUGAUGAUGUUAUUGUAACAAGUAGCAACCCUUGCUAUAUGAUCCAAUAGAUUAUCACUAGUUUCAACUCUAGAUUUGCUUUAAAGACCUUGGCUACCUAAAAUAUUUCUUGGAAAUUGAAGUCAAAUAUUUUCAAGUUGGUUUCUUAUGGACUUGCAUUUUUCACAAGCAUUCCUACUCAAUGGCGAGACUUGUUUUUUUAGUGAAAAACUAAUUUUGAAAAAGUUAGUCACCCUUUAUUUUUGUUUAUUUUUUCAAAGGAAAAUAAAAUAUAAAAUAAAACUCUAAAAAUGACUCUUUAUUUGGAAAAAUAUGUAUUUGAAAACCAAAUCCAAAUCCUGGGGUCAAGUUACAUAUCGAGAAGGUAUCAUACGGUACCACUACCCUAAGCCCUAAAUAAAUGUCUCUACUAAUUAAAUUGAGGUAACUAUAAUUGAUUUGUAAAUCAAUGGAUGCUAAGAAUCACGAAAUAUAUAACAAAGUAAUAAUGAAAGCAUAAUUAAAGAUCACUCAAACAAGCCAUGCACACUCAAAGAAGCACUUAAAGAAGGAAAGAAAGGAACGUACCUCAUAACAUGCUAAGUGUUCUUAUAAAAUAACAUAAUGUUAACAAAUAAAGCAUAUCAAGGAAGCAUUCAAAACAAUACAUGCAUACCCAAAGAAUCAAACAAAGGAAAAAGAGAGGAAGUGUACUUUGAUAGCUAGCAAAGCACUUUCAUAAAAUCACUGAGGUUUAGUUCAUAAGUAAUAAAAAAUAUAGAUAUAAAAUCAUAGGUAAGACUUCACAAUAGAUACAACAUAUUCAUAUCUCAAAUCAUGAAAUAAAGAGAUGAUAAGGUAUGAACAAGAUGAAACAAAAUACAAUAAACAUGCUUAAAAAUUAAGAAUUGGCUAACAAGUAUUCACUCACAAAAAUUAAUCUAAAUAAAAUAUCAAAUAAGGAAUUCCAAUCCAAAGAAAGGUUCAAAUAAUGUGCAUAAUAUGUUAACAAUGUAAAUCAAUAAUCAAAGGAGCUCAAAAGCAUGCAUAAAGGGGAUCGAAUUAUAAAAAAACAUAUAGGCUAUCAUCAACAGGGCAGAACAAGGGUAUUUACAAAAUAAAUCUUAAAUAAAAAACCUAAAAUUGUUAUUUUAUCAAAAUAAAAAAUGGAGAACAUCUUCAAUAUGUAUCUAGAUCAUAAUAAAAAAUUCCAAAUUAUUUAAUUAUAUGUUAUUCAAUACCAAAUUAAAUCAAACUAAGGACACUACAUAGAACAUUCAACAUAUGAUCAAAACAGAGAUUUUUUUGAAAUAUAUCCUAAAAAAAAUCAAGAAAUGGAAUUUCAUCACAAAAAAAAUAAAAUAAAAUGGACAAUAUCUCCUAUUUCUUCUAUAUUAAAACCCAAAAGAUCAAAUUGUUUAAUCAUGUGCCAUUCAAUACCACAUUUCAUCACAAUUCAUUUUAGUAAAAAAACAGGACAAAUAUCAAAGCAUACAAGAAUUAAUUUAUUUGGCGAAUUUAGAAGUGUGGUAAAAUCACACAAAAAGUUAUACAAUUUCUUCAAUAUGAUUACAUUACAUGAAAAAUAACAGCAAGAUUAAAUCAUAUAAGAACUUAGUGAAAUUCAACCAAACAGUCCUUAACUAUAGAACAGAGCUAGUUUAGUGGGUGUAGAAAUGAAAAAUUAUUUCUCCUACUUGGGAGGUCAAUUUUGAGUGUCACAAGGAUCCAAAUUAUAAUUUAUGAAGUCUAGAUUAAGGAAAAAAACAUCAAAACAAAUUAAUGAAAUCACCAAAUAAUUUAAUUUUACAAAACUAUUUUGGGUGUCCUAUUUUGUACUGAAAUUGGACCUACUGGAAGAGUAAUUUAAAUGCCUUGCUUGGAGAAACGUUUCAAGCUCAAAAAAUAAAAAAAUAAAAAGAUAAAUAUUUCACAUAUUUAAGAAGUUUAGAACAAUAACCAAGCAUUGGAAACUUCAAAGGUGUAGUAGACUAACAACAAUGGCAAUAGAGAACCAAUUUUUGGAAAACUUUGAAUGUAGGGAUUCACUAGGUCCCUUUUUAAUUUUUAUGAAUUUAUCUAUGCUUCCUUAACCUCAUGCAAGCAUGAAUAAGCUUACUAAGGCUAGGAAUGACUCCAUUGAUUGGAGCUUUGAUUUUAAUUCAUGUAUGAGAAAAAUAAAAAAUAAAUGAAAACCUUUUCAAAUAUGCAUACCAAAUGAACAAGGUAGCAUUAUUUUUAAAAAUAUACUUCUCUUCACCCAAUUGAUCUAAGAUAACCUUUGAGGAUACACUUUAUUUUAGAAACAAUUUAAAAUACUUUCAAAAUCAUUAAAACACUUAAAAUCAUAAAUCACUAAAAAGGCACCUAAAGACAAUUGUGUGUAUCAAAAAAUGAGUAUUCAAAGUGAAGUGAAUAGGGAACUAUUUGUGCAUCUUAAAAAUGACUUAAAAAAAUGACCUUAAAGUGUGUCAAAAUUAAGCCUCUAAAGUGUCCUAAACAAGCAUAUAAAAUUCACUUAAAAGUGAAAUGAAAAAGUGAUACCAAAAAUAGAGAUACAUAGUGAAAUCAACUAAUGACUUGUGUGAGUGAUUUGUGAUGAAAGAUUAUAAAGGUCAACUAACCUAAAAAUAAAAACUAAGAGACAUGAAUCAAUGCAAAAACAGUAACAUUCAAAAACAGUAACGAAAAUGAGAAGAAAUAGGAAGAGAAAAAGAAGAUAUAGAAGAAAUCAAAACUAAAAUUAAAAUUCAGUAACUUACCUCAAACUUUCCCUUCAAAAUUCGGUGGUGUCCUCUUCACUUUUCACAAAUUUGAUCUAUGCAGCUGCAUGUGUUCUCAAUGGCUGAUGUGUGCCUUCUUCUCCAACAUUCUGCUACUAUAUCUCUUAAGGAUCAACGUUGUUGCAUGUUUUCUUGCUCCUUCACCGGAUGCUGCUACAUGUCAUGCUUUCAUCUUCCCUUAAAAAAUUCUACCGUAACUUUCACUUAAAGACAUGCAGUAAUAGCUCCAUAAUCAACCCACUCUAAUCAUCAACUGUGUACAGCCAGCUCAAGUAAAACAUGAAUAGCGUUUUUCCCUCUCUAUUUUCAUUUUAAAAAAUUAUUCCUUCUCUAGAAACUUCCCUCAAAUUAUGGCAUGCACUCAAAAAAACAAGAUAAAAAAUCACAUGCAAUCAAUCGAAAAAAAUUAAUCAUGUACUAAAAUAUUAAAAAUCAAUCAUGCAAUCACAAAUCAAAAAUCAAUUAUGGGCUUAAAAUUAAAGUCACAUGCAAUCACAAUCAAUAAUCAAAGAUGAACUUAAAAUUAAAAUCAAGCAUACAUUCCAAAUCAAGAUUCAAAUGUGAACUCAAAAUUAAAAUCACUCAUACACUAAAAAUUAAUCAUGCAAUAAAAUCAAUCACAUGCACUCAAAAUAUAAAAAAUCAUUCAUGCACUUAUAAUAUCACAAAUCAAUCAUGCACUCAAAAUAUCAAAAAUCAAUCACACACUAAAAAUCAAAUAACAAAUCAAAGUUCAUCUAACUUAAAAACUUGCAAUAAAAGUCAAAAUCAAACCUAAUGCACUAAAAAAACUUAAACUAAACAAUAGAAGGAUGCAUUAGAAAACAAACUCCUAAUCUAGAAUUAGAGCAACUAAAAAAAUCACACUUCGUAUCCAUAUAAUACUCCAAGAUAUAUCUCCAAAAGAGGUCCAAAAAUGGUCAUUAGGUGGGUAACAGUGACCACCAAUUGAUUACUACUCAAAAAGUACUCUUUUAUAGCUUGAAACUAACUGUUUUAAACACUUUUGAGUAGUAGUUAAUACAUUUUAACUCAAUUGGCACAUUAAGGAACCUAGCAAGGGUUACUAAUCAGUUUUUGGCUAGUUUUCGUGUUUUUGGUAGCUAUUUGAUUAUUGAAACAAGCCAAGAAUGAGGGAGAAUUUUGUGAAAUCCAUGGCAAUGCAAGUUGAAGCUCAAAUACAUGAAGAAUCCGAGCUUUGGAGCACUUCAUAGCUCUUUUCCAAACUUGGCAAUAGGUUGCCAAGCCAAUCAGAGAUGCAAAGAAGAAAACCAGAGGAAAAAAUCCAACCACCAGCAUUUUUCGCAUGGCUAUGCAAAAAUUUCGCAUAACAUGCGAAAUCAAGAAGAGGAGUAGCUGCAGGACUAAGAGCAGACUGAGUGAAAGACAAUUUCGCACACUGUGUGAAAUUUCGCACACCAUGCGAAACCACAGAAGCAGCCAAAGAUUUCGCACACCAUGCGAAAUUUCAUGUGCACCUACUCAAUAGAUUUUAUCACUUANNNNNNNNNNNNNNNNNNNNNNNNNNNNNNNNNNNNNNNNNNNNNNNNNNNNNNNNNNNNNNNNNNNNNNNNNNNNNNNNNNNNNNNNNNNNNNNNNNNNUCAAUAUUUAGUUUUAGUUUUUUUAGGAGUUUGGGUUAAUUAAUUUAGUCAAUCACAUGUUAUUAUUUUUAUAUUUGGAGUAUGACAUAUUUUGGUAUUGAUAUAUUAAUAUUUAGUUUGAGUUUUCAGGAAUUUUAGAUAAUCAAUCUAGUUAAUUGCAUGUUAUUGUUUCAUAUUUUUUAAGAUUGCUAAACUUUGGUUUUUGAUUUAUCAUAUUUUGUUAGAAUGUUAAUUUACUUUAAUUAAUCCCACAUUAUUAUCUCCAUAUGCUAAGUUUGUUGACUUUAAUCUUUGAUUGGUUUUUUAUUUUAGUUAAUGCGUUUCCUGAAAUCUAGAUGUUGGUCUUGGAUGAUAUUUUGUUAGUUUGUUUAAUUUGGAAGUCAUUAGUUUGAUGCCUUAGUGAUUGUUGGUCAAAUCCAUUUUUUUUUUUAAAAAAAAAAAGCCAUUGGAAAUCCAUGAAGGUUGGCCCUACUCUCACCAGUUUAAUUAGCAUGAUUGUCUAAAUCUUUAUUUUGUGAUUUUCGUUUUCUUUUGUUUUGGUUGAUAUUUUGUUUUCUAUGUUUUUUUAUUUUAAAAAUUAAUUUCUUUUAUUUCAAAACAAAACAAUUUUUCUCAAAAGAUCCCUUUAAAAAUUAAAUUCAUUUAGUGUCUUUAGAAUCAUUUUAAAAAAAUAAAAUAAAAUAAUAUGCAACCAUAUCUUGAUCGAUUCGCAUCCUUCUUAGUUUUCAAUAAAAAUUUUGGUUUUGAACAAAACACGAAACAAAGCUUGUGGUCCUAAAUAAAUGAGGUAAUUCUAGGCUAAAUUUGUGUAUAUCGAUUGGGGAAUUAGUGAAACCCCUACAUAAGAAAAUCUUUUUAAAACUUAUUUUUACUACCAUCUUUGCUACUUAUUGAAAUCAUGUUUAUCUAUUUUUUGAGAAUUGUAUACAAGAUGUGUGUGAUAAUUGGUGAUUUAGUAUACUUCGAUCUUUUUUUGUUAUGUUAAUUAGAUAACAAGCAUGUUAGGGUUUCUUCUUUUAUUAUUUAUUAUCUAACCCCUCAUGUCCUGAGGAAGCGUAUAAUGAGUUAUCUAUGCUAUUUAGGUAUGCUCUCUAUCACCCACUUUCUGAAUUCUGUAAAUAUGACUGUCAGUAUGAACUAUGCCUAUGUUUGAUAGUGCUUGGGUGUUUGGAUAUUUGUUACAUUGUUCGAUCAUUUAUGAUGAAACGCAUGCUUGGUGAUAUGAUAUUUAAACUAACCAGUGAUGUUAUAUAAUAGUGCUUAAGAAGUGGUCCAAGUACGCACCCUAAAUAUUCUAAAUGAUUGUGAUUGGUUUUCUUGUUCGGCAUGCCAUUCUUUUGAAAUCACCUAGCCUACUUAGGUAUCUAUAAUUAACCAAUUAAUUGCCACAUUUCCCUUAACUUAGCCAGUAGAGACCUUUAUAGGGGUUAGAGGGGUGCUACCUCCUAGAGGUACCUUCCCAAUAAGUAACGUGAUCCUUGGACCUAGACUCGGGUUUUUCAAAGACAUGUUUUUCCAAAACUAUGGAGUCACUUUUUUUAGGGUUUUCUUUCUUAUUUUAUUUUCCCUUUAAAAUAAGAAUAAAAUAAGUGGCGACUCCGACUAUUCCAAAAUAAAUAAAUUUUUUCAUAAAUAAAAAGCGAGUCUCGCCAAUCGAGUGGGGACGGGCAUGAAAAAUGCGGGUCCACAGGUGCGACACAACGUUGGUUCGCUUCAUUGGAUGUAUCACGCUGUAGGACUUGGGAUGAUCUGACCCAAAAUUUUUUGAGACAGUUUGCAUUUAACACUAUCAUUGAUGUUUCUAGGAGAGAGUUAGAGGCUUUGAGACAGAGGCUAGAGGAUUCAGUCACUUCAUUUAUCUCCCGUUGGAGGGAGAAGAUUUCAUAGAUUAUUGAUCAUCCUUCAGAGAAGGAUAGAUUAGUAUGAUUUUGAGGAGCUUACAACCUAGAUUUGUUAGACACUUGAUGGGAUUUCCCCAUAUAGAUUUCAGAUCUUUGGUACAGGCUUUGUAUGGUAUAGAGGAGGGCAUUGCUAAAGGAUUGUGGCCCGAGUCUUCCCCUACUGACUCUAAGGAGAAGAAGCCUUUAUCAAUUUUCUUGCAUAUUCGAUAAUGAAGGCCACUUUGAUUGUUGUUAAUUGGAUUUUUGAUGAUAUAUUAAUGACAAGUUGAUGAAUGGUUAAUUGAUCUCAUGUUAAUUGAUGUCUAUUAGAAUUGAGAUUAGAGUUAUUUUCUUUGAAAUUAUUUUUACUUGAUUGAGGCAUUUUGAUAACAUAUAAUAGUGGCUAAGAGAUCCUUUAUUUGAUUUUUAUUGCCUUUGGUUUUAUUUUUCGUUAUUCGUUUUAUUUUUUAUUUUUUUUUUGUGAUGUUUGGAUUGUUCACCUUGCUGUCAUUUUGUUAGAAUUAUUGAACCUCUAUAAUUAAAAAAUUGGAUCAGGUUGUUUCAUGUCUCUCUAAAAUUUUUCUUAUGAUUGCAUGAUGUUGUAGACUUCCUAGAUAUAUUGAUAGAAUUUUGUUUGAGUGUAAAAUCAUUUUUUAAUUAAGAGAUAUAAACCAAUAUUUCAAUAGGUCCGUUUUUUCACUCUAUUUUGAACACUAGAAAUUGUUUUGUAAAAUUAAAUUAUUUCAUGAUCUCUUUAAUUUGUUUUGAUAUUUUUCCAUUAAUAUAAAUUUUGAAAUUUAAUUUUAGGGCCUUGAUUUGUUGAAAAUUAAUUCUCCAAGUAUAACAAAAACAUUCUUUUUCCUACACCUACUGCACUAACCCAUUUUGUAGUCAAGGAAAGUUUGGCAUAAUUUAAAAAUUAACAUUUUAUGAUUAAGUCAUGUUGUUAUUUUUUAUGUAAGUUAGAUAUAUUGAAGGUAUUGUACAAUUUUUUUUCAUGAUUUUAUUAUGCAUAUAGAUAGGUUAAUUAAAUUAGUCUUUUCAUGCUAUAGGAUUGUUGCUCCGUUUUUUAUCAAUAUAUUUGUGAUUAAAUCAAGUAUUAAACGAGAAACGAUUGGAUGAUUUAGCCUUUUGGGUUGUAAUCUAGACAUAUAAGAGAUAUUGUCCAAGUUCUUUUAUGGUGAACUUCCAUAUCUAGAUUUUUUUUAGGAUAUAUUUUGAAAGUGUCUUUAAUCUAAAUGCAUGUCGAUUAUUCUGUAGAGUGUCCUUGGUGUGAAUUAAUCUGGUAUUGAUCGACACGUGAUUAAAUGUUUUGGGAUUUUGUAUUGUAAUCUAGACACAUUCAAGAUGUUAUCCAUUUUUUUUUUCAUUAUGCAAUAACACCUCUGGGUAUUUACUUAUGAUUUAUUUUGAGAAUGUCUAUUUUCUAACCCAAUGUUGAGUAUUUUUCAUGAUUUGUUAUUUUCACCACUUUUUGCACAUUUUUAAAUCUUUUGGACCAUUGUUAUAUAUUUUAGACAUAUUGUAUAUGAUAAGUGAAUUUUGUUUUGCACCAUAAACCCUUAUUGAACAUUUUAACUAAACUCAUUUUAAAAUUGUAUGCAUACUAAAAGUGUAUUGAAUUUACAUGACAAUUGUUACUUGGUUUUUUUUUUUUUUUUUUAUUCCUUUAUUAGAGUAGUGGAUGCAUUAUGUAUGAUGAUAGAUUUUUAUUAAGAUUUUUCAUGUCUAUUUUUUAUUGCUUGUGAACUAACCCUCGUUGAUUUUAUGAAAGCACUAUACAUGUUAUUAAGGUAUGUUCCUCUCCUUCCUUUGUUUGAUUUUUUUAAUACAUGGUUCAUUUGAGUGAUGCAAAUUAUGAUUUCACCAUUGUCUUGAUUGUAUAUUACUUAUUUAUUUGGUAUACGCUAAUUUACAAAUCAAUUGUCAUAGUUGUCUCAACUCAUUAGCAAAGACCUUUAUUUAGGCCUUAGAAGGGUGCUAUUGUAUAAUACAUUCCCAAUAGGUAACUUGACUCUUGAACAUAGACUCGGGUAUUCAAAGACACGUUUUUUCAAAUAAAGAGUCAAUCUUAGGGUUUUAUUUCUUUUUUUGUUUUUCAUUUUUUUAAAAAUAAAAUAAGUGAUGACUCCACUUUUUUAAAAUAUCAGUUUUUCACUAAAAAAACGAGUCAUCAUCGAGUGAGGAUGCACGUAAAAAAUGUAAGUCAGCAACAAGGCUAUUCCAAUGGAUCUUUCCUUUACCAGAAUAUUCAUUCAAGGAGCUAAUGGCUAGAUUAUUUUCACAUAAUCAUUCAGUUGUUGUUUCCCUUAUAAAAUAGGAGAAGAUUUAUUCUUUCCAUUUGUAUCAACGUGACUCAAUUGAUUAGCUAAACUUAAGCAGAAGUAGUUGGCUUGUCUUUCAUUUUCUACCCAUUUUUGUAUAUAUAUUCUGCACAAAGAUGUUAAUUUAAUAAGGGUAUGCUAUUGUUUUAUUCUCUUGCACAAACUAUUCUUCAAAGUACUUAACUGUAUUAUAGAUAACCUUUCAUUUACUUGACAUUACUCAAAGGCCUUGAUGUUACUCAACAUUAUCUAAGCUUUUCUCCUAUAGAUUAGCGUUCAAAAAAUUGGCCGAGUCGUAUUUGCCUCGACGUCAACUGCGAUGAGUCUGAUACCAUAUGCAGAUUUAUACCUAGACUCGUCCUUGAAUCGGUUGGACUUGGAUGACUCAGCUGAUAUUCUGAGUUAACUUGGCCGACUUGACAAAAAAAACCCAAUUAAGAGAUUUCCUCUCCUUUCCCAUGACAACAAGAAUUAAAUUUUUUAGAGAAAUAAGAGAUUCCUCUACAAAAGAAAACACUCGUGAAUCUAUGAUUCACGAACCCAAUUUUUCAACCACGACAUCAAAUGAGAAGAAGAAAAAAAACAAGUUUGAAACAAGCCCGUGACCCUUUCAAAAGCCUUUAAAAAGAGAAAUCUUUGAUUUGGUAAGUCGUCGGUGCUGCAACGAUGAUUAGCGUUAUAGGUCAUGGUGUUCAUGGUGUUACUCAACAUUAUCUAAGCUUUUCUCCUAUAGAUUAGCGUUCAAAAAAUUGGCUGAGUCGUAUUUGCCUCGACGUCAACUGCGAUGAGUCUGAUACCAUAUGCAGAUUUAUACCUAGACUCGUCCUUGAAUCGGUUGGACUUGGAUGACUCAGCUGAUAUUCUGAGUUAACUCGGCCGACUUGACAAAAAAAACCCAAUUAAGAGAUUUCCUCUCCUUUCCCAUGACAACAAGAAUUAAAUUUUUUAGAGAAAUAAGAGAUUCCUCUACAAAAGAAAACACUCGUGAAUCUAUGAUUCACGAACCCAAUUUUUCAACCACGACAUCAAAUGAGAAGAAGAAAAAAAACAAGUUUGAAACAAGCCCGUGACCCUUUCAAAAGCCUUUAAAAAGAGAAAUCUUUGAUUUGGUAAGCCGUCGGUGCUGCAACGAUGACUGGACCCCAGCAAGGCAACCCUUGUCUCUCCAAUUGUGAUUGUGUGGUACUAGUCAGUGUGUUGGACAAGGUCCGACAAUCUGCAAAACGUGGUGUAUUGGGUCCUUGGGGAAGACAAGCCAACAAAUAAAGGUAAAAUUUGAUUUACCUUAUUUAAAUCAACACACCCACAUUGCCAUAGUCACACCAUAUUGAGAUUAUAUUUUUAAUUUAUUGAAUCAAAUCAUAUAAAUUGGUAAAUUAUAUUUUACUAGUUAAUUUGAUUCAUAAUUUGAGAUUAAAAUAAAAAAAUUACAUAAUUUGAAUCAAUUAAAAAUAUAUUUAAAAUUUGGUUUACCUUAUUAUGUUGAGAUUAUAUUUUUAAUUUAUUAAAUUAUGUAAUUUUUUAUUUUAUAAUAUUAAAUUGAUUUACAUGUAUUUAAAUUGGUAAAAUUAGGAAAUUCAUGUAUACAGUGUAAAGUAAUAUUUAGAUGUAAUGUUAUGAAAUUGAAGAAUUGGAAAGUAAUGUUUAUAUGAAAUUGGAGAAUUCAUAAUGAUAAUAUUAUGAUGAUAUUAAAUAUAUUAAUAUGUAAUGUUUUUAUUUUAUAUAGAGAUUAUAUUUUUUUUUUAUUAAAUUAUGUGAUUUUUUUUAUCUUAUAAUAUUAAAUUGGUUCACUAAAUUAUUUUUGUAUGGUAUAGAAAUUAUAUUUCUUAAUAUAAAAUAAUUUAUAUGGUAAACUUUAUAUGGUAUAGUUAUUGUAUUUUUCAUUUAUGUUUUUAUCUUAUAAUAUUGCAAAAUUAAAUUAUAUUAGAAAAUUAAUAAUUAUUUAAAACAAUUUUUUUUUCAAAUAAUCAUAACUAUAAAAGUAAUGAUUUAAUAAUACGGAUUGAAGGGCAUGCAUUUACAUCGUAUAGAGAAAUUAAAUUUAUAUUUGAAUCAAUUUUACUUCAUUAUAUCAUGUAGAUUUUUUAUUUUAUAAUAUUCUACAAUUAAAUUACAAUAGGAAAUCAAUAAUUAUCAAAACAAUAAAUUGGUUCACUAAAUUAUUUUUCUAUGGUAUAGAAAUUAUAUUUCUAAAUAUAAAAUACAUUAAUAUGCUAAGCUUUAUAUGGUAUAGAUAUUGUAUUUUUAAUUUUUGUUUUUAUCUUAUAAUAUUACAAAAUUAAAUUACAUUAGAAAAUUAAUAAUUAUUUAAAACAAUUUUUUUUUCUUUCAAAUAAUCAUAACUAUAAAAGUAAUGAUUUAAUAAUAUGAAUUGAAGGGCAUGCAUUUACAUGGUAUAGAGAAAUUACAUUUAUAUUUGAAUCAAGUUUACUUCAUUAUAUCAUGUAGAUUUUUUUAUUUUAUAAUAUUCUACAAUUAAAUUACAAUAGGAAAUCAAUAAUUAUCAAAACAAUAAAUUGGUUCACUAAAUUAUUUUUGUAUGGUAUAGAAAUUAUAUUUCUUAAUAUAAAAUACAUUUAUAUGGUAAACUUUAUAUGGUAUAGAUAUUUUAUUUUUAAAUUAUAUUUUUAUCUUAUAAUAUUGAAAAAUUAAAUUACAUUAGAAAAUUAAUAAUUAUUUAAAGCAUUUUUUUUCAAAUAAUCAUAACUAUUAAAAUAAUGAUUUAAUAACACAAAUUGAAGGGUAUGCAUUUACAUAGUAUAGAGAAAUUAUAUUUAUAUUUGAAUUUACUUCAUUAUAUCAUGUAGAUUUUUUAUUUUAUAAUAUUCUACAAUUAAAUUACAAUAGGAAAUCAAUAAUUUUCAAAACAAAUAUUUUAAAAGAAUUUUUUUUUAUAAAAAUAUUCAUUUAUUUAACUAUUAUUUAUUUUAAUUAAAAAAACAUACAAAUAAGUGGAAAAUAAAAUAUGGUGAACUUAGGUGAGAUUGUGUUUAUUACUUUUUUAGUAGAAUUUAUUGUUAUAUGGUAACAAUAUGAAACAUAUAAAUGAGUGGAAAAUUGAAUAUUAAAAUUCUUAUAUAUAUGUGUUUAUAUAUAUUUAAUUUGAAAAGUAAGUUGUUUUCCUUUUAUACAUGGUUAGGUUAAAAUUUCAAAAUGACUUCAAAAACAUGAUAUUGGUUGGGAGCAUGCAGAACCUAUUGGUGGUAGUAGAACUACGAAGUGUAAAUAUUGUGGGAAAGUUAUACAUGGUGGUAUAACAAGAUUAAAACAACACAUCACACAUAUAUCCGGACAAGUGGAAGAAUGUCCACGUGUACCGGUAGAAGUGUCACAGUGCUAGACAAAUAUGUAUGAUACUUCAAAAGAAAAAACAAAGUUAGAGAAAAAAAAAAGAAUGAAUUUUGAGUUCCUUAAAUAAAGAAAAUUUCUAUGAAAUUGAUUAGAGUGAUUUUGAUGAUGAAAUUGAGGAAGUUGCUAUGGCUGAUUUUGAAAGAAGACAAAUGAAACAAGCGAUGAAAGAAAGUUGUCGAAUUUUUUAAGAAGGUAGACAAGAACAACAGAAGGGUGCUAGUUCCUCACAACCUUUUGGUGCUAGGAUUAAGCACGGACUGACACACAGCUUCAGUGUAAGAGAAUGAGCUAGCAUACCUCCAAAAGGAAUUUAUCCCUACAUGUUCCCAUCAAAGCAGAAAUCAAUAAAAAAACUUGUUUUCUACCGAAGACAUGAGGAAAGUGGGUAAAGCUAUUUCUAAAUUCUUUCUUUUUAAUGCAAUUGACAAUGGGCCUUACUAUCAAUCAAUGAUUGAUACCAUAGUAGAAGCAAGUCCAAGCAUCAAGGGUCCCACGGGAUACCAAAUUGGAAAUACUUAUUUGGAAGAGGAGGUGCAAGAGCUUGAGGUAUAUAUAACAACAUUGAAGGCUAAAUGGCCUAUAUAUGGGUGCACAAUCCUCUGUGAUGGUUGUAGUUCUAAGACUAGAAAGCCUAUCAUCAAUUUCAUGAUUUGUUAUGAUAGAAGUAUGAUAUACCAUUCUUCAGUUGACACUACCAACAUACCUAAGACAACAAACUGCAUCUUUUCCCUUAUGGAUAAAGUUGUAAAGGAGCUUGGGGAGGAAAAUGUUGUUCAAGUAGUCACUGAUAAUGAGGCAAGUUUUAAAGCAGUCGGUAUGUUGUUGAUGGAGAAGCAGAAACAUUUGUUUUGGUCUCCUUGUGCAGCCCACUAUAUUGAUUUAAUGCUUGAAGAUAUUGCAAGCAUGAAGCAGACUAAGGAGACAUUAGAUCAAGCAAAGAUGAUCAUAGAAUUUAUUUAUAAUAACUUGAAAGUAGUGAAUUUGAUGAAAGUGUUCACCAAGGAUACAAAUCUGUUAAGGCCAGGAAUAACCCAUUUUGCCACUAAAUUCAUUUCACUUGAGAGUCUUAUACGUUAUGAGGCUGAUUUGAAGAGAAUGUCCACAAUAAAUGAGUGACGUGAAUUCAAUAAAGAUAGGAGCAGAAAAAGUCUAAGAGAUAAGGUAUCCAACCUAAUCUUAACUGAUCGAUUUUGAAAUAAGGCAAAGGAAGUUCAAACCAUCAUGGAACCUCUCGUCAAAGUAUUGAAAUUGGUUGAUCAAGAUAAAAAGCCCACACUAUCAAUCAUUUAUGAAGCAAUGGAUAAAGCUAAAUUGGCUAUCAAGGCAUUGGUCAAGCAAUGGGAAAAUUUUUGGGAAGUUAUUGAUAGAAGGUGAGAAGGUCAAUUGCACAGACAUUUGCAUGUUGCAGGUAAUAAAAAAAUUCUUUAUAUAUUUUUUAUUAUUUUUUUCAAGUACAAAUUAUUAUAAAUUGAUCAUUAUUUAACUUAUGGUAGCAUAUUUUUUAAAUCCAAUGUUCCAAUAUUCAAAGUAUUUCUCCAACCAUCUAGAAAUUAAAAUUGGAUUAAAGGAGGUUAUUAAGAGAUUAGAGCCAAAUUUGGAUAGACAAGCAAAAGCUAUUAACGAAGUAUAAUAAUAGUUUGUGACCUUUAUAUAAUACAUUUUGUAUAUGUAAUGUGCAUUAAUAAAAAAAAUAUGUUAAUGAUGUAGGUGAAAUUAUUUGUUGACGACCAAGGAGAAUUUGGAAGUGCACUUACAAGGAAAGCAAUAAAUCAAUCUCUUCCAGGUACUUAAUACAUUUAUGUCUAUUACAAAUAAGAAAUUAUCAUCAUUUUUUGUUAAAUAUAUCAUAGAUCAAAUUAUCACCGUAUUGAUGAGCACUUAUAGAAUUUGGGUAUAGGAUCAAGGUCAUAUUUUAGAGGAGCAGAUGAUAGAUCAUAUCACAACUUUAGAGACCGUGAUAGCUCUUCCAGUACUUUUAGUAGAAAUGAUUUUGAUUAAUUUUCAAUGAUGCAUCCAGAGGGAUAUUCAAAUACUGGAACAUGAGCUGGUGAUUCCUAUGGAUAUGAUCAAUCUUCUAGUAGCAGUAGAUUGCUUAUCGAGGUUUUAGAUACUAUCAAUAUGGUGUUGAUCCCGAACAACCUUCGAAACCAUAUUUUCUUGAUUAUGGAUCAUCAAGCCAAUAAUCUAAGCCAACAUAUUUAAGUUAUGAACAACUCUUUCAACCAUAUCCUCACUAUGGGAAUUACCAUCCUAAUUUGUAUACUUGUUGAAGGACUGAUGAUGACGAUUUUGAACCCCCUCAUCAUUCAACAUGGAAUUGAUUAUUGUAUUUUAUGUUUGUUAGUAAAAAUGUUAUUAUAUUUGAAAUAAAAUAAUUUUCUUUUAUUAGCAUUAUCAUAAAUAACUUUGAGCGGAUACUUUUAUAACUAUUUAAAUAAUGUUAAAUGUGAGACAAUUUUAUUUUCUUAAUUUUUUGAGCUUAUUUAAUUGUAUAUAUUUUUCUGAUGAUUUACAUAAUAUUUUAUAAUUUUUUCAAUUUUCGAAUUAGCUUAUCUUAUGUAUUGUCUGAUACCAAGGCGAUACACCGAGACUCACACGCCUCGGGACCCUCCGAGUCAGUGACCGAUACCUCAACUUUGAACCAUGCUACAGGUGCUUUGACGGCAUGGUAAUGCAACCAACCUUAAGGUAGUGGCACCCACUUACAUACUGUGCAAGAGCCCACAAUGGAAAAAUAUUCCUAUAAGCCGCAUAGUGUAACAUGCAGUUCUUCAUGAAGGCUCCAGUGAUUUCCUGCCAUAGAUAAUUGAUGAUUAAAUGGUUAGACUACCACCCAGUAUAUAUAAUCAACUAUGUUGCUCUUUUGUUCCGUCCACUUCAACUCCUUUUUUUUUUACACUCAUUGGACUGCACUCCCCUUUCAGGUUCAUGAAUGGUAGUUGCGGGUUACUCCUCAUGAGGAAGUGAUCCACCAAAACGAUGACCAACAACAUGUUUUCUUUCUGAUUUCUCAUCAACACAUUCUCCAUUCUGUUCAGAGACAAAUGAACUCAUGUUUGUUCCUUGUUUCCCAUACACUUUUAUCAUUAUAGACUGGAAAACUACAUUCCUUCUCAUUGGCAUUUCUUCAAACAUCUUCCAUGCUCCUCGACCUCCCCUUAGUGUACAUACUCUGAAAUGACAAAUUCUGAGAAACCUCAUCUCUAAUCCCCACAUCAACCCACAAAUUUACAUUACUGUAACCAAGCUUAGUAAGUGCAUAAGCAGCCGACAAGCCACUUGGACAAUCUUCUUUGGAUCCCAUAUUAUGAUAACAGUUUCUACAGCAAUGGCCAGACCAAAAGCAUCAGCAGAAAACGUGGCAGCUAUCAAUGCCCAAACCUUGGAGUCACCCCCAUAUGAAGAGUUGACGACCAUAUGACGGGUAGGAGCAAAAGCAAAAACAAGUGUAGUGGAGAAUAGAGAAAACAAGGAGAUAACAAAUAUGCAGGAUAGAAAUCAGAUAAAACCACAUUUCAUGAUCUUUCAAUGGGCUCAGGCUAGUGGGGAAGAUCACAAACAGAUUUGGGGCAAACAAGCAAGCAACCAAUAUCAACAAAACAAUUUGUGGCAUUUUUUGUCCACACCAAUCAACAGUAUAUUAAAUAUUCAAAAACGAACAUACAGAGAAAUCGAAUAAGGGUAAGAAUUCCAAGAGUAACAAGAAACAUACUUGGACAAACUCGGCUGCAAUUGCUCAUUUCUUGCUCCUUUGUGCUUUUCCCCCAAAAUCUCCCCAAAAAGAAAAAAAAACUUCGUGAAUCCUCUUUUUUCUUCUUCCCCUCUUUUUUUUUUCUCACUCGUUUGUUCCCUCACCUUUUUUUCCAAAAUCCUUAUUUUUUUGUAUUUGUAUCAACCUCUCAAAAACUCAAUCUGCUGAAGGAAUUCCACUUUCAUUUCUUUUAUUUCCCUUCAUUUUUGAAAAUUAGAAUGUUUCUCCUUUCUAUGUGGGAUCUCCUCUUUCCAUAUGUAUGCAACCAUAUUAAUCCUCUUUUCCCUCCAAAAAUAUUUUUCUUACCUUCUUUAAGUGCACGUGCUUAGUGAGAGUUGAUUAGCAACCCCCAAUUCUCUUGUCAAACAAUAAAAAAAGAAAAUAAAAAGAAUAAAACCAAAAAAAAGCUAGCAAUCUUGCAACAUAUAAAGGAAUAAAGUAAAAUAAAAUAAAUAAAUAAAGUAAAACAAAAUAACAAAAUAAAAUAAAAUAAAAUAGAAUGGUCAAUCCUAUGCGGGAUAUGCAAGUCAUGCGGCUAUGUGAAUCAUGCAAGUCAUAUAAAAAGUGAGUCUAAAAGUGCCUAAGGUGGUGCCUAAUGGGUCGGGGUAUGCCUAUACGGGCCUAGGGUGAGACUGGGCGGGCUUAACUAAGUCUAACCUAAAGUGCACCUAAGUGAAGUCUAAUCUAAACUUGAUGGGCAGCUAAGGUCAUAAUGUCGAGCUAGAUAAACCCUUCAACCAAAGUCCCCAAAGUGGCUAAAAAAAAAGGUAAGCAGUAUGAGUAGCAAUGGGCCACCAAGGAACUAUUGUGGAGCACUGGAAUUGAACUUAAGGACAUGUGCUAAAAGGACAAAAUGGAGGGUCUAAAAAUGUACCUAGGGUUCCAAAGUUUGUUCGAAGUAGGGAACGAUCUCCAAUCACUUCUCAAAGAUCCCUAAAGGAAUAAACAAACCAUGGGUAAUAAGAUAGAGGUUUUGUUAGCUCAAGGAUUGGAUGUACCAAAUUUUUUUAAUGAUGUGCCAAAUUUUGUAAAGAAUGUACCAAAGGGGCCAAAGUUUGUUUCGAAGAAGGGAACGACCUCUAAUCAUUUUCUAAGGUUGUUCAAUGAAAUAAAUGAACCAUGGGAAGGAAGUUAGGUGUCCCGUUAGCUCAAGAAUUGGAUGUAUCAAAUUUUCUUAAGAAUGUACCUAGGGUUCCAAAGUCUGUUUCAAAGUAGGGAACAACCUCCAAUCACUUUCCAAAGAUCCUUAAAGGAAUUAACGGACCAUGGGUAAUAAGAUAGGGGUCCCGGUAGCUCAAGGAUUAGAUGUACCAAAUUUUUGGUACAGAGAUUCAACCGGUACCAUUUUAUAAUGCAAAUUGAAAUUUAUGUGAAUGAAACAAAAUAUACUAGCUAGUUUCCUGUAAUGAGCUAAAUAAAAAAAGUAGUUAAAAAUAAAAAGAUAAUAUAAAAUAAAAUGAUAAUAUAGAUUUAAAAUAAAAAAAAUUAAAUAACAAUUAAAAAUUUUAAAAAUAAUAAAUAUUUUUUAAAAAAAAAAUCUUUCAAAAAAUAUAUGAUUUUAAAUCAACAAGGAAUUAUUUCCACUACUUAUUUCAUAUGAACGUCAAGGGCCAACCUUUCAAGCUAUCAGCAUGCCUCCAUUUGCCUUAUUGCCCAACCCAUACCUUAAAGCAAGUCAUCCUAAAUUCAUGCCUCUGACAGAGAGUUAUGUCUAUUUUUUUCCUACUGCACAUAGCUUAACAAAAAUAAAUUUUUCACCCACAUUCAUGCGUCUUCCAUGAAGGUUGUGCUCUUAGGUUGACUAGUGCACAAAGCCUACAAAUAUAAUGGUUUCAGUAAUAGGCAUGCUUCUAAAAUCAAGGGUGUGCCCCUGGUUUGCAUACUGCAUAUGGUACAUGCUUCAUUAAAUUUGAUACAUCUGAUCCUAUUGUUUCCAGGUCCCUCAUCUGAACAUGGAUGGUCCAUGAUUUCAUUUUGGAACCUAUAAGGAAGUGAUUGGGGGCCAAUCCCCACCUCGGAAUGCACUUUGGAACCUUUGGUACAUCCUUCACAAAAUUUGGUACAUCCUUCAUUAAAUUUAGUACAUCCGAUCCUAUUACUUCCGGGACCCCCAUCUGAACAUGGAUGGUCCAUGAUUUCAUUUUAGAACCCAUAAGGAAGUGGUUGGGGGCCCAUCCCUACCUCGGAAUGCAGUUUGGAACCCUUAGUACAUCUUUCACAAAAUUUGGUACAUCAUUCAUUAAAUUUGGUACAUCCGAUCCUAUUGCUUUCGGGUCCCCCAUCUGAACAUGGAUGGUCCAUGAUUUCAUUUUGGAACCCAUAAGGAAGUGAUUGGGGGUCGAUUCCCACCUCGAAACGCAGUUUGGAACCCUUGGUACAUCCUUCACAGAUUUUGGUACAUUUUUCACAAAAUUUGGUACAUUCUUCAUUAAAUUUGGUACAUUCCAAUCCUAUUGCUUCUGGGUCUCCCAUCUGAACAUGGAUAGUCCAUGAUUUCAUUUUGGAACCCAUAAAAAAGUAAUUGGGGGCCGAUCUCCACCUUAGAACGCAAUUUGGAACCCUUGGUACAUCAUUCACAAAAUUUGGUACAUCCUUCAUUAAAUUUGGUACAUCCGAUCCUAUUGCUUUCGGGUCCCCCAUCUGAACAUGGAUGGUCCAUGAUUUCAUUUUGAAACCCAUAAGGAAGUGAUUGGGGGUCGAUCCCCACCUCGGAACGCAGUUUGGAACCCUUGGUACAUCCUUCACAAAAUUUGGUACAUCCUUAAUUAAAUUUGGUACAUCCGAUCCUUUUGCUUCCAGGUCUUCCAUCUGAACAUGGAUAGUCCAUGAUUUCAUUUUAGAACCCAUAAGUGAUUGGAGAUCGAUCCCCACCUCCAUAUGCACUUUGAAACCCUUGGUACAUUCUUCAUUAAAUGCGGUACAUCUGAUCUUAUUGUUUUCGGAACCCCCAUCUGAAUAUGGAUGGUCCAUGAUUUCAUUUUGGAAUUCAUAAGGAAUUGAUUGGGAGUCAAUCCCCACCUCAGAACACACUUUGGAACGCUUGGUACAUCCUUCACAAAAUUUGGUACAUCCUUUAUUAAUUUGGUACAUUCGAUCCUAUUGUUUCCGGGUCCUCCAUCUGAACAUAGAUGGUCCAUGAUUUCAUUUUGGAACCCAUAAGGAAGUGAUUGGGGGUCGAUCCCCACCUCAGAACGCACUUUGGAACCCUUGGUACAUCCUUCACAAAAUUUGGUACAUCUAAUCGUAUUGCUUUUAGGACCCCCAUCUGAACAUGGAUGGUCCAUGAUUUCAUUUUGGAACCCUUGGUACAUCCUUAACAAAAUUUGAUACAUCCUUCAUUAAAUUUGGUACAUCCAAUCCUAUUGCUUCUAGGUUCCCCAUCUGAACAUGGAUGGUCCAUGAUAUCAUUUUGGAACCUAUAAGAAAGUGAUUGGGGGUCGAUUCCCACCUCAGAACGCAGUUUGGAACCCUUGGUACAUCUUUCACAAAAUUUGGUACAUCCGAUUCUAUUGUUUUCGGGACCCCCAUCUGAACAUGGAUGGUCCAUAAUUUCAUUUUGGAACUCAUAAGGAAGUGGUUGAGGGAUGAUCCCCACCUCAGAAUGCACUUUGGAAUGCGUGGUACGUUCUUCACAAAAUUUGGUACAUCCGAUCCUAUUGUUUCUAGGUCCCCCAUCUGAACAUGGAUGGUACAUGAUUUCAUUUUGGAACCCAUAAGGAAGUGAUUGGGAUCCGAUCCCCACCUCGGAAUGCACUUUGGAACCCUUGGUACAUUCUUCACAAAAUUUGGUACAUCCUUCAUAAUGUACCAAAUUUUGUGAAUGAUCUACCAAAUUUUGUGAAUGAUGUACCAAAUUUUGUAAAUGAUGUACCAAAUUUCGUAAAGGAUGUACCAAUGUUGCCAAAGUCUGUUAUGAGGUGUGGAACGACCUUCAAUAACUUCUCGAGGGUCUUCAAAUGAAGAAAUGGACUAUGGAAAUGGAGAUAAGUGUCUCGUUAGCUCAAGAAUUGGAUGUAUCAAAUUUUCUCAAUGGUGCACCUGGGGUUCCAAAGUCCAUUUCGGAGUAGGGAAUGAUCUCCAAUCACUUCCCAAAGAUCCCUAAAGGAAUAAACAGACCAUGGGUAAUAAGAUAGAGGUUUCAAUAGCUCAAGUAUGUACCAAAUAUUUUUAAGAAUGUACCAAAUUUUGUAAAAGAUGUACCGAGAGUGCCAAAGUUCGUUCUGAUGUGGGGAAUGACCUUCAAUCACUACCUAAGGGUCCUCAAAGGAUAAUAUGGACCAUGGGAAAAUAGAUAGGGGUCUCGAUAGCCCGAGGAUUGGAUGUACCAAAUUUCUUAACGAUGUACCAAAUUUCCUUAAGGAUGUACCUAGGGUUCCAUAGUUCGUUUCGAAGUAGGGAACGACCUCUAAUUACUUCCUAAAAAUCCCUAAAGAAAUAAACGAACUAUGAGUAAUAAUAUAGAGGUCCUAGUAGCUCAUGGAUUAUAUGUACAAAUUGUUUUAAGGAUGUGCCAAAUUUUAUGAAAUAUGUACCAAAUUUUGUAAAUGAUGUACCAAAUUGUCUUUAGGAUGUACCUUGGGUCCCAAUGUUUGUUUUAGGGUGGGGAAUAACCUCUAAUUCCUUCUCAAGGGUCCCCAAAUGAAUAUAUGAAUCAUGAAAAUGAAAAUAUGGGUCUUAGUUCCUCUAAGAAUGGAUAUACCUAGGAUCCCAAAGUUCUUUUUGGGGUGGGCAAAGACCUCCAAUUACUUAUCGAGGGUCCCAAAAAGAAUAUAUAUACCAUGAUAAGUAUGAUAGUAUUUCUAGUUCUCCUAAGCAUUAAUUUACUUUUUUUUUUUUAAGGAUGUACCUAUUUUUUAUGAAAUUAAUAUAAAAGGUUAAAUACAUUUUUUUAUGAAAAAUAUAUUUUCUUUUAUAUUUUAUUUUAAUUAAAAAUUAAAGAUUUUAACCAAAAAAAAGUUAGAUCCACAAUCAAUUUAAAAUCAUAAGAAAAAUGAUAAAAGCACCAUUACUUAUUGUGAUUUUGAUAUGAUAAAUUUAAAAUGAAAAUAAAAAGAAAAAUAAUGUAAAUAAUAAAAUAAUAUUGCAAUGAUAUUUUUACUAUUACAUGUGAUAGAAUUUACAAAAUAAAUGAAUCUGUUGUUUAGUAUUAAAAUAAAAAAUCUUAUAUCAUAAACUUCUAAAUAAUAACAUGGAAUUUUUAAAUUUAAACCUUAAUUUAUAAAAUGUAUUAUUAUAACUAAUACUUAAAAUCAUUAUUAUUUGUGGGAUAAUAUUUUCAUUUUUGUCCAUUAUAUAUUUUGUUUUUAUUUAAUUUAUUAUAUUAAUUAUUUAUUAUAUAAUAUCAUUUUAAGUUUAAUAUGUCAAAAAAUAAUAAUUAAAAUCAAUAAAUAUAGGCAAAUUAGAGAGUAAAAAUAAAUUAAAAUUAAAGAAGUUUUAUGAGAAAAUGCAUGAGCAUAUUAAAAAGAAUAUAAAGGAAAAAAAGAAAAAUAAUAAUAAAAACUAUAAUAGGUGACAAUGGAUUAUGGUGGCUGGAGAGGAAAAAAAAAAAGAAAAAAAAGAAAAAAGUGGAAAUGUGGCAAGUGGUCAGGGAGAUAUAUUGAUGUGAGAAAAAUAAUAAAAAUAAAUUACACAUGUACUUGUUAACAUGUGGUAUUAAAUUGGUGUGUACUUUAUUAUUUACUUUUGAAGGUAAUUGUGGAACAAAUUUGAAAGCUCUAUUGGAGUGCAUGAAUAAACAAUAUUUUUUUCCCAUUUUACACCAAAAUUAAAAAGAAAAAAGUAAAGUUCCAAAAUCUCUUUUUUUUUUUUAGUUGGUGUAAGGUUAGAUGACUUUUCCUUUUUUUUAAUGCAUGGUUCAUUUGAGUGAUGCAAAUUAUGAUUUCACCAUUGUCUUGAUUGUGCAUUACUUAUUUCUUUGAUAUCCACUAAUUUACAAAUCAAUUGUCAUAGUUGUCUCAACUCAUUAGUAGAUACCUUUAUUUAGGCCUUAAAGGGGUGUUAUCGUAUGAUACAUUCCUAAUAGGUAACCUGGCUCUUGGACUUAAACUUGGGUUUUCAAAAACACGUUUUUUAGCCACUCUUAGGGUUUUAUUUCUUAUUUUGUUUUCCAUUUUUUUUAAAAAUAAAAUAAGUGGUGACUCCACCUUUUAAAAAAAAAUUAGUUUUUCACUAAAAAACGAGUCAUCAUUGAGUGAGGACGCACAUGAAAAAUAUAGGUCCACAACAAUGCUAUUCCAAAGGAUCUUUCCUCUACCAGAAUAUUCAUUCAAGGAGCCAAUGAUUGUAGGAAGAGUGUAAAUGUGAAAAGUGCUUUUUUUUUGCUUGUCCCACAUAGGAAAAAGAGGAACAUCUUUAGUGGGUUUAUUAACUAGCCCACUUUCCUUAGUCUAAUGGGCUUGUGAAGAGGUGUGGGAGAGCCUCGCGUGCCCAUGGGGCCCAAGCCCAUUUGAGUGGGGCUUCGGGCUGGUUGGGUUAGAAUUUCUUAAUGCACGUCGCGUUCGCACACGCAUCCUACGCGCGCGCGAUCUCGGCUAAUUUUUUUAAAAAUUCAAAAUAAUUAUUUUAUUUUAUUCUAAUAGUCUUAUAUUUUUGGGAAGAGUCCUAUUGUGAUUGUGCUAGUGAAGUCCCAUUCCACUUAUAAGUAGAAUCCCGUUCCACUUUGAGUCAUGUUUUGAUUACAAGUAGAGUCCCAUUGGGACUGUGUUAGUGGCCUAUGAAAGUAGGUCACCUUUCACUCUCUUAAUACCAAUUUUUUAGAGAGUUUUCAGAGAGCCUUUCAUACAUCUAUGUAGAGGAAUUUUUUUAGAACCUGAGUUGUACACGUCUCGCUUACAGAGUGCACCCAAGGCAAGAUUGGGUUGUUGAAUCCUGGAGGUAGACCACUGGUACCCAAGUGCACCAAGUUUGUCUUCGAGGAGAGUGGAUCUAUUUCAAGGACAGUGCAUGUUUGUCACCCUUCAGCCGAUAAGUUUUUCUUACUAUUCAUUAUGUUCUUUGUUUGCGUCUUUUGGGCUAGUCCUUUGUUUUGAUACCCUUAAACCAACAAUGGCUAGAUUAUUUUCGCAUAAUCAUUCAACUGUUGUUUAACAUAUAAAAUAGGAGAAGAUUUAUUCUUUCCAUUUGUAUCAGCACGAUUCAAUUGAUUAGCUAAACUUAAGCAGAAGUAGUUGACUUGUCUUUCAUUUUCUACCCAUUUUUGUAUAUAUAUUCUGCACAAUGAUGUUCAUUUAAUAAGGGUCUGCUAUUGUUUUAUUCUCUUGCACAAACUAUUCUUCAAAGUUCUUAAUUGUGGCAUAGAUAAACCUUUCAUUUACUUGACAUUACUCAAAGGCCUCGACGUUACUCAACAUUGAGCUUUUCUCCUACAGAUGCUUCAACGGCAUGGCAAUGCAACCAGCCUUAAGGCAAUGGCACCCACUUACAUACUGUGCAAGAGCCCACAAUGGAAAAGUAUUCCUAUAAGUUGCAUAGUGUAACAUGCAAUUCUUCAUGAAGGCUCCAGUGAUUUCCUGCCAUAGAUAAUUGAUGAUUAAAUGGUUAGACUACCACCCAGUAUAUAUAGUCAGCUACAAAAGAACAUCAUUUUCCAUUUCCCAAAACCAAGUGAGCUACCUGUUGGGGAAAAUCACCAUCUUCCAUUUGGGAAUUAAUCAACAGCUUUGCAGCCUUGUGAAGAGGUGUUGGGUCUCUCUCUGCCUGUUAGAAAGGAAAGGUUAGACUCAAAUAUUUGGGAAGAAGCCAUAUUGUGAAAGUAAUGUAGAAGACCAAGGUAAGCAUAUUGAUGAUGGAACUGUAAAAACUAACCUGCCCAGAAGAAAGCAGACCCAUGAGAGCCCACCCGGUUUGUACCAAAUUUGACCUGUUUCCUUUAAGAGGUGUAUAUUUCUGUAUCACCAAGCACAAGGAUUACUUGUUUUUGUCCAUGUUUAUACCAGAAAACAGAGCAGUGGGUGGCAUGUAAAAAUUACCUUAUCCGGGCAAGAAGUACAGUUCUCUCCCCAACCACCAUCAUCUCUUUGUGAUUUGAGUAGAAACUCAACAGCUCUACCAAUAGCAAGACAAUUGUGGUAAGUCUUGCCAGCAGCUGCUAGGCCCCCAAGUGCAAACCAUGAGCCAUAGGUAAAACAUACUCCCCAAUUGCCAUACCUGGUGAAAUGUUUCUUUGUUUAAAUGGAUCUGCACUGCAUAUAUAAUAAAAGAUUUCCUUAGUGAAAUAAUAAUAGUGCAGUUGAGAAACAUACCAUGAGCCAUCAGGCAUUUGCAUGUCUUCAAUGUACUUAGCAGCAUUUGUGAUGAAAUUGUCUAUCUCGUUCUUCCUGUGUCCUGGGUAUAACUUCUUAAACAAAACUAGAGCCUGAAUGGCUGAUGCAGUGCACUCAACAUACCUGCAUCACUGUUCUGUUAGUCUCCAAGGACGUUAAAGCUAUCAAAGUUAGAAAAGAAAGUUGGUCUGUUAUCAAGAAUCUUACUCAUGCUCGAUGACAAUGUCUGUAAAAAAUUCAGUGGGGUUAAGUAGCUGAAAAGAGAAGAGAUUGGCAUUGAUUUAGAUUCAAAGAACACAGAGAGUGAGAAAGAAAGAGAGAUAAUGCAAAAAUAUUGAAGUUACUUAAACAUGUUGAAGUAAUUUACCUCCAACCAUUUUGAAGCUCCUGCAGGCUCCCAGGCAGCUAAACCACCAUUUUUACUCUACGGUGGUUUAAAAAAUGGGGGUUAUUGCUACUAAGAAGUUAUGACCUAUUUUGUGAAGGGGAUAACCAUAGAAAUGGCAUAAGGAAGAUGAGUCUCACCUGCAGCGAAAGCAGGAUGUUGACAGAAUCAAAUAGUCGUUCAGGUUCCAUCUUCAUACCAACAAUUUUUGGUGCCAUCAUUGAAAAGAGAAGACAACACUAUGACAGAGAGGGGACUUCAGUAAGAAACCAAGUAACUUCAGUUAAUCUGCAAGCCCUGACUUAAUUGAAGUGUUUGAGCAAAAAGAGUUACCUUCAAACCUUCUGCAGUGCAAUCAGAAACUUGCCAACCAUGAUCCUGAUCUGAGAAUGUCCACGAUCCCUUGGAAAUGUGGCGGUACAUGCUUUUAAAGUCACCAGAAGGAUUGUCCUUGACCUUCAAGAUUUCAGGUAGUAUGAAGUAAAUAGACCAUGAGAAACCCAAGUAGAUUCUGGUUGAAGUAAAGAAAUAAACUAUGGAAUUCAAGAUCAAACCUGAGAUUCCUUUAUGAAUUCAUGUCCUUUCUUGAGUGCAAGUCCAAGUUCAUCAGUCAUAUUGCAAGCUAGCAGUGCUUGAAGGGCAAAACUAGUGUCCCACUCUUGACUACCAAAGCUCUACAAUAAUCGACAAUUUCAAAACCAAUUAGGCAGGAAAGGGAUAAAAGCAGCUUCAAACCAUUUGCAUACUUGAAAAAUUUUAAGAAAAAGAUCAACACAUAUUAUCUAAUUUUCCUACAACUGUUUAGGAGAUUAGUGAUUGAACUUGUCUUCUGACCUGCAUCUUUAUUCCAUCUUCUGCAACCCAUAUAUAAUCUGGGAUCCUAGCAAGGUGCUUCUUGAAAUAAUCCCCAUUUGGAUCUUCAACCCAACAUGCGAGCAUACACAAUACCUGUUCAAUUUAAGCGAUAUCAGUACCCCAAAGAAGUGACAUAUUGUCUGAAUAGUCAUUAUCCAUUACUGAAAAAAUACCUUCUCCACACAUCCAAUGGUAAUGUAUCGACUGUUUUCAUCUUCAUAAUGGAUGUGUUUCAUUGUUACUUCAAGAGCCUUCUUUCUCAACUUUUUGAAGGGCCAACGAGUAAGAAGAGGCUCGGUACAUAUGUACAAACUAUCCCACAUUAGAUCUUGUAUUAGGGGAUGGGGGUAGUAGAGAUCCUCCUGCAAUAUUAAACAAUUUUAAAUGUGUGUUUCAUGCAUGCGUAGCAUAUUCAUAGGAAAAAGAAAUUGUUUCCAUAAAAAAUCAAAACUUACCUUUGCACAAAGAUGUCGUACUUUCUUCCAGUUGAUUUCAUUAUAAGGUUGAAGGAAAAGCUCUUCUCUUAGUUCUAAAACAAGAGGCGUGAUUGGGCCAAUGAAUCGUUUACCAUAUAAGUACGACAUGGGCAUGUAAACCAUCCGACUGUAGCAAAACAUUCUUGCUGCAUUUAAGGACUCAAAUGAAAAGAAGGUAGACCAAGACAAAGCAAUACCAAAGAGAGGAAAAUAAAAUCUUUUUAGUAUAAGAUGUUUUGGUAGACAUCGCAAUGGAAGCCCUUAAGACCAAUAAACCGGUCCCAGGUUGGAUUUGUAUGUAUUCAUGUGCCAUCUUAUCAAUGUAUAAAGCUCAAGUUGCUCAACUUUUCGCUUAUCCUUUUUGUCCCGACUCUGUUCUGAGUCAAUGUGACAAAUUCCAAAUUCCAUGCAAGAAGAUCUUAAUAUGUAAAAUACAUUAAGUGCAAAGUAGAUGUUAAAUUCAAGAACUUGAGUUGGUGGACAUAGCAUAAACCUGGAUGCAUAGGAAGAAAAGAAGGGAGGAGCCAAAACUCUGGGGGCAUUGGGUUGCUUCCUGACCAGUCAAAUAAGCCAAAUAGCUGCAUGGAAGAAACAAUUUCAUAUAAGAUUCAGUCCAACACACAAGAAUAAAUGGCAUAGGAUGAAUAUGAAUUUGUGUUUAAAAUGGCCAUACUGAAAGCCAAGUCUUUCCCCAAGACGGAAUGGAUGUCACUCCACCUCGGUCAUGGAUCCAUUUACGCCCUCUUGCACAAGCAUUGUCUCUUCCACCAUCUCGCCCUUCUCCAAGGAUACGCAUACAAAUGUAGCUGAGGGUUGUACAAAACAUGGUGCUUUGUCCCUCAAUAUGAAAUCCCCACCCACCAUCUUCAUUCUGCAAUGUUCAUAAGCCAUUUUCAUACUUUAAAGCUCCAAGCCCAUUUAUGAGGUUAGAAUGAUGACUAGGUUCAAAAUAUAUGUACCUGAUGGCAGUAUAGGUAGCGAAGAAUUUCUUUAAGAAAUUCUCCGGGGAAUACAAUGUCAAGAUGCCCUGUAAUGUAUAGACACAUGACCUGCAUUUUCCAUGAAAUUAUGCCAUUGAGAAUGGCUGUUAAAAUGGUCUAUAUUCAUGAUUUUGAUGAGGGUGAGAAGAUGUUGAGUCGACUCACCAGAGGAGGAAGAAAAUACAAUGGGCCAGAAUUUUCUGCAGGCCAAUGGCCAUCACUUGCCUGCAAGGCUGAAAAGAAAUGUGCACUCCUUCUCAGUGCUAUUGUGGCUGUCUCAUAUGUAAUUGCUUCACCAUCCCCAACCUUCACUUGUGGUAUUGUUUGUUUGAAAUUCUUCUCUCUCAAAAACUGCAGGUUUUUUUUUUUUUUGGCCAAAUGAAAUGGGAGUUAGUGAAGAACAAGUUUAAAAGAAAAGAAAAGGUAAAUUAACCUCAAUAGUAAACAUCUAUUUGUACAAUUAUUCCAAGCUAGGUGGGACUAUUAGAGUGAAGAUAGGUGUAACAAUCGUUAAUGUGCAUAAUAUUUAUUAUGAGUCCAAAUCCUUUAAACUUAAGUUUUUAAGAAAUUGAUUGUUCAACAUGAUAUCAAAACUCGAUUUUACAAUAGGUCUUACUCUCAUUAUUGAACUAUCUGGUUGAUGGUCUCUCAACCUAGGGCAAGACCCAAAAUCACCUACUUGUAGUCAUGGUUUGAAACGUGGCAAGCUUACCAGGAAUCGAACCCAAGCCGAAAUGUUUGGAUUGAAAUUUGGCUACCACUGGGCCAAGCUCACUUUUGUUAAUAUAUAUUUAAUUUAAAUAUGUUAAAGUUUAUUAUUAAAAAAAUCUAAUUAUUUUAUUUUAAAUUUUAUUUAAUUUAUUAUAAAAGUAUAAAAACCAACAUUAUAAUUUUCUUAACAAGACUUUUUUAUAUCAUUGAUAUGAUAAUUAAAUAUAAAAAAUAUAUAUAUUAAACAAAUCAUAUAUGCGUCAUCAUUUAUUUUACAUUAUUAAAUGCAUUUGAAUUAAAUAAAUUAUAAUUUUAAUAUUAAAUAUAUUAUCAUGUAUCUCAUUAAUCAUAUUUUAAAAAAUUAAUUACUAUCACUUUACUUUUAAAUUUUUUAUAUUUAUCAUUUUAAUUUUGAAUCUUUUUAUUUUAAAAUAUUAAAAAUAUAAAUUUAUUAAAAAAAAUACAAAAAUAUAAAAAAAUAAUGAAGUUCUAAUAUUUUAUUAAUUUAAAUUAAUUUGAUAAGUUAAAUAAUAAAUUAUAUAUUAAGACUCAUAUAUCCUCAUUCACUAAUAUUUUUCUCUUUAACCAUACAUGUGUUAAUUACAUUUACAAAAUAACUUUAACAUGUAUAUUUUUAUUUAUUUUAUAAUUUUUUUUGGAGUUUUUCCAAAUAUUUUCAUGAAUUUCGAAUAAUUUUCAUCUCAUCAAUAUUUCUGUCAAACUAUCCACUGAUAUUUCUUUAAUAUUUUCGAUAUAUCCAUGAAAUCCAAGUAUUAAUAUAUCUGUAUUUAUUGAUAUUUUAAACCAUGCUUAUAGUAUCCGUAAUAUAUCUUUUUUUUUUUUUCUCCUUUAUGAUAUCAUAGCCUCAUUUGCUAGGAGCUGAACCUCAUAUGGUCUUCUUAUGUGGUCAUCUCAUUUGAUGGGAGGUCAAGUGUUCACCAACAUGUUCUUUUCCCAAUUUAUUAAAAAGUCUACGUGUAAGCCAAAAAUAGGAGGCUACACAUGCUGAGGAGCAGUAGAGCUAGGAAAUGAAGUGAAGGGGGGCAAAAUAUGAGAAUAUAUGUAUAUAUAUAUAUAUCAGGGAGCAAAAAUGAAUAAAGUUAACAAUAAGAAAAGCUAUGUAGCAUGUAUGCAUGGAAGACAUGUAUAGUCAGUGAAAAACUGCAAUCUUGAGAUAGAUGGGAUCAAAUCACCUGCAUCCGCCAAAGGAGGUCGCUGCUGGGCUUAACCUGAUAUCGGUUUUUCCAGAAGUUCUCACGAGCUGCUUCGACCUCAUUUCGCUCUUCUGGGGUUCCAUAGUCAGGAUCAAACUCCCAUAUCUGUCUUCCCACGAAGUUGUUGGUGCUGUAGAUGUAGGGAUCAUUGCCCCCAUCUGCAACCUUGAGCCUCCACAUUUCUAACUCACCAAACUGAAGAGAUAUAUCUCUAUAUAUAUCUAAGUUUACAAAUAUGUGUGUCUAUCUUCCGAAAACACCUGCUGAUCAUCCAAUCAUCAUAAAGGUAAAACAGACUUUUCUUCGCAAUAAAAUUAAAUUAAAAUGAUACAGACCAAAGACAGAGAGACAGGUGCUGGGUGGGCAGAGAAGAGAGAAACUUCAGAACCUUGGAAUGGUGAGUUGCAGGUGGAAUCAUUCAUUCAUAUAGAAGCACAACACGAAGUCAGUCACUAACCCCCGUCACUUCUAUUAAUUCUUUUUUCACCCACUUCAGUUUGUGGAAAUUAGUGUAGAGUGAACAUUUUUGGACUUUCAAGUAUUUUAUAAUUGAUAUAUUUUUAAAAACGGUUAGACCAUUAAAGAAUUCAAUGCAUUAGGUCUCAUAUCAUUUUAGGUCACUUUCUACUAUCAAUGAAUAGACCAAACACAUUAAAUUUUCUUUACUCUGAAGUCGUUUAACACAUGGAGAAAGUUAAUAAACUCGAUCGGUGUGGGAGGUUUAUUUUCUAUUAACUUCUAUAACAAAUAAAUAAAUAAAGUACAUCCCUUUUUUUUCAAAAUUCAUAGAUGAUUUUAUCCCUUAAGACUCCCAAAGCACAACUUUGAUAAGAAAUAUUUGAUUUUUUGUACAAUUUAUAAUUAAAAUAUUAAUUUUUAAUUUAUUCUUAUCUAUAUAUAUUUAUGUCUAAUAUAUUUAAUUAGUUUCUAAUAUAUUCCGCAGUCCAUUAUUUAGGUCAUACAAUCAAUCCUAAAAUUAAUAUAUUUUAAGACGUACUUAAAGAAAUGAUACAUCAAUUAGGUAUAUAACAUUUAAAUUAGAUUGUAGUUAUGAUUAAGCCACGUUUUUCCCUUACACAUCCCACUAAAGCCGAAAAAACAAAAAGGGAAAUAAAUGACCUUUUGUGUUGUUGCCAUCAGUUAUAAUUAGGGUGAACAUGGAGCAGAUGUGUUGUUGGACCUCCUUAUUCCUAAUUUCCAAUUAUAACUAGGCUUUUGAUCAAAUAAUUCAUUCUAAGAAUGCAUAUGAUAAUAUUUCUAUUCAAAGUAGAAAUAUUGUAAGUAAUUUUUUAACUUUUUAAAAGUGCUUUAUAAAUUUUAUCAAACAAUGCAAAAAUCAUAUCCUUUCUUUCCUUCUUCUCUCUUUCUAUCCAUUGUAACUUAUGCAGAAACUUCGAAUUUUAAAAAAAAAAAAAAACAACCAAAAACAAUUCUCUCUUUUAUUCUUCAAAUUUGCAAAUUCAUUAUGGCAUCAGAACUUGUCAAUUAAAGAAUUCAAACUCUGCAUUCAAUCCUUCAAAUUCAUCAAUGCUCAAACCCAAUUUCCAUUUAGUCGUCCACCACAAACUUUCUCCUCUAGAAGACUCAAAUGAGACAUAAGGUAGCUAGUAGAAAUAAAUUGCUACAUAUGUAUUCUUAUUAGUGCAACUAUGAAGGACCCCCACUAAAAGAUUUAAUUUUUUAUUUAGUUGUAGUUAAGAGUUGGCCGAAACUAUAGGCUCUCAUUUGAUUUUUCUUUUUUAGGAAUUAUCGAAUACAAACUGAUUUUCAAAAAAAUAAAAUUCUAUGAAUACCUCUAACAAUAAUAAUACUCAUUAGCAUUGAGAAUAGAGAAGAAUUUGUUGUAUUCCAAAUAAAAUAUUUUCAUAAUAAUUUUGAUGGAUAAUACCAUGAUGUUACAAUUUAUGGUUUAAACUACCAAACAAAAAAAUAACACAAUCCUCGCUACGAGUUCAUACUAACACAUUAAGCCUUUCUUUCUUCAACUUUGUUGGAGCGAUGAUAAACGAGACGUUUAUGAAGUAAUCGAAAUAGGGAUGUAGAGUGAGACUGGAAGAAACGGCUGAGAAUGAAAUCUAAACUCUUUUGGGGUGAGGAUGAAAUGCUUACAAUGUUGAAUAUAACAUCUGGCAUGUAAGGAACUCUACCAUAGUCAACUACUGAUUCUCCCAUUGGACUUGGUAGACUCUGGCAAAGCUAUGGAACAAACAAUUUCAGUACUUGACACUUGAAUAAAAAUUUCUAAGGAAACGCUUCCCAACAAAAGAUAACUUUUUAUAGCAAACUUUUGUUCCUCUCGCUUCUUCUUCUUCGACCAGUGUUUUGAUUCAUGGGCUGCAACAGAGAAGGUUUAGCUUUGUAGUUAAGAUAUUUUGGUCAGAAGCGCAGUAGGGACAAGCCCUUCAGCAAAAUCUAUGAAUUGAAGCAUGGGGGGCUUCUUUGAAUAAAAUCUACUUUUAUUCCCGCACAAAAAAAUAGUUCUAUAAAUGAAACUCCCAGACUGAAAAAUUUUGAUUUGCAAUGUUAACUACAAUUUAAUUAAUUUAGGGUUAGAAUCUUACCUAAACUUCAAACUCUGAACCUCUAACCCUCGAGCCCUAAGAUCUCUAAUUCUCUAAUUUUGGUUGAUAGGGUUUUCUGAAUAAAGAAGGUAAGAGGAAGAUCUAAUUUAUACCUAGGAUUAUUAAUUGUAAAAGGACUCUUUCACCCUUAAUGAGUUUAAUUAAUGAAUUAAUUACUUGUAAUUUACUAUUUUGCCCUUAAAGUAAAUUUUGGGGUGUUACAUCCUCCUCUCCUUAACAAAAGUUUAGUCCUCUAAACUUGACAUAACUGGGUCUUGAAAAAGACAUGGGUGCUUUUCUCUCAUCUCCUUUUCUAAUUCCAAAGUGGCUUCUCAAAUACUAUGAUUGCUCCAUUGGAUCUUUACUAACUUGACAACAGCAUGAUGUAGUACGUACCUUGUCCAUCACAUCCACAAUCUGAAUUGGUACUUCUUCAUAAGUCAAGUCUUCAGAAAUCUAAAUAGGCUCCAACUCCAUCAAAUUUGAAAUGUGGAAUAUAUUAUGAAUCUUAGACAAGCUUGGGGGCAAGGCCACUUUAUAUGCCAAAGUGCCUACUCUUUCUAAUAUCUCGAAUGGACCCACAAAUCGAGGACUAAGCUUUCCCUUUCUCCCAAAUCUCAUCAUAGAUUUCAUAGGCAAUACUUUUAAGAAAACAUUAUCACCUACCUUAAACUCCAAAUUUCGCCUGCGAUUGUCAGUAUAACUUUUCUGUCUACUUUGAGCUGUCUUUAAUCUUUUUUUAAUUAAGGCAAAUAUUUCAACUGUUAACUGAACAAGUUUAGGCCCCAAAAGUUUUCUUUCUCCAACAUCAUCCCAACAAACAGGAGAUCGACAUUUCCUACCAUAUAGCCCCUCAAAAGGUGUCAUCCCAAUGCUAACUUGAAAGUUAUUAUUAUAGGCAAACUCUACUAAAGAUAAGUAAUCAUCCCAAUUACCUUUUAAGUCUAAAGUACAAGCUCUCAACAAAUCUUCCAAAACUUGAAUUACCCUUUCUAAUUGACCAUCAAUCCGAGGAUGGAAAGCAGUACUAAAACUCAACUUAGUACCCAAAGCUUUCUAUAGAUUAUGACAAAAUUUAGAAGUAAAAUGAGGAUCUUUAUCAGAUACUGUUAGGAAUUUGAGGCUAAUCCAACCUAUGAUAAUCACCCUAAAGGGGGGGUGAAUAGGGUGAUGGUCUCUUUUUCAAAUUUAAACUAAGUAAAAAUAAGAGACAAUUUAUAUGCAAGUAUAUGAUAAGCAAAAUAAAGACAAUUGCAUAUAAAUUAAAAGAGUUAGGGAAGAGAGAGAGCAAACACGAGAGUUUAUAGUGGUUCGGCGCAACCCGGCCUACAUCCACUCUCCUCAAUCUCCUAACCGAGUGAGGGUUCCACUAGCUUGAAGCUUCAACCAAGCUUCCAAUCUUCUUACAAUUGGAUUAUGGUUCCAAUUGACCCUCUUGGACUUUUGGCUCCAAGCACCCUUUACAAUUCUCAAGAGAUGUCCCUCUCUUGAAACUUCCUCUCAAGGUUUACAAAUAAUGAUCUCAAAGGUUUACAAAAAUCCUAGCACAAGAAUUUUAAGCUCAUAUGAUACAAGAAAAGCUAGGAUUGAAUGGUGCACUAAAGAUAUGCAAGUUAUGAAACAAUGGUGCACUCAAAAACACUCUUCCAAGGCUCAAAUAUAAUCAAGAAUGACUUGGGAAGGUUAAGCUUUUUAAACAAUGAAGAUUGGAGCCUUUUUAUAGAAGAAAAAAGCCAAACUAGCCGUUUGGGGUUCGACCGGUCGAGCUGGGGGUCGACCGGUUGACUAGCCGUUAGCAUUUAAUGCUUGGCAGGAGACCGUUGGGCCUCGACAGGGUCUCGACCGGACCUUGACCGGACCUCGACCGGACGAGGUUCGACCUUGACCGGUUGAACAACCGUUCUGGAAGAAAGAGAAAAUUUUUACAUUUUUCGAACGGUCGACCGGGGUACUGUUCAUCCGGUUCAACCGGUUGAGCUGGGGGUCAACCGGUUACUGUUCAUCCGGUUCACCCGAUUUAGCCAAUUGAGUCGUUUUUUGCCCAACAACCAACUUUUCCAACUUAUAACCUUUUAAACAAGUUUGAAACAACAUUUAACACAAGGUUUUAGUUGAAAACAUGAAAUCAUCCAAUUUUAAAAAUAUUUAAAACUAAAUAACUCUUGGAUGAUUUAGGUGCAUAAGUAAGGAAAAUAAUGCAUGGAAAUCCUAGUGCACCAACAACCUUACAAAGAGACUUAAGAAGCUUUGGUCUUGAAAAACUCUUCUCUUUGAGGUGGUCUUCUUCUUCAUGAUUUCUCCUUGGCUUGAUUUGUCUUUGGAUUGCCACUUUAGAAGUCAUCUUGCCUAAUCACACUUAAAAUGUAGUCAUUAGUUCUAAACCUUGUUUUGUUAUCAUCAAAAUCAAGAUUAACCAAACCUUGGUUUCACAGAUACUAUGGAAACAAGUACACCAUGCAUUCUCACAAUCUCCCUGACAUAUAAAGAAGCUAGAUGGUCCAUAGAGAAGUUGAUUUUCAUAGGCAAGAAGUGAGCAGACUUUGUCAAUCGAUCAACAAUCACCCGAAUAGUAUUAUUGCCCCCUAAGGUCCUUGGUAACCCUAUCACAAAAUCCAUAGUAAUAUGUUCCCACUUCCACUCAGGAAUAGAAAGUGGUUGCAAAGACCCUGCUAGUCGUUGAUGCUCAUCUUUCACUUGUUGACACACUAAACACUAAGCGACAAAUUGUGUAAUAUCUCACUUCAUACUUGACCACCAAUAAUUUUGUCUCAAAUCUUUGUACAUCUUUGUUCCUCUUGGGUGGAUCGCAAGCCUAGAACAAUGAGCUUCCUCCAAAAGCUCCCUCCUUAAGUCUCCAUCAUUUGGGACACAAAGUCUAGUCCUAAACCUCAAAAUCCCAUCAUUUGAUAAAACAAAGUUAGGCUUACUGUCCUUUUUAACCUUUUCCAUAAGUUGCACUAAUUUCAAAUCAUUCUUUUGUAGGGCCUUAAUUCUCCCAACUAAGUUUGGUUGCACUCUAAAAUUCGCCACAAGUGCUCCUGAUUCUAGAAAUCUAAUAUGGACAUGUAAACUCCUCAAAUCCUCUACUAAUCGCCUUUGACAACCUUUAAUAGCUACUAGGGAACCAACUGAUUUCCUACUUAAGGCAUUAGCUACAACAUUCACCUUCCCUAGAUGAUAUUGAAUAAAACAAUCAUAGUUCUUGAGUAGUUCUAUCCAUCUUCUUUGUCUCAUGUUCAAUUCCUUUUGGGAAAACAAAUACUUCAAGCUCUUAUGAUCAGUGAAUAUUUCACAAGUUUUACCAAAAAGAAAAUGUCUCCAAAUCUUAAGUGCAAAAAUCACUACAGCUAACUCCAGAUCAUGAGUGGGGUAAUUUCCCUCAUAAGACUUCAACUGUCUAGAAGCAUAAGCCACAACUUUUCCAUGUUGCAUAAGGACACAACCCAAACCCUGAUGAGAGGCAUCACUAUACACUACAAAUCCUCUUGAACUUGAAGGGAUAGUUAAAAUAGGAGUCGUCACUAAUCUAUUCUUUAACUCCUGAAAGCUAUGUUCACAGUCAUCAAACCACUAAAACUUAACCCCUUUCUAUGUCAACUUAGUCAAAGUAGGGCGAUCUUAGAGAAACCCUCAAUAAAUCGUCUAUAGUAACCAGCUAGUCCCAAGAAACUUCGGAUUUCAGUCACAGUAUUAGGUCUCCUCCAAUUUGCUAUAGUGUCUAUAUUUCCAGGCUCAACUGAGAUGCCAUCCUUAAUUACCACAUGCCCAAGAAAAGAGACUUUAUCUAACCAAAACUCACAUUUUUUCAAUUUAGCAUACAAUUGCUUAUCUCUUAGAGUCUACAAUACAAUACUCAAAUGGCGCUCAUGCUCUUCUCCACUCCUUGAGUACACCAAAAUGUCAUCUAUAAAAACCACCACAAACUAAUCUAGAUAUGGUUUGAAUACCUUAUUCAUUAAAUCCAUAAAAGCAGUAGGUGAAUUAGUCAAACCAAAAGGCAUAACCAAAAACUCAUAAUGCCCAUACCUAGUUCGAAAAGCAGUUUUGCAUCCUCACCUCUAACCCUUAGCUAAUGAUAUCUAGACUGAAGAUCAAUCUUAGAGAAUACAGAAGCACCCUAAAGCUGAUAAAACAAAUAGUCAAUUAGAGGAAGAGGAAAUUUAUUCCUCUCAACCAUGUAGAUAUUAUCUGCUUUGGACCCAAAAGGGCCUUCACGGCUUUAAAACGCGUUUACAAGGUUAAGAGAAGUCUAUACUUAUAUAGCACCAGGAACUUUCCCCCCUAUCUAAUGUGGGAUGUCACACAUCAGAUUCUUCAAAGGAUUGUGGCAUGCAUAAAAGAUAUCACAACUUACCUUGUCUAAGCAUGAAAGGUAGCUUUAUCCCCAACCACCAUCAUCUAGUUGUAACUUGAGUAGAAAAUCAGUUGUUUUGCGAACAGCAAGACAAUUUUGGUACGCCUUGCCGAUAGCUGCUAGCCCUCUCAGUGCAAACCAUGUGCCAUAGGUGAAGUAAAACCAUGUGCCAUAGGUGAAGUAGAGUCCCUAUUUUCCAUACUUAUGUAAAUGUUUCCUCAUGUAAAUCGAAUAUUCAAUAACUCAUACAAAAAAAAAAAAAAAAUUGUGCAAAUUCUUGAGCAAAUCUAAUAGUUGAGUUUAGAAACAUAUAUACCAUGAGCCAUCAGGCAUUUGUAUUUCUUCAAUGUACUGUACAACAUUUUUUAUGAAAAUUUCUAUCUCUUGCUUCUUGUGUCCCGGGUAUAACUUCUUAAACAAAACUAAAUCGUGGAUUGCUGAUGCAGUGCACUCAACAUGCUUGGACCAUUCUUCUGUUAAUCUUGAAGGAAUUUAAAGCAUGAAGAGUCACAAAAGAAAUCAACAUGCCUGAAUAGAAUCUUGCUCAUGUGCAAAGACCACAUCUUCAAACAUUUUAGUAGGAUUUAGUGACUGAAAGCAUUCAAGGAUUCUAUUGAUUUAGAUAGAUAGAUAUACAAAGACAGAGAGAGAGAUUCCAUCAACAAAGUUUAAAGUUACUUCAAUAUGUUGAGGUAAUUACCUCCAACCAUUUGGAAGCUCCUGCAGACUCCCAGGCUAAUAAACCACCAUUUUUACUCUAUAAAGGUAUAUAGAAAAUGGGGUUUAUUGAUACCGGAGAAAUAAUUCUGAGAAAGGUAAAUCCAAAGGAGGAAAUAUAAGAAAGCUUCCUACAAUUCUAAAAUCACAAAAGCCAUGAUUUGUUUAGUAAUUGAGACCGUAGAUAUAAUACAAGAAAGAUCAUCCUCACCUGUUGGGAAAGCAGGAGAUUGACAGAAUCAUAUAACCAUUCAAGUUCAAUUUUUUCCCCAACAAUUUCCAGCAGCAUUACUGAGAGAAGGAGACAACACUGUAACAGAGAUGAGAAUUCAAUUAAUGGAAAACCAUGCGACAAGUAUAUGAAGUGUUUGAACAAAAUUUAGUUACCUUCAAACUUUCUGUAGUGCAAUCAGAAACUUGCCAACCAUGAUCCCGAUCUGAGAAUGUCCAAGAUUCCUUAGAAAUGUGUAUGUACAUGCUUCAAAAAUCACCAAAAGGAUUGUCCCUAACCUACAAGCUUAAUUAGCUUUCAAAUGGCAUCAAGAAAUAAUGAUGAUUCAUAAGAAGAGAUGAUCUGAGAAAUUCAAGACAACACCUAAGAUUUCUUUAUGAAGCCAUGUCCUUUCAUGAGCGUGGCUCCAAUUUCAUCUUUGAGAUUACAAGCUAUCAGCUCUUGAAUGGCAAGACUGGUGUCCCACUACUAACUACCAAUGGUCUACAUAUCUCAAUGAAAAUUAUCAAAGUUAGGACUUUGAAUGAAGUUCAAUCUCAAAUACGAAACAAACUCUAAAAAAUAUAUAUAUAUAUCGGAUCUAACCUACAUCUUAAUUCCAUCUUCUGCAAUCCAUAUAUAAUCUAGGGGCCUAGCAAGGUGAAUCUUGAAAGAAUCCCCAUAUGGAUCUUCUACCCAACAAGCAAGCAUACACAAUACCUGCUCAAUUUAAGAGACAUUCUUCCAUUAGAGUUUCUUUUUCCUUUUAAACAUUUCAUAAUACGGACAAUCGUGUUACCUUCUCCACACAUGCCAUGGUAAUAUACCGACUAUUUUUAUCUUCAUAAUGAAUGUUUUUCAUUGUUGUUUCAAGAACCUUUUCUCUCAACUUGUUGAAAGGCAAAAUAUUUGCCACAUCAAAUCCUGUAUUAACAAAUGGGGAUAGUAGAGAUCCUCCUGCAAUAUAAAAUUUUCCAGAAUGUUUCAUGUAAGCAUGAAAUAUUUGGACAGAUGGUUCUAGUAUAACUAAAACUUACCUUUGCACAAUGAUGUCGUACUUUCUUCCAAUCGAUUUCAUUAUAAUGUUGAAGGAAGAGCUCUUCUCUUAGUUCUAGAAAAAGAGGGGUAAUUGGGCCAACGAAUCGUUUACCAUAUAAGUAUGACAUGUUCAUGUUAACCAUCCAAGAAUAGCACCACAUUUUUGCUGCAUUUAUGAAGCAAUUUUUUUUUUUUAAGAAACCUCUAUACAAGAGAAAAGAGAAAUCAGUUUUAGCACAAGAUGGUUAAAGUAGACAUGGAAGUGGCAUUCUGAAUAUCAACCAAACAACAUGCCAAAGCUUAGGUUUCUAACUCAGUAUGUGUGACCUGAUAAUAGAAUAAGACUGAAGGUGACAUGGCUCGACUUGCCUCUUGUCUGUUUUUUAGGCAUUAUUAUUGAUUCUAUAAUGACCCAUUCACAACUAUAUAAAAAUGAUCCAUUCUAGGCCUAAUGUAAGAGGGAGAGAGAGAUUAUGGUUGUUUGGUGGUGAAAACAUGAUUCUAAAGAGGACCCCAUAUCUCUUAUAGAAGGAUGUAGGGAUCAUUGCCUCCAUCUGCAACCUUGAGCCUCCACAUUUUCUAACUCACCAAACAGUCGAGAUAUCUCUCUCUCUCUCUCUCUCUCUCUCUCUCUCUCUCUCUCUCUCUAUAUAUAUAUAUAUAUAUAUAUAUCUAAGUUUACAAAUAUGUGUGUCUCCCUUCCAAAAACACCUGCUGGUCAUGCAAUCACUAUCCUUAUAUCAAAGGUAAGACAAGCUUUUCUUUGCAAUAAAUUAAGCUAAAAUGAUACAGACCAAGGACAGAGAGAUGGGUGCUGGGUGGGCAGAGAAGAGAGAAACUUCAGAAACUUGGAAUGGCGAGUUCCAGGUGGGAAUCACUCAUUCAUAUAGAAGCACAACACCAAGUCAGUCACCAACCCCCAUCACUUCUAAUAAAUAAAAAUAUAUAUAUAAUUAUCAUUUUAGGCCACUUUCAAGUUUCAAUCCGUCAAUCGACCCAACACAUUAAAUUUUACACAUGGAGAAAGUCAACUUCUACAAUAAAAAAAUAAAAAUAAAAAUGAUAUAAUUUGUUUUUUUUUUUAAAAUUCUUAGAUGAUUUUAUUCUUCAAAAUACUGUCCCAACAUAACUUUGAAAAGAAAUAUUUGAUUUUUUUUACAUUUAUGAAUGAAAAUAUUAAUUUUUAAUUUAUUCUUAUUUAUUUAUGUCAAAGAUAUUAAAUUGAUUUCUAAUUCAAUUAUGAAUUUUGUAACAUAAAUUUAUAUUUUUUCAGAAAAUAUAUCAAUCAUUCAAUCCUAAAAUUAAUAUACUUUAAAACAUACAUGAAGAAAUGACACAUCAACUAACAUUCUAAUUAGGUAUAUAGCAUUCAAAUUAUAAAUUCAAGUUUGUAAACACAUCAAUUAAAGUCUCAAUCAACUAACAUGUGAAAGAUUCCAUUUUUGCAAACCCCCCAAAAAAUGGAAAGGAAAUAAAUGACCUUCUGUGUUGUUGCCAUCAGUUAUAAUUAUGGUUCUUGUGGUUGUUAUUUGAACAUAGAGUAGAUGUUAAUCAUGUGACUGCUGCAUUUUUUUUUAAAAGCUGUGGGGCCUCCUUAAUAGUACUAUAAUUUAUGAACAACAGGCUUUGAGAGAGAUGGCUACGUCUUGUAUGUUGGCCCUUGUUUUUCUUUUCUGCUUAUCAUAAUACCAUGUCUUAUCUUUUCCUGUUCUUGAAAAAUGGCCUUAAUGGAGAUCAUGGCCCAUGCAUGCUAAAUAGGUGGCCCUGAUGCUUUAUACGCUACAUGUUCUAAAAGAAAAUCCCGAGACGUCCUCAAAGUGGCAGCUUGUUGUCAUCUUCUUUGCAUGGUAUGGUUGCCCUCCAAAUUUCAUCAAAACGUGUGGAUGCCUUUCACAAAAUCCGGUGGUGCCAUAUUCUUAAAGUGGCAGCCUUCUUUUUUUUUUUUUUUUUACAAAAAAUAAACUGAUGUGUAGUGGAGGUUCAAAGUGGCAACCUUAUUCUCAUCCUAGUAGUGCGUGGUGGAUACCUCUCACAAAAUCUGGUGGUGCAAAAAUCUGUGCGUGGAGGGGCUUUUUGAGUGGCAGCCUGCUGUGUAAAAUCCACAGAUGCAGCCUUGAUGGAGAUCUCUAGGUGCGUCAGUUAAAGCUCCAAUGCAUAAUCAGUCCGGUGCGUCUUAAGGAAGAUUUGGACAUUCAAUGCAUGCAGCUCCCUAUUCUCUCCGAGUAACAAGGACUGUUUAAGCUUUAACUCAGCAAAAGUAUAGCCUGAAAAUUAGAUAUCAAUGAUUAUGGUGCAUUCUGUUGCUUCAAUUGAUAGAAGCAUUGCUGCCCGACCAUAUGUCGUGCCACUGAAUUUAAAUUCUGAAGAUUUUAUAAAAAAGGACUGUUUCAGUUCUGACAAUCCCCAUCUUCUCAUUCCAUUUUCCAGUAGAUUUUAUGUGGAGAUCCAACCACAUGAAUUAAGAGUAAGAAGCUCAGCUAUUACAGGUAUGACGGGCAUGCCUAAACAAUAAUUUCAAGUUUCUAAGAGCAGUAGAUCCCUUCACAUCUUCAGAUUUUAGAAACAAGGCGAAAAAAAUACUCAGACUUCUCCACCCCGCAACCAUUCCAUUGCAAUUGUAAAUAUGCAGUAAGUAUAACCAGUCCAGUCUUGAAGGCCACUUCUUGUGCCACUGUAUUGGCUUUCAUUUUGGGAGCAAAUAAUCACCAGUAGGUCUCGAAAUCGAAAAAAGUUAGUGGCUCCCUCAUCUUAUGUAGCUUUGUACAUAUCUGUCUAGUUAACUCUAGGCUUCAUUAUAGAUAUUACAGUGUUGCGAGCCACGAAAAUGAUAUAUAGCUCCCAUGUCAAACAAUGCCGCAUCUCCAUCCUCAGAGGUUUUACCAUUUAGAGCUACUGUGUGCCACUUUCCCCGCAGCUUGUUCACUUCAAGAAUGCUAAAGUUUCUCCAGAGACAUCCGCAACAAUCAUAAACAGAGGAGCUCUCAGUGAUCUUUUCUAACAAAAGAAUUAUGCUCUUUAUCAUUGAAAUCUUCUUAUUUGUGUUGAACACUCUUGCAUUCUCAAGUUCAACAAUCAGUUUCUCAGGGUAUGUAACAAACUAUGGGGAGAUAUAUCUUCUGUCAAUAUUUGUUCCUUCUUCAACAUCAGCAAUUAUUUCAAGAAAGAAUGAUGACUCAACAAAUAAGAGACCGUUUGGCUCAACCUAAUCAAUUGCAUCAACGAUCUUGAACCCAAUGAACUGUUUAUUUCCCACAGACACAGAAGCAAUAUCUUUGAUAUCAAUAUUGACUUCAACAAGUUGAGCUUACGUCUCCAACUCCUUCACUAACUCACGUACAGUUUUGUAGUUCCCUUUUUCUAUGAAAACUAGAUUUGGACCAGAUUUAACACUUGGCAGGCCCAAGGGCGUGAACCAGAAGUAGAUGAAAGCAACAAAAACAAGGCACGAAUGGGUAAAACAAAAUGGACUAACAAAAGCCACAUUUCAUGCCUAAACAACAGAUCAAGAACAAGUAAUACAAACUAAGAGCAGCAAUAUGAUUAUCAAAUGCCAAACCUAAAGAUAAAUCCAACUAUUUACAAGGGGAAAUCAAAGAAUCCAAAAUGUGACCAGAACAGAGCAUGCAUGCAGACAAUUAGAUUCAGUCAAAGCAACCAAAUAACUCCUGAUGUCCACACCAAAUCAACAAGAUAAUGCUCAUAAAUCUAAAGAAAAUGAAAUAAAACAGUAUUGAAAACAAAGAAGAAAUGAAACUCAUAGUGAUCUUACUUGAAAGGCUCCACCCAAGUAAGGUGUGUUCGCCUUCCACUCAUCAGGAAAUGACCGCUCUUUAAUACUGGUGAUGUUGCUGAUCUCUCAACAUGCCACCAUUUUUCUAAAUUUCCAAUUCCCCAAAUUAUGUGUCUUCUAUUCUCCAACUCACGUGCCUUCUCAAAAGAACCUGGAGAUCCUCCUCCAAAGCAGUGUUAGCUUGACUUCAAGUGAGACCUACCUCAAAAUUUGGCAAAGCCAAUCAAGCUUUCUCUCUUCUGCUCCUCUACCUCUAGUUUUUCUCUCCAUUUUGAACUGGAGAAUCCAUUUUUCUUCCUUCAAACAUCUUCUUCCUCUCUGUCCAAGAAAAAAUCUUGUGCCUUUCUUCCUCUCAAACGUCUCCUCAAUGUCCCAUCCUAUUCUUUUACAACUCUUAUAUCCCUCCUGUCUCUACUCUGCUCCACUCCAAAAAAAAACUUUUGAAUAUCCUCUCGUAAUCCACCAACUUCUCAUUCCUGAUGGCCCUUUUCCACUUUCCCACCAAAACUCUUUAAUUCUCCCAAAAAUUCAACCUAUGUCUCCUUCCCCCAUGGUCUCUUUUUCACUUUCCCACCAAAUUUUUUUUUAGCCUAAAUAAAUGAGUAAAUAAAAUAAAAACAAAUAAAAAGGAAUUUUGGAAAAAAAAAAAUAUAAUAAUAAUAAUAAUACUAUUAAUAUCAAUAAAAUAAUAAUAAUCUUAAUAGUAAUAAUGAUAAUAGAAACAAUGGUGACAAAAACAAUUCUAAUGAUAAUAAUUAAAAAAAUAAAAUAAAAUGACAAUAAUAAUAAUAAAAAUAUACAAUGGCUAUAUAUAUAUAUAAGUAGAUAUGAAAAUGAACAAAUAAAUAAAUAAAUAACUAGAUAUGAGUACGCAACAUGUAUUUAUAAACAAAACAUGCAAGCUACGUAGGUCAUGCAAGCCACGUAGGCCAUGCAAGCCAUGUAGGCCAUGCAAGCCAUGUAGGCCAUGCAAGCCAUGUUAACCAUGCAAAUGACUUACGAGUGAUGGGAUAAGCCUAAGUGGGCUAGGUGCCUAAUGGGCCUAAAUAUGUCUCAGCAAACUGUCAUAAAAGUGUACCUAAUAUCCAAAAUGGCUCAAAGAAGCAAGUUAUAUGAGUAGCAAUGGGCCAAUAAAAACUACUGUGGAAUAAUGAAAGGGCACUUAAUUAGGGCAUUCCAAGGAGACAAAAUGGAGGGUCUACACACUCAAAAGACAAGAUAAAAAGUCGUAUACAUUCAAUCAAUGAAAAAUUAAUCAUGUACUAAAAUAUUAAAAUUCAAUUAUGCAAUCACAAAUAAAAAAUCAAUUAUAAACUCAAAAUUAAUGUCACAUAUAAUCACAAGUAAUAAUCAAAUAGGAACUCAAAAUUAAAAUCAAAUAUUCAAGAUUCAAAUGUGAACUCAAAAUUAAAAUCACUCAUGCACUAAAAAUUAAUCAUGCAAUAAAAUCAAUCACAUGCACUCAAAAUAUCAAAAAUCAUUCAUGUACUUAAAAUAUAAAAAAUCAAUCACACACUAAAAAUCAAAUAACAAACCAAAGCUCAUCUAACCUAAAAACAUGCAAUCAAAAUCAAAAUCAGACCUAAUGCACUCAAAAAAUAGUAACUAAACAAUAGAAGGACUCACUAGAAAAUAAACUCCUAAACUAUAACCAGAGCCACUAAAAAAAACCACACUAAGGAUCCAUAUAAUCCUCCAAGAUAUAUAUCCAAAAAAGGUCCAAAAACAAUGAUAAGGUGAAUAGUAGUAGACCACCAAUGGAGACACAAUAAAAACUAAAAAAUAGAUUCUAAGUGCGCAAUGAAGGAUCAUGAUAUGAAGGAAGACAACUACUAGAUAAAAUGUGCCAAGAUGACAAAAUUGAGGGUCUACAAAUAUGCCCAUCUUCGAUAGAGAUCAAGAGUGUAAUGAAUAGAUCACUGAUACACGAGAGAUGAGUGAAACGAAGUGUCCCAAAUUCCUAAUUAGUAUAGAUUCUUUUUUUCUUUUUUUUUUAAAGAAUAUUAUAUAGAAUAUUUCUAGGUUGAUAUAUUAUUGUAAUAUUAGACUUUCUUAUAGAAUAAGGAAGGUUGUUGGAAAUAUCCCUAUAAAUAUUCUAGGUCAUGAGGAGAAAAAGUUAUGAGAUGAAGAUGGGCUUGUAAAGACUAUGCAAGGUGGAUAAAGAUGUAAAGAAGAACGGGAGGUACCCGAUGGAGUUAAAAGGCUCGUGGUAGGGUAGGGAUACGAAGAGUGGGGAAACACAAGAUGUUUCGAGAACCCAAUAAUUGUAUCUGGUUAUGUCCUUUGUAAUUGUUAACCCAAGGGUUCUCCUAAUUGAGUUUUGAUGAUAACCAACCAUGGUUAAGUGACUAAUUCGUUUAAUGGUUAAGAAUCUCAGGCAUAAACUCGAAAAUUCAUCAAAUGACCAAAUGGAUACAAGAUCGAGACUUUUGGAAGACUUGUGAUCAUAGAAAACAAAUGUAAGAUGAAUACAUGGGUGCACUUAAGUUUUUCAUACUAUUUCAUGCAUUUUUGAAAACUCGGUUUAUCAUUUAAACUUUCAAUUUCAUUAAAACCUAAGUUUUAUCAAAUAUACCUUAGGCAAAAUGUUUUAAAAUUGGCAUAAUAAUUCACCUAAAGACCUUGCCUAAGAGUUAGAAAAUAAAGGAAUUGAAAAAGAUAGGUUUUUGGGGCCAAAUGGCUCAACUGAUCGAGGCUAUGGUCAAUCGGCUCAACUAGUUGGGGAACCGGUUAACCGGUUUCCCUUGUCCGGUCGAGGAUGCCCAAAAUCUUCUCUUUCUCCCAAUAGCCUUUUCUUCCCGAUCGAGGUUCGGUCAAGGCAGCAGUAACCUGUCAAAACAUUAAAUGCUCCAAAGGCUAGUGAUAUGGUCGACCCCUAGCUCGACCGGUCGAGGUUACCUUUUACUGUUUUUGGCUCCCGAGAUUAGAAACCUAUAAGUUGAGAGCUCCACUUCAUUUAUGAACAAGAGAACACUUGCAAUCAAUUGUCUACCUACCUGUUCUUGACCAAAAAGCUCUCAUUUCUUUCUUAGUGCAUUAAAUCAUCACUUGCAUAUCCUUUAGUGCACUCUUAUAUGUCAUCCUAGCUUUAUCUUGUAUUUGAGCUAUCCUUAAGCUAGGUUGAGGGAUUCAUUCUUGUAAAAAUUGAGUGUUAAAGCCUUCAAGAGGUUUGAAUCUUGAGGAGAUUGUGUAAGAGCCCAUUAGAGCCAGAAUCUAAGUGUAAAAAGAUUGAAAGUUUGGUUGAAGCUUCAAGUUAGUGGAACCCUCACUCGGUUAGGAGAUUGAGGAGAGUGGACAUAGGUAAGGAAGUGUCGAACCACUAUAAAACCCGAGUUUGAAUUCUCUAACUCUAUCUCUUUAUUUUUGUUUAUAUUGUGCUUGAACUUGUUGUGUUUAAUUAAUUUUUAAAAAACCCAAUGCUCUGGUUUUGUCCUCUAUAAUGUUCUUUAUUGUAGAGUGAAAUAAUUUUCUCUCAUUCGUGGAUGUUGCCAUGGUUGGCCGAACCACGUUAAAACCCCGUGUACCAUUGUGUUGAUUAUUUUAUCUUUGUGUUCUUGAUUAACGAUGAUUGCGUCAAAACUUCCGCCAUCGCAACAUGAAGUGAACUAUACCAAAGAAUAAAAAAGAGCCUGAAAUUUUGUCCUGACACAUGACAUGAUAAACUCAAGGAUUGACCACACAUGGGGGAAAAUGUACUCUCGAUAAGGGACAUUAAAGAAAUCUUAUGCGAUGAAAUGAUGGAAACAAUGAAUAUGAUAAAAUAAUGAGAACAAGGACUAUAAAACUGCCAUCUCUGAACAUUAAGAAACUAUGACCUUGAUCGCCAAAGAGAGAAAAAAAAUUGCUUUAAACGUCAAAUAAAAAAUAAUGGCUCUGAACACUAAACCUAAGAAGAAUGGAUCUAAACGCCAACACUAGGAAAACAAAUGGCUUUGAACGCCAAUACUAAAAACAAUGGCUGUGAAUGCCAAACUAAAAAUGAUGACUCUAAAUGGUAAAUAAAAAAAUAAUAGCUCUAAAAGCUAAACCAAAGAGGUGGUUUGUACCUUUCCUAAGAAAAGUAUACUAGAGAUCUUUAGAAAGCACAUAUGCUAGAUUGUUCUGCCAUAGCCACGCUUACAUCUAUUAAAGAUUCACUAAUUAUAGAUUAUUUACAACCUUUGAAUUUGAGUAUGACACCUUGGUUGGUACCCUCAAAACCAAAUAUCACUCACGCAGUUAACAAAGUGUGCCAAGACCUCCAACAACCAAGGCAAAUCUUAAGGAUGUGAAACAAAUCCUAUGUUGUUUAAAAAGUACCUUAGAUUACAACAUUCACUUAUUGGCUUAAAGCUCAAUAUCAUUAUAUGAUUUUGUUGAUUCUAAUCGUGCAGGUUAUCCGAUAACAAUGAGUAGCACCAUUGAUUUUGUGUUUAUCUUGGCAGCAAUUGUAUUUCUCAGUCUUCUAAGAAACAAGAGUCAAUAGUAUGCCCUUGAAUAGGGGCAAAGCACCACUCCAAGAUUGCAACUUUUGCAAAAUUAACUUGGCCUAUAUUUCUUUUAUGUGACAUUAGCUUACCACUUCCCCAAUUUCCAUUUCUCUUUUGUGAUAACAUAAGUGCAUUACACAUGGCCAAAAAUCUGGUGUUUGAUGCACAAACAAAGCACAUUGAAUUAGAUUACCAUUUUGCCUGUGAAAAGUUGUUGUGGGACACCUUUAUGCUAAAUAUGUUCCUAGUUAUCUUCAAAUAUCUAACAUUCUUGCUAAGACUCUAGCUAGAAAGGCUUUUAGUAUGUUUAGCUUCAAGUUAGGAGCUCAAUGCAUGACCGCACUAGCUUGAGGGGGUUAAACCUCCUUUACAUUUAUCUCCACAACCAAACAAAUCAACAGGUCACCUUUUGAGACAAAUAUGACAAUAUGCAAGUGUAGACCCUCCAUCUUAUCCUAGUAGCAUAUGUUAUUCAAUAUAUUUUCCUUCACUUCUCAUUGCCUUAUAGUCGUCCCAUGGUGGUUUAUUUGUCGCUCAUUUGGUACUAUUUUUUAAGCCACCUUCAAAGAUUCAUUGUUGAUGGAUUUAUUUAUUUAUUUAUUAUUUUUUAUGGAUCCCAAUUGUGACCUUAGUUGCAUGCUUAGUCUAACUCACUUAGUUUACUUAGUUGCAUUUUAGGUUUAGUUCACUUAGUCACAUGCUUAGUCUAGCUCACCUAGUUCACUUAGUUGCAUUUUAGGUUUAGUUCACUUAGUUGCAUGCUUAGUCUAGCUCAGUUAGUUUACUUAGUUGCAUUCUAGAUUCAACUUACUUAGAUGCAUUUUAGGUUUAGCUCACUUAGAUGCACUUUGGUUUAGUUCCCUUAGAUGCACUUUAGUCUAGCUCCCUUGGGUUCAUGCAUGAGGGGAUUUUUAGGAAGGAAGAGACCUUUUUUUUUUUUUUAGGAAGACACAAUUGCACAUUGCAUGAGGAGAAGAGAUUCAUGCAUAGGAAAACUUUUAUUUGGAAUAUAUGGGCUAUCAUUGAGAGGUACACUACUAUUAGAGACUAAUUUUGGAAAAAGGAGUUAGAGCUGACACUAAUUGAUCUUGAAGAAAAAAUGAAGCAUCUUGAGAAUAAAAGUCGAAGUUUUGAAGAUCAAGAAGGCAAGACUCAGUGCAGGGAAACAAAGAAAGAAGUAAGCUUGCAAUCUUUUGGAGGAAAGGUAUGAUUUUUUUUUUCUUGCAUAUCUCGAUUAUGGUUAUCUCUUUAUUUAUUUUUUUUUUCCCAUCAUGUUUGAGUGUAGGAAUUCUCUUUGUUUGGGGUAGAUAAUGAAGGCCACUUUGAUUGUUGUUAAUUGGAUUGUUGAUGACAUAUUAAUGAGAAGUUGAUGAAUGGUUAAUUGAUCUCAUGUUGAUUAAUGCUUAUUAGAAUUGAGAUUAGAGUUAUUUUCUUUGGAAUUAUUUUCAAUUGAUUGAGGCCUUUUGAUAACAUACAAUAGGUGGCUAAGAGAUCCUUUAUUUGAUUUUUUUAUGCCUUAGGUUUUAUUUUUGGUUAUUCAUUUUUUAUUAUGAUGUUUGGAGUGUUCACCUUGCUGUUGUUUUGUUAGAAUUAUUGAACCUUUGUAAUUAAAAAAUUGAAUCAGGUUAUUUUACGUCUCUCUAAAAUUUUUCAUAUGAUUGCAUGAUGUUGUAGACUUCCCAAAUAUAUUGAUAGAAGUUUGUUUGAGUCUAAAAUCAUUUUUCAAUUAAGAGAUAUAAACCAAUUUUUCAAUAGGUUCAUUUUUUCACUCUAUUUUGCACACCCAAAAUUGUUUUUUAAAAUUAAAUUAUUUCAUGAUCUCUAUAAUUUUUUUUUUUAUAUUUUUCCAUUAUUAUAAAUUCUUAAGUUUAAUUUUAGGACCCUGAUUUGUUGAAAAUCGAUUCUCUAAGUAGAAGAAAAAAACUCUUUUUCCUACACCUAUUGCACUAACCCCUUUUUGUAGUCAAGGGAAGUUUGGCUUAAUUUAAAAAUUCACAUUGUAUUAUUAAGUCAUGUUGUUAUUUUUUCUGUAAGUUAGAUAUAUUGAAGGUAUUGUACAAUUUUUUUUUCAUAAUUUUGUCAUGCUUAUAAAUAGAUUAAUUAAAUUAGUAUUUUCAUGCUAUAGGAUUUUGCUCUAUUUCUAAUCAAUAUAUUUGUGAUUAAAUCAAGUAUUAAACGAGAUAUGAUUUGAUGAUGAAGCCUUUUGGGUUGUAAUCUAGACACAUAGGGGAUGUUGUCCAAGUAUUUUCAUGGUGAAAUUUCAUCUGUAGAUAUUUGUUUAGGAUAUAUUUUGCAAGUGUCUUUGUUCUAGAUGCAUGUUGAAUAUUGUUCUGUAAAGUGUCCUUAAUUAAAUGUUUUGGGAUUUUGCAUUGUAAUAUAGAGACAUUGAAGAUGUUACCAAUAAAGUAGUGAUUUUGCCACUGCAAGGCUCUUCAAUUUCUUUCUUAAUUUUUCAAUUUGCACGACUGUGGAAACUUUUACACAUCAAUCAUUUGCUACAAUAAUAAUCAUGUAAAUUUGGUCCACUUUUCCCAUUCUCUAUAAUUGAUUAGCUUAGGAGCUGUAUGGAGAGGAAAAUGACAUGGGUCGGUGUUUGACAAUAAUAUAUAGGAGACCUCUGAUGCAGGCUCUUGGCAUUAAAAUGAGCUAAAGAUGGGUUUGGAAACCACUUUCAAAUGAAAAUUGACAUGCAUAAUUUUUGGUGUAUUUGUCACAUGCAAUAAAAAUUACUUAAAUAGGAGUGACUUUGUCACAUGGCUUCAGAUGGAAUUACAGCACAGUAUUGGAAUUAGUAUUCAAAUGGCUGCCCUAUGGAGAGUUUUUUAGGCCUCAAUCCUAACAGUAUAGGUUGACCACUCGGAAAUUAGGACCACAAACUAGCCUAGGCUUGAUCCAGGCACUGCUUAUGGACACAUUUCACUUAACUUCUUUGAUCUGUUACUUGUAUUUAUUGUGACACUUGUUCCUUCUUGUUUAUCUGAUCCAGGAAGCUUGUUUUAUCAAAGAAGCAAGACCUUUCGAUGUUUAUGGAUGAAUUCCUCUUGUCAGCAUUGGUUCUUUAAUAUUCACCAAAAAGUGAACAAGCUUGGAGCCUUAGGUAGAUAUUUUACAAAGCCUUCUGUACUGUUAUCUUAUGCUAAGUACUGAAUAUAAAUGUUGUUGAGGGUACCACCAGUGACAUGCAGAUGCAAUGUUUAUUAUGAGAACACCAACGGCAUAGUGCAUCAACGGAUAUUUGAGUUUUCCGAGAAGGAGGCCUUUACAUCAUCGACCAGAUCAGGAUUAUUUGAUUUUAGUAAGGUCCUGCUAUUGUUUUAUUCUCUUGCACAAACUAUUCUUCAAAAUAUGAUUAGAUAAUCUAAAGUCAGAUCAAUGCAUUUUACUGAAUCACGGGAUACAUCCAUGGACUCACUACCAUAUGCAAAUUCUUUACAUACAAGUAGGUAAUAAACAAUAACACGCCAAGAAUUUCUACAAUUGGACUAAAUCGUGACCGUAAAGUUUGAGAUACGAAAGAUAUAAAAACGAAACAAUAAAAUCUUGUAGAAUGAAAAGGUCCCAAUCACGCCAAGCAUUGCUCGCCUAAUUGGAUAUUAAAAGAGGUGUCAUUCACGUCUCACAACCAAUCUGGCACGUUAAUUAGAAGACGUUCCGUAACUGAAGGGAACUUUCAUCUGUGUGCAGUCACCAGGGUUUCUAUAAACCGUAAGCCGUCGAAUCGGGGCGCGAAUUUUUCCUUAUCAGCUGAUGAGGAUGUAUGGGAAAUCUGAGUGUUAUUUUUCCCCAAAGACAGUGGCAAGCCCUAAAGAGAAUAAGACACGAGUGUAAGAGAUCGUGAAACUCUGAAUAAAUAGGAAAGAAAGAAGUUUUACAAAUGCAAAGCCCUAACCUCAAUCAUAAGUAGUAGAAAAAGGUGAUCAAACUUUUCAUUUGCUUAACAUUGUUCAAAGGGUUUGACAUUGCUCAACAUUAUCUGAGCUUUUCUCCUACAGAUGCUUCUUUGGCAUGGCAAUGCAACCAGACUUAAGGCGAUGGCACUCACUUACAUACUCUGCAAGAGCCCACAAUGGAAAAAUAUUCCUGUAAUCUGCAUAGUGUAACAUGCAGUUCUUCAUGAAGGCUCCAGUGAUUUCCUGCCAUAGAUAAUUGAUGAUCAAAUGGUUAGACUACCACCCAGUAUAUAUAGUCAGCUACAAAAGAACAUCAUUUUCCAUUUCCCAAAACCAUGUUAAAAUGUUACUCCUUUGGUUUUUUAUUCAUGUUCAAGUGAGCUACCUGUUGGGGAAAAUCACCAUCUUCCAUUUGGGAAUUAAUCAACAGCUUUGCAGCCCUGUGAAGGGGUGUUGGGUCUCUCUCCGCCUGUUAUAAAGGAAGGUUAGACUCAGAUGUUUGGGGAUAAGCCAUAUUGUGAAAAUAAUGUAGAAGACCAAGUUAAGCUUAUUGAUGGUGAAACUGUAUAAACUGACCUGCCCGGAAGAAAGCAGCCCCAUCAGAGCCCACCCGGUUUGUACCAGAUUUGACUUGUUUCCUUCAAGAGGUGUAAGGUUCUGUAUCACCAAGCACAAGGAUUACUUAUUUUUGUGCAUGUAUCUACCAGAAAACAGAGCAGUGGGUGGCAAGUAAGAAUUACCUUGUCCUGGCAAGAAAUAUAGCUCUCUCCCCAACCACCAUCAUCUCCUUGUGAUUUGAGUAGAAACUCAACAGCUCUACCAAUAGCAAGACAGUUGUGGUAAGUCCUGCUAGCAGCUGCUAGGCCCCCAAGUGCAAACCAUGAGCCAUAGGUGAAACAUACUCCCCAAUUGCCAUACCUGGUGAAAUGCUUCCUUGUUUAAAUGGAUCUGCACUGCAUAUAUAAAAAGAGAUUUCCCUAGUGAAAUAGUAAUAGUGGAGUUGAGAAACAUACCAUGAGCCAUCAGGCAUUUGUUGGUCUUCAAUGUACUUGGUAGCAUUUGUGAUGAAAUUGUCUAUCUCCUUCGUCCUGUGUUGGGGGUAUAACUUCUUAAACAAAACCAGAGCCUGAAUUGCUGAUGCAGUGCACUCGACAUACCUGGAUCAUCAUUUUGUUAGUCUCCAAGGAAGUUAAAAGCUAGUAGAGUUAGAAAAAAAAGCUGGUCUAUUAUCAAGAAUUUUACUCAUGCUCGAUGACAAUGUCUUCAAAAAUUUCAGAGGGGUUGAGCAGCUGAAAAGAGAAGGGAUUGACAUUGAUUUAGAUUCAAAGAAUACAGAGAGAGAGAGAGAGAGAGAUAAAACAGAAACAUUGAACUUACUUAAACAAGUUGAAGUAAUUUACCUCCAACCAUUCUGAAGCUCCUGCAGGCUCCCAGACUGCUAAACCACCAUUUUUACUCUGCAAUGGCUUUGAAAACAAGGGUUAUUGAUACUAAGAAGUUAUAACCUGUUUUGUGAUGGGGAAAACCAUGGAAAUGGCCCAAGGAAGAUGAUUCUCACCUGUAAGGAAAGCAGGAUGUUGACAGAAUCAAAUAGUCGUUCGGGUUCCAUCGUCAUACCAACAAUUUCUGGUGCCAUCAUUGAAAAGAGGAGACAACACUGUAACAGAGGGUACUUCAGUGAGAAACCAAGUGACUUUAGUUCAUCUGCAAGCCCUGACUCAAUUAAGUGUUUGAACAGAAAAAGUUACCUUCAAACCUUCUGCAGUGCAAUCAGAAACUUGCCAACCAUGAUCCUGAUCUGAGAAUGUCCACGAUCCUUUGGAAAUGUGGCGAUACAUGCUUUUAAAGUCACCAGAAGGAUUGUCCUUGACCUUCAAGAUUUCAAGCAAUAUGAAGCAAAUGGACCAUGAGAAACCCAAGUAGAUUCUGGUUAAAGUCAAGACACAAACCUGAGAUUCCUUUAUGAAUUCAUGUCCUUUCUUGAGUGUAGGUCCAAUUUCAUUUGUCAUAUUGCAAGCUAGCAGGGCUUGAAGGGCAAAACCAGUGUCCCACUCUUGACUACCAAAGGUCUACAACAAUCGACAAUUUCAAAACCAAUUUAGGCAGGAGAGGAUAAAAGCAUAGCUUCAAACCAGUUGCACACGUGAAAUAUUUUAAGAAAAAGAUGAAUAGAUAUUAUCUAAUUUUCCUACAACUGUUUGGGAGAUUAGGGAUUGAAUUAACUUGUCUUCUGACCUGCAUCUUUAUUCCAUCUUCUGCAACCCAUAUAAAAUCUUUGAUCCUAGCAAGGUGCUUCUUGAAAUAAUCCCCAUUUGGAUCUUCAACCCAACAUGUGAGCAUACACAAUGCCUGUUCAACUUAAGCGAUAUUAGUAUCCUAAAGAAGUGACAUAUUGUCUAAAUAGACGUUAUACACUGCAGAAAAAUACCUUCUGUCUCAACUUGUUGAAGGGCCAACGAGUAAGAAGAGGCUCGGUACAUAUGUACAAACUAUCCCACAUCAGAUCUUGUAUUAGGGGAUGGGGGUAGUAGAGAUCCUCCUGCAAUAAACAUAUUUGAAUGUGUGUUUCAUGCAUGCGUAGCAUAUUCAUCGGAAAAGGAAAAGUGUUCCAUACAAAAUCAAAACUUACCUUUGCACAAAGAUGCCGUACUUUUUUCCAAUUGAUUUCAUUAUAUGCUUGAAGGAAGAGCUCUUCUCUUAGUUCUAGAACAAGAGGCGUGAUUGUGCCAACGAAUCGUUUACCAUAUAGGUAUGACAUGGGCAUGUAAACCAACCGACUGUAGCACCACAUUUUUGCUGCAUUUAUGGACCCAAAUUACAAGAAGCUCGACCAACGAUAGGAAAAUGAAAG
rnacentral:lncRNA from 1 species